rnacentral:lncRNA from 1 species
CUGGAGAGGCCACAUGAGCUCAAGUUGAGUGGCUGAUGAGUCUGCACUAGUUUUGGGUAAAAAUGGGUUGUGCUGGAUUGGCUGCAUGAGCUAGAACUCAGUUGUUGGGGAGUCUCUAGUUUUGGCUGGACAGGGGAUGAUACAGUCGUGCUGGAGAGGCCACAUGAGCUCAAGUUGAGUGGCUGAUGAGUCUGCACUAGUUUUGGGUAAAAAUGGUUUGUGCUGGAUUGGCUUCAUGAGCUAGAACUCAGUUGUUGGGGAGUCUCUAGUUUUGGCUGGACAGGGGAUGAUACAGUCGCGAUAGAGAAGCCACAUGAGCUCGAGUUUAGUUGAUGAUGAGUCUGUAGUGUUGGCUGAAGACGUGAUGCACUACUUGUUUUGGAGUGGCUGAAUGGGCUGGAGCUAGAGUUAGAGCUAGAGCUCACUGGAGGCGGAGGAUGAGUCCGUAGAUUUGUCUGCAAUGCGUAGUCCCUACAUGAUUCUAAGCUCGGUGGAGAAGUAAAUGGAUUCGGUGGCAACGCAGGCCUUGAGCUUGAAGAAUUGGUGUCUGAGGCAAAUCUCGGCGGAGAAAUCAGGGGUAGUUUUUCACUUGGCUUCUUUUUAUCAUCUUUUUCACCCCACAACCAGCGAAUAAUAACGGAGAGGAUUUGACCCAUUGAAUCACCCGUCCCCCCCUUCUUUUUCUUCUUCCUUCAUCAAGGAGCCUGUAAACAUAGAAAUGUCCCUUGUCAUGAAAACCAUGCGGGCGUGCACUGCAAUGUCAAUGGACUUGACACAGGUCCCACCAACAUUGCAUUAAAUUUUCCUUCUCGGACAAGUAAGAUAAGGAAUGCCUCUGCCACACACUGUUGAGAAAUAUAAGAAGAUAUUACCCACAAAGCCUAUCAUGUUAACAUUCAAGUCAUCCCACAUCGGAAUAAGAGAGAGGCUUUUCGGUCUCACCCCAUAGGGGUUCCCUCAUAAAAAGGGCUUUACAUAUCAGACCGAGACAUUAAUAGUGGGAUUCUUUUUCUUUUCAAAUCAAUAUGACUCAAAUGCAACAUUCAUUGUAUUCGGGAUUCAAAUUGUGCUGGGUUGUGCUGGAUUGGCUGCAUGAGCUAGAACUCAUUUGUUGGUGAGUCUCUAGUUUUGGCUGGACAGGGGAUGAUACAGUCGCGAUAGAGAGGCCACAUGAGCUCGAGUUGAGUUGAUUAUGAGUCUGUAGUGUUGGCUGAAGACGUGAUGCACCACUUGUUUUGGAGUGGGUGAAUGGGUUAGAGCUAGAGCUAGAGUUAGAGCUAGAGCUCAGUGGAGGCGUAGGAUGAGUCCGUAGAUUUGUCUGCAAUGUGUAGUCCCUACAUGAUCCUAAACUCGGUGGAGAAGUAAUUGGAUUUGGUUGCAACGCAGGCCUUGAGAUUGAAGAGUUGGUGUCUGAGCCCAAUCUCGGUGGAGAAAUCAGGGGUAGUUUUUCACUUGGCUUCUUUUUAUUAUCUUUUUCACCCCACAACCAGCGAAUAAUAAUGGAGAGAAUUUGAUCCAUUGAAUCACCCGUCCCCCUUAUUUUUCUUCUUUUUCUUCUUCUUCUUCAUCUAGGAGCCUGUAAACAUAGAAAUGUCCCUUGUCAUGAAAACCAUGCGGGCGUGCACUGCAAUGUCAAUGGACUUGACACAGGUCCCACCAACAUUGCAUUAAAUUUUCCUUCUCGGACAAGUAAGAUAAGGAAUGCCUCUGCCACAUACUGUUGAGAAAUAUAAGAAGAUAUUACCCACAAAGCCUAUCAUGUUAACAUUCAAGUCAUCCCACAUCCUAAUAAGAGAGAGGCUUUUCGGUCUCACCCCAUAGGGGUUCCCUCAUAAAAAGGGCUUUACCAACUAUUUUUCUUUUUAUUAUUAUAUUUUAAAAGUAUCGCUGCAGUAUCAUUUCAUAACAUAUUAAAUCAGGUGUCAUUUCAUAUCAAAUCAUUGUAGCCUGCUUGACUACUCCAAUUCCCAAGCCUUUCUCCUCCUUUUUGAAUGUUGAUUCCAUCAAUGUCUAGUUUCUAGUGAUGUAGGGUUGUGUGAGUCUUUCUCUGCCAUAUCAGACCGAGACAUUAAUAGUGGGAUUCUUUUUUUCUUUUCAAAUCAAUAUGACUCAAAUGCAACAUUCAUUGUAUUCGGGAUUCAAAUUGUCAACAAAUGAACCAAAAAUCAUCUUCACAGCCAAAUCUACAACUACUAAACAUCUUUUCCCUGUAAAACUAGUAAAAUUUUCAUCCAGACAUGUUGAUUAACUAUAGAAGAACAUGCUUCUGCAUUCAUCCCCAUCUAAGUUCAGCAUUUUAGCAGAAACUCAAUAUGAAAAAACAGAAUGACAGAAAGGGUAAAAGGGCGCCAAUAUCAAUACCAUGAAUGCAGAUGAGCUUGUGGAUGAUGAGAGCUUUGUUGAGACCAGAGAUCAAAGCUCCCAAAUCAGAGUUUUCCCACAAAGAUCGGACGAGAUCAAACACUAGUGAUGCUUGGCUUGCAGGAGAUCCAUCAGUGUUGGGUGUGAGAGAUGAGAGUUGUGCUGAGAGUGAAGGGGGAGCAAUAUCAGAAGGUAAAGAAGUUUCCCAUGAUUCGUACGUCCAAAGACUUGGUUGGACUUGGCCAUUUUUACGCUACGUGGAGGCACUCUAUUCAGAUUAAUAAAGUGAUAAAAGAAAAAAAUUAGGAAAGAAGUCCAUUGCAUCAAAGAAUUUGAUACCCAAAGUCAUGGAAGUAAUUAAAACAGAUUGAUGAUGAUGAUGGUUGUACCAAACAGCAUUUGAUACCCAACCCACCAAUCAUAAAAUUCAGUGACAUGGGAGUGUAUAAAGCAAAAUAAGAUAUACUAAAGUUAUUUUAAAAUACUUUAUAUUUCCAAAUAAUCUUUUAUUUGGGGAAAUGAAAACAAAGUUGAAGAUUUAUUCUAAAACAAUUUAUUCAUUUUAAGAUUUUUUUUUAAAAUUUUCUUUCACUUGGUAAAUAUUUCAUAAUUUUAAAAAUUAUUAUAUUAUUUAAUUUAUAUUAUUUUAAUACUUAUCAUUAUAAAAAUAAGUAUGCACUUAAAUAUUUAUAAAAAUAAACAUUAUAUAUUUUUUGUAAAAAUUUUCGUAAAGCUUACAAUUGGUCUAGUAGUAGCAAUCUCUUUUUUUUAUUGCUACCUUUUAGGUUUGAUUUCUCAUACUCCUCUUUUCUACAUAUACCUAUCCCACAUUGAAAACUUAUACAAGCAUUUCCUCCCAUAAAUUACAUAUAAUGUGACCCAUCAAAAUAAUUUUGCCAAAGGACACAUAGAGAUGCAUUGGUUAGAGCUCUUAGCCAGAUUAGAGUUGAUACUGCUACCACCCUAGAGGGGCUGAUUCACUUUCUGACAGCUGAUAAGGCUACGUGCAUUGUGUUUUCCGACGAUAACUUGCCACUAGAAGGGUCGAGACACAUUCACCCUUUGUAUAUCAGUGUUGCAUGUUCAGGCCAUCGAGUGCCGACAAUCCUGCUAGACAACGACUCUGCCUUAAACGUUUGUCCUUUGGCUACAACUAUUGCUCUUGGCUUUUCUUCAUCUGAUUUUGGGUCAUUUACACAAACCAUCAGAGCUUAUGAUGGGACUCAGAGGACAGUUAUGGGUACUCUCACUACACACGUUAUGAUUGGGUCAGUUAGAUACUCAGUACUCUUCCAGGUUCUAAGGAUUCGGUCAUCAUUUAACCUACUUCUUGGUCGUCCUUGGAUUCAUAAGGCUGGUGCCAUAUCAUCUUCCAUUCAUCAAAAGGUGAAGUUCAUACAUGAGGGUCGCAUUAUCACAAUACAGUUUGACCGGGAUGUUGUCACUUCUUCUGAGCCAGUAUUACAGAUUAGUCACAGUGAGGAUGACUUGCAUUUGACCGGGUUUUCUUUUGAUGAGGUAUAGGUUGUUAGUUUAGAGGAUGACAGCAGAGAUAUGAUGUCUAUGUCAUUCGACUAGUAUAGUAGCACUAUGGUGCUUAGCAUGAUGAGAGGCAUGUUUUACCUGCCCGACUUGGGAUUGGGUCGCUGCCAGUAGGGCCCACACGAGUUUACUUUCACUAUUGAUCAUGACAUACCUUAUGGGUUAGGUUACACUCCUAUGGAGAAGGAUGCACGUUACAUGGCGCGACUGUGCAAGGACAGAGUAAGGGCCCGCUUAUCUGGGGUUCCAUUUUAUUACCCCCUUCGCCCGUACACCUUUCAGUUGACUGAUUACUUUGUCAGAGGUUCAGAUCAUGCACCCCACGUGGAGGGGAUCGUUUGUAUUUUAGAGGUUGUUAAGGUUCAGGACCUCCAAUGGACCUUAGGGUAGAGGCAUUUGGGUGUCGGGAUCCCUGAGACACCUGAUGUUAUGAUAGUUGUACCCCUGUCGCCCGACCGAGCCAACAUGUUCUCUAUAUGCUUCCCGAAGGCAGUUUUUUUAUUAUGAUAUACUUAUGGAUACUGUGAUUGAUGCUGAUGGAGUGACUCUACCUGAUGCUUGUACCGAUGAGAUGGACAUGAUAAGGGUAGGCCGUAUUCUCGAUGCAGUCCCACAUGGUCCCCACUUUAAUUUCGAUUUGUUCGGAGUUUCUGUGAUUGACACUAAUGAUGUCACUCUUUAUGAUUCUUUCACAGACGAGAUGGAUAUGAUUGGUACUAGUCGUAUUCUGAAUGCAGCCCCGCAUGGGCCUCGUUCUGCUUUGGAUAUGUUUGGGGCUUUUAUGCUUGAGAUAGAUGAUGAUGACUUUGUUACUGUUGUUACUCCUGAUGUUAUCACUGUUGAGGGAGCAUCCGAUUCUGUAGACCCACCUCUUUCUUUUGACACUAUGUCCGAGUUUGUCACCCGCUUUGAUGAUGUGGCUGGUGGAAAUAAUAAUGAUAUGAGUGUUUUUGAGUAUUCACCUGUGUCACUACAUUUUCCUUUGAUUGUACCACCGACACCCACAACAUAUAUACAUGAUGUUGAUGAUGUGAGAGGCCCAGAUGGCCUAUUGAGUGAUCAGUCGGAUUUUGAUUCAGAUUCAAAGGAAAGAAAAGAAACACCAGUUUUAGGUAGCACUGAGUUGGUAGAUUUCAGGACCCUUGAUCAACCCAAGGAGCUGAAGAUUAGCACCUUCUUAUCUCCUGACGAGAGAAGUAUACUGAUUGACCUACUUAGGUCAUACUUGGAUGUAUUUGCAUGGUCAUAUGAGGACAUGUUAGGCGUUGAUCCCUCUAUAGUCUAGCAUCGCUUGCCCAUCCUGCCAUAUGCUAGACCAAUUAAGUAUAAAUUAAGGAGAUUACACCCUCGAUAGAGUUUGCAGGUUAAGAAAGAGAUUCAUAAACAACUUAAUGCUGGUUUCCUGUCAGUGGUCGAAUAUCCUGAGUGGCUGGCUAAUGUCGUCCCUGUUCCUAAAAAGGACAGCAAGGUUAGGGUUUGUGUCGAUUAUAGGGAUCUUAACAAGGCCAGUCCUAAGGAUGAUUUUUCCCUUCCACACAUUGAUAUGUUGGUUGAUAGCACUGUAGGGCAUUCUAUGUUAUCAUUUAUGGAUGGGUUUUGUAGGUAUAAUCAGAUUUUGAUGGCUCUAGCGGAUAUCGAGAAGACUUCUUUCAUCACUGAGUGGGGUACUUACUGCUAUCGGGUUGAAGAAUGCGGGAUCCACUUAUCAGAGAGUUGCUACUACUUUAUUCCAUGACAUGAUGAACAGAGACAUCGAGGUAUAUGUGGAUGACAUGAUAGUGAAGUCCUGAGACAGGGCAGAUCACUUAGCAGCACUACAGAGAUUCUUUGAGAAGAUCCGACAGUUCAGGCUGAGAUUGAAUCCCAAGAAGUGUACUUUUGGGGUGACUUUUGGGAAAUUGGUAGGACACAUCGUCAGUGAGCAUGGUAUAUAGGUUGAUCCCGAAAAGAUCAAAGUCAUACUUGACAUGCCUACUCCGAGGACUGAGAGAGAGAUUAGAGGCUUUCUUGGCAGACUAUAGUAUAUCAGUCGUUUCAUUGCUAGAUUGACAAACAUAUGCGAGCCUAUCUUUCGUCUUCUGAGGAAGAACCAACCUACAGUUUGGAAUGAUGAUUGCCAGCGUGCUUUCGAGAAGAUUAAGGAGUGUCUCCUUUCUCCUCCAGUUUUAGUGCCUCUCACACCGGGGCGGUCUCUGCUUCUGUACUUGUCAAUUCCAGACAUGGCUUUGGAAUGCAUGUUAGCUCAGCUCGAUGAUUCAGGGAAGGAGCAAACCAUUUAUCAUUUGAGUAAGAGAAUGUUGGAGUAUGAGUGCAGAUACAUUAUGAUUAAGCGCCUUUGUUUAUCAUUGGUUUGGGCUACUAGGAGGCUGAGGCACUAUGUGACAGAGUAUUCCAUAUUAUUGGUCUUGCGAUUGGAUCCAUUGAGAUAUUUGUUUGAUAGGCAUGUCUUGACUAGUAGGCUCAUGAGAUGGUUGGUGUUGUUGACAGAGUUUGAUAUUCAAUAUGUUACACAGAAGUCAGUAAAAUGGAGCAUUGUUGCAGAUCAUUUGGCUUCUUUGCCCGUAUAUGAUGACAGACUGAUUGACGAUGAUUUCCCUGAUGAGCAGUUUGUCUCAGUGACCAGUAUUGCAGGAUGGCGAUUGUACUUUGAUGGUGCCGCAAAAUAGUCAGGGUUUGGUAUCGGUAUCCUAUUGAUAUCACCUUAGGGUGAUCAUAUUCCCAGAUCAGUCCAGUUGGCAUUCUCUGAUCAUCAUCGAUUGACGAAUAAUGUUGUUGAGUAUAAGACAUGCAUUACAGGUCUAGAGAUUGCGCUCGAUCUUGGAGUUAGACAGUUGGAAAUCCACGGGGAUUCUAACUUGGUUAUUCAGUAGACUUAGGGUAUCUAGAGGACUUGGGAUGAGAAGUUGAAGCCCUAUCAUGCUUAUUUGGAUUUGUUGGUUGAUAGGUUUGAGGAGUUGAGAUAUAUACAUCUGCCCCGGGCAGAAAAUCAGUUUGCUGAUGCGUUAGUUGCCUGGGCUUCUGUGAUUGAGAUUCCUGCGGGAGUGACUGUGCGACCAUUGCUGAUUGAGACUAGGUCUGCACCAGCUUACUAUUGUUUAAUUGGGGAUAUUGAGGACUAGGAUGAGCUACCCUGGUGUAGACCCUCAAUUUUGUCCUUUUAGCACAUGUCUUUAAAUUCACUUCCAGUGCUCCACGGUAGUUCCUUGGUGGCCCAUUACUACCCGUACGACUUACCAUUUUCUGAGUCACCUCGGAGACUUUGGUUGAUGGAUUAUUUGAUCCCUUAUUAUGACCCUUGGCAGUCUUGAUUUAGAUUUAGGCUUUUCUUAUUUUUUUAGGAUAGCUUUUAGAUACACUUGGCCCUUUAGGCACCACCUUAGGCCCACUUAGUCUCACCUUAGGCCCGUUUAGGUAUACUGGGUCUAUUAAGAUUUUUUUUAGCGUGACUUAUAUAACUUGCGUUUUUGCAUGGCUCAUAGGGCCCAUUUUUUGUUAAUUUGUUUAUUUUUAUUUUAUUUUAUUUUAUUUUCCUCUUUAUAUUAUUUUCCUUUAACUUAUUUAUUUAGUUAUUAUUUUUUACCAUUUUCUAAUUUAUUUACUUAUUUAUCUAUUCGUGCAAUUAUUUAACUUCUAAAAUUUCAUGUUUUUGCAAGGAAACUUACCAUUGGAGUUUAAGGAAAGUGGGACUCUCCUUGGAAGGUUUUGGAGGAGAAUUUGAAGUUGGGAAGAUUGCUUUGGAAUUGGAAGAUUUAAAAAAGGAUAAGGAGAAAAGAAGAGAGAAUAUAGGAGAUUUGACCUUUUUUUUUUAGGGAGAUUUAGGUUUUAGGGAAAGGCGUAUAUAUACAUGAGAAAGGAAGGAAAAAAGGGAGAAGAGGGAGCUUUUUUUGAUUGAGGGAGGAGAUUUUUUUUUUUUGAGCAGCAGGCAUUGGAGGAUUGGAGAAGUUUUGAGAGGAAGAAGGAGAGGGAAAAGAAGCAAUUGCAACCAAGGCUGUCCAGGUAUGCACCUCGUUGCUUUUGGAAUUCUUACCUAUAUUUGAUUUUUCCGCGUGUUCGAUUCCUGAAUAUUUAAUUGUUUUGUUGAUUUUGUGUGGACGAAAAGGGCCACAAUUUGUUUUGUUGAGAUUGGUUACUUGCUUGUUUGCCCUGUUUUGAUUUUGGAUGUCAUUAAUCUCUUCGGAAGCAUAUAACUCCAUGCCUGUUCCCACUAACCUGAGCCAGCCUAUUGAAAAAUCAUGAGAUGUGGUUUUAUUUUUUUUAAUCUCCCAUGUCUGUUCUCCCAUCGUUUCCUCUACUCUCUACUAUAUCUGUUUUGUCCUUCCUACCCAUCACAUGGCCAUCAACUCUUCAUAUGGGGGUGACUCCAAAGUUUGGGUAUGCAAUCACAAGAUUCAGCAAAGAGAUCAGCUCCUUCAAAAUUCUGGCUAGACAUGCCAUAUUGUGGGUUCAUAUAAGAGAAAGCCCAUGAUAGUUGCCGUUCUUUUCUUGUGAAUGGUUCUGUUCUAUUGUAAAAAAACUGCAGUCACAAUACAAGACCCAGAGGAGAUUCUUUCAAAUAGUCAUGUCCAAGUGGCUUAUCAGCCGUCUAUGCACUUGCUAAGGUUUGUGGCAGUCACGUAAAUUUGUGGAUUCAUAUGGAGAUCAGAGAUAUGGCUUCUCGGAAUUCCGCCAGUUCAGGGUAUAUACAUUGAGGGCAAAUUGAGGAGCACGGGAGUUGUUUGAAGAAAUACCAAUGAGAAGAAAUUUGGUUGAAAGAAAUUGAAAGCAGACGUUUUGAAUGAAGACACAGAUAUGAUUUUCAGUGGGAUGAGUUCAUGGAUGGAUUUGAUAGCAAACUUGGCUACAAUAGUGGUACUUCUCAGAUUUGUGAGACAACAUCUAUAGCAGCAUUGCUUUCAUGAGGACAGGCUGUAACUCCAAUGCAAUUAGUGGCACGUGUGCCUGCUCCUUUAUUUUACUGGCCAUUAAUUCAACUUGCUAGUGCAACUACUGAUGACAUUGUCCUGGGUAUUACCGUUGGAAGCGAAAGAAGAGGAAACCUACCUGGCGCCGCAUCAGACAUCCGGGCUAGCCUUCUUUUACUCUUAAUAGAAUUUAUCGAGAAGAGGAAUUUCUCUACAACCAGUUCUGGGAUAGGGAGAGCUUUGUUGAUGGUCCUAUUCGGUGUCUCCUUUGCAACUUGUAAGGUGAAUUCCCGAUCAGGACUGAGGAACUUGUUAACUUUUUAUCAACUCUUUGUGAAGGAAUUUGGCCAGCAGGAUGUGUGUAUAAUUUCCUCGAUAAAUCUGUUGGCAUAUCAUCCUUGUUAGAGAUUACUAGUGAUUCCUUGGUGGAUAAUUUUUCUCAGAUUAUUGAAACACGGGUGCCAUUGUAUGUUCUUGGGGUUGAAGGAUUAAUUAUUCAUAGUCAAACACAUGGUCAUGUUUUGAAAGUGAUUGAUGGCAGUACUGCUCUAGUAUGGUGGGAAUACACACAAUCUGGGGUGUUGGUGUUGUUUCUGCGUUUAGCCCAGAGGUUAUAUUUAGAUUGCAAUGAAGAAGUCCUUGUUACCAUGGAUCUGCUCUGUUGACUGGUACAGUUCUUCAAUGACGGCCAUAGGUGUCAGUAUUAAAAAAAAAAACGUGUUAAAAUGUUCUCCAUCUCAUGCUAUAGCCGUGGCUCUGAAGGCAAACAUAUCUAAUUUGGCUUCUAAGACAAGUACAUUUGAAACUCUCUUUACUGGCUCAACAAGUGGAUCAUGGUUGCUUUAUGGGAAACUUGCAAAAAAAUGUUCUCAAUUGACUGUGAGCAAAAUAACAGUUGCUGCCAGAUGACAAUUUCAGUGCUGGAUUUUACCAAACAGCUUGUAGAAAUUGGAGAGAAAAUUCAGCUACAACAACUUCAAGAACCGUUCAACACAUGGCUUUAAGAUGGUGAAGAGAGCAUCUUCUAGAGAAGGCACUGGUGACAAUUACUUGUACUGUCCAGCUUCACAUGACUUUUUAAAAGAGGAGGAAAGGCUUUGUUCCUGACCCCGGUUCUUCUAGCCUAAUGAGGCCUGAGAUCCACGACGAAUCUCUGAUUCCAAAUGCCAACGACCGGUCCUGAAGUGCCUUCAAACCAGGGGUAAUUCAUGUCUUAGUAACAGGAAGUGCUGGCUAUAUCGGUUCACAUGCUGCACUACGACUUCUCAAGGACUCAUACUGUGUAACUAUAGUGGAUAACUUCUCGAGGAGAAUAUUAAGUGCCAUUAAGGUUUCACAAGAACAAUUUCCUGAACCUGGGAGGCUUCAAUUUAUUUAUGUUGACCUGGAAGAUGUAAAAAUUGUAAACAUGAUAUUUUCAGAAAAUGCAUUUGAUGCUAUAAUGUAUUUUGCAGUUGUUGCUUAUAUUGGAGAAAACACCCUUGAACCUCUCAGGUAUUAUUACAAUGUUACAUCAAAUACGUUGGCAGUAUUGGAAGGUGAUGACAGCCCGUGGUAUAAAUACAUUAAUAUAUUCUAGCACAUGUGCAACAUAUGGAGAAGCUAUGAAUUUUAACCUGAACAAUUUUAGUACAGCAGUUAGAUUCUGUGGAAGGGCCUGGCAGUGAAUCUUUGCAAGUGUCAUUUGAUCAAAAAUCACGCACAAGUAAUUCUGAAGCCUCAGUUCACAAGGAGUUACAGUGGAUAUCAAUAACUGAAUUCAAAUAACCUCACGUUUAGGCACCAGAAUCUGCAUACAAGGGCAAAAGCUGAGACACCCUCAACUUCUAGGUUGGGAGAAGUGGUGAAAUCAUUUGUGAAGUAUCUGAAUUUGAGUGUGGGUAUAGUCACUGGUAGGUCUGAUUUGGUUGAACAUGGUGGAAGGCCAAGGUUGGAUGAUAAUUGCAGGGAUGAUGAUCAGCAUGGUUCAGUUAGAUCGAUUGGUGUAGGGAUCAGCAGUGAUGCUGCUGAUAUUGGCAGUGAAGUACCAGAAAAUUUGGUUGGAGGUAGUUGUGAAGAGGAUUUGGAGUAUUUUCAUGAUUAUGAUAUUGGAUUAAGACAUUCUCAACAGGAAUCUGAUAAGAAAUAUAAUGAUAGAUCAAAGAGGGUUAAAAAGAGAACAAGUACCUAUGAUUCUAAUGAGAAAUGAUAAGGGUGUGUGUACCCAGGUGAAAAAUCACCCAGAUAGAGAAUUUUCAUUCCCCCUCUUUUGAGAAAUGGGCAGUUGGUACAAGCAAGCUCUAGUAAAUCUUUAUGGUCAAAUAAUUGCAAUGCUUCUGCCAGUGAUGAAACUGAGGAUUGCUUGAAUGCUUUGAUGAGGAAUUUUGACAUGCUUGCUUCAUGGAGGCGGAAAAGCAAUGAUUCUUCACCUGUCAAGAGUUCUAAAUAUGAAAAUAAUGCUAAUGUUGUUAGAUCAGAGAACUCUUCUCCCUCAACUCUUUCUUAUCAUGGUUACAGUGAGCUAAAGUAUUACGUGAAUUUGGAAGAAAAGUGGAAAAGAUGGAAAAAUUGGGCCAACAAGAUUUGCUCUCAGGAAUGCGUGAAGCAGUAUCCAAUGAGAACCUUAGAGCAAUAGAUUCUAAUAUGCAGGCAGAAAAACUGAACUCAGAAGAUGCAGCCAGUUUUAGGUGUUAGCGGAUAAAUUUUCAAACCUAAACUGGAUCAAGAGCCGAAUCUGUGGAAUUUAGUUGUUGUUGAUGUGAUGCACAAGGCUAACUAUGCAAGCUGAAUUUGUCACUUAUGCUGACCUAAUUGUGAAGCCAAAGUUACUGCCGUGGAAGGUCAGUAUCAGAUUGGAAUCUACACUGUACGUCAAAUUCAAUAUGGCAAGGAGAUCACCUUUGAUUAUAAUUCAGUCACAAGAGAAUAAGGAAGAGUACGAGGUUUCUGUUUGUUUGUGUGGCAGCCAAGUUUGUCAAAUGUGUUAUUUGAAUCUAACAGGUGGAGUGGCAUUUCAAAAGAUAUUGAAAGGGUGUCAUGGAAUUCAGGAUCGGUAUCAAUUGAUGUUUGAAGCUCGUGAAUUAAAUAUGGUAUCUGAAGAAGUCUACAUAGACUUGGGAAGAACUGGAAGGGAAAGAAUUAAGUGCUGAGGCCUCCUCUUCUGGAACAAUAUUUGGGUCAUUUGUACACCUCAUAUGGUUAAAUGCACAUAUGCUUCUUAGUGUUUUUCAUUGUGAGCAGCCACAAGGGAGCGGUCAAGCUACCAUUGUCGCACCAACAGUAGAAGAGCAUUUCCUAUCUCAAUAACGCAGUAUUACUCCAGCAAACACUCAUGCUGAAAGGCAAAUCCGGGGCGCAAGACUUCAGCAUAAUCGACAAUUAGAUGCUCCCCUGUCCAAUGAAGAUAAACCAAUGGAAGAAAUGAAAUCCACUAUCUAUCAAAAAGACCUGUCCCAAAUCCGUCCAACAGAAGCUGGAUUGGUUGAAACUCGAAUCAUCACACUUUUCUCCUCUGUUGUGGCUCUCAAGAGGUCUUUAUUUGACACCGGAAGCGAUACCACUUCCGAAUCUGUAGUUGAGCUCUCUGCUGAGAGAGAAGUGAUUUCUUUUGGUUCGAUUGCACACCUUGAAAGUUACUGUUUCAGCUAGAAAUGCUAGUUCUUGAACUGCCAAGCGCGAAUAUUGAAACCUACUAGAUUUCAAGAAGCUAGAAGCGCUUAUCUAAUAACUUUUGGGAAGAGCAAGCACUUAUAAGAAUCUGAACUCCUCCUGGAGGCACUUCUCAGGACAAGAAGCUGCCCCAUUUCCAGCUAUAUUCAUUAGAAGAAAUCAUUUUGAUGAAUGUGGAAUUAUUUAUUGUCCUUCAAGACUGGACUAUGAAGAAGUUGCUGAAAGGUUAAAGGAAUGUGGACACAAAGCAACAUUUUUAUCACGGUUCCGUGGAUCCCGCUCAGCGUGCCUUCAUUCAGAAGCAAUUGAGUAAAAAAAUAAAAUUAAUACAACUUGCGUAACCCUGGCUUUUGGAAUGGGUAACAACAAAUCAGAUGUCCACUUUUUCAUUCAUUGUUUCUCCCAAAAUCAAUUAAAAGGCCUCGUCCAGAAUUUGUUGACAGGAGGCAGCAUUGUAUGUAUUACAGUCCAUACUCCAUUGAUAGGGACACUGAGCUCCAAUCAAUUACAAGAGUUUGUGAUAAUUCAAGACUACUUGGGAAGCCGCAACUGAUAGAAGAACAUGAGCUGGCAUUUUUAAAGAGGGAGAAAGAAGAGAUGGAAGCUCAAAAGAAACAGGCAGAGGCAUUUCAGUUAUCUCAACAGAUGCAGUUUUUGUAUAGUACAGAAAUUGUUAUGGGCCCUCAAGAUGAGGAAAGUACUGCAUAUCAUCACCAAUAUCCAACCGAGUCUUUCAGAUGCCUAUUGCGCAAAGAGAUGAUGAGUGAUCCAAUUGCAAUCGUCUGUGGGCAUAGCUGUGAGAGGAAGUUGAUUCAGGAAAUUUUCUGAAGAGAAGAGAAGACCUGCCCCAUAUGCAGAGAAAGGCUCAAGUCAUGGAGCUUACUCCAAAUCCUUUGCUUCGGAACUCUAUAGAAGAAUAGAAGCAAAGAGGCAUGAACUUAAGAUUCCAAGCUGCUCUUCUUGGAAUCACCCCCAAUGACCACUCUAUACAGAACAAAGCCUUGGAGGAGAUGCAAGUUCUAAUGGAAAGGCCACGCUAUACAGAAAAAGUUGCAAAUGAAGGCCUCAUCUCAAAAUUCGUGAUCUCUACUUCUGCAGAUCCAGAAGAGCCACUAGUGUUCAGAAAAGACCAUCCUAUAAAUUGAGAACAGUCUAAGAUACCAUGUAACAUAUUGUUUGAGAUGUUCAAGAAUCUUAGAUUAGCAAGGUCACAUAAUUCAUGUGGAAUCAGUCCAUGGAGGAGGUUCUCAGAAAUGUCUGGGCACUAAAGUUGUGAGAGAUGGCCAAAGUAUUCGGUUAUACUACCAGUGAGUCUAUUGCUAUGCUGAUCCAAGGAAGUCGGGUAAAGGCCAAUAAGAUUAAUCAGUUCUGAGAAAGAAGAAAUUGAACUAGACAGAUGAUUGAUGCUUAGAUCCAGAUCGGAAAAGCUUUGUAGCAUGCCAAUUGAAACGAGUGGUGGGAUCUAAGUUGAUUUAGAGAUUGAAGCAGAAUGGUCCAUCAAACACCCUUUUUUUUAAUAACUAGCAGAUUGCAAAGCUAUCAACAAGGGUCUUUUCAUGCAAGUAUCAACAGCUGAAUCAUUAGCACCUUCAUGCUUCCAAACUCUACUUCUAGCAUGGCCAUCUUGACGCACACCUCUUCCUCCAUUUUCUUCAUUGAGAAUUUACAGUUUUGAAUUGAUCUUUCAAACCCUUUUUCAACUGAAUAAAUUUAGCUUUGAAGAUUCAUCAAAUAACUUUAGUUUUCUUUAAAAGUUCCUUAGGAGCUUCUAGGUAUAAAAUCCCAACUUUAACAUGCUAUUCGCUGCCACUUUCCUUCAGGCAUGCAUUUUCACUAUUUUCUUUUAUUUUUCAUGGUUUUCUCGAUUUUCAACUAGCAUGAACAAACUUCAUAAUUCCAAGUCAUGGAAUUUAUGGAAUCAACUCACGCGAGAUUAAUUAGGGCUUUGGUGGGGGCCUGACAUUCAUGAUAUCCUCUUCCAUAUUGUUUGCUUGAUAUCUGAUUGAUUUUUGACUCCCCUGAUGAUAUACAUGAAUUUGUUUUAUAUCUAUUGUUGAGAUACCCUUGUUCCCAUAGACGUGUGGAUGCCCGCUAAUCAGGUACGCUCUCUUUACCUCCCAACUCUAAAAUUCUAUGAAUAUGUAUGUUAUCAUGAGCCAUGACCGUGUUUGAUGCCGUAUUUGAUUGUCUUGAUGCUUGCUUGAUCAUCUUUGAUAAAAUACAUGUAAUGUGUCAUAUUCCCAAACUAAUCUCUUAUGUUUUAUGAUAGCGCUUGAGAAGUUGUUCAGGUACGCGCUUCAACUCUCUCUUAUGGUUGGUUUUCUUAUUAGGCAUGCAAUAUUUGAAAUCACCUUAGUCUAUCUAGGUACUCUCAAUUAAUCAAUUAAUUGCCCCAUUUCCCUCAACUUAGUCAAUAGAGACCUCUUUGGGGCUUAGAGGGGUGCUACCUCCUAGAGGUACCUUCCCAAUAAGUAACCUAAUCCCCGUACCUAGACUCGGGUUUUUCAAAGAUAUGCUUUUUCCAAAACUAUGGAGUCACUUUUUAGGGUUUUUCUUUCUUGUUUUAUUUUCCCUUCAAAAUAAAAAUAAAAUAGGUGGCGACUCCAACUUUUCUAAAAUUAAUUUUUCACAAAUAAAAAGCGAGUCUCGCCGAUCGAGUGGGAGCGCACGUGAAAAAUGCGGGUCCACACCUGGUAUCAUGACAUUUAUCAGUUCUUGUCAUGUGGCGCUUACCCUGAGUCAACCACUGUCAAGGAUAGGAGAGCUUUGAGGUAGUUGGUCACUAGAUUUGUGAUUUGUGGAGAGUCCUUGUAUAGACGAUCGCCAGAUGGCCUAUUGUUGUUAUGUCUAAACCGUGCCUCUGCAGAUCGAGUAAUGAGAAAGGUUCAUGCAGGAGUUUGUGGCUUACACAUGGGAGGACACAUGUUAGCCUGAAAGAUUAUGAGGACAGGUUAUUUCUGGUUGACCAUGGAAGCAGAUUGUUGUCAGUUCGUUCAGAGGUGCCCAGAGUGCCAACUGCCCGAUGAUCUCAUUCACAUGCCACCUUCGGAGUUGCAUGCACUCACAUCCCCUUGGCCAUUUUCAAUGUGGGGUAUUGAUAUUGUUGGAAAGAUCUCGCCCAAGUCUUCCAGCGAGCACGAGUACAUCUUAGUAGCCAUUGAUUACUUCACCAAGUGGGUGGAAGCCGCUGGUGGCCAAAUUCAUCAGAUCAUAUAUCAUCUACCGAUACGGAGUCCCUCACGAGUUGAUCUCAGACAAAGGGGUGCAUUUCAGAGGUGAGGUGGAUACAUUGGUUCAGAAGUAUGGUGUUCAUCAUCAUAGAUUGUCUGCGUAUAGGCCAUAGACUAAUGGGGCAGUUGAGGCCGCCAAUAAGAAUAUUAAGCGGACUUUGAGGAAGAUGGUUGAGACUUCUCGGGAUUGGUCAGAGAAGCUCCCUUUUGCGCUAUGGGCUUAUCGCACUUCUUUUCGUACCUCUAUUGGAGCUACGCCUUACUCCUUGGUGUAUGGUAUGGAAGUAGUGCUACCUGUUGAGAUUGAGAUGAGAUCUUUGAGAGUAACAUUAGAGCAGUAGAUAUCCGAGACCAAGUGGGCUCAGUCUCGUUAUGAUCAGCUUAGCCUUCUAGAUGAGAGAAGAUUGAGGGCAGCAGAUCAUGUUUAGGCUUAUCAGAGGAAAAUGACCCGUGCAUUCAGGAAGAGGGUUAAGCCCAGGAAAUUUCAGAAAGGUGACCUCGUUUUGAAGGUCCUCAAAGGAUUGAUCAGCGACCCUAGAGACAAGUUUAGACCGAGCUGGAGCGGGCCGUAUGUUAUCUAAGAUUUGACCCGAGAGGGAGUUGCCUAGUUGAUAGAUCUAGACGAAAAUCGGUUUUCGGAGCCAAUCAAUGUGGAUCAGCUGAAGAAGUUUUACGUGUGAGAUCAUGGUCAGAGGAUGGGUGGCCAUCGUUUUGAGUAGCCAUAUUCCCUGUUGCACACCCACACAUUAAUAUAUCCCAUUGGUAGCCCGUUGAGCCUCACACAAUUCAUUAUGACCUAUUCGUUCACUUAGCCUUACAUACCUUUUCUCAUCUAGGUUGGGGGCCUCCUCUUGUGCGCUUUGCAUUUAUUGUCUAAAUCGGUGAGUAUUGUGAGUCCAUUGUGUCAUUGUUCGUUCGUUUCAUUUUUGGGUCAUUCAUGAUUUCUUCUUUCCUGCAUUGUCUAUCUUCACUUUGUCUAUCUUUGAGUUUUGUCUCUAUCCUUUCGAUUCUUUUCGUUUCUAUCUUCCCUUGUGUGAUGAUGACGUGCUCUCGUCCCGAAGCUGCAGGUCAAGCUUGUCUCACCCUUCAUUCCACCAUUAGGUUUUGAUCCAAGAGUUUUAGUUUGAGGGGACCAUUUGGGUUUGGGAUUUGGGGUACAUUUGUUAGAUCAUGUUGGUAUGGCCGUUGGCUUACUUUGUCGGUUGUUCCGCAAAAAAAAUAAAAAAUAAAAAAUAAAAAAAACAAAAUAAAACCAAAAACAAAAAAAAACUUGUGCUCAUUCGAUGUUCAUGUCAUUAAUAUUUGGGUUUUGCAUGGCUUGACGAAAGUAUCACGACUUGAUCAUCAGAGGUCAUUUUGGGUUUGAGAGACUUAUUCUUCUUUUGAGAGUCGGUAAGAACAUUGUACGACCCUUUUCUCCAUGGAUCUAGGAGACAUAUUGGGAGUGAGGUUUGGGUUUCCUUUACACUAGGUUCCUUGGAUCAUUAUCUAUAUCACCACUCCCAUCAUACAGUGACUUGCUUCGAUUUAGCGUUCAUGGGAUGAGUUGUUCGUCAUUAUCACACAUUACUACACGUUUAUCCCAACUUGUUUCUUCAUUUUCUUCUAUACCCAUUCAUCAUUCGUCUUAUCCCUUUUCGCUUUUUUUUACCCUCAUCGAUCAUCGUUUCGCUUCAUGAAUGACGUGUUCUUUGGUGCACAUCACCCGUCAUUGGAUAUUGUUCAUUUGGAUGUAGGGUUGAGUCACCUUACUCACAUGGUCCUCCGAUAUUUGACAUUGCGCACAAAGAGGCUUGGCAUUAUCUAUUAGGUAUUUGAUCCUUUGUUUCCCGUUGUUUCAUUCACCUUUUACCCCUAGCCUUCAUUACUGUCCGAGUCGUAAGACCACCCCGAGGCCAUGAGAUCUCGUGUUUGCUUCGAUGCAUUUCAUUCGGACAGGCUCCGUCUACUGAUUGAAGUAUGGGAUGCCGACAGUGCUCCAUUUCUUGAGGGAUAUCGAGGAUCGCAUACUGCUUUUCCAUUUCAUCUCUUCGCCUUUGGUCCAUGAUCAGAGACAGAUGAUGCAAAGAGUCAAGACUAUCCAGGACCCCCUCCGCUUGCUAGUUUGUUAUAUUCAUACUAGGGCAUACCCCUAUCCUUGCAUGAUGGCAUCAGUUCUUACACUGGGAAGCAGACAGCCCAUUUCACCAGGUGAUGCUUGGCAUCAGUGUUUGAGUAGGCCCCAGCAUUUAACUUGUUUUCUUCAUACAACAACUUGCUUCUAAGAGAUGGCCCGAGAUCAGAUUCAUGCGUGUUCGUCGACCCAGUAGAUGUGCACACUAGGGCAUACCCCAUACUUUGUCAUAUUCGCUUAUCCAGACGAUUGGGUUUCCAGUGAUAUAUUUCAGAGUUGUUUUUUUUUUUUUUCACCGAGGCACUUGCAUAUCAGAUGUACACACUGGGGCAUACCCCCUAUCUGUUUUUUUGUGGAUAUUGGAUGUUGCGGAAUAAAGUCGAUAUUGUUCUAUGAAUGAAUGUUGUGAUGUUUUCAUCUCUCUGACUUUGACCAUAUGUAUGGUUAUGGAAUUCUGACAUGGUAUGGAUAUCUUAGACUGGGGCAUAGCCCUUUCUUUUCACCUCUAGUCACGUUUCUGAGUUGUCCUACAAGGGCAUACUCCCUUUCUUUCCAUCUUGUUAGUGGUGUUCUAGUUUUCUCGCCUGUCAAUUAUUGGCAUUUUCUAGUCGUCACACUGAGGCAUACCCCUUCGUCUUUCAUGACUGAGAUGUUUGAUUUCUUGCUUAUUCGAAUCAUUUAGUGGCGUUCUCAUGUUCAUACUAGGGCAUACACCCUCUUUGUUUGUGUUGUUGUGCUUGGCUAGUUUUUUGGGUUUUCCGGUACUCGCUUGAAUUCGACCAUUUCCAGAUACUUACCCAGACCCUUUUUCGGUACUUGCCCAAAUACGGUCUAUUAUCCAGUAUUCACUCGGAUAUGAUCUAUUUUUUGGUACUUACCCGAAUACGAUCUAUUCUCCGGUACUCACUCGGAUACGAUCUCUUUUCGGUACUUGCCCAAAUAUGAUCUAUUCUCUGGUACUCACCAGGAUAUGAUCUCUUUUCUAGUACUCGCCCAUAUUCUACUUUUCUCGGUACUUGCCCGGAUUCUACCUUUCUUGAUACUCGCUCGGAUUCGACCCUUUCCCGGUACUUGCCCGGACCCUUUUUCAGUACUUGCCCGAAUACGAUCUAUUCUCCAGUACUCACCCGGAUACGAUAUCUUUUCUGGUACUCUCCCGGAUUCUAUCUUUCCUGAUACUCGCUCGGAUUCGACCCUUUCCCGGUACUCGCCCGAAUAUGAUCUAUUCUCCGGUACUCACCCGGAUACGAUCUCUUUUCCAGUACUCACCCGGAUAUGAUCUCUUUUCCGGUACUCGCCUAGAUACAAUCUCUUUUUUGAUACUCGCCCGAAUACGAUUUCCUCUCCGGCAUCAUGCCCAGAUUUCCGUGGGUUCUCCGAUACUUGCCCAAACUUGAUCCAUUUUCCUUUAGUCUAUUCUGGCACCGUGUCUAGAUCUCUUGAUCUUUUCAAGCAUCGCGUCUAGUUUCUUUUAGUCUUCUUUGGCAUCAUGCCCAAAUUCCUUUAGCUCUAUUCGGCAUCAUGCCCGGAUCCCUUAGUCAUUCCGGCGGCUCUUCGGCAUCGUGCCCAAAUCCCCUAUUUUCCGGCAUCGUGUCCGGUUUUCUUUUAUCUUUCCCGGCAUCACGCCCGAAUUUUCUUUGUUUUCUCUGGCAUCGCACCUGGAUCUUAUAUCUCUCCCGAAAACGCGUCCAGUUUUCUCCUAUCUUUUCUAGCACCUUGUCCAAAUUCCUUUAGCUUUCUCCGGUAGUGUGCCUGGGUCCUUUAGUCCUUCGGUCAUCAUGGCUCAUUCCCUUAGCUUCUUUAUGGUUGUGUGAGGAUAAAAUUGUUGGUCAUUUGAAUUCUUCACUAGAGUUCAUUUCACUCAUUCAUUGCUUAUACUUUGCAUUCGCGACAUUCAUUCACUCUACUAAAGAGGGGCAUAUUUGUAGACCCUCAAUUUUGUCCCUUGACACUUGCAUUUUAUCCUAUGGGUGUCACAUGCACCCAUGCUUUCAUAUGACCCUGCCAUGGCCCCCUUUUGGCCUUGAUUGGUUUCUGAGCCUUGUGUAGGUUCAUUUAUGGUCCAAUGUAGUGCCAGUGUGUAGUUCAUUUUGGAGUUCCAUCAUGGCUAAUUUCCCUAGUUAUUCACAUCAUGCUAUAGGGAAGGAAGUGAGGCCCCCUAAAAAUUUCAGUUUGGUUGGAAUUCAUAGGAGCAGGUCCGAAUUUGGAGCACUUGGGCUUGUUUUGAUCAUAUCUCCCUCAUCCAAACUCAGAAUUGUGCACCGUGUUUUUUAUGGACUCCUUAUUCUUCAAGGAACAUUCUGUCAAAAUUUCAAAUUUUUUCUCAAUCGGCUCGACCGGUUCCCAAAGUUUCAGUUUAGGUAGAAUUCAUUGAAGCAGGUUCGAAUUUAGAGCACUUAGGCUUGUUUUGAUCAUAUCUCCCUCAUCCGAACUCAGAAUCAUGCACCAUUUUUUUUAUGGACUCCUUAUUCUUCAAGGAACAUUCUAUCAAAAUUUAUAAUUUUUUCUCAACCGGCUCGACCGGUUCCCAAAGUUUUAGUUUAGGCAGAAUUGAUUGAAGCAUGUCCGAAUUCAGAACACUUAGGCUUGUUUUGAUCAUAUCUCCCUCAUCCGACCUCGGAAUCAUGCACCGUUUUUUUUAUGGACUUCUUAUUCAAGGAAAAUUAUGUCAAAUUUUCACAAAUUUUCUUAACCAUAUCGACUGGUUGGAAUCCGAUUCAACUGGUUCAUCGAGUCAGCUUGUUUGGAGCACUGAUUUUGGUGAUUUUGAAGCCCAAUUCCUACAUGGCUCCAGAUCAGUUUUUGGUUGUAUUUUGGAUCCAUUUUGGCCUUAUUUCGGAUUCCUUGCAGCCCACCAUAAAUCCAUAUGGAUCCUUGGUGGGGAAGCAAGUUUAAAGCUUAAGAUAGUCAGCUUGCAUGGAAAAUGAGGAGGGGAGUUAAUGGGGAAACGGAUUCCGAGACUGACUGGAGCUCUUUCCAGAGCUUGAAGAAGAGAAAAACGAAGAGGAUUUGGUGGCUGGAGGUCUGGGACUAUAAAAGAGGGAAAAAAUCAGAUUUGAAGGGACUUCUUCUUUUUCUGAGAGGGGGGACUCUGUGGAAUCAUAGGAGAGGAAUUUUAUAAGAGGUUUUUGGAGGGUUUCUUUUCAUGAGUGGUCUGAAGGAGUGAAGUGAAGGGGUCCUCAGACUUUUGGGGGUCUCGGAUACAUUUGGAGAAGCUUUGCAAGCUAAAGGAGCAUCUCUCAAAGGCUGGUUCUUUAGGUACGUUUCUGGUUCCUCACAAAACUCUAGCUUGCAUUCGGUUCCUCUUUCUGAUCGUUCCAGAAUGCUUAAUGCUUUAUUGAUUGGUGUAGACAAAAAGGGCCACAAAUUGUUAUGUUGAAAUUGGUUCUUUGUGUGUUUUCCAUGAUCUUCAUUCAGUUAAUGUCAUUGAUCUCGUUUGAUUUUGUUCAUGUUAAAAAUCUAUUUUGAAUCAUUCUCCCGUUUUAAUGUCCAGACCUAUUUUAUAAACGCGUUGCCUUGUUUUGACCGGUUCUUCCUCAUUCAGGCUUGGAAAUGAGUGUCGUUACUUUUUUUGGAUUAUUUAUUCUUUUUGAAAUCUACUGUUAAAAUUUCAGAAAUUUUCUCAACCGGUUGUAUUGGUUGGGAACCGGUUCAACAAGUCCUACAUGUCCAACCUUGUUUUAUAAGCAUGUUGCCUUGUUUUGAUCGGUUCUCCCUAAUCUGGGCUCGGAAUUGAGUGUUGUUGCUUUUUUUGGAUUCUUUAUUCUUUGAGGAAUCUAAUGUUAAAAUUUCAGAAUUUUCUCAACCAGUUGAACGGUUUGGGAACCAGUUCAACAGGUGGCUUUGUGGCAGCCUCGGUUUUGAAGCAUUUUGCAUUGUUUCGGCCGGUUCUCCCUCAUUCGGGCUCGGAAUUGAGCACCAUUUUUUUUUUUUGGAUUCCUUAUUCUCUGAGGAAUAUUCUAGUAAAAUUUCAGAUUUUUUCUCAACCGGUUGAGUCAGUUGGGAACCGAUUCAACCGGUUCUUCUAGGUAGCUCCAAUUUCAGCGUGUUUUGACGCCCAUUUUUGUUGUGGCUUAGGCCCUUAGGCUCCAAGGCACUUGUAGGCCACCUUUAGGGUUUGAAUCCAGAUUUUAUUUGAAUUAAUAUGAACCCACCUAUGAUUUGAGGGUAUUAUUGGCUAGGAAGGUCGGGGGGCUUAUUGUGAAUGUUUGGCUUAGGCACAUUUUGAUGUUUGAUUAAAAAUGCUUGUGUCUAGUGAUUUACCCCUGUUUGCAGCGCUUGGUUGGGGACCUGAGGUACGUACUUGACUUGUUGGGAAUUGGAUUCAUUUGCAUGCGUGGGGCUUGGAUAUGUUUGCUCGUUGUGUGUUUAUAUUGCUUGACUAACCUCUUAUGUAGCGCUUGGCUAAGGACCUCAGGUACAUACCUUUUAGCUUUGAUUUGUGGAGACUAAGUGCACGCUAGAUACUGAGUAGGUUCAUGUGAUCUAUGUCAUUUGUUUAGCUUGAUUGAUCGAUUGAUCUUUGACCCAUAUGCUCCUAUGUACCCAAUUCAUUAGUAGAGACCGAGUUUCGGGCCUAGAGGGGUGCUGCCUCGCAUGAGGUACCUUCUCAAUAGGUAACCUAAUCCCCAGGCCCAGAAUCUAGUUUUUGCAAACUGCUUUUUCCAUACUGGAGUCAUUAAGGGUUUUUGUUCUUGAUUUUCCCCUUAUAAAAUAAAAAUAAAAAGUAAGUAGCGACUCUAAACAAAACCAUUCCUCACUGAGGACGGAUUUUCCAAAACCCGAAAACACACUUACUUUCUUAUUCUUUUAAAAAGCGAGUCGUGCUGACCCGUGGACCGGGUGAGGGUCCACACUAAGCCUCUUGAGUUGUUGCAUAUGGAUUUAUUUGGUUCCUCUAGGACACCAAGUCUUGGAAGAAAAUCUUAUGCAUAUGUUAUUAUGGAUGACUUCUCUAGAUAUACAUGGGUCUUGUUUUUAAGUCCAAAGAAUGAAGCCUUUUAUGAGUUUUCAAAUUUUUGCAAUAAGGUUCAAAAUGAAAAAGGUUUUACAAUUACUUGUAUAAGAAGUGAUCAUGAGAGAGAAUUUGAAAAUAUUGAUUUUGAAGAAUAUUGCAAUGAGCAUGGAAUUAACCACAAUUUUUCAGCUCUUAGAACUCCCCAACAAAAUGGGGUAGUUGAAAGGAAAAAUAGAAUUAUUCAAGAAAUGGCUAGAACCAUGCUAAAUGAAAACAAUUUACCAAAAUAUUUUUGGGCCGAAGCGGUUAACACUUCUUAUUAUGUUUUCAAUAGAAUAUUAUUGAGGCCCAUUCUUAAGAAGACUCCUUAUAAGCUUUGGAAAAACAAGAAACUCGACAGUAGCUAUUUCAAAGUCUUUGGGUGUAAACUUUUUAUAUUAAACACCAAAGACAAUCUUGGAAAAUUUGAUGCAAAAUCGAAUAUUGGAAUUUUCCUUGGUUACUCAACUUCAAGUAAAGCUUUUAGAGUUUUUAACAAAAGAACCAUGAUUGUAGAGGAGUCCAUCCAUGUUAUUUUUUAUGAAUCUAACCAUUCUCUCCAAGAAAGAGAGAGUUUUGAUGAUUAUUUAGGUUUGGAGACCUCCAUGAAAAAAUUGCAAAUUGAAGAUAGAAGGCAACAAGAAGAAAUUUGAGAGGAUCCCAAGAAAGAAGAAUCACCAUUGGCAUUACCCCCUCCUCACCAAGUGCAAGGUGAAUCAAGUGAAGACCUUCCUAAAGAUUGAAAGUUUAUCAUUAACCACUCACAAGAUCAAAUUAUAGGUAAUCCAUCUAGUGGUGUAACAACUAGAUCAUCUCUUAGAAAUAUUUGCAAUAAUCUUGUUUUUAUCUCUCAAAUUGAACCUAAAAACAUAAAUGAUGCUUUAGUUGAUGAAAAUUGGAUGAUUGCUACGCAAGAUGAGUUAAAUCAAUUUCAAAGAAGUGAAGUAUGAGAAUUAGUACCAAGACCUUCAAAUCAAAGUGUUAUUGGAACUAGAUGGGUCUUUAGAAAUAAAAUGGAUGAAAAUGGCAUAAUUGUUAGAAAUAAAGCAAGAUUGGUAGCCCAAGGUUUUAAUCAAGAAGAAAUGAUAGAUUAUGAAGAAACCUUUACCCCCAUAGCUAGGUUGGAAGCCAUUAGGAUGCUACUUGUCUUUGCAUGUUUUAAAAACUUUUCUUUAUAUCAAAUGGGUGUGAAAAGUUCUUUUUUAAAUGGCUUUAUAAAUGAAGAAGUAUAUGUUGAACAACCACCCGGUUUUCAAAGUUUUAACUUUCCUAAUCAUGUUUUUAAACUUAAAAAGGCACUCUAUGGUUUGAAACAAGCACUUAGAGCAUGGUAUGAAAGAUUGAGUAAAUUUCUUUUGAAAAAGGGUGUUAAAAUGGAAAAAAAUUGACACAACUCUUUUCAUAAAGACCAAAAAAUAUAUAUAUAUGCUCUUAGUUCAAAUAUAUAUUGAUGAUAUUAUUUUUGGAGCUACUAAUGUCUCUCUUUGUGAAGAAUUUUCUAAGUGCAUGCAUAGUGAGUUUGAAAUGAGCAUGAUGGGAGAACUCAACUUCUUCCUUGGACUUCAAAUAAAGCAACUAAAGGAAGGAACCUUCAUCAAUCAAGCAAAGUAUAUAAGAGAUCUUCUCAAAAGGUUCAACAUGGAAGAAGCCAAAAUAAUGAAGACUCCAAUGAGCUCAUCGAUCAAGCUUGAUAAGGAUGAGAAAGGUAAAUCCAUUAACUCAACUAUGUAUAGAGGCAUGAUAGGUUCUUUGUUAUAUUUGACCGCUAGUAGACCCAACAUUAUGUAUAGUGUAUGCUUGUGUGCUAGAUUUCAAUCUUGUCCUAAAGAAUCUCACUUAAGUGUCUUAAAACAAAUUCUUAGAUAUUUGAAAGGGACAAUGGACAUAGGCUUAUGGUAUCCUAAGAGUGAUAACUUUGAAUUAAUUGGAUUUUUGGAUGUCGAUUUUACCAAUUGUAGGGUUGAAAGAAAAAACACUAGUGGCACUUGUCAUUUCCUAGGACACUCACUUGUUUCAUGGCAUAGUAAGAAUCAAAAUUCGGUAGCUUUGUCAACGGUUGAAGCUGAAUACAUAGUAGCCGGUUUAUGUUGUGCACAAAUUCUUUGGAUGAAACAAACACUUGGUGAUUUUGAUUUAUCUUUUGAGCAUGUUCCUAUUAAAUGUGAUAAUACUAGUGCCAUACAUAUAUCAAAAAAUCUCGUGCAAUACUUUAGGACUAAGCAUAUAGAGAUUAGACAUCAAUUUCUUAGAGACCAUGCACAAAAGAGUGACAUAGGACUUGAAUUUGUAAGCACAAAAAAUCAACUUGCCGAUAUCUUUACAAAACCUCUAAGUGAAGAACAAUUUGUUGACAUUAGAAGACAACUAGGAGUGAUUUAUUUAUGAUCUAAUGAUUGCUUCUUGAUGAAUAUAUCUUCUGAUUGCAUGAAUUUCAUGUCAUAUGCAUCAUAUAGACACAUACUUAGAUAAAUGGUCAAAUUUUGACCAAAAAUCAAAAUUCUCUUGGCAUUGGGCAUAAAAAAUUGGGGAUUUCAACUAAAAAGGGCAGAGGGAGGAGGGGAUCAGAAAACGAGAAAAUGCACAAAAUGUGAAAAAUCAAUCUCGUUAACCACGUUGACCAGGUUGUCGACCAAACCAGGACCAAUCAACCAAUUCAUCGGGACUAGGGAUUUAAAAAGACUCCCACGCAUCAUUUUCUCCAUUGUUCUCCUCCAUUUCUUUAGGGUUUUUCACAUUUCGGCUUCCAGAGAUCAGUUUAAGCAAGGUUUAGACCGAUUGAAGGCUUUGGAUUGGAUUUUUAGGAGGAUUGGAGUGUAGGGUUUCGGUUUUGGACUACACUUUCUUCCUCCUACGCGCCAUAACCAGGGUUUUCUUCAUUCUUGCGCACUUAGGGUUUCAGUUAUGAGUGCUUCUCUCUCUACCAGCCUCGUCUCCUUUGUUUCUAUCUUGCUCAUGGCUCCUAGGAGAGAGUUGGCUACCUCUAUGGCACAAGACAAGCGCCCAGCUAAGCCAUUUCAGCCCCCUCUAUCAGAGGCUCGUCGAUAGGCAAGGUUUGACACCUCCCUAUUCAGCUCCAUGGAAGACUACCAGCGGUACAAGCAAAAGUUUGCUUAGAGGAAAGUAGUUCCAGGGAAAAGUAUCAAUUUCUCCCAACUCCAGCAUUUCGGAUUUGAGGGAUUGUUUGGUAUGAUGGGUUGGUUGCCUAUGGUGACGAUUUUGGAGCUGAUUUUUUCGAUAUUGGUGUGAGCCUUCUAUUUGAGGGCAACAUAUGGCAUUGGUGGCCCAAUUAUUUCCACCGUUAGAGGAGUCAAGAUUCGGCUGGACUUGGAAAGCAUCUGCCACAUUUUCAAUAUUGCUCUAAUUGGACUUAGGGUGUACGAGUCUAAGAUUUGGCCACUAUGUUGGGUUUUAAGCCUAGAGAGGCCAUUCAGAGAAUGUGCGGACUUGCAGACGCCUAGAGGAUGGGCAAACCAUCAGCCCACAACUUGACCGUGAUCAACAGAAUACUACACCACAUGAUUUGCUCUAUCUUGCUACCACGAGGCGAACACAAAGACGAGGUCUCCUAUUAUGAAGAAUUCCUCAUGGACUCUAUUCUAAUGGGGAGACAAAUUCACUUGGAAUAUUUGAUGAUGAUGCACAUGAUCUCAUGUUGCGAGAGCAUGACCCGUGUACUCCCCUAUGGUUGUUUCCUCACUAGAGUGUUCAAGGAUGUCGGGGUUGAUUUGAGUAGAGAGACAGAUUUUGAGGCCCCCAACAUAUAUGAUACAUAUGAUGAGUAGUCUUUGGGGCGAGUGAAAUUUGAGAAGGCCCCCGAUGGUUCUUGGAUUAGGAGAGUAAAGAGACCACCAGCAUAGGCCUGGGAAUAAGGACAGGUACAUCCUGGUGUAAAAGAGGAGGACAAGAUACAAGAGAUAAAAGGUAGAAUAGACCCUCAGAGAGGCUUUGAGCUGAAAGAUCUCGAGCUUGACAUUCCUCCACUCCAGUCAGAGGUUGUUUAGUUUGAGGCCAUAUUUUCUGAGUCGAUAAUGUUUGAGCUGACUUACACAGCGGGACCAUCUUCUCAGCCAUCAUUCACUAAGCCUCCUCACACAGAGAUACCACCUCAUUAGGCAUCUCACACUCUUAAUCAUGUGCCUUGGAUGGAUCUAUCUGCUCAAAUUAGCUCUCUCAGCACUCGUAUGAAGGAGCUCGCAGUAGUUAGUGAUACUUGAUUCUACUCCAUGGAGGAUCCAUUGAAUCGAUAUCAGACUGGUUUCACUUCUCAGUUUGAGCAUUUUCAGCAAAGAUUUGAGCGUAUGGAGGAUCACAUGGAUCAACAGCAGGCUGCGUUUGAGCAUCUCCAGCGAAGGAUUGAGCGUAUUGAGAGUCUCCAAAAGAGUUAGCAUGAGGAGAUAAUGGCUUACCUAUGCUCCGUGUUUCCACUUCCACUUCCUCAGCCUUGAUUUCAUAGAGACCUCCUUCGUUUCUUUUUUAUAUUGCCAAAAAGAUGAGAGAUAUUUAAGAUCUAGGAGACUUACAUGCAUAUCAUUGUCAUAUCUUUUGUUUGGAUCAUAUAUAUGAUAGGCUUAUAUGUUUCAUGUACAUUUGACUUAUAUAUGAUAUGCUAUAUGUUUCAUGACUUACACUGUUUCAUAUUGAAAAUUUACAUGUCUUGAUUAUCUUGGUUUUAACUUCAUAAAUUUUGAUUGAUUGAUCCAUGAUUGGUUUGAGGGGGAGAUUUUUCUUCUCCUAGAUAACCAAGGUUUAUCAUCAUAAAAAAAGGGAGAUUGUUAGCCCAAGGGUUCUCCUAAUCAGGUUUUGAUGAUAACAAACCAUGGUAAAUUUACUAAUUGGAUUAAAUUGUAAAGAAUCUCAAGUAUUAAUUUGAAAAUUCAUCAAAUGACCUAAUGGAUACAAGAUCAAGACGUCUGGAAGACCUUUAAUCAUAGAAAAUAAUUGUAAGAUGAAUGCAUGGGUGCACUUAGGUUUUACAUAUCAUUUCAUGCAUUUUUGGAAAACUCGAUUUAUUCUUUAAAGUUAUAAUUUCAUUAAAACCCGAGUUUUAUCAAAUGUACCUUCAGCAAAACAUUUCAAAAUUAGUAUAUUAAUUUACCUAAAGACCUUUCCUAAGUGUUAGAAAAGAAAAGAACAUAAAAAGAUAGGUUUUCGGUGCCCAAAGGUUGAACCGAUCGAGGCAUUGGGCCAACCGGCUCAACCGGCCAGGGUACCGGUCGAAGAGUGCUAAAAACACUCUCUCUCAUCCAGUAGUCUUCCCUUCCUGCUCGAGGUAUCCUUAUUCUCGGUUGACCUCUGAUCGAGGUCCGGUUGAAGCAACGGUAACUUGCUAAAGCACUAAAUGCUCCAACAGUUAGUGAACUAGUCAACCCACAGCUCGACCGAUUGUGGCUGCUUUUUGUUUUUCUUGGCUCUCGAGGUUAGAAACCUAUAAAUUGAGAGUUUCACUUCAUUUAUGACAUAGAGAACACUUGCAUUUAAUUGUCUACCCACUUGUUCUUGCCUUAAAAGCUCUCAUUUCUUUCUUGGUGCAUUAAAUCUUCACUUGCAUAUCUUUUAGUGCACCCUUGUGAGUCAUCCUAGCUUUGAUUUGUAUUUGAGCCAUUAUUGAGCUAGGUUGAUAGAAGAUCAUCCCUGUAAAUUUAGUGUUAGAGCCUUCAAGUGAGUUGAAUCUUGAAGAGAUUGUGUAAGAGCCCAUUAGAGUCGGAAUCCAAGUGUAAAAGAGAUUAGAAGCUUGGUUGAAGCUUCAAGUUAGUGGAAUCCUCACUCGGUUAGGAGAUUGAGGAGAGUGGACGUAGGCAAGGAAGUGUUGAACCACUAUAAAAUCUGAGUUUGAAUUCUCUAACUCUAUCUCUUUAUAUUUGCUUCUAUUGUGCUUGAAUUUGUUGUGUUGAAAAAGUUUUUGAAAAACCCAAUUCACUCCCCUCUUGGGUGUUUUUCUCAUUUAAGAUUAGCUUUUAUUUUCUCAAAUACUAUAAAAAAAAUUAAAGUAAAUUAUUUUUAAAAUUUUGUUAUCUUUUACAUUUACAAUUUAUAUUUUAAUAGAAAGAAGACUAAUAGUGCAUUUUAUUGGGGAUGAAAUAUUUUAGUCUCCAAUAUUGAGUUUUUACAACAAAACAAUUUCUUCUCUAAUAAAUUUCUUUAUUCCUCCGUCUAAUGGUAUUAAGACAAUAAUUUUGUCCCUCAUUGUGAGGUUUUUCCUCUCCAAAACUAUUUAACAACAAAAGUAUUUUUAUUGCCCAUUAUUUACCUUUUGGGACGACAUUAAGUUUUCAUCUCCUAAUAUAUUUUUUACCAUGAAAUAUUUUGUUGUUAAAAUUUAUGAUGUCGUCACAAAUAAUUUGGCCUCAUUUCACACUCAAUUAAAAUUUUAGACACAAAUUUUUGUAACAAAGUCAAAUUUUGUUUCCCAAAAUCAAAUUUAGAGACAAAAUUAUAUUCAUGUCCAAAAAAAUUGUGCCAAAAGGUAGAAUUUCUUGUAGUGCCUUUACUUAUUAGAUGAACGAUAAAAAAUUUUCCUUCUCAUUCUCUCUCUCUUUAACAUGUAAGCUAAAUAAAUAAAUAAACAAGAAUACAUUUCUUCAAAUACUUUUACCUUAAAUUUUACUCUAUAGAGAAUAAAAAUAGUCAAUGGUAAAAUCAAUCUCAACAUUUAUCUCUUUGUUCUUCUCUUUUUUAUUUCUUCAUCUAUCUCUCUAGGGGUUUUCUAUCAUCUCCAGAUUCUUCAAACUUAUAUAUAUUUAAAACUAAAACUCCCCAAACUUGGUUUAAAAUUUGUAACUCCCCAAUCGUGGUUUAAAAUUGUAACUUUUUUAUUUUUUUUAUUUUGUUUUUAAUAACGUAUCCUUAUCUUUAUCCUUAUUAUUAUUAUUAUUAUUCUAUGAACUAAAUUAGGAAUAUUAGACUAUCCCCUCUUUUAAAAAAAAAGUUUAGUCUUCUAAACCUAGCAUACUUGAAAUUAGAAAAAAAGAUGUGGAAACUUUUCCCUCAUCUCAUCUUCAAGUUCCCAAAUCACCUCUCGUUUGGAGUGAUUACUCCAUUGAACUUUAACUAAUUUGAUUGUUACAAGAAGAAACAUCUUAUCCAUCAUGUCAACAAUCUGAAUUGGAACUUCCUCAUAAGAUAGAGUUUAUGUGAUUACUACUCAAAAAGUGCUCUUUUAUAGCUUGAAAUUAACUAUUUUAAACACUUUUGAGUAGUAGUUAAUACUUUUUAACUCAAUUGGCACAUUAAGGAACCUAGCAAGGGUUACUAAUCAGUUUUUGGCUAGUUUUGGUGUUUUUGGUAGCUUUUUUAUCAUUGAAACAAGCAAAGAAUGAGGGCGAAUUUUGUGCAAUACAUGGCAAUGCAAGUCGAAGCUCAAAUACAUGAAGAAUCUGAGUUUUGGAGCACUUCAUAGCCCUUUGCCAAGCUUGGCAAUAGGUUGCCAAGCCAAUCAGAGAUGUAAGGAAGAAAACCACAGGAAAAAAUCCAACAUGUAGCAAUUUUGAAUGUCUAUGCGAAAGAGAAGGAACAACUUCAGGACUGAGUGAAGGACAAUUUUGCACACUAUUCAAAAUUUCACACACCCUGCGAAACCACAAGAUGCAACAAAACUGAAUUUCGCACACCAUGCGAAAUUUCGCAUGGUUUGUGAAAUCCUCCUGUGCACCAACUCUGUUAGAUUUUUAUCUCUAGAUUUUGUGUAAAUUACUAUUUUCUCCUAGUAAUCAACCAAUGAUAGGAUUUCUUGGUUAGGAACUAUAAAGGGGGGUUGGAAAGACCUCUCCAUAGAAUAUCUUUUUAUAUAAUCUUUUGGACAUAUGACACUUGUAAUUCCCAUUGGAAGAAAUAAAUAGAGCCCUUACUCUGCCCUUCCUUUUCAUUUUCUUUUCAUUUUUCUUUCUAGCCAAACGACCUCUGAGGAUGAUUUCUCAGGGGAUGAGUGGCUAAGUUUUACGUUUCUUGGAGUGAUGGAAACUAGGUGAAGAAUCCAGAUGCAAAGGUGGGAGUUUUCCUUGCUUUAAAUGAAGGUAGUUGUUAACCAUUAAUGGUUUUUAUUUCAAGGUUUAGCUUUAAAUCCCUUAUGAUUACUACCCAAAGAGUGCUAUUUUAUACCUUUAAUUCAAUAUCUUUUAAGCACUUUUGUGUAGUAAUUCUCCAUCUUUAUUCCAAUUGGCAUGUUAAGGACCUAGCAAUGACUUCUAAUCAUAUUUGUGGCUAGUUUUAGUGUUUUGAUAGCCUUUUGGAUCAUUAAGACAAGCUAAGCAAAAGAAAGAAGCAAAGAGAAGCAAAGUGAAAAAAUCAGAGGACAGCAGCUGUAGUCUUCUUUCGCACUUUUGGAGCACUUACCGAAGUCCAUUUUCUACAUGCUAUAUACCAUUUCAAAGCUCAGGAAGUCAAGAAUCCAACGCUUCAAACUGUGUACGAUUUCAAGCUGAAAUGAGGAAGAUAUGGCCUUCGGAAGCCAACCGCUCCAGGUUGUGCGAAAAUUUCGCACGACACCUUGUGUUGUGCGAAAUUCGCACAACACCUUCAAAAUUCGCACAACCCAUGCGUGGUGCGAAUUUUGCUCUGUUUUUGCCGAAUCCACUUUAGAUAUUUUCUUAUGUAUUUUUUGAUGUAAUUUCCUUUCUUAUCCUUGUAACUAACCAAUCACAAGCUUUUGCUUUUGUAAAGACUAUAUAAGGGGUGGAAGUCACCUCUUGAAAAAAUACAUGUUACGUUUGACACUUAGAAAAUUUACAGAGCUCUCUCGUUUCUCUUUUCUCUUUGCUAUUUUAUUUUUCUUGGAAGCCAAAUAAUCUCUGAGGAUGUUUUCCCGGAGGAUGGGAGGCUAAACUUUUGGUUUCUUGGAGUAAAGGAAGCUAGGUGAAAAGUCCAGAUGCAAAGGUGGAAAGCUUCCGUGCAUUAAAUUCAGGUAGUUGGAGUUCAUAAAUGGCUUCUAAAUCCAAAGUUUUGCUUUAAAUCCCUUAGAAUCACUAUGAAUGGCCAAUACAUAGUAAGCUUCAGGUCUCUAUGGAUGCUUAUUGCUAGAUCCAUAUCAGUCCAUUAGUUAUCAUGUACGAGCCAUUGGAAAGUGGUUCAAGGUGAAGACCCUUAGUGUCUUAAGCCAUUAAUGGACCUUGACUACCAUUUCUAUUGACUUUUUAUGGAUUAAAUCUUCAUUGUCAAACCUAUACCGGUUCGGGAAAUAACUAUAGGUUAAAUCCCCAAUGCGAGGAGAAAAAUCCGGAAUUUUCCACUUUGCAUUCUGAAAUUGAUCCUAGCAACCCUUAGCUCCGGGAGACUUUCUUUAUUCCAUUUUCACUUAGUUUAUGUUAGUUUAGUUUCAAACACUUUCAAAACAAAUUUUAUUUUCUUUUUAACUUUAAGUUUUUGAUAAAGGAAAUCAUUAAAUUCAAUUUCUAAUCUUGAGUAUAUCACUGGUAGAAUGAAAACCCAUCCCAGAGUUCGACCCUAGAGCCACUAUACUAUAGUAGCUUUGCUACGCUAGUAUGAGGUCAUAGGUUUUAUAAAUGUUUUUUAUUAAAUGACCCAACUGGAGUUAUACGCAAAUCACCUUAGAAUCACCUUGAAUGGCCAAUACUUGGUAAGCUUUCCAGAUUCUAUGGAUGCUUAUUACUAGAUCCAUGGACGUCCAUUAGUUAUCAAGUAUGAGCCAUUGGAAGGUGGUUCAAUGUGAGAAUCACCUUGAAUGGCCAAUACUUGGUAAGCUUUCCGGAUUCUAUGGAUGCUUAUUGUUAGAUCCAUGAAUGUUUAUUAGUUAUCAAGUACGAGCCAUUGGAAGGUGGUUCAAGGUGAAGGUCUUUAGUGUUUGAAGCCAUUAAUGGGAAGCAACUACCAUUUUUCAUGAACCCUUUGGAUCAAAUCUUAAUUGCUAAAUACAAAACCGGUUCGGGAGAUAACCAUCCUUUAUGUUAUUGUCCCCUAUGUGAGGAGAAGAUCUGGAAUCUCCCCCUUUGCCUAAAGAACCCAAUCCUAGUGACCUAAAGCUCCAAGAGACAUCUCUUUGUAGUUAACUUCAAUUGCUACUUUUGCUUAACUUAAAAUCAACCUUUUCAACCACAAUUCCAUUUUCUUUAAAAGCUAAUUUUCAUAAUGAAAAACACCAUUUCAUUACCUUUACUAAAGUCACUUGUACGAAGAAAACUCAUCCCUGUGGACGAUCCUAGAGCCACUAUACUAUAGUAGCCAUGCUACCCUAGUGUAAGGUGAUUUAGGUUUUAUAAAUUUUGUUGAUAACACCCGUCUGGCGAAAGAAUCAAAUGGCGUUGUUGCCGGGGAUGGUGCCAAAGUACAUUGACAUUACUUUUGGUGAACACUUGUGAUCUUCAUCACGAGUUUGGUGAUUUUUCUUUUACUAAUUCUUUUUCUUUGUCUCUAUUUUAGCUUAUCUUUUAUUUAGUUUUUAGCUAACCUUAACCUCUUUUUAAAAUUGUAUUUCUUUUGUUUUCUUUGUUUUUGUUUCAAUGAUCUCUAGUUGUGCAUGCCCUAUUGGAUAAGAGAUAUUGAGGGAAGACUUGUGAAGAUUGAAACUCCUCAAGAAACUGAGUUGGAAGUGUGCUUGAACAUCAUGGAUGUUCCACCUGAAGACCAGAAUAGCCAACAUGGUCAAGAGGAUAAUUUCAAUGCAUACCGAUCCAUGAGGGACCGCAUGCAUCUACCUCGUAUGAGUGCACCUUCAUGCAUAGUGCAUCCUAUUGAGCAACUAGUAAUCUGACCUCACAUUAUGCCACUCCUACCUACUUUCCAUGGGAUGGAAAGUGAGAAUCCCUACUCGCAUAUUAAGGAAUUCGAGGAGGUUUGUAAUACAUUCCAAGAAGGAGGAGCUUCAAUUGACUUGAUGAGGCUCAAGCUAUUUCCUUUCACCUUGAAGGAUAAGGCCAAGAUUUGGCUCAAAUCUCUAAGGCCAAGGAGUAUCCGAACUUGGACUGAUUUGCAAGCCGAGUUUCUCAAGAAGUUCUGCCCUACUCAUAGGAUCAAUGGUCUGAAAAGGAAAAUUUCUAACUUCUCAGCUAAAGAGAAUGAGAAAUUCUAUGAGUGUUGGGAGAGGUACAUGGAAGCUAUUAAUGCUUGUCCUCACCAUGGCUUUGACACAUGGCUCUUAGUGAGCUAUUUUUAUGAUGGUAUGUCUUCUUCAAUGAAGCAACUUCUAGAAACUAUGUGUGGAGGAGACUUCAUGACUAAGAAUCUAGAGGAAGCCAUGGACUUUUUGAUUUAUGUGGCUGAAGUUUCAAGAGGAUGGGAUGAACCAAACGUUAGAGAGGUGGGAAGAAUGAAGUCUCAACCUAAUGCUAAGGGUGGGAUGUAUGUUUUGAAUGAAGACAUUGACAUGAAGGCAAAGGUUGUAGCUAUGGCAAAGAGAUUGGAAGAGCUAGAAAUGAAGAAGGCACAAGAAGUGCAAGCCAUUUCUGAGACAUCAGUGCAAGCUAUGCCUUGUUCCAUUUGUCAAUCUUAUGAGCACUUGGUGGAGGAAUGUCCUACCAUUCUAGCAUUGAGAGAGAUGUUUGGUGAUCAAACAAAUGUUAUUGUUCAAUUCAAGCCCAAUAACAAUGCUUCAUAUGGUAACACCUACAAUUCAAAUUGGAGGAACCAUCCAAAUUUAUCUUGGAAACCAAAGCCACCUUAGUACACAUAACCUGCUCAAACACCUCAGCAAGCCUAGAAUCUUGAACAAGCUAUUGUGAACCUUAGCAUGGUUGUGGGAGACUUUGUGGGAGAUCAGAAGUCCAUCAAUGCUCAAUUGAAUCAGAGAAUUGAUAGUGUGGAGAGUACAUUGAACAAAAUGAUGGAUAGGAUGCAAAAUGAUUUGUCUCAGAAGAUAGACAAUGUCUAAUACGCAAUCUCAAGGCUUACCAACCUCAACAUAGUAGGAAAGUUUCCUUUUCAACCUCAUCAAAAUCCCAUGGGUAUCCAUGAAGUGGAGGCUCAAGAGGGAGAAUCUUCAAAGGUGAGGGAAGUUAAAGCAGUUAUCACCUUGAAGAGUAGUAAAGAGGUUGAUCAGCUCACAUCCAAGCCAAAGCAUGAUGAAGAGAGUGUAGCAGAAAAAAAAAAGUGAGUAAAUUAAAGGAAAGAAAAAAGGGAAAAGUACAAAGAAAGAUGACCAUGAUUCUAGUGUGAAUAAAGAACCCAAGAGGAUAGUCAUCAAGGAAGAUAUGAUGAAGAAACACAUGUCUCCACCUUUCCCUCAAGCUUUGCAUGGUAAAAAGGGAACCAAUAAUACAUCAUAAAUUUUUGAAGUGUUGAGGCAAGUGAAGGUCAAUAUCCCUUUUCUAGACAUGAUCAAACAAGUGUUGACAUAUGCAAAAUUCUUGAAGGACUUGUGCACUGUAAAGAGAGGGUUGAAUGUGAACAAGAAAGCCUUCUUGAUUGACCAAGUGAGUGUCAUCAUAUAGUGCAAGUCUCCAGUAAAGGACAAAGAUUUGGGCUACCCUACCAUCUCAGUGUGUAUUGGAGGGACUUGUAUGGAGAAAGCUUUGUUGGACUUGGGAGCAAGUGUGAAUUUGCUACCCUACUCUGUCUACAAGCAGUUGGGACUUGAAGAGUUAAAGCCAACAUCCAUCACUCUAUCUCUUCCAGAUAGAUCGGUGAAGAUUCCAAGAGGGAUGAUCAAAGAUGUCUUGGUUCAAGUUGACAAAUUCUCUUAUCCAGUAGAUUUUUUUGUUCUUGAUACGGAUCCGGUUGUCAAAUGAACUAAUUAUGUUCCUAUCAUACUUGGAAGACCAUUCCUAGCUACAUCAAAUGCAAUCAUCAAUUGAAGGAAUAGAGUCAUGCAACUCACAUUUGGCAACAUGACAUUAGAGCUCAACAUCUUCCAUUUGUGCAAUAAGCAUAUCCAUCCGAAAGAAGAAGGAGGUCCAAAGGAAGUGUGCAUGAUUGACACUUUAGUGGAAGAACAUUGUGAUCAGAGAAUGCAGGAGGAUUUGAUUGAGAGUCUUGGGGAUCUUGAUGAAGGGUUACCUGAACCCUCAUAUUUGCUUGCUACCUUGUCUCCUUAGAGGAGGAGAUAAGAAAUUCUACCCUUAUUCAAUGAGGAGGAGACAUAAAGAGCUGCUAAGGAGGAGCCCCCAAAGCUUAUUCUUAAGCCACUACCCACAGAGUUGAAGUAUGCAUACUUGGAAGAAGACAAGCAAUGCCCUGUUGUUAUAUCUUCAACUCUUACCAUUCAUCAAGAGGAUUGUCUACUUGAAGUCCUUAGAAGAUGCAAGAAGGCUAUAGGGUGGCAAAUUUCUUAUUUGAAAGGGAUUGGCCCUUUAGUAUGCACCUAUCAUAUUCACAUGAAGGAUGAAGCUAAGCCAGUUCGUUAACCCCAGAGAAUGUUGAACCCUAGAGAAUGUUGAACCCUCACAUGCAAGAGGCGAUGCGAGUUGAAGUUUUUAAGCUACUUUAGGCCGGUAUUAUCUACCCCAUAUCAGAUAGCCCAUGGGUGAGUCCUACUCAAGUUGUGCCAAAGAAGUUUGGGAUCACGGUGGUGCAAAAUGAUAAGGGAGAAGAUGUCUCUACACGCCCCACUACAGGUUGGAGGGUGUGUAUCGAUUACAGGAGAUUGAAUGCAGUGACAAGGAAUGACCAUUUCCCAUUGCCCUUUAUUGAUUAGGUGCUUGAGAGGGUCUCUGGGCAUCCUUUUUAUUGUUUCUUGGAUGGAUACUCUAGGUAUUUUCAGAUAGAAAUUGAUGUUGAAGACCAAGAGAAGACCACUUUCACGUGCCCAUUUGGCACCUAUGCAUACAGGAUAAUGCCUUUUGGCUUAUGCAAUGCACCAUAACUUUCCAAAGAUGCAUGUUAAGCAUUUUCGGUGAUAUGGUGGAGCGUAUUAUGGAAGUCUUUAUGGAUGAUAUCACCAUAUAUGGAAGUGCAUUUGAUGAAUGCAUAGUCAACUUAGAAGUUGUUCUGAACCGAUGCAUUGAGAAAGACUUAGUGUUUAACUGGGAGAAGUGUCAUUUCAUGGUACAACAAGGGAUUGUCCUUAGGCACAUUAUCUCCAAGCAAGACAUUGAAGUUGACAAAGCAAAAGUUGAACUCAUUGUCAAGUUGCCAUUCCCAACAAAUGUCAAAGGAGUAAGGCAAUUCCUUGGCCAUGUCAGGUUCUAUAGGAGGUUUAUCAAGGAUUUCUUUAAGCUUGCAAGGCCUCUUUGUGAACUAUUGGUGAAGGAUGCUAAAUUCAUAUGGGAUGAUAGAUGCCAAAGGAGUUUUGAAGAAGUAAAGCUAUUUCUGACAACCGCAUCAAUAAUGAGGGCUCCCAACUAGCAACUGCACUUUGAGGUAAUGUGUGAUGCCAGUGACUUUUCCAUAGGAGCUGUUCUUGGGUAAAGAGAAGAUGGAAAACCCUAUGUGAUCUACUACGCGAGCAAGACAUUGAAUGAGGCACAAAGAAAAUACACAACCACCGAGAAAGAAUUGUUAGUUGUAGUUUUUGCCUUGGAUAAGUUUCGUGCUUACUUGGUGGGGUCCUUCAUUGUGGUUUUCACUGAUCACUCUACAUUGAAGUAUCUAUUGACUAAGCAAGAUGCUAAAGCAAGGCUGAUUAGAUGGAUCCUCUUGCUUCAAGAGUUCAAUGUUCAUAUCAAAGACAAGAAAGGAGUGGAGAAUGUGGUAGUAGACCAUCUUUCAAGGCUAGCUAUCGCUCAUAAUUCCCAUGGUUUGCCCAUCAAUGAUGAUUUUCCAGAGGAGUCUCUCAUGUUGGUGGAAGUUGCUCCUUGGUAUGCUCACAUUGCUAACUACCUAGUCACAGGAGAAGUUCCAAGUGAGUGGAAAGCACAAGAUAAGAAGUAAUUCUUUGCAAAAAUUCAUGCCUACUAUUGGGAAGAGUCAUUUCUAUUCAAGUAUUGUGCAGAUUAGAUAAUAAGGAAGUGCGUUCCUAAAGAAGAGCAACAGGGGAUCCUCAAUCAUUGCCAUGAAAAUGCAUGUGGAGGCCACUUUGCUUCUCAGAAGACAACCAUGAAGGUGUUGCAAUCGGGUUUCUGUUGGCCAUCACUUUUCAAAGAUGCCCACACCAUAUGCAAGAGUUGUGAUCGAUGCCAGAGGGUUGGGAAGUUGACACGCAGGAACAUGAUGCCUUUGAACCCCAUUUUGAUAGUUGAUCUUUUUUAUGUUUGGGGCAUUGACUUCAUGGGACCAUUCUCUAUGUCUUUUGGCUACUCUUACAUCUUGGUAGAAGUAGAUUAUGUUUCUAAGUGGGUUGAGGCAGUCUCAUGCAAGCACAAUGACCAUAGAGUGGUUCUCAAGUUUCUCAAGGAGAACAACUUCUCAAGCUUUGGGGUGCCCAAAGCCAUAAUUAGUGAUGGGGGUACUCAUUUUUGCAACAAGCCUUUUGAAACUCUCUUAGCCAAGUAUGGGGUGAAGCAUAAGGUAGUUACACCUUACCACCCUCAAACUAGUGGGCAAGUUAAGUCAGCAAACCGGGAAAUUAAAAACAUAUUGAUGAAGGUGGUGAACACAAAUAGAAAAGAUUGGUCUACCUAGCUCCUUGAUUCACUAUGGGCAUAUAGAACAGCUUACAAGACCAUUCUUGGGAUGUAUCCUUAUUGCCUAGUCUUGGCAAAGCAUGCCAUCUCCUUGUGAAAUUGGAAUACAAGGCUUGGUGGGCAAUCAAGAAGUUCAACAUGGAUUUGAGUAGAGUUGGGAUGAAGAGGUUCUUAGACCUCAAUGAGUUGGAGGAACUGAGAAAUGAUGCCUACAUCAAUUCAAAAAUUGCAAAAGAGAGAUUCCUGCAAAGAUUUUUAAAAUGGACAAAGAGUCUUGCUAUAUGACUCUAAGCUCCACAUCUUUCCAGGCAAGCUAAAAUCAAGGUGGAUAGGUCCUUUUAGCAUUCACCAAGUGCAUUCAAAUGGAGUAGUGGAACUACUCAACUCCAACAACACUAGUAGCUUCAAAGUGAAUGGCAACUGUCUCAAGCCCUUUGUGGAGCCUUUUUCUCAUGACAAUGAGGAAUUCAUCCUCCUUGAUUCACAUUAAGCUUGACAAGACCAGUUUUUGGAUGGACUUAGUCUUUCUAAAGACUAUCAAGUCCAUAUCUUUUUGUUUUAUUUUUUAUUUGAGAGUUUUCUUGUAUUGUAACUUGUUUUGAUUUUGAUUUCUCACUUUAAUUUCAUUUUGGUUUGAUUUAACUUAAGUUUUUGAUGAUCAAUUUCAGGGGAAACUUCAAAGCAGUUGGGCAUGUCCUUAAAGAUUCUUGGCAGACAAAAAACCUUGAAGAAAAAAUUCACCAAGGCAUUUCGCACACCCUUGCAAAAAUUUCGCCGGGUAUGCGAAACCCUUCUCAAAUAGUAAAGUCACCUACUACCAGUUUUGAGCCCUUUAAAUUCCAUUUCGCGCACCCAACACCAGUUCGCACACUCUACGAAAAUCUAAGGGGUCUACGAACCCAUUUCGCACACUCAACACCGUGCGAAACACCCUUGAGAAUUUAUUUUUAAAUACCUCCCGAACCCUAACUCCCCUUUUUUUCCCCCAUUUCGUAAGCACCCUUCCAUUGCCAAUCUUUCUACCACCUUGCGGUCUCUUCACAGUGUCACCCCAUGCCUUAGUUCUGGUUCCGCCCUCUGUUCAGACGCUCCCCCUCCUCGUAUCUCACUCCUCCGUCCCUCUCCCAUUCGACAACCCCCUUCGAGCACGGACCCGAGACUCAUUUCUCCAUUUCACUCGGGAGGUACCACUUCCUCCCUUUAUUUUCAAUUGCUCUUGACACAUUGAGGGUAAUUUUGAUCUUGGUUGGGGGGAGAGUUGAGGAAGGAAGUAUUGUUAAUAAUGCUAGGCUAAUUUGUUAAUUUAGUUAUAUUUUACUUAAUUUUAAAAUUUUUUACUCUACUCUCCAUGGUUAUUAAGGAAAAAUUCUCAAAAUGAAAUGGGAGAAAUUGAGUUCUUAUCUCUUUACUUGAAUCUUAGAGUUUGUAUUAUGCUUAUUGAGGUUGAUGAAUUAUUGAAACUCCUAUUGAAUUCAACCUUAAUUCUUCCACUUUAAUCUUACCACACAUUAUGCACAUUAGGUUCCGAUUAUAAGAUGAAAAACUAUCUCACCCCCUGAACUUAGGAAAAUUUCGACUUGGUACCUUUGACCUCAUUUUAAUAGUGUUGGGACACCUUAUAAAAGCCAAUGAGCCUUCAAAAAAAAAAAAAAAACAAAGUGUUUCACUUGCCUUCAAACCCGAGCAAGGUCCAAGGAGUAUAUGGUGAAAGUCUUUAAAACCCAGUUCCCUAAGCCUUUAUUGGUUGGGAGUCACCGACCUCAAUGAUCGUUACAAGGGUGACUAGGUGGAGUUUAACAUAUUGUAGGUGCUUGGGUAUUGAAUUUCAAUCUAAAAAAUCCGGGGUGAAAUCUGAGGAAUUAGUUGUCGAAAGAUCCUUAAAGCUUGAUGCCCUAAACCUUGAUUGGUUGGGAGUCAUCGAUGGAUCCUCGUUACAUGGACACUUUAGAAAACAAUACCUUUAGCAUUGCACUCCUACGAUGAAAAAAAAAUUGUGAAAUAAAAAAGGUGUGUUCUUAGCCUAUUGGAGGUUGGUCAGUUUGCUAAGGUUUGAGAAAGAACUAGGUUAGGGGGAGAGAAUAGUUCGACAUACUAUAAUCGAAAACUAAUAAGCUUAACACUUAGAUUUUUGUGGAAGAGUAAGGAUUGGACCUUUGGGAGUGGAAAUUCUUUUGAUGCUUAAAUUUUCAUAAUGUCUACUCUUUAUAAAUUGUGAUUAAGCAAUAUAUUUGAUGACUCUUGUUGAAGGUUGGGUUUUGCCUCUUUGAUGUUCCAUGAGAGAGUAUGAUCCGCAUCAUGCCACUUGAAAAUUUUUUAGACUGAUUAGCAUGAUUUUUUAAAUUAUUUUACUGUCUAUUUUUCUUUAUCUCUCCUUCAUUGCUAAGGGACUAGCAAUGUGUCAAUUGGAGGGAGUGAUUACUACUCAAAAAGUGCUCUUUUAUAGCUUGAAAUUAAUUGUUUUAAACACUUUUGAGUAGUAGUUAAUACUUUUUCUCAAUUGGCACAUUAAGGAACCUAGCAAGGGUUAUUAAUCAGUUUUUGCCUAGUUUUGGUGUUUUUGGUAGCUUUUUUAUCAUUAAAACAAGCAAAGAAUGAGGGAGAAUUUUGUGCAAUCCAUGGCAAUGCAAGUUGAAGCUCAAAUACAUGAAGAAUCCAAGUUUUGGAGCACUUCAUAGCCCUUUGCCAAGCCAAUCAGAGAUGCAAGGAAGAAAACCAGAAGAAAUUUUGCAUAUCAUGUGAAAUCAAGAGAAGGAGCAGCUGUAGGACUAAGUGAAGGAAAAUUUCGCACACUGUGCGAAAUUUCACACACCCUGCGAAACCACAAGAUGCAGCAAAAAUGAAUUUCACACACCAUGCGAAAUUUCUCAUGGUCUGCAAAAUCUUCCUGUGCACCGACUCCAUUAGAUUUUUAUCUCCAGAUUUUUGUGUAAAUUACUAUUUUCUCCUUGUAAUCAACCAAUGAUAGGAUUUCUUGGUUAGGAACUAUAAAGGGGGGUUGGAAAGACCUUUCUAUAGAAUAUCUUUUUGUAUAAUCUUUUGGAUAUACGGAACUUGUAAUUCCUGUAGGAAAAAAUAAACAGAGCCCUUGCUCUGCCUUUCCUUUUCAUUUUUCUUUCUAGCUAAACAACCUCUAAGGAUGAUUUCUCAAGGGAUGAGUGGCUAAGUUUUACAUUUCUUGGAGUGAUGGAAACUAGGUGAAGGACCCGGAUGCAAAUGUUGGAGUUUUCCUUUCUUUAAAUGAAGGUAGUUAUUAACCAUUAAUGGUUUUUAUUUCAAGGUUUAGCUUUAAAUCCCUUAGAAUCGCCUUGAAUGGCCAAUACUUGGUAAGCUUUCCGAAUUCUAUGGAUGCUUAUUGCUAGAUCCAUGGAUGUCCAUUAGUUAUCAAGUACGAGCCAUUGGAAGGUGGUUCAAGGUGAGAAUCACCUUGAAUGGCCAAUACUUGGUAAGCUUUUCGGAUUCUAUGGAUGUUUAUUGCUAGAUCCAUGGAUGUUCAUUAGUUAUCAAGUACGAGCCAUUGGAAAGUGGUUCAAGGUGAAGGUCUUUAGUGUUUGAAGCCAGUAAUGGGAAGCAACUACCAUUUUUCAGGAACCCUUUAGAUCAAAUCUUAAUUGCUAAAUACAAAACCGGUUCGGGAGAUAACCAUCCUUUAUGUUAUUGUCCCGAAUGCGAGGAGAAGAUCCGAAAUCUCCCCAAUUGCCUAAGGAACCCGAUCCUAGUGACUUAAAGCUCCAAGAGACAUUCUCUUUGUAGUUAACUUCAAUUUCUAUUUUUGCUUAACUUAAAAUCAACUUUUUCAACCACAAUUCCAUUUUCUUUAAAAGCUAAUUUUCAUAAGGAAAAGCACCAUUUCAUUACCUUUACUAAAGUCACUUGUACAAAGAAAACCCAUCCCUAUGGACGAUCCUAGAGCCACUAUACUAUAGUAGCCAUGCUACCCUAGUGUAAGGUGAUUUAGGUUUUAUAAAUUUUGUUGAUAACACCCAUCUGGCACAAGAAUCAAAUGGCGUCGUUGCUGGGGAUGAAUCAUUAUGCUAAAUGAAUCAGUUCAAGUUCCACAACAUGUGAAGGAUCAUAAACAUAAUUUUUUAAAGCUGAUACGUGAAACACAUUAUUAACCUUUUCCAAACUUGGGGAUAAAGCCACCAUUUAUGCUAAGGAGCUAACUUUAUCCAAAAUUUCAAAUGGUCCCACAAACCUAGGACUAAGUUUUCUUUUCAAACCAAAUCUCAUAACUGACUUAAGAGGUGAUACUAUAAGAAGCACAUGAUCACCAACCUAGAACUCCAAAUUUCACCUUCUAUUAUCAUUAUAACUAUUUUGUCUACUCUGAGCUAUUUUUAAUCUUUCUUUGAUUAAAGCAAUUUUUUUACAAGUUUCUUGAACUAAUUCUAGUUCCAAAAAUUUUAUCUCACCAACCUCAUCCCAAUAAACAAAGGAUCUACACUUUCGGCCAAACAAAGCUUCAAAAGGUGGCUUCCUACUAUGAAAAUUAUUGUUGUAGGCAAACCCCACUAAGAGUAGAUGGUUGUCCCAAUCACCUCCAAAAUCUAAAAUACAUGCCCAAACCAUAUCUUCCAAAAUUUGAAUUACCCUUUCUGAUUGUCCAUUGGAUUGAAGGUGAAAGGUUGUACUAAAAUUUAGUUGAGUUACCAUAGCUUUUUGCAACCUCUUCUAAAAUUGGGAAGUAAAACGAGCGUCUCAAUUUGAUAUUAUACAUAUUGGAACUCCAUGCAUCCUCACAAUCUCCUUAACAUACAACAAGGCUAAUUUGUCCAAGGACCAAUUAGUUUGAAUAGGUAAAAAGUGGGUUAAUUUAGUUAGUUUAUAAACAAUCACCCACACAACAUUACUUCCCACCACAAAUUUGGGAAAGCUAAAAACAAAAUCCAUUGUAAUGUGUUCUCGCUUCUAAUUAGGAAUGAGAAGUGGUUGCAACAUACCUAAUAGACGUUGAUACUCAGUUUUGACCUACUGACAACUCAAGAAUUGGGUAAUAAAUUAAGCGACACCACACUUCAAACCAGGUCACCAGUAAAGUUAUCUCUAAUACUGUUACAUUUUGGUCUCAUUGGGGUAGACUACAAAGUUAGAGGAGUGAGCUUCCUUUGAAAGUUCUUUCAUGAGAUUUCCAAGUUGGGGCACAUACGUACAAACGAAUUCUAAAUCUCAAUAUUCCAUCAUCUGGAAGUACAAAGUAAGACUUAGUUCCUCUUCCUAUAUAUAAUUUGAACAACCUGUAGAUCAUCUCUUUGUAAGGACUUGAUCCUCGCAAACAAAUUUGGUUGAACCUUGAGAUGAGCAAAUAAUACUCUAGACUAUAAAACUUCAAAUUAAACUAGCAGUCUAUUCAAUUCGAAUAACAUAUAUGGUUUUCUAACCCUCAAGGCUACUAAAGAACCAAAAUACUUCUUGCUUAAACCAUUUACUACUAUAUUCGCAUCAUCAGAAUGAUAUAGAAUAAAGCAAUUAUAGUUCUUGAGGAGUUCAAGCCACUUCUCUAUCUCAUAUUCAAUUCUUUUUGAGAAAACAAAUACUUUAGCCUUUUAUAAUUAGUGUAGAUCUCACAUGUCUCACCAUACAAAUAGUGUCUUCAUAUCUUAAGAGCAAAAAUCACUAUUGCUAAUUCCAAAUCAUGAGUAGGAUAGUUUCACUCAUAAGGUUUCAGUUGCCUAGAAGCAUAAGUGAUGACUUUCCCAUCCUGCAUGAGAACACAACCAAGCCCUUAAUGUGAAGCAUCACUAUAAAUAACAUAACCCCUAGAACUUGAGGGGAUUAUUAACAUUAUAUUCUUCAACUCUUGGAAGCUUUUCUCACAACCAUUAGACCAUAAAAAUUUGACCCUCUUUUGAGUAAGCUUUGUUAUUAGAGAUUCCCUUUAAAAUGUUUGUAAUAACCAGCUAAACCUAGGGGACUCCUAACCUUAGUUACCGAGUUAGGCUUGCUCCAACUAAGUCUACUAAUAUUCCCUCCUUGGAUAUUGCAUGGCUAAGAAAUAAAACUCUAUCCAACCAAAAUUCACAUUUCUUAAGCUUAAAAAAAAAAGUUGAUCUAGGUUUAGGAAGUAAGAAAAAAAAAAUAAUAAUAAUAAUUAAUAGUAGUACGAUGAAUGUUUUCUCUAAUUUAACCCUAGACAAAAACAAAGUCUUCAUGAGUGUGAGAGUUUUUAUUAUUAUUUGAAAGAAAUUUAUAUACAAUACAAUUCUAAAAUAAAAAAUCAGUAUUUAGUUUGAAGAAAAAUUCUAUAGAUUUAAGAAAUAAGGUUUCCAAGAAAAAUAUAAAGAUAAAUACAUUUAAAAAAAAUCAUUUUAGUUGUUCAAUAAAAGAAUGUAGUGCAUAAUGGAUAUUCGAUGUGAAUAAAACAUGAAUAAUAAAGGAAAAUAGGAAAAAUAAAAUAUGCAAUGUACAAUAGAAAAAAAAAUAUUAAUUAGGAUAAUUAAAAUAUAUAUAUAUAUAUAUAUAUAUAUAUAUAUAUAUAUAUAUAUAUAUAUAUAUAUAUAUAUAUAUAUAUAUAUAUAUUAAUUUAGUACUCAAUAAUGUAUGAAGAAAUAAAGAAUACAUUCUUACAUUUAAAUUUAAUUAUUAUAAGAAUAAAUUGGUACCAAGUGAUAUAAAAUUUCUAUUAGGUUAAAAUAGGUUUAUAUUAAUAAGAUUUAUUUUAUUUUUUUAGGUAAAUCCUAAGUUUAAUCAACUUCCUUGCUCAGUUCAACUUUUACCAGGUAAGGAAUUAUGAUCCUUAAAUAUUUUCUAAAGUAUUAUUUUUCUAAAAGGGUAGGAAAAUAUUUUACUAUAUGAAGAAUAUUUUAUAUUGUGAAAAAUAUUAUUAUUAUUAUUAUAUAUUCUGAUAUCUGGCCCUAGUCAAUAGGGGUUGUGUUGUUGGCCCUCAUUACUUAAUUGUAUGAGGAUUGGAAAACCUAGUCAAUGGGGUAGUUUGAUGGUACCAUCUGAUUGGUUAGUCCCUUCUGAAUUGAAGGAUCAUCCGUUUCUAAAGAUACCAUUAGUUUGGGAAAAUAAAAUUUUUUUUAUGCCUAUAUGUUUGAAGAUUAUAUUAUGUGUUAUGUCACUUUCUUUUUUUAUAUAUAAAAUAAAUUGUUAGUAUUUUCCUUAUUGAGCUAAAGCUUACUACUUUUGCUUUUCAAAACCCCUUUUAGGUUCCCCAAAUGUAGAUGGAAAUAAGUGACAUUGAAUAUAGGAGGGGUUCUUGUUAGUUAAGUUUAUGGAAGGCCUUAAAGCCUUUGUUUAGACAUGAUGAUUUGGACCAUGUGUUAUGUUUUAAUUAUCAAGUUAAUUUGAACAAAAUUAGUAUUUCAUAAUUAUGUGAAUCAUGAGACUUCUAUCUUAGAAAGAUAAUUUUAACUCUAUGUGCCUACUAGAAGGGAAGAAGAAGAAUCACUUUUGCUAGGAGGCAUAGAAAAGCAAGGACCUUAUUUAACUUUGUACGGUACAAUGCCUAUCAUACAGUUGCCCUGAAAUAUCAUUAGAAUUCACCCUUUUUUCCUUUUCUAUGUACAAACCUUUCCAUCCUCAAAGAUUUCCUCCAUAGAUCACAUCCACACAUAUUCAUUCCACACCAACAUUUAUUGUGUUAAUUCAACGUUUAUGCCCAAAUUUGUAAGUUCUGCUGGGAUUGCAGUUGAAGUUAUUGUCACCCCCAAAGCCAUACUUGGUGCGGUACCCUGGGUAGUCCCUAAAAUUAAAGGGCACUUCUUCUAUAAGUCGAAGCCCAACUCUUGAGGCUAGAAAUUCCAAAUUCCACUCACGAAAGAAGCCAUUGCUUUUGUGAGUAAUGUGGAUUUCUCCAUCUAUGUGAAUCAUCUUCUUAGCAUUUUCUAAAAACAGCUGUACCAGCAUUUGAUUUCUCCUGCAAGAAGAAACAAUGAUAUAGAAGGAAAAUUUUCAUGUGAGAAUUGGGAAUACAGGCUAUACAUAAAUUCGAUUGAAGAAGCUUUUCAAAGAAAGAAUCUACCAACCGGAUCUCAUCUUCCCUUGAUUCAUUGGGAAAAAAUCCAGCCAGCGGGAAGUUGUAGACAACUCGAUCAAAACGCAUGCAGUUGAAUGGUAAAACGUGUGCCAUUUUGGUGGCAUCAACAUCAUGCAUGACCUUAGCUCCCAAGCUCCAUAGUGUAUCGAUGUUGGACAAGGCAUGCCUAUAGUUUGUGCUCAAAAACUCUGAAAAUUGCAGUUGAUAGUCAUCAAUUAAGGCCAUAAGACAAACCCCAAAUGGGUGCUGGGGCACAUGCUAAUCAAGGUUUACUCGGGACUAGAAUGAGAAAAAUACCCAAAUCAACCAAAAUCAUGACAUUCAUGAGAAACACUCAAAGAAGGUUACCAACUUAUGAUUCAGGAUUUCUUAUUUGUUACCUAUAGAAUCAAGAGAAGUAGCGGUUAUGUUUGUAGCAGAAGCAAAAGCCACAGCCAAAGACGCAGAGAAUGAAAAGUCCCCUUCACCCACCAGCAAUAUUUUGUAUUCACUGCUGUAGUGCUUUAUCCAUCUUACUCCAUGCUUUCCUUCCUCUAGGUCUUCUUCACAGCUGCUGUAGUCCCACCAAUUUUUUCCUACCGCUCCUCUGGUUCGUUCUUCGUUUUCUUCAAUUAUGUCGUAAUGGUGGAGCCGUGCAGAAACUUGCUUCUCAUCACCUACAACUUGGACUUUAAAUUUUGCAGGAAUUAACAGAUCCAAUGCAUCAUCAGACCUGGAAUUGCUGCGUGAGUCCAAGCUCAGUGGAAAACCCAGAGAGUUUCGCUGCGAUGCACCACUGAUGCCUGAGUUGCUGCUUGGGACAGAGCUCAGUGGAAGAGUCACUGGAUUUGGCUGGAAAUGGGAUGCACCACUCACGCUAGAGUGGCUGCAGGAGCUAGAGAGUAGUGAAGGAUGAGUCUGUAUCUUUGGCAGAGCAUGAGAAGUACCACUUGGCCUGGAUAGGCCACACGAGUUGGAGCUGAGUGGCUGAGGAGUCUGCACUGGUUUUGGGUAAAAAUGGGUUGUGCUGGAUUGGCUGCAUGAGCUAGAACUUAGCUGUUGGUGAGUCUCUAGUUUUGGUUGGACAGGGGAUGAUACAGUCGUGCUGGAGAGGCCACAUGAGCUCAAGUUGAGUGGCUGAUGAGUCUGCACUAGUUUUGGGUAAAAAUGGGUUGUGCUGGAUUGGCUGCAUGAGUUAGAACUCAGUUGUUGGUGAGUCUCUAGUUUUGGCUGGACAGGGGAUGAUACAGUCGCGAUAGAGAAGCCACAUGAGCUCGAGUUUAGUUGAUGAUAAGUCUGUAGUGUUGGCUGAAGACGUGAUGCACUACUUGUUUUGGAGUGGGUGAAUGGGCUAGAGCUAGAGUUAGAGCUAGAGCUCACUGGAGGCGGAGGAUGAGUCCGUAGAUUUGUCUGCAAUGCGUAGUCCCUACAUGAUUCUAAGCUCGGUGGAGAAGUAAAUGGAUUCGGUGGCAACGCAGGCCUUGAGCUUGAAGAAUUGGUGUCUGAGGCAAAUCUCGGCAGAGAAAUCAGGGGUAGUUUUUCACUUGGCUUCUUUUUAUCAUCUUUUUCACCCCACAACCAGCGAAUAAUAACGGAGAGAAUUUGACCCAUUGAAUCACCCGUCCCCCCCUUCUUUUUCUUCUUCCUUCAUCAAGGAGCCUGUAAACAUAGAAAUGUCCCUUGUCAUGAAAACCUUGCGGGCGUGCACUGCAAUGUCAAUGGGCUUGACACAGGUCCCACCAACAUUGCAUUAAAUUUUCCUUCUCGGACAAGUAAGAUAAGGAAUGCCUCUGCCACAUGCUGUUGAGAAAAAUAAGAAGAUAUUACCCACAAAGCCUAUCAUGUUAACAUUCAAGUCAUCCCACAUCAGAAUAAGAGAGAGGCUUUUCGGUCUCACCCGUUCCCUCGUAAAAAGGGCUUUACCACAUAUUUUUCUUUUUAUUAUUAUAUUUUAAAAUUAUCGCUGCAGUAUCCUUUCAUAACAUAUUAAAUCAGGUAUCAUUUCAUAUCAAAUCAUUGUAGCCUGCUUGACUACUCCAAUUCCCAAGCCUUUCUCCUCCUUUUUGAAUGUUGAUUCCAUAAAUGUCUAGUUUCCAGUGAUGUAGGGUUGUGUGAGUCUUUCUCUGCCAUAUCAGACCGAGACAUUAAUAUGACUCAAAUGCAAUAUUCAUGUUAGAAUACAAAGGGAUUCAAAUUGCCAACAAAUAACCAAAAAUCAUCUUCACAGCCAAAUCUACAACUACUAAACAUCUUUUCCCUGUAAAACUAGUAAAAUUUUCAUCCAGACAUGUUGAUUAACUAUAAAAGAACAUGCUUCUGCAUUCAUCCCCAUCUAAGUUCAGCAUUUUAGCAGAAACCCAAUAUGAAAAAACAGAAUGACAGAAAGGGUAAAAGGGCGCCAAUAUCAAUACCAUGCAUGCAGAUGAGCUUGUGGGUGAUGAGAGCUUUGUUGAGACCAGAGAUCAAAGCUCCCAAAUCAGAGUUUUCCCACCAAAGAUCGGACGAGAUCAAACACUAGUGAUGCUUGGCUUGCAGGAGAUCCAUCAGUGUUGGGUGUGAGAAAUGAGAGUUGUGCUGAGAGUGAAGGGGGAGCAAUAUCAGAAGGUAAAGAAGCUUCCGAUGAUUCGUACGUCCAAAGACUUGGUUGGACCUGGCCAUUUUUAUGCUACGUGGAGGCACUCUAUUCGGAUUAAUAAAGUGAUAAAAGAAAAAAAUUAGGAAAGAUUCGAAAGAAGUCCAUUUCAUCAAGGAAUUUGAUACCCAAAGUGAUGGAAGUAAUUAAAAUAGAUUGAUGAUGAUGAUGAUGGCUCCACCAAACAGCAUUCCAUACCCAACCCACCAAUCAUAAAAUUCAGUGACAUGGGAGUGGAUAAAGCAAAAUAAGAUAUACUAAAAUUAUUUUAAAAUACUUUGUAUUUCCAGAUAAUUUUUUAUUUGGGGAUCGGCAAAGGAAACAAAGUUGAAGAAUUGUUUUAAAACAAUUUAUUCAUUUUAAUUUUUUUUAAAUUUUCUUUCACUUGGUAAAUAUUUCAUAAUUUUAAAAAUUAUUAUAUUAUUUAAUUCAUAUUAUUUUAAUACUUAUCAUUAUAAAAAUAAAUAUGCACUUAAAUAUUUAUAAAAAUAAACAUUAUAUAAUUUUUGUAAAAAUUUUCGUAAAGCCAACAGUUGGUCUAGUGGUAGCAAUCUCUUUUUUUUAUUGCUGCCUUUUAGGUUUGAUUUCUCAUACUCCUCUUUUCUACAUAUACCCAUCCCACAUUGAAAACUUAUACAAGCAUUUCCUCCCAUAAAUUACAUAUGAGCUUGGCAUAGAAAUUAGUUACUUAUAAUGUGGGCCAUCAAAAUAAAUAUAUUUGGGUUGUACAUCUUUUAGGGCUAGGUUGAGAUCGUACAACAUAUUUUUAAUUUAACUCAACUUGGAGGCAUUGGCAUCUUCCUCCAGGUUCACACUAUUUAUGAAACUCUAUGUAUUUUUAAUAAAGUUAAGAUCGUACAACAUAUUCUUAAUUUAACUCGACUUUGAGACAUUGGCAUCUUCCUUGGGGUUUACAUUGAAUCAAUAAAGAGGUGUUCACAUUAUCAUAUGAAGAACUCUAUGUGUUUUCAAUGAAGUUGAGAUCGUACAACAUAUUCUUAAUUUAACUCGACUUGGAGGCAUUGGCAUCUUCCUUGGGGUUCACAUUGAAUCAAUAAAGAAGGGUUCACAUUAUCAUAUGAAGAACUCUAUGUAUUUUUAAUAAAGUUGAGAUCGUACAACAUAUUCUUAAUUUAACUCGACUUGGAGGCAUUGGUUUCUUCCUCCCAAAUUCAUUGUAUGUGUAAAUGACAUCUUCCUCUUAAAUUCAUUGUAUGUAUGUAUAAAUGAAAGAAAGUUGAUUCGAAGAUCCAAACAAUCUUCUACUUUUAAAAUUUUAUGAACCCAAUCUAUGAUUUUCCAUUUAAAGAAAUCGACAAUGAACUAAAUUCAACCAAAAAUUACAUACAUAUCUAUAAUAUAUAAUAUCCAUUAGCUAUAUUACCAACUUAAUUUUAUUAUAGAGUAGCAUACCACAUCUAUAUAGUUUAUAAUUGAGCUACUUAGUAAUGUUAUGAGAAGGUUAUACCAAUAGCUAUAAACAUUCAUCUCCUCGAGUUAGAAUAAUAUGACUUGACAUAGAUUGCAAUAAUGUAAUUUAAAUAGGUCUCUCAUCUACUACUGUAGAUUUUUUAAUCAUUUUUCUUUUCUUUUAAGUGAAAGAUUGGUAAUUGGAGGGUUGGAGUUCACUUAUUCUUUCUAAAUUUUAUGGUUUUGGUUCAAAGACUAAUGAAAAGAGUUGAAGGUUCUAGGGGUUUCCAUGAAUAUCAAGUAGAAUAUGUAUCAAAUUGAUCAUGAUAAGAAUAGCAUUAUGAAUCUUAAAUUAUUUGACUAAUUAAAAAAGAAAAAACAGAGAGAAAAUAUUUUGAAGCAAAAAAGUAAGAAAGGACUCUAAAUUAGUAUUAUGUAUGAAUAUCGAGUGGUUAGCAAAUAAGUUACAAAUUAUGGUAACAAGAAACCACUGGUGUCACAAAAAUAUGCAACUUAUGAAUCUGGGUAUUGUUCAAAUGAUAGUUGAAAAAUAUAGUUUUGAGUGUUAGAGAAAAAAAAAAAAGACGAAAUAAAUUUGUUCAAUAUUAUAUCUACAUAUGGAUGUAGGGUUGGCAUUACUAGUUUUAUAUAUGCUUUCCAAUUUGUUUUCUAUAUUAUCAAUCACUUGUCCACACCUCUCUUGUCUCACAAAUCUUCUUUUGAAUAACUAAGUAACACAUUACCAAAUUACUCUACUAUUUGUAUCUUUGGUUCUAAACCUUAUGCAACACCUAUGGCCUCUAGAAUCGUGCUCUUUAUUAAUUAAAGACAGUACUCCUCUCUCGGACCCCACUCUGUAUAUAAAUCUUGUUGGGUUUUAUAGUAUUGCACCAUUACUUGCCUUCACAUUUCUUUUAAUGUUGAUAAUUUAUGUCAAUUCAUUCAUGCUUUAACUCACAUUCACUUUUAGAUAGUUAAAUGACUUCUUUGGUAUCAUAAGGGGGUUGUUCAUUUCAUGGUCUUACUCUUCAUGUAGCCUAUUUUUUGGAUCUUUUGUUUAUUUUGAUACAUGCCGGUAUAGUUGCCGGAAGAAUCAUUGGAGUACAAUGGCUAUUGUGCUUUCUUUGGAAAUAGUUUUGCCUCUUGAUAUGCUAGUAAACAAAAGGUGGUCUCUCAAUCUGGUAUUGCAUUUGAAUAACAUAGUUGCAUUUGAAUACCAUGUUAUUUACAAAUACUACCUCAAAAUUGGUUUGAAUUCAAUUCAUGUUUUUCCCUUAUUCCAUACACCUUUUAUAUUGUGUGACAAUUUAAGUUCAACCUAUUUGGCUAUGAACCCUAUUUCACAUUCUCAUAUCAAAUAUGAGGAUAUUGACUUCCCCUUAUGCAUAAUCGAGUACUUCAACAAAUCAUUAGAUGUCAAGUUCGUGUCUUUUACUCAUCCAUUGGUAGAUGCUAUAACUAAGCCACUACCUACUCAAAUUCUUAGGUCUUUAUCCCAAGCUCUUAGUUCUUCCAAGACAUUGAGCUUGUAAGGAAUGCUAGAAUAUAGGUCAACUAGCUCAACAUUCUUUUUAUCUUGUUAUAAUGAAAAUUAUAGAAUCUUGUUGGAGUAAGUUAUGUAAUAACCAAAAGUGGUAAUAACUAGGGAAUGAGCUCUUUGAAAGAGGGCAUUCAAAGAAGGAAAAAUACCCUCAUGUUCUUUAUGAGUAUGUAGAUUGCACAUUAAUAUUAAAUACAGAUGUGAAGUUAUAAUUAUAUAUAUAUAUAUAUAUAAAGGAGUACAAGUGCAUAGAGAUGGCAAUGGGACAGUUUGGGAUGGGUGACCCAUCCCAAUCUCAUCUCAUUUAUUCAAAAUAAUUUUCAUUCCUAUUGAUUCAUGCCCAGUUGGUGUAUCAGCUGAUUCAUGUCCAACUGGUGCUCCUUGAUGGAGGGAGUAAUCAACAAUAUUUAUAACCUAUUACACCAUGAACUAAGGUAGCAAAGACAAAGCUACUAUAGUAUAAUGGUUCUAGGAUUGUUCACUAGGAAGGGUUUCCAAAUUACAAAUGAUACCAAUUCAAAGUGAAUUGGUGCUGUUUCAUUUCAAGGUUAACUUAAGAAAUAAAACUCAAACCUUGAUUGGUAAAGAUUUAGAUUCAAACUAACUAACAAAACAAGUAAUGGGAAUAACUUAGGAAGAAAAACAUUCCUUAGAGGGUCAAGUUCACUAGGGUGGUUCCUCGUGCAAAAGACAUAGCUCCGGUCAGAUGGUUCAUUUCCUUGCAUUAAAGAUUCAACAUAUAGUCAAUUCUCUAACCGGUGUUGUACAGAUACAUCUUUUAAUUAGAUUUCAACUUUAAUUCUCUCACUGAUGCAACUUGCAAUGGUUCAAACCUCUCACUAAGCCUUAACCAUUCAAGGUGAUCUUUAACCUUGGACUUCCCUUCUCAAGCUCGCAAGAGAUAACUAAUGGAUGUCUCCUUGGAGUCCAAAAGCUUACCAAGUGUUGGCAAUUCCAGAAAAUCCUACCUUAAAGUCACCUCCUAGAGGCUCACAAGGGGUAAACUAGUGCAUCUCCUUGGUUGGAGAUCACUUGCCUUACCAAGUGUUGGCCCAGGUGACUCUAAGGUGUUUUAAGUUAACUAAAAACAUAGAAAUCACUAAAGGAUUUCACUUCCUCUUCAUUAAUGGCUGAAACCACAAAGCUUUGCAUUCUUGCACUUGGAACCUUCCCCGGCAACCUUAGCUCCAAGGAACUAAAGGUUUAGUUACUCAUUCUCUGGGGAAAAUUCCUCAGAGAGUGCAUAACUUAGUAAGAAAUAAAAAAUACAAAGUGAGAAGGUAAGGCAAAACAAAGAGCCUGAACUUUACUUGCUUUCAAACUUUUACAAAAAGGUUCCUCCUCCUGAGAACAGGCUCUCGAGAGGUAUUUAUAUAAACAUAAUACAAAACUAAUUAUUACAUGGAUAUUUACUCUUUUUCCUAACUUAAAAGCUAAGGAAUCUUGUAAUUGGUGGCUUACAAGGAGAAUUUUGGGAUUUAGACAACAAAAAUCUGAUGGAAAAUAUCUCCCAAUGUUAGUAGCAAAUAUCGGGACGCACUAAGGACCAUUUCGCAAGAGAAAAUGAUGUCUGCGAGAUUUCGCAGACACACAAAAAGGGCUGCGAGAUCACUUCGCAACAAAAGGUUAUUCUCGCAGGGCUGCGAAGUUGGCUUUCAUCUUGAGGUUCUCAGCUUCCAACUUGUCGCAUAUAUCGGGCAACUUCAGGAGGAAAUCCACCACACUAUACAAAAAGGCUGCGAAAUCACUUCGCAACAAAAGGUUAUUCUCGCAGGGCUGCGAAGUUGUCUUUCAUCUUGAGGUUCUCAGCUUCCAACUUGUCGCAUAUAUCGGGCAACUUCAGGAGGAAAUCCACCACACUGUACAAAAAGGCUGCGAAAUCACUUCGCAACAAAAGGGUGAUUUCGCAACACUUUUUGUAAAAUGCUUUCUUCAGCUUAGAGUGAUUGACUUGCAGUGACUGUAACUUCUUCGUUUCAACUCCAAAAUGUGCACCGUUUGAAGCAUUGGAUUGUUGACUUCCUGAGCUUUGAAAUGACAUAUAGCAUGCAUCAAUUGGACUUUAGAAAGUGCUCCAAAAGUGGCUGACACGACUGUCAUCAAGAAUAUGCUUCAUGGCAGAUUCUCUUUACUUCUUCUCCUUGCAUUCCGGAUUUACUUAUGGCAAAGGACUUCAAAGCUUCGGUUCUUCAUGUUUCUGAGCUUCCAAUUGCUUUGCCCAAGAUUCCAUAUAACUCUCCUCAAUCUCGGAUUGCUUUGGUGAUCAAAAGGCUAUCAAAACACCAAAACUUAACAUAAUUUGAUUAGAAUUGAUUGCAAGGGUCCUUAACAUGUUAAUUGGGUUAAAAGGCAAUAACUACUACUCAAAAGUGUUUAAAAGAGUUUAUUAUAAGCUAUGAAAUAGCACUUUUUGAGUAGUAAUCACCUAUCCCAAUUAAAAAAUUAAAUGGAAUGGGUGUGGUAUAAAUUAAGGUGAGGUGAGAUAGGACAAGACAAUAUUUGAAAUCACCUUGAACCUAUCUUGGGUUUUUAAAAAUCUCAAACUUGUUAAUAACCUAUUUAUUUAAAUUUUAAAUUCCCUCCAUUAAAGGCAAGGCAGAGUAGGUACCCAAAAAAAAUCCACCCAUUGUCAUCCCUACAAGUGCAUAUUAAAUAAAUUAAGGGUUAAUUGGUUAAAGCGGUCAAAAUAACCUCCAUAUUUGCAAAUAUAACCCAUCAGUCAAAAAGCAAAAAGGUUGACCUGGUUGAGACAAAAAUACCCUUCUUUUUUCUCUCCAACACAUACAACUUCUCCUCUUCUGCUUCAUUUACAGAACGACUCCUCAUAUUUUCCAAAAAAAUUCUCUCAUCAUCUUCUUCUACUUCAUUAUCUUCCUUUGGUGCACAAAACGGAAAUGUCAUCUCCUCUUCCGCUUCAUUUAUAGAACGAGUUCUCAUCUUUCAUCAUCUUCUUCCUUUGAUGCACAAAACGAAAAUCUCAUAUUUCCUUCAAAAACCCUAGAAAAUUUCUCGUUUAUCCUCUCAUCCUUUGUUUCAUUCCGAAUCCUUGGAAAAAUUAUUAUUCUAUUUUUUUUCAAGUUAUCUCAUAUUAUAUUUUCAAGCACGAAGGAAACAAUGAGUUCAUUGAAAAGUGAUAGGAGAAAAAGAUUUUUAAAAGUGGCAAAAAAUCAAAAAUGGCAAUUACGAACAGAAGAAAAAAGUGAAGCAGAAGAAAGUGAAGCAAAGGAAAGCGAAGCUACUUAGCAAAAAUCUCAAUUACCAAUAGAAGAGGCAAGUGAUUCUGCUAAACCGGUGAGUGUAGUCUUCACAUUUGAUAAAUUAUUGAAAUUUUUAGAGAUGUUAUACAAUAAUAUUUUAGUAUGGUUAAGUUUAUUAGUUAAAUGCACACACAAAAAAAAAAGAUUUAUUGAAUUGUAUUCAAAGUAUAAAAUUGUUAUAUUUAUAUAUAUAUAUAUAUAUAUAUUUUAGUUCUCCAUUAUUAUCAGUUAUGUAUUUUGAGUGAAUAAAUUUAAGUUUGUUAGCUGACAUUUGAAAAUAUUUGGGAACUAUUAUAGUGUGUUGAAAAAUAAUAAAUUGCAUAUUAAUAUUGUUUUAGUUUUCUGUAUUAUUAUCAAUCAUGUGUUUAGAGUGAAGUGAUAUAUUCAAUAUAAUAACAUCUAAUUAGGGAUAAGUUUACAGAUAAUUUAUGAAAUUUUAGGGAUUUUUGGAAAUUUUAGGGAUAUUAUACAUUGGUGUUUUAGUAUGUUUAUGUUCCAAAUGCAAGCAGAUGAUAUUCUUGUUGACUAUGUUAAUGGGCUUCACCCAAUUCCUUCCAUGAAAUGGUCUAAGGUGGACAUCGUCUAUGUCCCUAUUAAUGUCUGAAGUAUGCGUUAGGUAUUGGGAGUAAUUCACCUUGCUCAGAGGAUAAUAUUUGUGUAUGACUCAUUGAUAGGAAUUAAUAGUGAUAAUCGACUAAAAGGUGAUAUAAUACCUUUAGCUAAAGUGUUACUACGUAUUUUGCAUGCUACAUCAUAUUAUGAGAAGAGUGGCAAUCCUAAGAGUGAAGAACAGUGGGACAUUGAACAAUUGCAUGAUGUUCCUCAACAAGAGUAUGAGUAAGUAAACAAAUAUCCAAACUUCAUCUUAUCAUUUCACCUUUAUGCCUUAUACAGUAAAUUUUUUUUAGUCAUCUUAAUUUUGAUUAUUUGUGUUUAUGCAAUGGUGAUUGUGAGAUGUUCCUAAUUAAAUAUGAAAAAUACUUAAGGCAUGCUCAUCCAUUCAGCUCAUUGACCGGUGCCCGCAUUAAUUGGUUUAGAGAGAAAAUGGCAACUGAAUUGUUCUACUUCAAAAAUUUACCCAUGUAGUGGGUUUCAUUUUGAUUGUGUAAAAGGUUUAUAUGUUGUUGAGUGUUGACUGUUAUUUUGGAUGAAUUUGACUUGAUGCUCAAAGUUACAAUUUUUGUAAUGUAACUAUAAUUGUCAACUUAACUAUAGUUAAGUUAUUUGUUAAUGCAAUUCAACAAUUAUUAAGUUCAAGUGAAUAUUCUGAGUGUGAAUUUAACCUCAAUUAAGUUCUUUAUUAAUGCAACUCAACCAUUGUUAAGUUCAGGUGAUAAUUCUAACUGUAAACUUAAUUGUGGUUAAGUUUUUUGUAAAUACAACUCAACUACUGUUAAAUUCAGGUGAAAAUUCUAACUAUGAACUUAACUGUGGUUAAGUUAUUUAUUAAUGCAACUCAACUACUGUUAAGUUCAGGUGAAAAAAUAAACAAAAAACUUAACCACAAUUAAGUUCUUUAUUAAUGCAACUCAACCAUUAUUAAGUUCAGGUGAAAUUUAUGACUGUGAAUUUUCUUACCAUUAUUUGACCUUGUCAUAUGGAUAAAUCUUUUCAACUUCUUUUAAAUGAACUUUUCACUUUUUCAUAACUAACAAUGGAGUCUCUAUUUUUUACCAACAAUGUUGAAGUCAGAUUUUGAAUUUUCAAGAAAUAGAAAGAAAUAAAAUGAUAAUAUAAAAAAGAAAUUGUUGGUUGUUUACAUUUAUUUUUUCAUAUUUUCGUGACCAAGAAUGAAGAAUAGAUGAAACAAUGGUAAGAAGUUAAACUUGUUCUCUGCAAGAAAAGAGAGAGAAUGAGCAACCAAUGAUCGAAUAAAAAAAUUAGAACCUAAUCUGCUAUAAAACAAAGGGAAAGGGAAAAGAGAAGUUGUAUAUGUUAGAGAGAAAAAAGGACAUUUUUGUCUCAACUGGGUUAACUAUUUUGCUUUUUGACUGAUGGGUUAUAUAUGCAAAUAUGGGGGUUAUUUUGACCCAUUUAACCAAUUAACCCAUAAAUUAAUGUGGUGGCUCUAAUGGAGACAUGCUUAGAAUAUGAUAUGAUGGGAGUAUGAGUAUAUAUGCAAAACAUAGAAGAAUAUAGAACGUAUGAAUAAAUGUAACUUUUGAGUGUGAGAUCAUAACAAAUUGGGUGCAGCAUAUAAAAAUAUAUUGCUUUAAGAAUUCUGGUGGGCUGAGUGUUUUGGUAUAGGAAUUAUUGGAGAGAAUAUGGAAGGCAAAAAUCUGGAAUAUUUUGGAUAAAUGAAAACUCACUUGUUGAUACAAACUCACUUGGUGGUCGUAGAAUUCCAAAUUGAAGUGCAGCACCUUAAUAUUUUUGGACAAGAGGUAUAAAUAGGAGUCAUACCUAGAACAUAGUGUAAAUAUACAGUGUAAAGUAGUAAAUAAUCUUAAAUAUAUAUACUAUAUUUGAUUAUAUGUUAAAAAAAAUGAUUUUCUCAUAUUUGGUUUCAUCAUAGAAAAUACGGAAAAAAUAUCAAAUAUAAUUAAAAUUAAUUAAAAAUUUAAACAUUUUAAAAUUAUUUCAUAUUUACAUAGAAGGAGAAAAGGAAUGAAACACGUUUGAAUUAAUAUAUUAAAAUGAAUUAAUGAUUUUAAUUUUUUUUUUUUCAUUUUUUUUCUUUUCUUUAACUUUUCCUUUAUUUUCUUUCUUGUAUCUUCCCUUCAAUUUUCCAGAAACCAAACAUAGUUAAAAUAAACAUUUAAUUUGAAUUUCCUAAAAUAACCUAAUGGGAAUUUAAUUUAUUUUACUAUUUUGCAUUAAUUUAUGAAAUAUCUAUUUUUCUGUCCAAAUUUAGAAAUUUUUUUUUUGUAUUUUUGUAAAUUUUGUACAUGAAAUUUAUUCAUUCAAUUACACUAACAUUUAUAAGACAGUAUACAUCCUUAUCUGUAGCAUAAACUUUUCUUUCCAUUUUCACUAGUGUUCUUAACAGGCUAUGUUCAGACCCAACAAAUCCACUCAUGGUUCUUCCUUGGCAACUACGGAUCAUUGAAAACCAAAUCUCAAUGCUCCAUGCAUGAACACAAUCCCUCCAUUCGAGUCAGGUCUCUGAUGUGUUUGUGCCCAUGGCUGUGGUACCAUAAGCACAAAUUCAUUUCUGAGAAUGAAACAAGCAACCAAACGGACCCCAGGAUACUUCAGUUUGAGAUUUUGACUGGGAUUUUUCGGAAGAUCAUCCCUGAUUUGAAUUUUCAUGGCUCAAAACAUUCCCUAGAUUACUCAGCCUCCAUUAACGCUCAUUUCUCAAUGAAAGCAAAAUGCUGAAGUUUACCAACCCAGGUUCAAACUUAGUACACUUGUCAUAUGAUGCAGGACUGAGCUAAUUCAAAACUGUUCCAUCUCAUGUGGCAAUCCUAAAGUCAUAUUGCUUCCUUCCAGCAUUACAGAACAAAACUCAAAAGGUAAAAGCAAAGCAAAACUCAUUCUGUGUCGUAUCAUGCUGAACUUAGGAACUAAAAUAUCUAUGGUUAAACACCUGGAAAGUAAUAACUCCAUGGUUCCCUAGGAUGGGAUCAGUCCAAGUCUCAGGAAUUUGAAAAAGAUUUUAUGUGCCAGCAUGAAAAUAAAAUUUAGGCCCAAAGAUCCCUGACCAAGUUAUCUUGGCCUUCACAACCCUCUCCCAGCACAUUAUCAAGGGUAUCUACUUUGUUUCCCGAUGGAUAUUUAGACCAGCUUUCACUAAAAUGGUUUUGGGGAUCAAGCAGAAAGUACAAAAUAGAUUGUAUGCCAUUCUAAAUAGAAUGCAUGUCACACCAGGACUGCAAUUUGAUCAUGAAAAUUGACAGAGAUCAUCUCACCUAGAAGUAUGAAUUUCUAUAAAAUUUACAAUAAUUCCUGCUCUCCUGCAGACAAGUGUACUGAGACAAAAACCAAAAACAAAAAGAGGAGUAUAGUUUUCACCUAUAGAACAACACCGGUGCUUAACUUGUAUUCACUAGCAAACAAGGCAAAAGGUGCUCACUUCUCAGAAACAUGUUCUAUUUCUCCUUCUUUACAAGUAGUGAUCAGGACCCAAUAACAUCCUUUGUAGGAAUGCUGAUCUCAACCUGCUCAAAUGUUGAAGCUCUUGCAGAAGGUUUAUGUAACCAGUCAAGGUUCUUCCUGGACCUUCAGCCAUAUAUCUUUCAAAGCUAAGCCUAAGUGCUUCAUGAAUAGUAUAGCCCAUAUCGUAACCAGUUCUUCCAAAUGUUUCCACAGCAUGAUUGAAGUAUCCAUCAAAGAUCCAUUCAUUGCUGACAGAGAUUGUUAAAGGUAACCCCAUAUGCCUUGGGAUGCCAUUCAUAUUUGCUAAAAUAUUUCUUCCAGGACCUCUGUAAUCAGAUGAACCUGGACACUGCUGCAUUUGCAUUAGAUUAAUUUGCUGAGAUCCUCGGUGAUUUAAAUCAGAGUGGCACACGAUUCUGGACAUUUUCAUAGCAGUGGGGGAGAAUCUGAAUUUGAAAGUACUGCAAGCUCCCAAACGGAAGGGCUCAUCACAUCUUGAACCAGCUCCUCUCUUAUUGUUAUAGCCUGGGUAGUCCUCUUUCUUAAAAUCAACACACUCAAACAGCACCAGAGAGUUUUGAGAAGCAAGUUCCUCAAGAUUCCAGUGGGAAAAUGGAGCUGUGGUUUUGUGAUUUACAUGAAUUUCACCAUUGGCUCUUAGCAUGCCACUUGCAUUCCUGAAGAAACCAUGCACAAGAUCCCUAUGCAUACUGUAGCAUAAGAUGGGAUGACAACAUAAGUACAAUCCACACAGAAUUAAUAAAGAAAUCAGCCAUUCUAUAAAAGCCUUAGGUACAACUAGAUUGAACCAUUUGAAAUCAGCAGAAAACAAUGCAUCAAAGAUACUCGUAUUCCUUUUGAUUUUUUUUUUUUUUUUUUGGUUGUCAGACACACUGGUAGAAAAUAUUAUCAGAUGAUGAUGUCUAUAAUUAAUUUACCUGUGAUAAUGAAAAUUUUCUUCUACAUAUUUGUAUCUUUGAUAUAUAUUCUACCACUUCAAAAGAGAAACCCAGCACUCCCAUCAUUUGGAAGCAAAGGCACAAUAUUUCUGGUGCACCUGUAUAGCAGUUAAUCUUGUUUUAAGGUUGUAAGUUAGAUGCCUAGCAUCUGAGCUGAAGACCAGCACAUGGGCCAAUGCCCAUGGUACAUGAUAGUAACAACUAGAAUUCUUGAAAAUACUAUGAAGACAAUAACUGAUUCAGUUACAUGUAGGGUUCCAAAUACCCCACCCCCCCCCACCCCCCCAGUUCAAUCCUUUGCUGCCCUGGCUUUUGUGAUGGAGACUUUGUCCAUCAACAUGUAGAAGCUGAAAUUAUAACAUAAUCUCAGUAUGGAGGCAUUGGAAACCUACACAUGACCAUGUAGAUGUGAUUCAUUUGCCAAUACGAUGAAUCAUACUGCACUUGUGCAGACUCAUGGCUANNNNNNNNNNNNNNNNNNNNNNNNNNNNNNNNNNNNNNNNNNNNNNNNNNNNNNNNNNNNNNNNNNNNNNNNNNNNNNNNNNNNNNNNNNNNNNNNNNNNNNNNNNNNNNNNNNNNNNNNNNNNNNNNNNNNNNNNNNNNNNNNNNNNNNNNNNNNNNNNNNNNNNNNNNNNNNNNNNNNNNNNNNNNNNNNNNNNNNNNNNNNNNNNNNNNNNNNNNNNNNNNNNNNNNNNNNNNNNNNNNNNNNNNNNNNNNNNNNNNNNNNNNNNNNNNNNNNNNNNNNNNNNNNNNNNNNNNNNNNNNNNNNNNNNNNNNNNNNNNNNNNNNNNNNNNNNNNNNNNNNNNNNNNNNNNNNNNNNNNNNNNNNNNNNNNNNNNNNNNNNNNNNNNNNNNNNNNNNNNNNNNNNNNNNNNNNNNNNNNNNNNNNNNNNNNNNNNNNNNNNNNNNNNNNNNNNNNNNNNNNNNNNNNNNNNNNNNNNNNNNNNNNNNNNNNNNNNNNNNNNNNNNNNNNNNNNNNNNNNNNNNNNNNNNNNNNNNNNNNNNNNNNNNNNNNNNNNNNNNNNNNNNNNNNNNNNNNNNNNNNNNNNNNNNNNNNNNNNNNNNNNNNNNNNNNNNNNNNNNNNNNNNNNNNNNNNNNNNNNNNNNNNNNNNNNNNNNNNNNNNNNNNNNNNNNNNNNNNNNNNNNNNNNNNNNNNNNNNNNNNNNNNNNNNNNNNNNNNNNNNNNNNNACUGUUUCCCAAAAGUAUACAGGGCUAAGGACUACAAGAUUAGAGUAUAGUACACAAGUAACGAGUUGAUUCCAAUACAUAUAAAAUACAAGAAAAGGGAAAGAGAGAGACCGUAUGGGUCGAGAGAAGAAGCAACGAUGUUGGAAGCAGAAGCAAAAGAGUGAGCCAAACACAGAGAGAAAGAGAAGUCUCCUUCACCAACCAAGAGAAUUUGAUGAAACGAGGAAUAAUGCAUCAACCGUUUCUCUUGUUCUUCCACACCCACUUCAUCUUUCACCAUUUCCUCCCCGACAGCCAUUGACGCUUUCUACAGUUACAGAACCAGAGAGACUCACUGAGAGAGAAAGGUAGUGAAAGUUUGGCCGUGUUUAAAGGGCUUAUUUGAAAAAUAGAGAUUAUUUUCAAAUAGAAAUAUUUGGGCUGAAUUUACCGAGAUGCCACUGUUACCUGGAUGCUGCAAGCAGUGGGAUUGUCUCGUUUGUGAGCGAUGGAGCUUGGGAGGGGCAUUUUGGGAAUGGAAGAUGCAUGGCAUGGUCGCCCAUUAAUGGUGGCCUGCCCUAACAUUGGGGAGUUCAAGCGUCCUUAAGCUCGGCUCAUAUGGCUUCUGACGGUGCAGAUUAAAAGGGCUGGGGGAAUUACUUUCCUUUUUGGGUUUUUUUUUUGGGAAAAUUGUGUUUUGGCCUAGCUGGGCCCAAAAAUUAAUGUAUGAUUCAUAUAAGUUUCAUAUUUAAGCCCAACACCCAAUGAAAGAGUGAAAAUUAAGAGUAAGGAUAUUGUCUUUAAAAAAUCCCUAAAACGCCCUUAACUAUUAAAUGAAAAAAGUAACCACUCACCUCACCUUUCUCAUUCUCUCUUUGACUCUUUUGCCCUUCUCUCACCUAUUUAAUAGUGGAACCAACUUGAAUUAUUUUUCUUCCUCAAAUAUGAAAGAUGGUUAAAAAUUAUUAUUAUCAAAUAUAUUUUUGAAGUAAAUAACUUUUAAAUACCUCAUCAAAUAUUAUUAUUUUUUUCAAACUUACAUAAUAUAUAAUAAAUAUUUUUUAAAUAUAUUGAAAACUUACAUAAUAUAUAGUAAAUAUCAUUCUUUAUUUCAAACUUAUAUUAUUUCUCAUAUAUAUUAAAUAAUUUUUAAACACCUCAUAAAAUAUUAGUAUUAUUUGUUUACUCCAACUUGUAAAUUAGAUAUCAUCAAAUAUUAUAUUUUUUUUAAAUUUAUAGAACAUAUAAUAAAUACUUUUUAAAUACCUCAUAAAAUAUUAUUAAUUUUUUUUUCUAACUUGCAAAUUAGACACAUGGUGUUUAUUAUUUUUUCAAAAAUUAUGUAAACACUCACAUGCAUAUAUAUAAUAUUAAUCAAGAAAACAAUAUUUUUAAGACUAAUUUACCAACCUUCCAAUAAUUUUGAAAGUGUAAAUAGAGUAAUUGGCCGAAUUAAAGUCUUCAAAAAUAUUCAAAAUUUCUCCAUUCCAAAAUUACCUAAUUGCUCUCCACACUAAUUCUAAAUAUUUUUGAAUAAAGAUUUAAAUAUUUAAAACCAUUAAAUAAAUACUUUCUUAUUAAAGCAAUUUUUUCAAAGUAAUAUGAUAAAAAUCAUGAAAUCUUCAAAACUAUAAUUACAACAAAUAUUUUUUAAUUUUAAAACUAAUUUCAUAAUUUAAAUUAAUGAUUUAAAAAAAUAAAAAUGUUAUAAAAAUAAUUUUUAUUUAUUUAUAAUUUCAUUUAAAUAUGAUUUUUUUAAUCUCUAUUGAUAACAAUGAAAUUAUGUUUAUAAAGGCAAAAUAGUAAAAAUAUAUAUUUCAUUUAGUUUACUUAUAAUGAACAAUUCAAAUAUGAUUGAUUUUAAUUUUAUUUCCUAUGUGUUAAUUUUUGUAGGGAAUGUCUUAAUGACAUAGUUUGGUAAAAAAAGAAAAAAAAAACUAUCAAUAAUCGUCUUAAAGUCAAAUUCAAGUUAUUUAAAAAUCGUACAAAACCUAUUAGGAGCCUUGUACACCCUUGUACACUUAGCACAUUUCCCUUGUACAGUUAGUGUAAUACCUUUGUACAAUGACACAAAUUUCAUAUUUAUCUUAAGUUAUAUGUUCAUAUAGGUGUAUUAAUAAUAUUUUCAAUGGUUUGGUUAAGAAAAUGAUGGAUGACUUAGGAUCAAAUUUUUUUUCCCCAAAUAUCAUAAUUAGGGAAAAUAUUAGAAUUUUCAUGUGAGAGUUAAAUAAAAUGCAUGACAUAGACGUACAAUCUUUGGGUGACAAGGAAAAUAAAAAAGUGGUUUAGAAUUGAUUAAAAUAAUUCACAAAGGGUAAUCUUGUACACCUUUGUACAAUUAGUACAUUUUCCUUGUACAGUUAGUGUAAUACCCUUGUACAAUGACACAAAUUUUAUAUCCCUCCUAAGUUAUGUGUCCACGUAGGAAUGUUUAACCAUAUUUUCAAUGAUUUAGUUGAGAAGAUGGUAGACGAUUUAAGGUCAAUUUUUUUUUCUCCAAAUAUUAUUAUUAGGAAAAAUAUUGGAAUUUCCAUGCGGGAAUUAAAUAAAGUGCAUGACAUAUGUGUACAAUUCGUGAGUGAUAAAAAAAAAUAAAGGAAUGACUCAUAAUCAAUUAUAAUAUUUCAUAAAUGGUAGCUGUCACACCCUCGAAAAUCACCCUAAAAUUUUCACUUGGUGCGUGGUGCUAAGGACCCUUCCUUAGCCAACCUUCCUGCCCAGCCUUCUCAAAACGCACACAAAUAGUGGCAAACCAAAGAAAACAGGGACACAACGAGGUUACAGGAAAUCCUUCCCAACUUGUAUUAAUCUUAACUACAAGAUACAAAAUUGUUUCCCUGAGUCAGAGAGCAAUGCUUACAUCCUAAGCAUUCAGAGACACUUUCCCUCUUCUCUCCCUCUCUCAAGGUUGCAGGAGCCCUUUUAAACGACUCACCCUGCAGUUUUUCCCUUGGUGGUUAUGCAACCGCCCAUAACCCUCCCUGAAGCGCUUGCACAACCACCCACUACCCAGAUGGUGGUCUCUCUAAAAACUGCCACGUGGCUUCCUCUCUCUUGGACACGCAGACGUCCCCCUUUCGACGCGUGGCAUCACUCAUUCCACCCGGACGGAAAUUCUCCCUCAUUCCACCCGAACGGAAACUCUCCCUUAUUCCACCCGGAUAUAUCACAUCCGAAAUCCUGUCCGCUGACAUUCCAUCCACCCGGAUAUCUCAUAUCCGGAAUCCUGUCCGUCGACAUUCCAUCCACCCGGAUAUCUCACAUUCGAAAUCCUGUCCACCGACAUUUCCAUCCACCCGGAUAUCUCACAUCCGGAAUCCUGUCCGCCGACAUUUCCAUCCACCCGGAUAUCUCACAUCCGAAAUCCUGUCUGCCGACAUUCCAUCCACCCGGAUAUCUCACAUCCGGCGCUUGUCACCGGAUGGGAGAGGAGGAUGAUUCAACUUCCCCGGAUAGACAUGUUCGGAUCCUUCGGUAAUGCUUAUCCGGAGAACAUCCGUGGCCAACGAUUCAGAUUCCCCGGAUAGCUUGGCUUGUCAGAUACUCGCGACUCGCCAGAUCCACCUUAGCUCCUAGGGUUUGAACCACCAAAACUCCAGGCUUUCCUUGCUUUCCGCCUAGGCUCUCAUGGGUACAAGGCCUACCCAUGAGGCCUAUUUCUCCGGGUCUGAAUCAAGUGGCUAAGGGGCUGACGGUAGCCUUGUACACCUUUGUACACUUAAUACAUUUCCCUUAUACAGUUAGUAUAAUACAAUUGUACAGUGGCGCAAUAAAUGAAUAAAUAAAAUUUAUUAUUUUUUUAUUUUCAUAUAAAAAAAUAGUACUAAACAAGGUGUAGACCCCCAUUUAGGCAUGGGUCACUUUUUCUCUAUUUUUGUUUUUGCAGAUCACAUUUUUAACCAGGUGUCACUAUCCCAGUGGGCCACGUGUCACAUCCUUAGUGGCCAUAAGGAAUCAACCUCGCUUUUUGAAGCUGCAAUAGGACUUUGACACUUGGAGGAACUUUUUGGAGGGGGGUCCCGCAGGCUGUUGGGUAGCUAUAGAAGGAGUGGGACAGGAAAAGGUGGUUGCAGCAGAGAUCGUGGGAAAGGCAAAUCUGAGAGAGAAAGGAAGAGAAAAGAGGAAAACAGGAAAAUGAGGGAAAAGAGAGGAGAUAUUGGGGAAGCAGUAGAGAGAGUGAGAGGUGUUUUCCAUGAUCGUUUGAGAAGGAUUUUUGAGCAGAGCACCCACAAAAUAUGAAACAGUGAGUUGGAAGCCUCAAAAUAUCCAGCAGAGAAAGGGAUUUCCAAGUAUGUUUAUCAAUCCUCUAUAUCUUUUAUUGACAUUUGAAUGCUCAGUGAUUUGUUUGGGGUGGAUAUUAAAGGCCACUUGUUUGUUUGUUGGGAUGUAACCAUCUGUUUGUGCUUGCUAUUGUGAAUAUAAAUUUGGUUUGCCUCUAUUGUGAUUAUGAAAUGCCCGAGAAUCACGCCCAUGGUAGCUUUUGAUAUGAUUUUCCCACCUGCUCAGAGGACUCAUUGAUGAUUCAUGAAGUGAAGUCUCUGUAGUUUUAUCUAUUUAUUCGUUUUCUUUGGUGCUCUGUUUUUUUUCCAUCUUCCUCUGUUUCUGGCGCCUGUUCAUGGAAUGGGUUGUUUCUCUGAUCCCUGCUUGAAGGGGAUCCUAGAAAAUCUGGAGUAGUUGUCAUGGCAGCAAAGCUCACCUCAUCAGCAUCCCUAUACCCAUCGUUCAUCUAUCCACCUUUCUCUCUAGAUCUUCAUACCCAUUUCCUCACUCAAGCUUGCAGGAAUCAGGCAUCCUCCACUGCACCCAUUUUCCUCUCAUUCAUUCUCCAUCCCACUCCUCCACUUACAUGGGGUCUCACGGGUACGUGCUAUCCUUCACUCUUUCGCAUACCCAUUAAAACCACUCACUCAAGCCUCCAUAUCCAUACGGCCCACCAAACCCGUUUCUCUCUUUAAACUUUCACCUAUCUGUGGGAUCCUCCCUAAAAAAAUGCCACAUGGCUCUCUCUCCCGUGUGCAAGCAGGCGGCCCCUUUGCGACGCGUGGCAUAGCUCAUUCCACCCGGACGGAAAUCCGCCGCCAUUCCAUCCGGAUGUCUCACAUCCGGAAUCCUUCUCCGCCGCCAUUCCAUCCAGAUGUCUCACAUCCAGAAUCCUUCUCCGCCGCCAUUCCAUCCGGAUGUCUUACACCCGGAAUCCUUCUCCGCCGCCAUUCCAUCCGGAUGUCUCACACCCAGAAUCCUUCUCUGCCGCCAUUCCAUCCGGAUGUCUCACACCCGAAAUCCUGUCCCACUGCCAUUCCACCUUCUCCGGAUGUCUCACAUUUUAAAUUCUCAUCCUUAGGGUUUCAGGUCCUAAAAAUCACAUUUUUAAUAAAAAUUGGUUGCCACUUUCUUUCUGGCAAGCCAUUUUCACACCUUCUCUGUUUUAAAAAAUGUUUUGAAAUAAGCAAAGAAUCCAAUUUUGUAAUUCUGAAUAAUGGAAUUUACGGAUUUGGUCCAUGCAAAAAUAAACGAGCUAUGGUGGGGGCCCGACAUCAAAUAAGUUUCCUUUAAAAUAAAAACGGAAUUGAAUGAGAUACCAUGCAUGAUAUUGGUACUCCUUUAUCUAGUUGGAUGAUAUGAGUGAUAUACUUUAUGUUCAUUACUAUGCACUAACCCUAAUUUGUGAUAGCGCGUUGUCGUUUGCUGAUCAGGUACGCAUCCGCUUCCACUUUGGUUAUUCUCUAUGUAUAUUCUGAUUCUCAUAUGUGCAUGAUAGUUUCGGGUACUCAUUGAUUUCCUCAUCAAUUGCCAUGUUAGCUUCAUUUUAUUAGUAGAGACCCGACUUUAGGGACUUAGAGGGGUGCUACGGUCUUUACCGUACCUUCCCGAUAAGUAACCUGACCCCCGAACCCGAUCCGGUUUUUCGCAGAUCACCUUUUCCAAAUAAGGAGUCACACUUAGGGUUUUCUUUCUUAUUUUGUUUACCCUUUAAAAAAAUAAAACAAAAAUAAGUGGCGACUCCAAGUUAUUUUUUUUUAACCGAUUAAAUCAUUUUUUCGAAAUAAAAAUCAAGAGCUCGCCAUUCGAGUGGGAAACACAUUGAGCCGAAAUGCGGGGUCCACACAAGGUUUUUAAUUUUCAUUUUAAAAAAUACUUUUCAUUUUUUAAUUAAAAAUAUUUUCAAAAAGAGACAAUAUGGAAAAUAAAAAUUAUUUUUAAAAAUAAAAAAUAAAAACUAGAAAAAUAUUUUAAAACCAAACUCAAAUAUAAUCUAUAUAAUAUUUAACUACUUGUUUUCAUCUAAAAUAAGUAAAUAUAUCUUUCAACCAUUUUAUAUAAGAAAAAUUCAAUCUCUAUUAUGUAUUGAUAUAAUCCACUUCUAAAAUUAGGUCAUAUGAAAACAUUUUAAUUGAGUACUUAAAAUAAAAACUUUCUAUCCAUCCUCUUUCUUUCUUUUUCUUUUUCUUAUUUUAAUAAAUUUUCAAUUAAUUCAAAUCAUUAAAAUAAAUCCUUAAUAAACAAAUUUGCAACAUUUCAUAUAACUUAUUAUUAAAAGUCAUGUUCAAAAAGUUAUUAAAAUAAGGAAGAAAGAAGAUUAAAAAAAAUUAAACUUUUUAUUUUAUAAUAGUAAAAAAAAACUUUAAAAUAAUUUUUAAUAUAAAAAAAAUAAAAUAGUGAAUAUAUUUAUUUUAAAUAGUAUUUUAAUCAUUAAAUUAUUUACUUCUAAAAUAUAAAAGAUAAAAAUAAAUGUAAAAUGUAAUUUUUAUUUAUUUAAAUUAAUUUUUUUCGAAAGUAUUUUCCAAAAUAGUCUUUGAAUCAUUAAUAUAAUUUUUGUUUAUUUAUAAUUUAAAAAUAAAAAAAUAAUGUUGAUUUUUCAAUUAUUUAUAAAAGAGUUUAAAAAAAUAAUGAAAAAUCUAAAAAUGGUUAAAUAAGAAAGAAUAGUGGCAUGUAAAGGGUGGUAGAAUAAAGACAAAAGUGAGUCAAAUGAAUAUUUUUGUCUAUUCCCAUCUCAUAUCCUUGUAAUCGAUUAUGGGUGUUUGAUGGACUCUUUAUUAAUUAUCAAAACCAAAUGGGUCUAAAGCCCAAUUCUCCCUUUUUUUUUUUUUGGAAAGUAUGGUAUGUAAUUACAUAAAAUUAAUUAGUAUAAAAUAAUCUUUAGAAUUGUGAAUCUAACUGUUCCAUAAUUUUAUAAAAUAACCAAUUUUUUUAUAUAAAUAUUUUUAUUAUUUCAUGUAUUCACUCCUAGAUUUUUUUUUUCUUAAAUUAUUUUUAUAAGAAAAUAGUGAGGAUGUUUUCAUCAAAAAACGAGACCAAAAAUUGAUGAAAGGUUUAGGAUCUAUUUAAUAAUUGUUUUUGAAAAUUGUUUUAAAAAUAGUUUUAAGAACAGUUUUUAAAAACUGUUUUCUAAUUUUGUAAAAUAAAAAUUUGUUUAAAAAUUUAAAAUAUUUUUAAUAUUUUUAAAUAUGUUUUAAAAAUAACUUUUAUGUCUAGUGUUUUACUUUUAAUCAUUCUAUAUAUUUGUAUAACUAUAUUUUAAAAUAAUUCUCCAAAAACAAGUGAAAACAUAAAAAAAUAAAUAAAAUUUAUUAUCCGAAAAUACCAUAUUUUUUAUUUUUAAAAACAGAAAAUAAAAAACAAUUUUUUAUUAUCAAAUACAUUUUCCUAUUUUUUUGCUCUAGAUAACAAAAAACUAUUCUCCAAAACAGUUAUCAAAUUGACUCUUAAAUUUCUAACGUUGAGUGUUCAGUAACUCUUUUAAUCAAAUAAUCCAAAUAUAUAAAUGUUUUUAAUUGAAAUAAGAAAAAAAAAUUAUGAAUUAUUAAGUGUAAAAAAUAAAAAUUAUUUGUUCACAUGUGUGAAACAUGUCUCGGGAAAAGUUUUGCAAAAUAGGGAUAAUUUGUUGUAUAAGUGAUCAAGGAAGCAAUUUAAUGAGAUUGGUCUAGAAUACAUAACCAAUGCACUGCGGGUAAGUUCAUUUUUCAAGCCACGUGUCCUACGUAUUCGUACAAUUUAGUGGCAUCUACUGAAAGAAAUUGUUAGUUUUGUGGACUUAAUAAUCGUACGCUAAGAGACGCAAGGAGAAAUUCAUGCAAAAUGUGACAUUAUUGAGCUCUGCUAUGAACCCAAUGGAUAGGACUGUUAAAUAGAGGAAGAUCAAAGGCUACAAAUGGUCGGCCAAGGGAGGAGUUCGAGCCUUAAGAGGGCUAUUUUUAGCACAUUAGCUAUGGGAGGUAUGGCUUGGGCAUGUGUGGAGACAACUUGCAUCCACAUGGCCUGAGGCAUGUAGUGGAGGUAUGUCGAAACUCAAGCAUGGUGCUGGGCUUAGAAAACAUACUUGUCAUAGAGGCUUCAACUUCCGACACGCAUAGGUCAUAAUUUGGCGCAAGUGCAAACAACAUUGUCAAGACAUGUUGUUUAACUAGAGGCAUGGGGUGCGACAAUGGCGCCCCGUGGUGGCAAACUCACAUGGACUUGAGAUAGUAAGUGUUGGAUGUUGGUGUGUGUAUGAUAGGCGGUGAGUGGUACUAGAAGCACAUAAUAUUAUCAAGACACGUUGCAUAACUAGUGUUGAAUGUUGGCAUGUGUGUGGGUAUGCGCGUGCGUUUUGGGCGAGGAGGGUUGGGCUUGUGGUCUCACUUAGGACAACCUAAGGGUGUGGGCUAUGGCAUGACACUAGCUCACACAAGGUGCUUUAGGCCUCUCCAUUGAUAAGUGUAGGGCACCACACCUUUAGAACUUACAUACACCCAAGUGCCCAAUGGUUUAAGCAGGGUAUAGCUGCAUGAAGAAAACCUGAGCAAAGCAUGACAAAUGUUAGAUGUGGGUUGUAUGGCUGCAACAAAUUGGAUUAAUGUAGGCAACUUGAUGCAUGGGUUGUUGGCAAUUCAUAAUGCAUAUAAACAAUUCAUUCAUAUGUAACUUAUGCCAUACUUACCUCCAGCCAUUGUUGGGUUGCAAGUCUUUGGUUUCCAAAACUCUAUCUCUCCUUAUGGAUGGUGUAGUUUCUGAAGAUUUUCAGCAGCAUGAGAGAGGAGCUUGGGAACAAGACCAAUAUUUAAAAUACAAAGAAAACGUGGCUUCCCAUCAAAGCCACGUUUCUCUUAUUUGCCACACGAUGAGCAGUUGAAAGAAACGUGCUCCUUAACAGCAACUACAUGAUGAAGGACGUGGCCAAGUGUUGGACUACUUCAGGGCAGCGGAACGUGGGUGGUGAACGUCGGUUAUUUGAUAACAUUCUCCCACUUGGUCCACACUUUUAACCUCAUGUCCUAUCUUAGAUCAUCAUUUUUCCGCAUUAAGUAACAAAUAUAUGAAUCAUGGCGAUAAGUACUCUAUAUAACGAGUGUUAUCUUCCAUGUAUUAUAAUGUAUUCAUUUCUUAACAUUUUACUUUAUGUGGCAAUAUUGCUUAAUGAAUAAACCCUAUGUUCAUUCUUGGUCCAAUGAAGUUGAAUUUUCUCAAAAUUAAAUAAAGGUGCACAUCAAUAUGAGAAAACAUCAUAAUAAGAGUUUGUACAAUAAAAACUACAUAAGAGAACUAAGUCCCAUGUUCAUUACAUGAUCCUUGAAUUUCAACGGUGGCAUGCCCUUAGUCAAAGGAUCAGCAAUCAUCAAUUCAGUGCUAAUGUGCUCAAUAACCACUUUCUUUUCUUUAACACGUUCUCUUAUGGCUAGAUACUUAAUGUCGAUGUGCUUGCUUUGACUUCCACUUUUAUUGUUCUUUACCAUAAAGACUACAGCUGAAUUGUCGCAAUAUAUACUCAAUGGCCUAGAUAUUGAAUCCAUAACUCUAAGCUCGGAAAUGAAACUCUUAAGUCAUACACCAUGUGAAGUAGCCUCAAAACAAGAUAUGAACUUAGCUUCCAUAGUAGAAGUAGCAGUCAUGGUCUGCUUAAUGCUCCUCUAAGAUAUAGCUCCACUGGCUAAUAUAAAAAUGUAUCCAGAUGUUGAUUUACGUGAAUCAACACAGCCAGCAAAGUCUGAAUCUGAGUAGCCAACUACCUCUAAAUUGCUUGUUCGUCUAUACAUAAGCUUGUAAUCUUUGGUUCCUUGAAGAUAUCUCAUCACUUUCUUUGCAGCUUUCCAGUGGUCUAUACCUGGGUUACUCUGAUAUCGUCCUAACAUUCCAACAGCAAAUGCAAUGUCAGGCCUUGUGCAGACCUAAGCAUACAUCAAACUUCCGACUACAGAAGCAUAUGGAAUGUUCUUCAUUUGUUCCCUCUCAAGAUCGUUUUUCGGGCAUUGGUUCAGAUUGAACCUAUCACCCUUCACUAUAGGGGAAACACUAGGUGAACAAUUCUUCAUCCGAAAUCUCUCUAAAACUUUAUUGAUAUAGGUUUCUUGAGACAAACCUAAGAUACCUUUAAAUCUGUCUCUAUGGAUCUUAAUGCCAAUGACAUAAGAUGCCUCACCCAUAUCCUUCAUGUCAAUCUUUUUAGAGAGGAAUUGUUUCACCUCAUGAAGUAAACCCUUAUCAUUGGUUGCAAGUAAGAUGUCAUCCACGUAUAAAACAAGAAAACAAACUUUACUCCCACCGACCUUAAGGUAUAUGCAUUGAUCCAUAACAUUUUCAACAAAACCGAAUGAAGAAAUUAUGUUAUGGAAUUUUAAAUAUGAUUGGCAAGAUGCUUGUUUUAAACCGUAUAUGGAUUUCUUAAGCUUACAAACCAAUUGCUCACCAUCACUAGAGGGGAAUCCUUCAGGUUAUUUCAUGUAAACCUCCUCCUCUAGCUCUCCAUUAAGAAAUGUUGUUUUCACAUCCAUUUGUUGCAAUUCCAAAUCAAAGUGGGCUACUAAUGCCAAUAUAAUGCGUAAGGAAUCUUUCUUAGAUACAGGAGAAAAGGUUUCCGUGUAAUCGAUUCCUUCUUUCUGAGUGAACCCCUUUGCAAAAAGUUUGGCCUUGUAUCUCUCAAUGUUGCCUAAUGAGUCUUUCUUUGUCUUAAAAACCCAUUUACAACCAAUGGUUUUUGCACCAUUAGGCAACUCAAUAAGGUCCCAAACAUCGUUGCACUUCAUGGAACUCAUCUCAUCCUUCAUGGCAUUGUACCAUAAUUCUGAUUCUUUACAAUUCAUGGCUUGUGAAAAUGAUUCGGGAUCAUUUUCGGCUCCUAUAUUAUAGUCAGAUUCUUGUAGAUACACUACAUAAUCACUAGGAAUUGCUGACCUCUUAGUUCGAGCAGACCUUCUUAAGGUUGCACCAAUAUCUUCCGAGGAAGUAUGAGAUUCAACUUGUUGUUCAGAAGUGUUAGGCAAAUCCUGAUCAACUUGGUCUACUGGAAUGUUGUCAACAACUUGUAGAACUUCAAUGACUGGUUGAACUUCAUCGAUUGUUCGUUCAACACCCGUUUGUACUUGAGGGGUGUUAUGAACAAUAAACAAUCUAUCGCUUGAAGUGGAAGGUUGAGACUCUGUAUGAUCAAUAUCAGAAACUAUGUUUCUAAAUUGAUCGCUCCCAUUGACCAAGUCAUAUUCAAGAAAUUUAGCAUUUCUUGAUUCCACAAUCCUAGUGCUGUGAGAUGGACAGUAAAACCUAUACCCCUUGGACUUUUCAGCAUAUCCAAUGAAAUACCCACUAAUAGUCCUUGGGUUCAGUUUCUUCUCUUGUGGAUUAUAAAUUCUCACUUCAGACGAGCAUCCCCAAACGCGCAUAUGUCGCAAACUCGGUUUCCAACCUUUCAAUAACUCAAAUGGCGUUUUUAAGACAACCUUGGUUGGAACUCGGUUUAAUAUAUACACAGCUGUCUUAAGUGCUUCAAUCUACAAGAAUUUAGGAAGUUUUGAGCUGCUAAGCAUACUCCUCACCAUGUCCAAUAAAGUUCGGUUUCUUUUUUCUGCUACACCAUUUUGGUCUGGAGAACCAGGCAUGGUGUAUUGGGCAACAAUCCCAUGCUCUUGAAGAAACUUCGCAAAUGGCCCAGGUGAUUGUCCAUCUUCCAAGUAUCUAUCAUAAUAUUCUCCACCUCUAUCUGAUCUCACGAUCUUAAUUUGUUUACCAUAUUGUUUCUCUACUUCUGCCUUGAAGACUUUAAAGGCAUCUAAAGCUUCAUUUUUAUUAUGAAGUAUGUAGAGAUACAUGUAUCGUGAGAAAUCAUCUAUGAAAGAGAUGAAGUAUUUCUGACCAUGAGAGUCCAUGUCAAGACUACAUAUAUCAGUAUGUAUGAUCUCUAGUGUGGUAGAACUCCUAGUAGCACCUCUCUUUGACUUGUUGGUCUGCUUUCCCUUAAUGCAGUCCACACAAGUCUCAAAGUCAGUAAAAUCUAGAGUACUAAGUACCCCAUCAUUCACCAAUCUUUUGAUUCUAUCUAUGGAGAUAUGACCUAAUCUCCGGUGCCACAAUGUAGAGGAAUCCUCUUUUACAACACAUCUCUUAAUACCAGUUUGGACAUGUAAUGAAUUAUGAGCGGUAUCAUUUUGUAAGAAUAUACAAUAAAGACCAUCAGACAAGAUACCAUUCCCAACACAUUCAGAUUUAUAAAUCAAACUGAAAGAUGUUUCUGAAAAAUGAAAGAAAUAUCCAAACGGUACAAGUCUAGAAACUGAAAUCAGGUUUCGUGAGAAACUUGGUACAUAAAAGGUCCUUUGCAAUUCCAAAAUAAAACCACCAUAUAAAGUUAAAUAACAUAUCCCUAUUGCUUCCACAUGCGAGCCCAUCUUGUUUCCGGAUAAGAUGAAUUGUUCACUUGUCACUGGCUUCCUUAGGUUUUGCAUACCCUACAAGGAAUUUGAAAUGUGGAUUGUAGAUCCAGAAUCAAUCCACCAUGUGUUGGUGUUUACAUUAACCAUAUUAGAUUCAUAACAAACAAAUGAGGUAGGGUUACCUUUAUUCUCAAGCCAAUUCUGAAAUUUCAGACAUUUCUUCUUCACGUGUCUUUUCUUUUUACAGAAAAAACACUUUUCGUCUUUCUUAAUGUCAGAUUUAGGAGAAAUUUGUUGCUUCCCUUUCUGACUGGCUUGAGAUUUUCCUUUCUUUCCUUUCCUUUGCGUCACCAGCAUGGCACUUUCUCCUUAUUCCAUCAUUAACCUUCCUUCCUCUUGAACACACAUGGUCAUCAAUUCAUUGAUAGACCACUUAUCCUUAUGUGUGUUGUAAGAGAUUUUGAAAGGUCCAUACUGAGGUGGAAGAGUGUUAAGGAUAAAGUGCACCAAGAAGGAUUCAGACAUUUCUACAUUGAGUUUCUUUAAUUGAGCCACAAUGUCCCUCAUGUCCAUGAUAUGUUCACGCACACCUCUUAUAGCGGUGAGCUUCAAGGAUGUGAACUUCAUAAUUAGGGUGCUUGUCAAGGCUUUAUCUGAAGUGACGAAUUGCUCGUCAAUAGCCUUUAGCAAUUCACGAACAUUUUCAUGUUGCUCGAUUGAACCACGUAUACCAACACUGAUUUUUGUCUUAAUGUACAUCACGCUAAGGCGAUUAGAUUUCUCCCAGCGUUCAUACAAUAAAAUUUGUUCAGGUGUGCUGGUAUCAGUGAUCUUAUGCGGUUCAUCUUUCCUUAUAGCAUAAUCUAUGUCCAUGCACCCUAAUUGAAGAAGAAUUCUCUCAUUCCAUAUCUUAAAGUUAUCUCCUCUAAGUUCGGGAACCUCACAACGAAUAUCAAAUAUGCUAGGUAAAACUGCACAAAAGGAUUACAAGCUUAUUAAAAAUUUGAGGCUUUAAUAUAAAUUCAUGCUUUACCAAUGUAGAACAUACUUAAAAUUGAAUCUAAUUUUAUUAAAAAUUGUCUGUGGGCUAAAUCUUUAAUUCAAUCAGAUUAAUUAUCUUUAUGAUAUACUUUAUCAAACUAUUUUAUUGAAUUAUGAAAUUUAUUAUGAAUAUAGUUUGAUAUUUUCUGUCUAUAAUCUUUAUGAUAAACCUAUUAAAUUAAUUAUUCCUAACUCCUGUGGGUAAAUUAGGAAAAAUUAAUUUUAAUAUUUUAUCCUAAUUAAUUAUAUAAAUAUAAUGAAAACCCUGUGGGGUAAAAUCGUCAUAUUCAUAUAAUUAAUUACAAUUAAUGUCCAUAAUGUGAUCCAGAUUUACUUAAUAUAUAAUUUUUAUAUAAUUAAGGUUGCUGUGGCUAUUCCUUAAUUAUUAAAAAAUUAUAUUGUUCACUAGACAUUAAGAUUAUAGGAUAUAUAUAUUUUAAUAUAUCUUAUACAAUUUAGAUAAAAUUUGCAUGCAUCAAUAGCUACAACAUUUAAUUUAUCUAACACAAGAUUAAGCUACAUUUUAUACAUACAAACAAUAAAAUUAAUGAUUUAAUAUGCAUGUAUAAAGGAUCACAUAUAAUUUAGAAUUAACUUGAAAGGAUUUCAUAAUAUGAAAGGGUGCCUAAAUUCAUAUAAAAAAACAAUUAAUUCAAAUCCAAUAAAAUAAUUCAAACCGGGCCAUUAGAACCUAAACCGACCCAAAUAUCAUAUUUAACCCAUGGCCCAAUACACAAAGACCUUUAAUAAUUUUAUUGGGUCACUGCACAUGUAAUAAGCCUAAUGGGCCCAAAAGUAAAACCCAAUCUCUCUCUAGUUUUUUUUUUAUUUAUUUAUUAAUUUAUGGGUUCCAACAUUCAGCACGUUGGCAUCAUAACCACCCUUAGUCGCAUGCAGCCGCAUCAUCCGCGGCACCAAAACAACAUCGAACCGAUCUUUAAGCGACGCCGGCAGCGGCGCACCUUACAACCCAAAACAACACCUCAAAUGGCACUUCUAGAAAGGCUGAAAAUGGUGCCUGCAACGACGCUUGAAUAGCUCCUGAAUGACGCUUGCAGUGGUGCCUGAAUGGCACUCGAAACAGGCACCUGCAUCGGCGCUUGAAUAGCGCCUGAAUGGCGCUCAAAAUAAGCGCCUGAAUGGCGCUCGAAAUAGGCGCCUGCAGCAGCGCUUGAACAGCACCUGAAUGAGCUCAAAACGGGCACCUGUACCGGCGCUAAACAAUGCUUGAAUGGCGAUUGUAGUGGUGCUUGAAUGUCGUUCCCAACAGACUAUGACGCCAAAACGACAUCUCUGUCAUCCUCUGACGAGCACGGGAGGUGGAUGCAGCUGUGUGAAACCAGCCACACGUAGGCUCCUCCACUCUAGGAGCCACGCCACCCAGGCCUUCGCCCGGAUGUCGAGACUCAUCUCCUAACUUGGAAUGGGCAGGCCAACAUUUAUCCACAUUAAGCCUUACCCGCACAAACCAUCCACCCACCUUGACACCCCAACCAGAAGUUUCCAGAUUUAUUUGUUCUUAUUUCCAGAAAAAAAAAAAAAAAAAAACAAUUAUACAAGCUACUAAUACCAAGGCAAAGGUAAGAUUGCAUAGCUCUGAUACCAAAUGUUGGCAAUUCAUAAUGCAUAUAAACAAUUCAUUCAUAUGUAACUUAUGUCAUACUUACCUCCAGCCAUUGUUGGGUUGCAAGUCUUUGGUUUCCAAAACUCUUAUCUCUCCCUAUGGAUGGUGUAGUUUCUGAAGAUUUUCAGCAGCAUGAGAGAGAAGCUUGGGACCAAGACCGAUAUUUAAAAUACAAAGAAAACGUGGCUUCCCAUCAAAGCCACAUUUCUCUGAUUUGCCACACGAUGAGCAAUUGAAAGAAACGUGCUCCUUAACAGCAGCUACAUGAUGAAGGAUGUGGCCAAGUGUUGGACCACUUCAGGGCAGUGGAACGUGGGUGGUGAACGUCGGUUAUUUGAUAACAUGGGCUACAUGUGAACAAUGCUACAUACAUGAGCCAUGGGUGUGACCGAGAUCAUGCGACCCUCCAAAAUGUGGUGAAAGACUCUAAUUCUAGCAACAAUGAACUUAGUAAGGCGUACUUGGGCAUACGAGUACAAGACAUCUGGGUUGGUUGGCUAAAACACACAGGUUCAAGGAAGGGAAACAUGCAGAGACACGAGGUUUGUUGGUUUAGGCACAAGACAAAGUCUAGCGAGUAACAUCCGGGAGAUAUAGCCACUCCUAAUCUAUGAAUAUAGGGUUGCGUCUAGGAACAACAAUGGGGUGAGUUUUUUAAGUACCCGCCUUUAAUGAGAUAAGUUUAAAAUUUAAGGGCUUAAGAUUUUUUUUUAAAAUCCAAGACGGGUUCAAGGUGAGUUCGUCUCACCCCAUCCAGCCCCACCUUAAUCAUAUAUAAAAUUAAUUUAAUUUAAUUUUAAUUUUUUAUUUUAAUAUAUAUAAUAAUAAUGGUAAUAAAAUGUUUUUCAAUAAAAUAAGUUAUACAAAACUAUAAUAUUUUAAUUAUUUAUUUUUAAAAAAAGUUAAACAGGAUGAGAUAAGGUGAGUAUGGAAAAUUUGUAUACUCGUCCCGUCCCACCCCACUCCAUUUAUUUAUUUUUAAUGGGACAAAUAUGUGAAUUAUUUUGAAUAAAUGAGACGGGUGGGUUGGGAUGAAAGCGAUCCGUCCCGAACCCGCCCUAUUGCUAUCCCUAGUUGUGUUGUAGAAAUGCAUAAAUACAUCAUCUGAAACAAGGACAAAGUGUUUGGGACACCUGAUAGCACCUCAAGAGAAGUUGCAAGCCUUAAGAAACUACUAAGAUAGGUGAAAGAGCUUGGGUUGGAUCUCUAAUACAUGGGUAGUUAUUGAGAUUUUUUGGCUGCCUAUUAAUACCAUGUUGUACAGGUAAAAGAUAAAAUGUUUCCAUGGACUUAAAACUCGUUUUAUAGUAAUUCUAAGAAGCGAUUGUAAUAUUUAUAGUACUUAAAUUUUUUUAUUUUUCAAGUGUUAGAAGAGAUAAAAAAAUACUUUAUAAAAUCACUAUCAAACAGACACUUAGAGUUCGUUUAACAAUUAUUCUAAAAAAUGUUUAUAAUUUAAAAAGUAUUUUUUUAAAAAUAAUAAUAAUAAUAAAGUGUUUAACAAAAUUUAGGAAACAUUUUUAGAAAUCUGAAAAAUCACUUUGUAGUAUUGAAAAAUUAGUUGUAGUGUUAUUUAGAUAAAUACGUGAUGAAUUAUUCUUUUACAAACACUUUCAAAGAAAACAUUUGUACUAAAAACAAUUCAAGUAGAAACACUGCCAACUAAGAAGCUUUGAUUUUUUUUGUGUUGGGCACGGAAUUAUACAAGUUGAGCUGCUUGUAUACUUCGUGUGUCGGUUGCUUCGGUGUGGGCUUGCUAGGUCGAUCUUCACAACAUCACACAAAAAAAGAAUCUUGUGACAGCUAGCACUAUGAUGCUUAGGAUAGUAAGCAUCAUAAGAGAGUUGCCCUGCCAUCACCAGAAUUCACCCUUUUUCCUUUUCUACAUAAAAACCUUUGCAUCUUAAAAGAUUACAUCUAUAGAUCACACCCACACAUGUUCAUUCCACACCAACGUUCAUUGUAUUAAUUACAAAAACAAAGUUUCAAACUCCUCCCACUUGGAUCAUUUCAUAAAUCUGUAGCUAGGCUUCUCAGUCGUUUUUUUAUGCCCAAAUUUGUAAGUUUUGCUAGGACUGCAGUUGAAGUUACUGUCACCCCCAAAGCCAUACUUGGUGCGGUACCCUGGGUAGUCCCUAAAAUUGAAGGGCACUUCUUCUAUAAGUCUUAGCCCAACUCUUGAGGCUAGAAAUUCCAAAUUCCACUCAUAAAAGAAGCCAUUGCUUUUGUGAGUAAUGUGGAUUUCUCCAUCUAUGUGAAUCAACUUCUUCGCAUUUUCUAAAAACUGUUGUACCAGCAUCCGAUGUCGCCUGCAAGAAUUAACAAUGAUAUAGAAGGAAAAUUUUCAUGUAAGAAUUGGGAAUGCAGGCUAUACAUAAAUUCAAUUCAUAGGAGCUUUUCAAAGAAAGAAUCUACCAACCAGAUCUCAUCCUCCCUGGGUUCAUCGGGAAAAAAUCCAGCGAGUGGGAAGUUGUAAACAACUCGAUCAAAACGCAUGCAUUUGAAUGGGAAAACGUUUGCCAUUUUGGUGGCAUCAACAUCAUGCAUGACCUUAGCACCCAAGCUCCGGAGUUUAUCGAUGUUGGGCAAGGCAUGCCUAUAGUUUGUGCUCAAAAACUCUGAAAAUUGCAGCUGAUAGUCAUCAGUUAAGGUCAUAAGACAAACCCCAAAUGGGUGCUGGGGCACAUGCUAAUCAAGGUUUACUCAGGACUAGAAUGAGAAAAUACCCAAAUCAAUCAAAAUCAUGGCAUUCAUGAGAAACACUCAAAGAAGAUUACCAACUUAUAAUUCAGGAUUUCUUGUUUGUUACCUAUAGAAUCAAGAGAAGUAGCGGUUAUAUUUGUAGCAGAAGCAAAAGCCACAGCCAAAGACGCAGAGAAUGAGAAGUCCCCUUCACCCACCAGCAAUAUUUUGUACUCACUGCUGUAGUGCUUUAUCCAUCUUACUCUAAGCUUUCCUUCCUCUAGGUCUUCUUCACAGCUGCUACAGUCCCACCAAUUUUUUCCUACCACUCUGGUUCGUUCUUCGUUUUCUUCAAUUAUGUUGUAAUGGUGGAGCCGUGCAGAAACUUGCUUCUCAUCACCUACAACUUGGUUUUUAAAUUUUGCAGGAAUUAACAGAUCCAAUGCAUCAUCAGACCUGGAAUUGCUGCGUGGGUCCAAGCUCAGUGGAAAACCCAGAGAGUUUCGCUGCGAUGCACCAUUGAUGCCUGAGUUGCUGCUUGGGACAGAGCUCAGUGGAAGAGUCACUGGAUUUGGCUGGAAAUGGGAUGCACCACUCACGCUAGAGUGGCUGCAGGAGCUAGAGAGUAGUGAAGGAUGAGUCUGUAUCUUUGGCUGAGCAUGAGAAGUACCACUUGGCCUGGAUAGGCCACACGAGUUGGAGCUGAGUGGCUGAGGAGUCUGCACUGGUUUUGGGUAAAAAUGGGUUGUGCUGGAUUGGUUGCAUGAGCUAGAACUUAGCUGUUGUUGAGUCUCUAGUUUUGGCUGGACAGGGGAUGAUACAGUCGUGCUGGAGAGGCCACAUGAGCUCAAGUUGAGUGGCUGAUGAGUCUGCACUGGUUUUGGGUAAAAAUGGGUUGUGCUGGAUUGGCUGCAUGAGCUAGAACUCAGUUGUUGGUGAGUCUCUAGUUUUGGCUGGACAGGGGAUGAUACAGUGGCGAUAGAGAGGCCACAUGAGCUCGAGUUGAGUUGAUGAUGAGUCUGUAGUGUUGGCUGAAGACGUGAUGCACCACUUGUUUUGGAGUGGGUGAAUGGGCUAGAGCUAGAGUUAGAGCUAGAGCUCAGUGGAGGCGUAGGAUGAGUCCGUAGAUUUGUCUGCAAUGUGUAGUCCCUACAUGAUCCUAAGCUCGGUGGAGAAGUAAUUGGAUUUGGUUGCAACGCAGGCCUUGAGCUUGAAGAGUUGGUGUCUGAGCCCAAUUUCGGUGGAGAAAUCAGGGGUAGUUUUUCACUUGGCUUCUUUUUAUCAUCUUUUUCACCCCACAACCAGCGAAUAAUAAUGGAGAGAAUUUGACCCAUUGAAUCACCCGUCCCCCUUCUUUUUCUUCUUUUUCUUCUUCUUCUUCAUCUAGGAGCCUGUAAACAUAGAAAUGUCCCUUGUCAUGAAAACCAUGCGGGCGUCCACUGCAAUGUCAAUGGAAUUGACAAAGGUCCGACCAACAUUGCAUUAAAUUUUCCUUGUCUGACAAAUAAGAUAAGGGAUGCCUCUGCCACUUACUGUUGAGAAAUAUAAGAAGAUAUUUCCCACAAAGCCUAUCAUGUUAACAUUCAAGUCAUCCCACAUCGAAAUAAGCGAGAGGCUUUUCGGUCUCAUCUCAUGUGGGUUUCCUCGUAAAAAGGGUUUUACCAUAUAAGCACUUUUGCUCAUUGUUCUAUUUAUUGUUUGAUUUUUCUUUUUAUUAUUAUAUUUUCAAAUUAUCGUUAUAAUAUCAUUUCAUAACACAUUAAAAAUAUAUUUGACAAUGAUUUUAGAAAAUAUCUUUAUUCUUUCUAAUACUUGUAAAAUAAACAUUUUUAAGUAUUAGAAAAACCAAAAAUACUUUCUAGAAUUAGUACCAAACAUAUUCUAAAUCAGGUAUCAUUUCAUAUCCCAUCAUUGUAGCCUGCUCGACUACUUCAACUCCCAAGCCUUUCUCCUCUGUUUUGAAUGUUGAUUCCAUAAAUGUCUAGUUUCCAGUGAUGUAGGGUUGCGUGAGUCUUUCUCUGCCAUAUCAGACCGAGACAUUAAUAGUGGGAUUCUUUUUUUCUUUUCAAACCAAUAUGACUCAAAUGCAACAUUCAUUGUAUUCGGGAUUCAAAUUGUCAACAAAUGAACCAAAAAUCAUCUUCACAGCCAAAUCUACAACUACUAAACAUCUUUUCCCUGUAAAACUAGUAAAAUUUUCAUCCAGACAUGUUGAUUAACUAUAGAAGAACAUGCUUCUGCAUCAUCCCCAUCUAAGUUCAGCAUUUUAGCAGAAACUCAAUAUGAAAAAACAGAAUGACAGAAAGGGUAAAAGGGCGCCAAUAUCAAUACCAUGAAUGCAGAUGAGCUUGUGGAUGAUGAGAGUUUUGUUGAGACCAGAGAUCAAAGCUCCCAAAUCAGAGUUUUCCCACCAAAGAUCGGACGAGAUCAAACACUAGUGAUGCUUGGCUUGCAGGAGAUCCAUCAGUGUUGGGUGUGAGAGAUGAGAGUUGUGUUGAGAGUGAAGGGGGAGCAAUAUCAGAAGGUAAAGAAGUUUCCCAUGAUUCGUACGUCCAAAGACUUGGUUGGACUUGGCCAUUUUUAUGCUACGUGGAGGCACUCUAUUCGGAUUGAUAAAAUAAAAGAAAAAAAUUAGGAAAGAAGUCCAUUUCAUCAAAGAAUUUGAUACCCAAAGUCAUGGAAGUAAUUAAAAGAGACUGAUGAUGAUGAUGGUUGUACCAAACAGCAUUUGAUACCCAGCCCACCAAUCAUAAAAUUCAGUGACAUGGGAGUGUAUAAAGCAAAAUAAGUUAUACUAAAAUUAUUUUAAAAUACUUUAUAUUUCCAAAUAAUCUUUUAUUUGGGGAAAUGAAAACAAAGUUGAAGAAUUAUUCUAAAACAAUUUAUUCAUUUUAAGAUUUUUUUUCUUUCACUUGGUAAAUAUAUCAUAAUUUUAAAAAUUAUUCUAUUAUUUAAUUUAUAUUAUUUAAUACUUAUCAUUAUAAAAAUAAAUAUGCACUUAAAUAUUUAUAAAAAUAAACAUUACUUAUUUUUCGUAAAAAUUUUCAUAAAGCUUACCGUUGGUCUAGUGAUGCCAAUCUCUUUGUUUAUUGCUGCCUUUUAGGUUUGAUUUCUCAUACUCCUCUUUUCUACAUAUACCCAUCCCACAUUGAAAACUUAUACAAACAUUUCCUCCCAUAGAUUACAUAUGAGCUUGGCAUAGAAAUUAGUUACUUAUAAUGUGGCCCAUCAAAAUAAAUGUAUUUGGGUUGUACAGCUUUUAGGGCUACAGAAGGUGUUAAUUUUGUCGAUCCAAUUUUGAAAACAUUUAGAAUCAAUAAAGAGGGGUUCACAUUUUCCGUACAAAAAUAUUCUUAAUUUUUGUGUAUUCUUUGAUAAAGAACUCUAUGUAUUUUCAAUGAAGUUGAGAUCGUACAACAUAUUCUUAAUUUGAGGCACUGACAUAUUGUGAACCCUGCAUUUCGGCUCAUGCGCUUCCACUCGAAUGGCGUGACUCGUUUUUCUAUUUUGAAAAAAUGAUUUAUUAUUAUUUAUUAUUAUUUUUUUAGAAAAUGACUUGGAGUCGCUAUUUAUUUUUGUUUUAUUUUUAAAGGGUAAACAAAAUAAGAAAGAAAAACUCUAAGUGUGACUCAUUAUUUGGAAAAGGUAGUCUGUGAAAACCAAAAAUGGGUUCGAGGGUCAGGUUACUUAUCAGGAAUGUACGAUAAAGACCGUAGCACCCCACUAAGUCCCUAAAAACGGGUUCCUACUAAUAAAAUGAAGCAAGUAUGAUAAUUGAUAAGUAAAUCAAUGGAUACCGAAUGAAAAUCAAAACAAAAUACUCAAAUGAAUACGAGAGGCCAAGAACAUACCUAAGUGAGGAACUGAUUUAUUUCAUGGGAAGCAAAGGUUAGUGAACAAACAUAGGAUGAUUAUGUGCAUAUCAUGGAACAAAGUAAAUCAAUUAUGUAAAGCAAUCAGAUUAAUCAAUCAAUCAUAAAAUCAUGUAUGUGGGGCCCCCCACCAAGGCCGGAUUUAUCUUAGCAUAGAUUAACUAUAAAUUUCAUUAUUUGAAAUUAUAAGAUUAUUCAUGCUUAUUAAAAAUGUGAAAAUCGAAAAAUUAUUAAAGAUCGAGGAGAAUUUAUGAAAGGUGACUAUCGGGGAGAAAUAUGGCAACCUAGUUUAUUAAGGAGCGGAAAAUAUUUAAAAUCAAUGAAAGAAAGUAAAAAUAAAAUGAAAAUAAAAUAAAAAUAAAUAAAUAAAGAAAAAUAAUAAUAAUAAUAAAAGAUAAAAUAAAUGAAAUAAAAUAAAAAUAGAAAUGAAAAUGAAAAUAAAAAUAAUAAUAGUAACAAUAAUAGGAAAUAAAUUAGCAAAAUGAAAAAGGCACGCCCCUGAGGAAAAUGGCAAGAGUUGAUUUGUUAAAAUUGGAUUUAUUUAAGAUCAAGAAAGAAGGAGAAAUGAAGAAUUAAAAUCAAGUAAAAACGAGAUUUUUUUGGAAAUCCAUUUUUGAAAGUGUGCAUGAGAAAAGAGGAGUGUGGGACACGUGGGAAUUGGAUGGGCAAGUGGUGGAAGUGAAUACUGGGGGUUUAAUUGAAUGCAGAUUCAUAAUCUCAGUACUGAUUCCAUCCUUUGCAAGAAUAUCAGCAGCCUUGAGUGCUAGGCCUCCCUACCCAUUGUCUUUAUAGUCCACCCAUGUUGUUUCUCAAAUCUGUACCUCUCUGAAUUAGUCGCUUUUUGUGCAUCGGCUACCCCACUCAGCAAAGGCCGCUUAAAAGUUGUUCUCAUCAUGUACUCAGCAAAAAUUUCUUGGUCAAUGGCAGAUGGGUUUUUGUAAUAAUGAGAGGUGGAGAUGAGAAUGGCGAGGGCGUGAACAUGGUUAACACUAACGCUGAAUUGAUCUUGCAACACUCUCUCUCUCACUGAUCACACAUGCUCAUAGGCACUUCCUCCUUUCUUUCCUUGUUAGCAGAAUCCAUCUCAUUGUAGACGAAGUUACUGGAAACGGCCAUCAACAUGAUCCAGAACACCAGAAAUUUUCUUUCUCAGCUAGUUCUCUUCUCCUUGCUCUCCCCUCCUUCUCAGUUUUUCCAUUUUUCAUCACUCUCUGAAAAGCUCCCUCUAAAUCUUCGCCUCUCAAGCAACCUCCUUCCCUUUCUAUCUCUUCUUCCUCGCUCAAAAGACCCUCAUUCUCCAGCUGAUCUCUUCCCUCUCUCUAUCUCCUGCUUCAAAAUCUGAAUAAUCAUGGAUUUCUCAAUCAACCCGUGUUUUCAAGGAGUUGAGCACACCAUACAUGUUCUAAACCUGACCAUACUGCCUCAAAAGGGUAAUCUCCUACUCCGCCUCGUUCUUCAUCUUGGCCCUGUACUGGUAAGGAAUGGCAGCAACCCGAGCCCAUAGUACAAACAUAAACGCAUAACUCAAGGCAAAAACAGGGACUGCAAGUCCAUUCAUGAGGGGAAUCGAGUUGUCUGCAAUUGAUUGAAGCUGUUUAGCCGCUGACCAAGAGCAAGAUACACUCCAUGAAAGAGAUCAAGAAUGCCCAGGCGGGUGAUGUCGUUGAUACUUGCUGGAUUGAUGAUGCCCAAAUGACUGGUUACAGGUGUGAAAAAAAAAGACCCAGUUUCCUUCUCAGACGCGAGAAACAUGCUCAUGUCGAUCAACAAUUCUUCUUCAAGCUUCGGAACGCAGCAUCUGUGCCUGUGUGCGUGAGCAGUAGGCUAAGGAAUUCAGACAUUAUGUGUGUUGUAUUAUUGAUGCCGAGGUGAGACACUACUUUUAUUAUUGAUCAUGUGGAAUGAAGGUACGUGAAUGGGUGAGGUCACUCCGGGGUUAUUUUAGGUUGAUUGAUGGUCAUUAUCUGAAGAGCAUGCUAGUGGGAGAAAUGAGAAUGACGAUCUGGGAGGGAAUAUGAUGGGUUAUAAGCUGAGGAAGGGGCAUGAGGAGGGACUAGCGGGUAUGGAGAUGAGGAACGAACAGGUGGUGGCGAGCAUGUUAAUGGGUAUGAUAGGUGUAUUGGGUAUGGGUGUGAUCAGUAGAGUGACUUGUGGAGAGUAUAGCAUGGGGAAUGAGUAAAAAAAGAAUGGGUAUGCCGAUGGCUUUGAUGGGUAUGAAUGUUUAGAAGACGGUAAGCUGGUCAUGACGUCCUAGGCGAGAAUGGUUUGGCCUGGUACUCAAAUUUGAUGGAAUGGAUUUUGGAUGGAAAAGUUUGUGAAGGUAUGUCUAGCCAUGCACGGCCAUGCAUAGGCGCGCCCAUUUCAUCUCAAUGUCCAGAACUGUUCCUGAGAUUUCCUGGUAUCUCUACCCAAUGAUGGCGUCACCUACCACAUCUGGACAACUCUCCACUAUUAUUCACUUGAACCAAAACCUUCAAAUGCUUUCUUCUCAUUAUUUACACCUUCAACCAUGGCCAGAUUGAGGACUGUAGCCAGGAGCUGUUUCAUCUUAUUGCUCCGCAAAUGCUCAAUAAAAUACCAUUCAAUGUCUUUUGGAAGCUGUGGUGCUCUUUCAUUCAUCUCCUGAACGUAGCUUUCGCCAAAACAACGGUGACCAACGUCGUGGACUUGCCAGAUGUGAGAGACUGGUUUAGUUCUUGAGACAGCCAUAACGCGGACUUGAUCGGACCGACGAUCUGACCUCUCUGCUGUUUGACGAACACGGAAUAUGACGGACCGGAGCGGCCUUGCCAGAGUCAUUUUACAAGCUGGAACUAUAUGGUCAAUAGACAAAUUCUUGAAACUUGGGGAAAAAGAAACAGCUCUGAAAUCCAAGUCUCAGACCGAUUCCCCAACACUGUUUUCCAUAAUGAUCCUUGCAUGCUCUAACAAGAUCAUGCAUAAAGCUGCAUGCCCAGUAGGCCGUAUCAUGAUUGCUGAAUCCUUUUUGAAGCAGACACAUAGCCCGGUGGAUGACUGCGUCUGAUAGGUCAGAUGCUGCUACAGUUCAUAUACCAAUGACCAUCAUCCUCUUCAUCUGAGCUCUCUCAGAAACACUCCGAUCAAGACAACCAGACCAAACAUGAUACCCAACUUUCGAAAAAUUUACCAGAAACAGAGGGGAGGGUGAAGAAAAACAGAGCAUUUAUAUAAGAGAGAAAAAAACAUGUUGUAAAUAUAGCUUCAUUUCAUGAUGAUCAAUGAGCAGGAAGUGGGUGGGAAAAUCUCAAGCAGAUCCAAAGCAGAAGUGAAAACAAUAACUCUAAACACCUCACAGUUAAUAAGAUAACAAGAAGUUCACCAAUUUUUCGAGUCAAAUCAAAGAAACAGAGGAAGAAUCAGCAACACAGGUGGAAAACCGACAAAUAAAUCAUCGAAGACAUCCAGUGAAAUGAUACCCAGAAUCAAAAAAAUGUAUGGUUCACCGUGAGCUUACCUGAAAAUGCACUAGAUGUCUUCCCGGCCCCCAGCUUCCUCUCUCUCUCCCCCCGUUUUUUUUCUCUGUAACCUCUGCUUCCUUCUCUCCUAAGCUCCCCCAAAAACGGCAGCAAAAGCACCACCCUCUCUCUCUGUAACCAAAACCAGAAUAUCCCCCCCGCCUGCUGGCAGCUUGCUCUCCAAGAAAAUAUCUCUCCCCAAAAACCACCCAGCAAGCUUGCCAAAAACACCUCCUCUCUAACGGCCAAAAGAUUCCAUAACAGUGUCCAUUCUUCAUUGCUUCCUCAACCCACUAUUGAGAUUCACUGACAGCCAGUCCAAAGACAACACGUGGCUCCUUGAGAGCCCUCCACCUGGUAAGAACAAGCUGUAGAAAACCUACCCCAAAAUGGGGGUCUACACAUACAUGUACAAAAAUAUUCUUAAUUUUUGAGUAUUCUUCAACGAAGAAUUCUAUGUAUUUUCAAUAAAGUUGAGAUCGUACAACAUAUUUUUAAUUUGACUCGACUUAGAGGCACAUGCAUAUAUUCUCUAGCUAUACAAAAAUAUUCUUAAUUUUUGUGUAUUCUUCAAUAAAGAACUCUAUGUAUUUUCAAUGAAGUUGAGAUCGUAUAACAUAUUCUUAAUUUGACUCGACUUAGAGGCACUAACAUCUUCCUCCCAAAUUCAUUGUAUGUGUAAAUGGCAUCUUCUUCCCAAACUCAGUGUAUGUGUAAAUGAAAGAGAGUUGAUUCAAAGAUCCAAACAAUCUUCUACUUUUAAAAUUUUAUGAACCCAAUUUAUGAUUUUCCAUUUAAAGAAAUUGACAAUAAACUAAAUUCAACCAAAAAUUACAUACAUAUCUAUAAUAUAUAAUAUCUAUUAGUUAUAUUACCAACUUAAGUUUAUUAUAGAGUAGCAUACCACAUCUAUAUAGUUUAUAAUUGAGCUACUUAGUAAUGCUAUGAGAAGGUUAUAUCAAUAGCUAUAUACAUUCAUCUCCUCGAGAUAGAAUAAUAUGACUUGACAUAGAUUACAAUAAUGUAAUUUAAAUAGGUCUAUUAUAAUAGUAUUUUUCAGCUUUUCGGAUCAUAAUGUUUGAUAGACUUUUUGGUUUGGGCCAAAAUAUAACAUUUUAAAAAAUAAUUAUUGGUUUUUAUUAUUAAAUUGAAUUGAAACCAAAUGGGCAUUAUUGUUACUAAACUGAAUUAAAUGUUAUUCUUAAUAUUAAAAAAAUUAAAUAUUUUGAUUUUUUCUAUUUAAUGAAAAAAAUUAAAAAUAAGUAGCAGAUUAAUAAAAAAAAAAUGAACAAUUUAAAAUCUUAGCAAAAAGUUAAAAAAAAAAAAACAAGACUUAAGUUAAUUUUCUUUGAGUGUCGAACGACUCCCCUCUAGAUAAGGGAUUGGAAGUAGAAGGAAUAAUUAUGAAGCAUAUACAUGCGGGAAAGAGUAUUGACAAGGAUGUUUUAAUCAGUAGCUAUGGCUUUUCACCCAGAAAUAUAGAAUUGAUUUUCCAAGUGCUUGUGAAUGCAAGGAUAUGUCCUUCCAUGUAAUACCCCAACCCAAGAUUUUGUUAGCUUUGUAAAGUACGAAGAAUAACUAUUUUAUGUUUUUUAUUUUUUGUCUGGGCUUAUUAAUAAUUCCCUGAUUGGGCUUUUAAUUCAUGACUGAAAAUUUUGGGCCAAAACUUCCAAAGGUUAGUCUCCAACGUUUCAAAUUGGGAUGGCAACUUUAUCCAAAUCUUGUCCAGUUUAUUUAUACCCAUUCUCAUCCGAUCCAUACCUAAAAAUAAAAUAAAAUAAAAUAAAAUAAACACGCAAAAAUUAAAAAUAAAAAGUAAAAAAUAAACUGGACAAGGUAAUAUUAGGAAAUUUUCAUAUCUGCCCCACUUGAUUUUUUUUAUUUUGAAAAUUUUAAUUAUAUUAAAAAUAAAUAUAAUUUAUAAAAAAAUAAAUAUUAGAACUUUUGAUUAUUUAUUUAUAUGAAAAGUAUAAGAAUUUAUUUUUAUAUGCUAAAAAGAGGUGAAAAUGAAAAUAAAAUAAAAUAAAAUAAAAUAACUUUUUAUUUAAUAUUAUGUAUAAUAAUUGGGACAUGCAAGACAAAACUUAUGUUUUAAAAUUUUUUUAUCAAACUCAUUUCAAAUUCAUCUUUAUCUCAAAUUCAUCACUUUAAAGAAGGGGUAUCCCAAAAACCGUCUCAUUGUCAUCCCUAGAUCCAAAUCCCAUAUAUCAUGUCAGUUUCCUAAUUAUACUAUAGUGGAUAUUGAAAAACAAAAACAAAAACAAAGAGAAGGAAUGAAAAGUUGCACAACUUAUGUGGUUGAGAAAGUUAGACAAAGUAGAUAAGAUGGUGAUCGAUUCAACUCACAUAGUAGGUCUCUCAUCUAUACUGUAGAUUUUUUAACCAUUUUUCUUUUCUUUUAAGUGAAAGAUUGGUAAUUGGAGGGUUGGAGUUCACUUAUUCUUUCUAAAUUUUAUGGUUUUGGUUCAAAGACUAAUGAAAAGAGUUGAAGGUUCUAGGGGUUUCCAUGAAUAUCAAGUAGAAUAUGUAUCAAAUUGAUGAUGAUAAGAAUAGCAUUAUGAAUCUUAAAUUAUUUGACUAAUUAAAAAAGAAAAAACAGAGAAAAUAUUUUGAAGCAAAAAAGUAAGAAAGGACUCUAAAUUAGUAUCAUGUAUGAAUAUCGAGUGGUUAGCAAAUAAGUUACAAAUUAUGGUAACAAGAAACCAUUGGUGUCACAAAAAUAUGCAACUUAUGAAUCUGGGUAUUGUUCAAAUGAUAGUUGAAAAAUAUAGUUUUGAGUGUUAGAAAAAAAAAAAAUAAAGACGAAAUAAAUUUGUUCAAUAUUAUAUAUACAUAUGGAUGUAGGGUUGGCAUUACUAGUUUUAUAUAUGCUUUCCAAUUUGUUUUCUAUAUUAUCAAUCACUUGUCCACACCUCUCUUGUCUCACAAAUCUUCUUUUGAAUAACUAAGUUACACAUUACCAAAUUACUCUACUAUUUGUAUCUUUGGUUCUAAACCUUAUGCAACACCUAUGGCCUCUAGAAUCGUGCUCUUUAUUAAUUAAAGACAAUACUCCUCUCUCGAACCCUACUCGGUAUAUAAAUCUUGUUGGGUUUUAUAGUAUUGCACCAUUACUUGCCUUCACAUUUCUUUUAAUGUUGAUAAUUUAUGUCAAUUCAUUCAUGCUCUAACUCACAUUCACUUUUAGAUAGUUAAAUGACUUCUUUGGUAUCAUAAGGGGGUUGUUCAUUUCAUGGUCUUACUCUUCAUGUAGCCUAUUUUUUGGAUCUUUUGUUUAUUUUGAUACAUGCCGGUAUAGUUGCCCGAAGAAUCAUUGGAGUACAAUGGCUAUUGUGCUUUCUUUGGAAAUAGUUUUGCCUCUUGAUAUGCUAGUAAACAAAAGGUGGUCUCUCAAUCUGGUAUUGCAUUUGAAUAACAUGGUUGCAUUUGAAUACCAUGUUAUUUACAAAUACUACCUCAAUAUUGGUUUGAAUUCAAUUCAUGUUUUUCCCUUAUUCCAUACACCUUUUAUAUUGUGUGACAAUUUAAGUUCAACCUAUUUGGCUAUGAACCCUAUUUCACAUUCUCAUAUCAAAUAUGAGGAUAUUGACUUCCCCUUAUGCAUAAUCGAGUACUUCAACAAAUCAUUAGAUGUCAAGUUUGUGUCUUUUACUCAUCCAUUGGUAGAUGCUAUAACUAAGCCACCACCUACUCAGAUUCUUAGGUCUUUAUCCCAAACUCUUAGUUCUUCCAAGACACUGAGCUUGUAAGGAAUGCUAGAAUAUAGGUCAACUAGCUCAACAUUCUUUUUAUCUUGUUAUAAUGAAAAUUAUAGAAUCUUGUUAGAGUAAGUUAUGUAAUAACCAAAAGUGGUAAUAACUAGGGAAUGAGCUCUUUGAAAGAGGGCAUUCAAAGAAGGAAAAAUACCCUCAUGUUCUUUAUGAGUAUGUAGAUUGCACAUUAAUAUUAUAUACAGAUGUGAAGUUAUAUAUAUAUAUAUAUAUAUAUAUAUAUAUAUAUAUAUAUAUAUAUAUAAAGGAGUACAAGUGCAUAGAGAUGGCAAUGGGGCAGUUUGGGAUGGGUGACCCAUCCCAAUCUCAUCUCAUUUAUUCAAAAUAAUUUUCAUUCCUAUCCCAAUUAAAAAAUUAAAUGGAAUGAGUAUGGUAUAAAUUAAGGUGAGGUGAGACAGGACAAUACAAUAUUUGAAAUCACCUUGAACCUAUCUUGGGUUUUUAAAAAUCUCAAACUUGUUAAUAACCUAUUUAUUUAAAUUUUAAAUUCCCUCCAUUAAAGGCAAGGCAGAGUAGGUACCCAAAAAAAAUCCACCCAUUGUCAUCCCUACAAGUGCAUAUUAAAUAAAUUAAGGGUUAAUUGGUUAAAGGGGUCAAAAUAAACUCCAUAUUUGCAAAUAUAACCCAUCAGUCAAAAAGCAAAAAUGUUGACCUGGUUGAGACAAAAAUACCCUUCUUUUUUCUCUCCAACACAUACAACUUCUCCUCUUCUGCUUCAUUUACAGAACGACUCCUCAUAUUUUCCAAAAAAUUUCUCUCAUCAUCUUCUUCUACUUCAUUAUCUUCCUUUGGUGCACAAAACGGAAAGGUCAUCUCCUCUUCCGCUUCAUUUAUAGAACGAGUUCUCAUCUUUCAUCAUCUUCUUCUAUUUCACUAUCUUCCUUUGAUGCACAAAACGAAAAAUCUCAUAUUUCCUUCAAAAACCCUAGAAAAUUUCUCGUCUAUCCUCUCAUCCUCUGUUUCAUUCCGAAUCCUUGGAAAAAUUAUUAUUCUAUUUUUUUCAAGUUAUCUCAUAUUAUAUCUUCAAGCACGAAGGAAACAAUGAGUUCAUUGAAGAGUGAUAGGAGAAAAAGAUUUUAAAAAGUGGCAAAAAAACAAAAAUGGCAAUUGCAACCAGAAGAAAAAAGUGAAGCAGAAGAAAGUGAAGCAAAGGAAAGCGAAGCUACUUAGCAAAAAUCUCAAUUACCAAUAGAAGAGGCAAGUGAUUCUACUAAACCGGUGAGUGUAGUCUUCAAAUUUGAUAAAUUAUUGAAAUUUUUAGAGAUGUUAUACAAUAAUAUUUGAGUAUGGUUAAUUUUAUUAGUUAAAUACACAAAAAAAAAAUUAGGAUUUAUUGAAUUGUAUUCAAAGCAUAAAAUUGUUAUAUUUAUAAUUUUUUUUUUAGUUCUCCAUUGUUAUCAGUUAUGUAUUUUGAGUGAAUAAAUUUAAGUUUGUUAGCUGAUAUUUGAAAAUAUUUGGGAAUUAUUAUAGUGUGUUGAAAAAUAAUAAAUUGCAUAUUAAUACUGUUUUAGUUUUCUGUAUUAUUAUCAAUCAUGUGUUUAGAGUGAAGUGAUAUAUUCAAUGUAAUAACAUCUAAUUAGGGAUAAAUUUACAGAUAAUUUAUGAAAUUUUAGGGAUUUUUGGAAAUUUUAGGGAUAUUAUACAUUGGUGUUUGAGUAUGUCUAUGUUCCAAAUGCAAGCAGAUGAUAUUCUUGUUGACUAUGUUAAUGGGCUUCACCCAAUUCCUUCCAUGAAAUGGUCUGAGGUGGACAUCGUUUAUGUCCCUAUUAAUGUUUGAAGUAUGCAUUAGGUAUUGGGAGUAAUUCACCUUGCUCAGAGGAGAAUAUUUGUGUAUGACUCAUUGAUAGGAAUUAAUAGUGAUAAUCGACUAAAAGGUGAUAUAAUACCUUUAGCUAAAGUGUUACUGCGUAUUUUGCAUGCUACAUCCUAUUAUGAGAAGAGCGGCGAUCCUAAGAGUGAAGAACAGUGGGACAUUGAACAAUUGCAUGAUGUUCCUCAACAAGUGUAUGAGUAAGUAAACAAAUAUCCAAACUUCAUCUUAUCAUUUCACCUUUAUGCCUUAUAUAGUAAAUUUUUUUUAGUCAUCUUAAUUUUGAUUACUUGUGUUUCAUGCGAUGGUGAUUGUGGGAUGUUCCUAAUUAAAUAUGAAAAAUACUUAAUGCAUGAUCAUCCAUUCAGCUCAUUGACCGGUACCCGCAUUGAUUGGUUUAGAGAGAAAAUGGCAACUAAAUUGUUCUACUUCAAAAAAUUACCCAUGUAGUGGGUUUCAUUUUGAUUGUGUAAAAGGUUUAUAUGUUGUUGAGUGUUGACCGUUAUUUUGGAUGAAUUUGACUUGAUGCUCAAAGUUACAAUUUUUGUAAUGUAACUAUAACUGUCAACUUAACUAUAGUUAAGUUAUUUGUUAAUGCAAUUCAACAAUUGUUAAGUUCAAGUGAAUAUUCUGAGUGUGAAUUUAACCUCAAUUAAGUUCUUUAUUAAUGCAACUCAACCAUUGUUAAGUUCAGGUGAUAAUUUUAACUGUAAACUUAAUUGUGGUUAAGUUUUUUGUUAAUGCAACUCAACUACUGUUAAGCUUAGGUGAAAAUUCUAACUAUGAACUUAACUGUGGUUAAGUUAUUUAUUAAUGCAACUCAACUACUGUUAAGUUUAGGUGAAAAAAUAAACAAAGAACUUAACCACAAUUAAGUUCUUUAUUAAUGCAACUCAACCAUUAUUAAGUUCAGGUGAAAUUUAUGACUGUGAAUUUUCUUACCAUUAUUUGACCUUGUCAUAUGGAUAAAUCUUUUCAACUUCUUUUGAACGAACUUUUCACUUUUUCAUAACUAACAAUGGAGUCUCUAUUUUUUUACCAAUAAUGUUGAAGUCAGAUUUUGAAUUUUCAAGAAACAGAAAGAAAUAAAAUGAUAAUAUAAAAAAGAAAUUGUUGGUUGUUUACAUUUUUUUUUUUUUCAUAUUUUCGUGAUCAAGAAUGAAGAAUAGAUGAAACAAUGGUAAGAAGUUAAACUUGUUCUCUGCAAGAAAAGAGAGAGAAUAAGCAACCAAUGACCGAAUAAAAAAAUUAGAACCUAAUCUGCUAUAAAACAAAGGGAAAGGGAAAAGAGAAGUUGUAUAUGUUGGAGAGAAAAAAGAAGAAGGACAUUUUUGUCUCAACUGGGUUAACUAUUUUGCUUUUUGACUGAUGGGUUAUAUAUGUAAAUAUGGGGGUUAUUUUGAUCCAUUUAACCAAUUAACCCAUAAAUUAAUGUGGUGGCUCUAAUGGAGAGAUGCUUAGAAUAUGAUAUAAUGGGAGUAUGAGUAUAUAUGCAAAACAUAGAAGAAUAUAGAACGUAUGAAUAAAUGUAACUUUUGAGUAUGAGAUCAUAACAAAUUGGGUGCAGCAUAUAAAAAUAUAUUGCUUUAAGAAUUCUGGUGGGCUGAAUGUUUUGGUAUAGGAAUUAUUGGAGAGAAUAUGGAAUGCAAAAAUCUGGAAUAUUUUGGAUAAAUGAAAACUCACUUGUUGAUACAAACUCACUUGGUGGUUGUAGAAUUCCAAAUUGAAGUGCAGCACGUUAAUAUUUUUGGACAAGAGGUAUAAAUAGGAGUUAUACCUAGAACAUAGUGUAAAUAUACAGUGUCAAGUAGUAAAUAAUCUUAAAUAUAUAUACUAUAUUUGAUUAUAUGUUAAAAAAAAUGAUUUUCUCAUAUUUGGUUUCAUAAUAGAAAAUACGGAAAAAAUAUCAAAUAUAAUUAAAAUUAAUUAAAAAUUUAGACAUUUUAAAAUUAUUUCAUAUUUACAUAAAAGGAGAAAAGGAAUGAAACACGUUUGAAUUAAUAUAUUAAAAUGUAUUAAUGAUUUAAAAUUUUUUUUUUCAUUUUUUUUCUUUUCUUUAACUUUUCCUUUAUUUUCUUUCUCUCGUAUCUUCCCUUCAAUUUUCCAGAAACCAAACAUAGUUAAAAUAAACAUUUAAUUUGAAUUUCCUAAAAUAACCUAAUGGGAAUUUAAUUUAUUUUACUAUUUUGCAUUAAUUUAUGAAAUAUCUAUUUUUCUGUCCAAAUUUAGAAAUUUUUUUUUUGUAUUUUUGUAAAUUUUGUACAUGAAAUUUAUUCAUUCAAUUACACUAACAUUUAUAAGACAGUAUACAUCCUUAUCUGUAGCAUAAACUUUUCUUUCCAUUUUCACUAGUGUUCUUAACAGGCUAUGUUCAGACCCAACAAAUCCACUCAUGGUUCUUCCUUGGCAACUACGGAUCAUUGAAAACCAAAUCUCAAUGCUCCAUGCAUGAACACAAUCCCUCCAUUCGAGUCAGUCUCUGAUGUGUUUGUGCCCAUGGUUGUGGUACCAUAAGCACAAAUUCAUUUNNNNNNNNNNNNNNNNNNNNNNNNNNNNNNNNNNNNNNNNNNNNNNNNNNNNNNNNNNNNNNNNNNNNNNNNNNNNNNNNNNNNNNNNNNNNNNNNNNNNNNNNNNNNNNNNNNNNNNNNNNNNNNNNNNNNNNNNNNNNNNNNNNNNNNNNNNNNNNNNNNNNNNNNNNNNNNNNNNNNNNNNNNNNNNNNNNNNNNNNNNNNNNNNNNNNNNNNNNNNNNNNNNNNNNNNNNNNNNNNNNNNNNNNNNNNNNNNNNNNNNNNNNNNNNNNNNNNNNNNNNNNNNNNNNNNNNNNNNNNNNNNNNNNNNNNNNNNNNNNNNNNNNNNNNNNNNNNNNNNNNNNNNNNNNNNNNNNNNNNNNNNNNNNNNNNNNNNNNNNNNNNNNNNNNNNNNNNNNNNNNNNNNNNNNNNNNNNNNNNNNNNNNNNNNNNNNNNNNNNNNNNNNNNNNNNNNNNNNNNNNNNNNNNNNNNNNNNNNNNNNNNNNNNNNNNNNNNNNNNNNNNNNNNNNNNNNNNNNNNNNNNNNNNNNNNNNNNNNNNNNNNNNNNNNNNNNNNNNNNNNNNNNNNNNNNNNNNNNNNNNNNNNNNNNNNNNNNNNNNNNNNNNNNNNNNNNNNNNNNNNNNNNNNNNNNNNNNNNNNNNNNNNNNNNNNNNNNNNNNNNNNNNNNNNNNNNNNNNNNNNNNNNNNNNNNNNNNNNNNNNNNNNNNNNNNNNNNNNNNNNNNNNNNNNNNNNNNNNNNNNNNNNNNNNNNNNNNNNNNNNNNNNNNNNNNNNNNNNNNNNNNNNNNNNNNNNNNNNNNNNNNNNNNNNNNNNNNNNNNNNNNNNNNNNNNUGUAUAAGUUCCUCCAUACCUCUGGCAUGCUUCUUUCUCUCCCAGUCAUGACAACCAAAUUAAGAAAAUAAUUCCCCUUCUACUGUUUCCCAAAAGUAUACAGGGCUAAGGACUACAAGAUUAGAGUAUAGUACACGAGUAACGAGUUGAUUCCAAUACAUAUAAAAUACGAGAAAAGGGAAAGAGAGAGACCAUAUGGGUCGAGAGAAGAAGCAACGAUGUUGGAAGCAGAAGCAAAAGAGUGAGCCAAACACAGAGAGAAAGAGAAGUCUCCUUCACCAACCAAGAGAAUUUGAUGAAACGAGGAAUAAUGCAUCAACCGUUUCUCUUGUUCUUCCACACCCACUUCAUCUUUCACCAUUUCCUCCCCGACAGCCAUUGACGCUUUCUACAGUUACAGAACCAGAGAGACUCUUUGAGAGAGAAAGGCAGUGAAAGUUUGGCCGUGUUUAAGGGGCUUAUUUGAAAAAUAGAGAUGACUUUCAAAUAGAAAUAUUUUUUAAGAAAAUAGUGAGGAUGUUUUUGUCAAAAAAAAGGAGACCAAAAAUUGAUGGAAGGUUUAGGACCUAUUUAAUAAUUGUUUUUGAAAGUACCGGUUCUAAAAAAUAAGUAUUAAGAAUAGUUUUUAAAAAUUGUUCUUUUAUUUUGUUAAAUAAAAAUUUAUUCAAAGAUUGAAAAUGUUUUUAAUUUAUUUUUAAUAUUUUUAAAUGAAUUUUAAAAAUAACUUUUAUGUUUAGUGCUUUAUUUUUAAUUAUUUUGCAUGUUUGUAUGAUUAUUUUUUAAAAUAAUUAUCAAUAAACAAGUGAAAAUAUAAAAAAAUAAAAAUAAAAAAACAAUUAAAAUAUAUUAUUCAAAAUAUUUUUAAAAAUAGAAAACAUAAAACAAUUUUGGACUCUGUGAUGAUCAGACCCUCAUAACCGGACGAAUCAUAAAAAUUUAGUGAAAUGGGAGUGUAUAAAGCAAGAUAAGAUGUACUAAAAUUAUUUUAAUUGAGGAUUCUAAUUGAACUCAAAAACCUUUCAAAAGAAAAAUAAGCUUUUUUGUCAUAACUUAUAUUCAGUACUGGUGCUUGAAUUGCAGGAGAUCCAUCAGUCUUGGGUGUGAGAGAUGAGAGUUGUGCUGAGAGUGAAGGGAGAGCAAUAUCAGGAGGUAAAGAAGUUUCCCAUGAUUCGUACGUCCAAAGACUUGGGUGGACUUGGCCAUUUUUUUAAUGUGCAAAUAUGCUACGUGGAGGCACUCUAUUCGGAUUAAUAAAGUGAUAAAAGAAAAAAAAGAAAAAAAGAAAAAAGGGAAGUAAAGUCCAUUUCAUCAAAGCAUUUGAUACCCGAAGUGAUGGAAGUAAUUAAAAGAGAUUGAUGAUGAUGAUAGCUACACCGAACAGCAUUUGAUACCCAACACAUGAUCAUUUCAUCACAGCCCUUCGUUUAGUUUGGACUCUGUGAUGAUCAUACCCUCAUAACCUCACGAAUCACAAAAAUUCAGUGAAAUGGGAGUGUAUAACGCAAAAUAAGAUGUACUAAAAUUAAUUUAAUUGAGGAUUCUAAUUGAACUCAAAAACCUUUCAAAAGAAAAAUAAGCUUUUUAUUCAUAACUUAUAUUCAGUAGAAACUGACAGUCCAACAACCCAAGAACCAGUACAUAAAAGGCAAAUGCUUUAUCAUUUGCAAUGAAGCACCUUUUCUUCAAAGAAUACUUAAUGGUUAAGAAGUUGGAAGAUAGAGUCCCAAAAUGAUAGAUGAGUUUGAAUGCACCUUUUCUUUUUGGCUAAGACGAAGUAACCCGACCCAUUGCAACCCUCAGCCCUAAGAAUACUAGUGUCACAAACUCAGGACGACCAAUGGUUACUUUGAGUAAANNNNNNNNNNNNNNNNNNNNNNNNNNNNNNNNNNNNNNNNNNNNNNNNNNNNNNNNNNNNNNNNNNNNNNNNNNNNNNNNNNNNNNNNNNNNNNNNNNNNAUGGACUGAGACCAUGCAAAUAAUUUGCCCAUUCAGUUUAUGGGCUGUGAUUGGAAGAUGAGAGGUUUCCAUCUGAUGAGAGGAUGAAGAUGAUGAGAUGAUGAUAUCAGAAGUAGAGGAUGAUGAAUUGGUAGCCAUUCCAAAGGCUGGACCGUAUUUAGGCAUAAAUUAGAAGAAUAGAAUUGAGUAAAAAAAAAACUGACUAAAGAUGAAGACGAUGAGACAGGAUUAAACCUGCUCUGAUACCAUGAAGAAUUUGAAGAAAAAUAUGAAGAAUUUGAAGAAAAAAUAUGGAGGAACACCUCAAUUCAUUCUGUGAUACCUCGCUUUACAAUGAAUGAAAGCAUAAAUAAAUAGCCUACGGAUAUGAGACAAUUCCGGAAUGGAAUUUCCCUUACAUGGAAAGUGAAUAAACUCUUACAUGGAAAGUGAAUAAACUACCUUGCUAGAAUUACUCCUAAAUAUAUAAACUACUCUUACAUGGAAAGUGAAUAAACUACCUUGCUAGAAUUACUCCUAAAUCAAUUAUAAUAAAGGCUGUACAUUACACUAAUUAGGGAAGUAAACAGAGGAUGCUGGCUUGAUUUCCAACAAUGAUGAUGAUAGCUACACCGAACAGCAUUUGAUACCCAACACAUGAUCAUUUCAUCACAGCCCUUCGUUUAGUUUGGACUCUGUGAUGAUCAUACCCUCAUAACCUCACGAAUCAUAAAAAUUCAGUGAAAUGGGAGUGUAUAACGCAAAAUAAGAUGUACUAAAAUUAAUUUAAUUGAGGAUUCUAAUUGAACUCAAAAACCUUUCAAAAGAAAAAUAAGCUUUUUAUUCGUAACUUAUAUUCAGUAGAAACUGACAGUCCAACAGCAACCCAAGAACCAGUUCAUAAAAGGCAAAUGCUUUAUCAUUUGCAAUGAAGCACCUUUUCUUCAAAGAAUACUUAAUGGUUAAGAAGUUGGAAGAUAGAGUCCCAAAAUGAUAGAUGAGUUUGAAUGCACCUUUUCUUUUUGGCUAAGACGAAGUAACCCGACCCAUUGCAACCCUCAGCCCUAAGAAUACUAGUGUCACAAACUCAGGACGACCAAUGGUUACUUUGAGUAAAGGAGAGCUUUUUUGUGGACCUGACAUGAUAUGACCACCGACAUUAAGUUUUAAUGUAAAUCCAACUAGGAUUCAGCCAUCUAUUAUGCUAAUAACAUCACUCCCACCUCCCAAAAGGGAAAAAGCCUGUAAUAGGAAGAAGAGAGGGUUAAGAAUGCCGAGAGCCAAUUUCUAUCCUAAUGAUUGUUGCCCUGAUCUCAACACGCCACUUUGCAGAGAUCUCUAGUUUUGCCAUCUGGUCACCAUAACAUAAAUUAUGUUAUCUUGAUCCAUAACGUCCAACUUUUUUCAAAUACUUUCUUAGUGGGUAAGCAUCAAUAUACCACAUAAAACAUUGGUAUCACAGACCAAGACCAAUGUGUGGUUAAACAUACAAUAAAUCAUUUCAAUGCAAAGAAGAAACCUUCUGUGAGAUGGGGAGGGGCAGACAAGUGACCUAGAUCAAGAACUUCCUCCUCGCUUAUUGAUAUUACAAGCAAAGAAGAAAGAUGUUUCAUCUUCUGGAUGGAUGCACACAAAUCCUUCCCAUCCUUUCUUUCAAGUUCUGUGAUCGCGAGUUUCCUCAUUGCAGUCAAAUUUCCCAAUUCCUUAGCAAUUCCCUGGCUUGUUUGCCUUGACAAGUGACAACCUCUGUAUUGAUGAUAAAACCCACCAAUUCCUGAAAACAAUUCUGCUCCUACACGGGCUUGAUCUCCAUCUUGCUGAUGAUCAACCAAAAGUAAGACAAGUUUGUGGAGUUUACGGAUAGUUUUGGGCAACUUGGAAACAAAAGUUUGUCUGAGUUCCAAAGUUUCUAGGUUUUGAAUCUUCUCCACUGAGCUUGAAACUGCCUUUAUCUUGGUAUUCCUCAGUUUCAAUUACUUUAGUAGGGUGAGAUUAACAACCACUUCGGGAAAAGUUUCCAAAACUGCAUCUUUCAACUCCAAAACUCUCAAUAAUCUUAAUCUCUAGUGUUUUUCUAAAUAUGGAAGUAGUGAAAUUCUCUCUUCCAAAUUUGAACAAGGUGCGAAGACAAGAGAAAUCCUUGCUUUGCAAUGAAUCUGUGAAAGCAUCAUGGAUUGCUAUACAUCGAUGGCUAAAGUGAUAAUAUCGAUCUACGUUUUGUAUGGUCAAAACUUUGCAGAAGCUUGCAUCUUCAGAUAUUGGAAAUAAGGUAUUCUCGCACAAGAUUCUUAACUUGACACCUUCUUACUACGCCUUGGAAAUCCCUUUUGUUUGCGUCAACCAAGCACCCAUUGAUCAGCUCAUCGAGGUAGGCAUCCGCCACCUCCUUCAGUGUUUUACCUCUUUUCUCCUCAACAAAUCCUUCAGCUAUCCACAAGCUAAUCAGCCUUCCACUAGCAAAAGAAUAAUCCUCGGGAAAUUUGCAGAAGUGAAAGAAACAGCGCUUAAGAUGGAAAUAUCUUUGCUGUAAUACUCUCCGAAUAAUCCCAAGUUUGGAAUUGCUUUAGAUGAAAGGGGUGAUGAAACGAGAGAGAUGAGAGGAAAAGAUGCUAAUAUUAUUUAUCUCAGUGGUCUUCUACAAUAACAGAGCAGACAUUAUAUACAAGCAGAAGAUACACAUCCUAACCAACUGUACAUGUGGAGCUAAAAGACUAGAGAGAAAAUAAUAUCCUAACUAAUUACAGCUUUAGGCUUAAUAUCCCCCCUCAAGCUCAUUGGUCUAGUGAGAACAGUGAGUUUGGAACGUAGAGUGAUGAAACGUUGGGUGGAAAGAGGCUUGGUCAUACAAUCAGCAAGUUGAUCAUCAAAAGGUGUGAACUAGAGAGAGAGAGCAUUGAAGAACAUGUUCCCGAACAAAGUGGUAGUCGAUUUCCACAUGUUUGGUUCGGGCAUACAAAAUAGGAUUGGCAUCUAAGUAUGUUGCACUGAUAUGGUCACAGAGAAUGAGAGGAGGUGAGUGGGAGUAAUGGAAAGUUCACGAAGAAGAGAUUCAGUCCAAGCAAUUUCAGCAACCCCAUUUGCUACCCCUCGGUACUCUGAUUCGGUGUUGGACCGGGAUACCACUUCUUGUUUGGAAGGGCACCAACAAAAAUGCGAUAAUCUGAAUCAUUUUCAAGAGCCACACCAUCAUGAAGAGAGAGAUUUGUGUUGGAGGACAAGGGAGUGGGACAUGGCUUGGCAUCCAACAUAGCAGCUCAGGUAAAGAGAUCAAUGAUAUGCUUUGCUUGGCUGAGGUGAAUACCAGUAGGGGUGUGAUGAACCUCCAAGCCCAAAAAAUAGUGUAGAGGACCAAGAUCCUUUAAAAAAAAACUGAUGAUGCAACUGUUAGAUAAGGUGAGUAACCUGAGUAAAGUGGCUAGCUCCCAAUGACGAUUAUAUCGUCCACAUAUACAAGAACAAGAAGUAAUCCAUGAGAAGAAUGACAAAUAAAUAAGGAAGAGUCAUUCUUAGAAGUAACAAAUCCCAAGUGUAACUGAGAAUUACUGAGCUUAGUAUAUCAAGCAUGGGGUGACUGUUUAAGGUCGUAGAGAGACUUAUCUAACUUGCAACCAUGAGUAGGAUAGAGAGGAUAAAAAAAUCUAGGUGAUUGUUCCAUGAAGAUGUCUUCAACCAAGUUGCCAUGUAAAAAGGCAUUAUGAGCAUCCAGUUGUCUAAUACACCAAUUUUGUGAAAGAGCAAGGUUGAACACAAUACGGAUAGUAAGAGGCUUGACAACAAGGCUAAAUGUUUUGAAGUAGUCAAUACCUUUGGUUUGAUGAUAACCCUUAGCUAUUAAGCGGGCCUUGUAUCUCUCAAUUUGGCCAUCAGGCUGGAGCUUUAGCUUCUAGACCCAUUUACAACUGAUUACUUUUACUGAGAAAGGUGAAGGAAUAAUAUGCCAGGUCUUGUUGUGCUGAAGGGCAGCAAAUUCCAAUUACAUGGCCUACUUCCAUGAAAGAUCUUUAAUAGCUUGGAGAAAGGAAGUUGGCGCAAUGAGAGAACCUGUGGAGACACUCAACAACAGUUUAGGCUUAUAGAUACCAGCCUUAGACCUGGUCACCAUAUGAUGAAUAUUGUGAGUGCGAAAAAAAGUAAGUAAAUUUGUAUCCACAUUAGGUACAAGCAAGUCUACACUAGGAGGAAGAGGAAAAAAAAAGUGGAGCAGAUGAAGACAUAGAGUGUGAAAAAAAGGGAAGGGAUGUAAGGGCAAUGAGAAGGGAACAAGUACUAGAGGUAGAAGAGGAAGAGGAAAAAGAAGGAGGUAUAAAUGGAGAAGUAAGAGGAGAUGAGGAAAUGAGAGGCAAGGGAAUGGACAGGGGAAUUUAUAAAAAAGAGGAAGAAGAAAUAGACGAAAAGGGAGAAGAUGAAAAAUUCUUGAAUGGAAAAGAAUCCUCAUUAAAAAUCACAUGGCAAGAAAUAUACACCCUGCCAUAAUGAAUGUCAAGACACAAAUAACCUUUAUGGUGUGAACUGUAACCAAGAAAAGCACACUCCAAUGACCUGUGUAGGAGCUUAUGGGUAUUAUAAAGGUGCAGAUAUGGAAAACAAGAGAAACCAAAAACCUUAAGAUGGGUAUAAGCUAGGAGUUUAUGAUAGAGUACAAAGUAAGGGGAUUGAUGGUGCAACACAAGGGUGGGAAGACGAUUAAUAAGGUAAGUGGCAAUUUGAAAGGCAUAAAGCCAAUAAGAUAGGGGCAUACCCAAGUAAGCAAGAAAGGAUAAUCCCAUUUCAACCACAUGGCGAUUUUUUUGCUUAACUCGCCCAUUUGAGUUGUUAUGUGUAUAGACAAGAUAAACAAUGGACAAUGCCUUGAGUAGAAAACAGUAUGGAGAGAGAUCAAAACUCAUCUCCGCAAUUAGAUUGGACAACCUUAAUCUUGGUAUUAAAUUGAUUUGCAAUGAGAGCUUGAACUUGAGAAAAGUAGGAUAUGUUUCAUAUUUUGUUUUGAGCAAAUAAAACCAAGCAAAACAAGUAUGAUCAUCAAUAAAAAAGUAAAAAAUAACUAGCACUAGAAAUAAAGCUAAUAGGAGAAGGACCCCAUAGGUUUGUAUGAAUUAACUCGAAAGGUUUUAUUGCAAUGGAUGGAAAUAAAGAAAAAUGAAGCUUGUGGAUUUUUUCUAAUUGACAAGAAUUACAAAAUUUAAGACGAAUUUUCUGUGUUCGAGCAAUAUUACAAGAAUCCAAGAUUUGAUUAACAACAGAUAAAACUGGGUGGCCUAGUCUCUUAAGCCAUAGAUUUGGAUCCUUGAUGUUGGCUAUGAAAACUCGAGGAGGAAAGAACGCAGUAGAAGGAGAGCAUGAUGACUGAACUUUGUAUAAGCCAUUAUCAAGUUGACCCUGAAGGAAAACCCUCUUCGAAACCUGACCCUUGAGAAGAAAAUGAGUGGCAUAAAAUUCAACAAAAACUUUAUUAUCAUAACACAAUUUUGUAACACUAAUAAGAUUAUUUGAAAUUUUUGGAGUGUGAUAGACCUGAUGUAGAACAAAAGGAGAAUACGAGGAUGGUAGUUUUGCAGUACCAAGAUGUGAGAUAUAGAGUUUCUUACCAUUCCCAACUACCACUUGAUUUGAACCACUAAAUGGUGUCACAGUGUCAAGUAUGUUGAUGUUUAGACUAAAGUGAUGUGUAGCACCUGAGUCCAUGUACCAAUUUGUACCAGGAAUAGUGUUAUGCAUAGUAGUAGGAUGAGCCAUUGCAGGGUAAGAAAAUUCUAGAGGAUUAGAGAGCUGGAAUUUUUGGUGAAAUAGUAUUGAAAGAUUUAGGAGAAGGUUAGGAUGGAUAGUUCAAAUUUGUGCGAUGGAAGCAAAUAUGAGUAGUGUGUCUAAAUUUGGCACUGAGGCUUUUGAUUCUGGAUUGAAAAAUGUGGUUUCCAUUGAGGUUAAGGUUGUCGUGGUUGUGGUUUGCCCAAAAUGAUGGGUUGAUAUUGACUAGUGGUUGGCUCAAAAGGUGGAGGAGAGGAUCUAGGUUGAAUGUGAAUGUGAUUGAAUGUAAGUUGAGGAAUUGAUUUAUAAGGUUUCUUGUUCAGAUGAGCCAUAUGGACUUGAGCAUAAUUGAGAGAAACAGAGUUUUGUUGUUCAAGACGGAAGUCAUAGCUAAGUAAUAGGCUAUGGAUUUUCUCAAUAGUCGGUUGGUCAGAUCGAUUUUGAAUUGAGGUAACAAAAGGAUUAUUCUCAUGAUCUAAUCCACUAAACAAAUAGAUGAGAUGGUCUUUCUCAGAAAUUGGUUUUCUUAUUGUUGCAAGACUGUUGCAAAUGAAUUUGAGUUGUUGAAUAUAUUCUCCAACUAAGAGUCUAUCUUUCCCGAGCGUUUGAAGUUUGGUGCGAAACUUUGUAACCCGUGCCAUAGAAAAGGCAAAGUAAAUCUGAUUAAGGUUAUUCCAAAUCUCCAUAGCUAUUGAAUACCCAACAAUCUAAGCCAUUUUAUCUUCGAACAAGGAUGAGUAUAGCCAACUCAUCAAAAGUCGAUUAUAUCUUUGCCAGAUCAAGUACUUUGGAUUGAUGAUCUGUUGUUACAGAUCAAGGAAUUGAGGAGGGCAAGGUUGAGAUUCGUCAAUGAAAUCAUCAAGUCCUUUAGCGAUGAUGACAUUCAGAAACUAAUUCUUCCAGAUGAGGUAGUUCCCAUUAUCUAGCUUUACUAUGAGAGGUUGAUUCAUAAACGGGAGUUGGUGGAGGAAGGUUGUUUGACUGAGAUAAUGGGUUUUGCACAUUCACAAUGCUAACAGAAGGUGAUUUAGAGGUUUCAUUGAAAGAAGCCACGGAAGCUCUGAUACCAAGAUGAAAGAGGUGAUGAAAUAGAGGGAAACAAAAAGAGAUGAGAGGAAAAGAUGCUGAUAUUAUUUAUCUCAAUGGUCUUCUACAACAACAGAGCAGACAUUAUAUACAAGCAGAAGAUACACAUCCUGACCAACUGUACAUGUGGAACUAAAAGACUAGAGAGAAAAUAAUAUCCUAACUAAUUACAGCUUUAGGCUUAAUAGCUUUUCAUAUUAGAUCCUAGACUGGUAUUCACUUUCUGGAACUCUAAUGGUGUUGGUUGUUUAGUUGAUAAUAGACUAACCAAGGUGACUAUUGUAAGUGGCAGCCCUUCAAACCUGCUCAAGAGAUCAUCAGAUAUGUUUUUUUAAGUGCUUAGGACAUUCAGUGCUAUGGAAAGCCUUCUUAAAUAAGAGCUCUAAAGCCUCGUUCCCUACUCAAGGAUGUAGAUUGUAGAUAUCAUCUGAACAUUUAGAAGCUAAAUCACGCCUACAUGUAGAUGAUUACUACUCAAAAAGUGCUAUUUCAUAGCUUGUAAUUAACUCUUUUAAAAACUUUUGAGUAGUAGUUAUUGCCUUUUAACCCAAUUAACAUGUUAAGGACCCUUGCAAUCAAUUCUAAUCAAAUUGUGUUAAGUUUUGGUGUUUUGAUAUCUUUUUUAUCACCAAAGCAAUCCAAGAAUGAGGGAGAGCUGUAUAUAGUUAUGGCAAAGCUUUUGGAAGCUCAAAUUCAUGAAGAACCAAGCUUUGGAGCCUCAUAUUCCUUUGCCUUAGUCGUUCAAAGUAUGCAAGGAAAGAGCACUGGAGAGAGGAAAACAGAGUGAAGAAAACAGAGGACAGCAGCUGCAGUCUUCUUGUGCACUUUUGGAGCACUUCCCGAAGUCCAUUUUCUACAUGCUAUAUACCAUUUCAAAUCUCAGGAAGUCAAGAAUCCAACGCUUCAAACCGUCUACGAUUUGGAGCUGAAAUGAGGAAGUUACAGCCUUUGGAAGAUGACUGCUCCAAGCUGAAGGAAGGAUUCAGCAAAGUGUUGCGAAAUCACCCUUUUGUUGCGGAAUGAUUUCGCAGCCUUUUUGCACAGUGCUUUGGAUUUCCCUUGAAGUUUCACGCCGCGAUGGAAGCCAAACACCACAAGAUGAAAGCCAACUUCGCAGCGGUGCGGAACCAGCCUUUUGCUGCGAAGUAAUUUCGCAGCCCUUUUUGGAUGUCUGCGAAAUCUCGCAGACCUCGUUUUCACCUGCGAAAUGGUCCUUAGUGCUUCCCGAUAUUUGCGACCGACUCUUUUAGAUCUUUUCUUCAGAUAUUUUUGUAUAAAUUUCCAUUUUCUCCUUGUAUUCAGCCACUCAUGUAAUUCCUUAGCUAGGAAGUAUCCAAGGAAGGGUAAAUUACCUUCCUAUAUAAACUCUCUUGUAAACACUAAAAAGACGACGCUCGGAGAAGUAUGUAAUAUAGAAAGAUAUAUAGAUAUAUCAUAUAUAGAAUCAACGAACAGAGCACUUGCUCUGUUUUUCAUAUAUAUUCUUGUUUUCUCUUUAGUUUUCUUUCUAGCUAAUCAAACUCUGAGGAUUUUUCCUCAGAGGAUGAGAGGCUAGGCUCUUUGUCUCUUGGAGUGAGGAAAGCCGGGUAAGUUUCCACAUGCAUAAAUUGGAAGUUUUGUUGUUUUAGUUUUUAAUGAAGAGAAAGUGUGACCCGUUAAUGGUUUUUAUUUUUUUAGUUAACUUAAAAUGCCUUUAAAUCACCUGGGCCAACACUUGGUAAGGCAAGUGAUCUCCGUCCAUGGAGAUGCACUAGUUUACCGCUUGUGAGCCUUUGGGAGGUGACUUGAAGGUAGGAUUUUCUAGAAUAGCCAACACUUGGUAAGCUUUUGGACUCCAAGGAGACAUCCAUUAGUUAUCUCUUGCGAGCUUUUGACGGGUAAUCCAAGGUUAAAGAUCACCUUGAAUGGUAAGUGCUAGUGAGAGGCAUGAACCAUUGCAAAGUGCAUCAGUGAGAGGGAUUUAGUGUUUGAACCCAUUAAUGGGAAGCAUCUGUACAGCACCGGUUGGAGAAGGAACUAUAUGUUAAUUCUCUAAUGCGAGGAAAAGAAACAAGUGACCGGAACUCUCCUUUUUGUAUGACGAACCUGAGCCUAGUGAUCUGAACUCCAAGAAACAUCUUUCUUUGUAAGUAAAAUCAGUUACUAUUUUUGGUUAGUUUAAAACCAAACCUUUUUCAUUCAAACAUCUUUAUGUUUUCUUUUAAAGCUAACCUUGAAAUGAAAAGGCACCAAUUCAGCUUUGGAUUAAUAUCAUUUGUGAAGUGAAAACCCAUCCCAGUGAACGAUCCUAGAGCCACUAUGCUAUAGUAGCUUUGUCUUUGCUACCCUAGUAUAUGGUGUUAUAGGUUAUAAAUUUUGUUGAUUACCCCCUCAAUCAAGGAGCACCAGCUGGACACGAAUCAGCUGAGACACCAAUUGGGCACGAAUCAAAUGGCGCCGUUGCCGAGGAUCGAACCUCGAAUCAAAUGGUGCCGUUGCCACUACCGCUGCUAGGGACGAAUCAAAUGGCGCCGUUGCCGGGGAUGGUGCCAAUUUGCAGUGAUAUCACCUUUUCAGAGUACUUGUGAUCUUCAUCACAAGUUUGGUGACUUUUCUUUUCCUUUUACUAACUCUUUUUAUUUCUUUAUUGUUCAUAUUUUAGUAUACCUUUUCUUUAGUUUUUAGUUUACCUUAAUUUUCUUUCUUUGAAUUGUUUUUCUUUUAUUUUCUUUGUUUUCUCUGUUUUUAAUUCACAAAUUGCUAGUUGUGCAUGCUAUAUUGAUUACGAGAUAGCAGAAGAAGCCAUGAACUUCUUGAGUUAUGUGGCUGAAUUUUCAAGAGAAUGGGGUGAACCAAAUGCUAGAGAUAUGGAAAGAAUGAUGUCUCAACCUAAAGCUAAGGAUGAGAUGUAUAUUUUGAAUGAUGGUAUGAACAUGAAGGCAGAGAUUGCAGCUAUGGAAAGGAGAUUGGAAGAGCUAGAAAUGAACCAGAUGCAAGAAGUGCAAGCCAUCUCUCAAACACCAUUGCAAGCUAUGCCUUGUGCCAUUUGUCUAUCUUAUGAGCACUUAGUGGAUGAGUGUCCUACCAUUCCAUCCGAGAGGGAAAUGUUUGGUGAUUGCAACACCUACAAUUCUAAUUGGAGGGACCAUCCAAAUUUCUCUUGGAAACCACAGUCACCUCAGUAUCAGCAACCUGCUCAAGCACCACAGCAAGCCUCAAUCCUUGAACAAGCUAUGGUGAAUCUUUGCAAGUUCGUGGGAGAUUUUGUUGGAAAGCAAGAAGCCACCAAUGCUCGAGUCGAUCAAAGAAUGGAUAGAAUGGAGAGUAUGUUGAAUAAAAGGAUGGAUGAAAUGCAAAAUGAUCUAUCUCAGAAGUUAGAUAUUCUCCAAGAUUCAAUCUCAAGGCUUGCCAACCUCAACAUAGUGCAAGAGAAAGAAAACUCUCCUUCUCAACCUUGUCAAAAUUCUAUGAGUAUCCAUGAAAUGGAGGCUAAGGAGGGAAAACCUUCAUAAAAGAAGGAAGUCAAAGAAGUGAUCACUUUGAGGAGUGGUAAAGAGGUUGAUCUGCCCACAUGCAAGCUAGAGCAUAAGGUAGAGAGUGAAACAGAGAAAGAAAAGAGGGAGGAAAUCAAAGGAAAGAAAAAGGGGAAAAGCAUAGAGAAAGAUGGCUAUGAUGUUAAUGUACAGAGAGAACCACAGAGGAUAGUCAUCAAGGAAGAAUUGAUGAAGAAACACAUGCCUCCACCUUUUCUCCAAGCUUUGUAUGAGAAAAUCAUACAAAUCAAGUCUCAAGGGAGGGAUGCAAACUUCAUAUGGGAUCCGGGCAAGCUAAAUCAGGAUCAAAUUUUUUGAUGGACUUAGUCUUUCUAAAGACUAGCUAGUCCAUAUCUUUUUGUUUUGUUUUUUUUUACUUGUUUUAAUUUUGAUUUUAAUGUUUUAAUUUUGAUUUCAAUGCUUUAAUUCUAGUUUGUUUUGAUGUAAUAUAGGUUUUUGGAUGAUCAAAAUCAAGAGGAAUUGUAAAGAAAUUGAAGGAAGUCUUUCGGAGCAAAAUCGGAGUCAAACGGAGCGAAAACAGGAGAAAAACAAGGGAAAAACAGGGGUCUGCGAAAUUUCGCAGCCUCUGCGAAAUCGGCACUUUGUUGCGAAACCAUUUCGCAACUCAAUUGACUCCUCUGCGAAAAUUUUCGCAGCUGCGAAACCAACUUUGACACACGAGUGCCACUUCGCAGCACAAGAGCCAUCAUUUGGCAGCUGCGAAACGCAUUGCGAAGUGAAAAAGGCUGAUUUCGCAACAAAAGUCCCAUUCCGUAGAGGAUUUCGCGACUGCGAAGCACAUUUUGGCACACGAGUGCCAUUUCGCAGCACAGUGACCCUCAUUUCGCAGCUGCGAAACGGCUGCGAAGUCCCAAAACGUGAAAAAUCCCAAUUUCGCAGCUAAAGCUCCAUUCCGCAGGGUAUUUCGAAGCUGCGAAACCACUUUUUGGCACACGAGUGCCAUUUGGAAGCCCUGUACACUCAUUUCGCAGCUGCGAAAUGGCUACGAAACCUCAACACCUUAAAAUCCUUUAGCGCACACACCAUGAGCUGUCAUGUCACAGCCGCACCCCCAUUUCGGCAAUUGUUGGACACAUAUCGAUCACUUUCUGAAGUUCAAAUUAUGCAUGCAAUAUCUCGUUUCAAAGCUUGGGAAGUCAGAAGUCCAUAUAUUCAAACGGUACUUGAUUUGGAUUUGAAACGGAAAAGUUAUGGCCAUUUGAAGAUGACUGUGCAAACCAUGAGCGGAAAUGUCGCACCUCCAUUUCGCUACUGUUGGACACAUUUUUGAAGCACUUCCUGGAGCUCAAAUUAUGCAUACCAUAUCUCGUUUCAAAGCUUGGGAAGUCAGGAGUCCAACGCUUCAAACGGUAUGCGAUUUGGAGGUGAAACGAAGAAGUUAUGGUCGUUUGAAGACAAGCGCGCAAAGCUAAGCGGGAAUUUCGCAGCCAAGACACCAUUUGGAAGGGUGUUUCGCAGCUGCGAAACCACUUUUUGGCACACGAGUGCCAUUUGCAGCAUAGUUCCCCUCAUUUCGAAGCUGCGAUACAGCUGCAAAACCACUUUUUGGCACAUGAGAGCCAUUUCGAAGCCCCGUACACUCAUUUUGCAGCUGCAAAAUGAGCUGCGAAAUCAAUUUUGGGCUACGAAAUCACUUUUGAGCUGCAAAAUGGCUAUGAAAUGAUCUCCAAACUUUGAAAUGGCUGCGAAAUCUCCUCCAAGCUUAGAAAUGGCCUUCAAAUUGCAAAAUUGACUUGCAAAAUGGAGGGAGGUUUGCAAAAACACCUUGCAAAGCCAAGAGAAGUUGCUAAAAUACCAACAGAGCCUCACGACCAUGCAUAUGAAGAGGGGAGCCCUGCGUACCCUGGGAUCACACACACCAAGCCUCUCACUCCAUUUCUAACCUCCUAAAACCAUCAAAUCCCAUAGCUACCAACUGAAAGCUCCAGUUGAGAAGACUAUGCCAUCCAAGGAGAUUACCAAAACAGAGGUCAAAGUCCUGAUCCAACCCAUUCAAGAGGCCACCACAGACGCAUCAGCUCCACAGAACCUUACCAUUACUUGAUCAUCUUUUUAUUUUUUGUAUUUACUUAUUAUAUUAGUAUAGAUAAUUCCAUGCUUUGAUGUCUUACAUUUUGGGAUUGGAUGUAUUACUGAUGAUACAUCAUACAUAGACAUCAUUUUUUGUUUAAACUUGGCAUUUUUUUUAUUUUCUCUACUCACUAACUCUUUUGUGUUUUUUUUUAAACAUGUGGUUUCUCCUAUACGACUCAGACUCCAUGUUACUUAAGAGGUACCACUUCCUUCCUAUUUUUCAAUCGUUUUUGUCACAUUGAGGACAAUGUUCAGCUUGGUUGGGGGGAGAGUUGAGGAAGUAAGUAUUGUUAAUAAUGCUAAGUUAUUUUGGUAAUUUAGUUACUUUUUGCUUAAAUUUUAAAAUUUUUGCUUUAAACUCCAUGGAUAUUAAGGAUUAACUCUCAAAAUUAAAUGAGAGAAGUCGAGUUUCAACUUGAUUACAUGAGUCUUAGAGUUUGUAUUAUGCUCUUCUAAAAGUUGAUGAAUUGUUGAAACUCCCAUUGCUGCAAACUUAUCUCUUCCACCUUAAGCUAUUCGCACACAUACAUUAGAUUCCGGUUAUAAGAUGUGAAACUAUCUCACCCUCUAAGCUUGAGAAAUCAUAAUUUGACACCUUUAACCUCUCUUUAAUAGUGUUGGGACACCUCAUAAAGACCAAUGAGUCUUUGUAGAAAAAGAAAAAGAAAAAGAAAAAGAAAAAAAAAAUAAAUAAACUUCUUUACUUGCCUUGAAACCUGAGCAUGGUUCAAAGGGGUGGCGAAAGCCUUUAAAGCCUGGUGCCCUAAGCCUUUAUUGGUUGGGAGUCACCGAUCCUCUGCUUGUUACAUGGGUGAAUUGGUUAAGUUUAGUAAGUGAAAAGAAUUGUGAAUAAGAGGUGCGUUCCUAGCCUAUCAAGAGAUGGUUAAUUUUGCUAAGCUAAUCACAUUAACACUUAGCUUUUAGUGGAAGAAUUUGAUUUGGAUCUUUUGAGAGUGGAAAUUCUUUUGAUGCUUAAACUUGCAUAAUAUCCAUUCUUUGUACUCUAUGAUCAAGUGAAUGCUUUGACAACUCUUAUUAUAGGUUGAUUUUCACAUCUUUAUUGAUCCAUGGAUGUCCGUCAUGCCACUCAAUUAUUUUUUGGAGUGAUUUGCAUGACCUCUUUUAUGUAUAUUAUUAUGUUUGCUUAGUUUUUCUCUCCUUCAUUGCUAAGGGACUAGCAAUAUGUCGGUUGGGGGGAGUGAUUACUACUCAAAAAGUGCUAUUUCAUAGCUUGUAAUUAACUCUUUUAAACACUUUUGAGUAGUAGUUAUUGCCUUUUAACCCAAUUAACAUGUUAAGGACCCUUGCAAUCAAUUCUAAUCAAAUUGUGUUAAGUUUUGGUGUUUUGAUAGCUUUUUUAUCACCAAAGCAAUCCAAGAAUGAGGGAGAGCUGUAUAUAGUUAUGGCAAAGCUUUUGAAAGCUCAAAUUCAUGAAGAACCAAGCUUUGGAGCCUCAUAUUCCUUUGCCUUAGUCGUUCAAAGUAUGCAAGGAAAGAACACUGGAGAGAGGAAAAUAGAGUGAAGAAAAUAGAGGACAGCAGCUACAGUCUUCUUGCGCACUUUUUGAGCACUUCCCGAAGUUCAUUUUCUACAUGCUAUAUACCAUUUCAAAGCUCAGGAAGUCAAGAAUCCAACGCUUCAAACCGUCUACGAUUUGGAGCUGAAAUGAGGAAGUUACAGCCUUUGGAAGAUGACUGCUCCAAGCUGAAGGAAGGAUUCAGCAAAGUGUUGCGAAAUCACCCUUUUGUUGCGGAAUGAUUUCGCAGCCUUUUUGCACAGUGCUUUGGAUUUCCCUUGAAGUUUCACGCCGCGAUGGAAGCCAAACACCACAAGAUGAAAGCCAACUUCGCAGCGGUGCGGAACCAGCCUUUUGCUGCGAAGUAAUUUCGCAGCCCUUUUUGGAUGUCUGCGAAAUCUCGCAGACCUCGUUUUCACCUGCGAAAUGGUCCUUAGUGCUUCCCGAUAUUUGCGACCGACUCUUUUAGAUCUUUUCUUCAGAUAUUUUUGUAUAAAUUUCCAUUUUCUCCUUGUAUUCAGCCACUCAUGUAAUUCCUUAGCUAGGAAGUAUCCAAGGAAGGGUAAAUUACCUUCCUAUAUAAACUCUCUUGUAAACACUAAAAAGACGACGCUCGGAGAAGUAUGUAAUAUAGAAAGAUAUAUAGAUAUAUCAUAUAUAGAAUCAACGAACAGAGCACUUGCUCUGUUUUUCAUAUAUAUUCUUGUUUUCUCUUUAGUUUUCUUUCUAGCUAAUCAAACUCUGAGGAUUUUUCCUCAGAGGAUGAGAGGCUAGGCUCUUUGUCUCUUGGAGUGAGGAAAGCCGGGUAAGUUUCCACAUGCAUAAAUUGGAAGUUUUGUUGUUUUAGUUUUUAAUGAAGAGAAAGUGUGACCCGUUAAUGGUUUUUAUCUUUUUAGUUAACUUAAAAUGCCUUUAAAUCACCUGGGCCAACACUUGGUAAGGCAAGUGAUCUCCGUCCAUGGAGAUGCACUAGUUUACCCCUUGUGAGCCUUUGGGAGGUGACUUGAAGGUAGGAUUUUCUAGAAUAGCCAACACUUGGUAAGCUUUUGGACUCCAAGGAGACAUCCAUUAGUUAUCUCUUGCGAGCUUUUGACGGGUAAUCCAAGGUUAAAGAUCACCUUGAAUGGUAAGUGCUAGUGAGAGGCAUGAACCAUUGCAAAGUGCAUCAGUGAGAGGGAUUUAGUGUUUGAACCCAUUAAUGGGAAGCAUCUGUAUAGCAUCGGUUAGAGAAGGAACUAUAGUUAAUUCUCUAAUGCGAGGAAAAGAAAUAAGUGAUCGGAACUCUCCUUUUUGUAUGACGAACCUGAGCCUAGUGAUCUGAACUCCAAGAAACAUAUUUCUUUGUACGUAAAAUCAGUUACUAUUUUUGGUUAGUUUAAAACCAAACCUUUUUCAUUCAAACAUCUUUAUGUUUUCUUUUAAAGCUAACCUUGAAGUGAAAAGGCACCAAUUCAGCUUUGGAUUAAUAUCAUUUGUGAAGUGAAAACCCAUCCCAGUGAACGAUCCUAGAGCCACUAUGCUAUAGUAGCUUUGUCUUUGCUACCCUAGUAUAUGGUGUUAUAGGUUAUAAAUUUUUUUGAUUACCCCCUCAAUCAAGGAGCACCAGCUGGACACGAAUCAGCUGAGACACCAAUUGGGCACGAAUCAAAAGGCACCGUUGCCGGGGACCGAACCUCGAAUCAAAUGGUGCCGUUGCCACUGCCGCUGCUAGGGACGAAUCAGUAGAGAAGAUUAUUCUACUGUUAUUGCCAUUGUCGGGUAAUUUUUUAAUGUUGUUGCACCAACCAUGGUUCCAAACUCCCUUUAAAACCAUUAGGUACCUUCUUUGUUGCAAGUAACUGACCAAAUUUUGUUCAAAAUUUCCUCCUGGGGAAAUUGGUACUCCCAUUUCUUUUCAAUUUUUUUCCCAGGAAUCUUUACAAGAGGUUAAGUGAGGAACCCAAGCAUGACAUUCAAAAUGGCCCUUCACCCUUUCAUUCUCGCAAACUUUUUUUUAUCAGAAUGGUCUUACCAGAGCUAGUGGAUCCAACUACUGAAAUCACCAGAUGCCUUAAUUCUUUCUUGAUAAGAGAUCAAUUGUAUGUCUCUCCAUUCCUAUGAGCUCAUCAUUGCUAAGGACGGGAUAAGCCAUGUCAGGGACCUCUCCUGCAAUGGAACUUGAGGCUACUCCAAAGGAAGAUUUUCGAAAUGGAUCUAACUCUUUGAAAAUUUUGAUCUUGGCUUGAAUAACAUAUGUAUAGGAGGAUAAUAUAUGGAAUGCUCUCUAGUCCAUGACCUUGUGGGAAAUGUUAUGAAGAGCUAUGGAGAUUUUAUGUUCAUGGAAGUGUUCGAGCACAUCAACCAUGAACUAUUCAAGAGCAUCCUCAAUCUCAUAUGCAAUCUCCCAUACUUUGUUUUGCGUCGAUCUUUAGCACCUUCAGUGCCUUGUUCUCGUUGCAUGGUGUCUUUGAGGUAGGCUUGCAUGGUUUCCAAAUCUUCUUCAAUAAUGACGAUUUUUAGCUUCGACUUUGGGUUUCUUUAACUAAAGAAGGUCUGUACAACACCAAGUGUUGUUGCAACUGCUAUUUCUGCCAUGAUCUAGUCCUCUCUGUCAAGUCCCUACCUUCUUAAUCCCAAUUUUAUCUCUUUAACCAACAACGACCUUGCUUAUUUUUGUGAAAAGACCUCCACCCCAAUUUAUUAAAGCAAUUGGGAUUAAAAACUUCCUACUUACUUGUUGAUAACUGACUGCUGAAUUUUCAAUUGUUCCUGUCAAUUAAGCUUUUGUCUUGAAUUUUCCUACGUUCAUUUAGAAGAUUGUUGAUAUAUGUAUUGUAACUUGCAACACUAUGUAUAACGACCCAUACCCAACCGUAUAACAUGGAUCAAAAUCUAGUUCGGAUAUCAUUUGUAACAACUUAUACCCAACCAUAUAGAUAUUUGUUAGCCUGAGGGUUCUCCUAAUCGGGUUUUGAUGAUAACACACCAUGGUUAAAUGACUAAUUGGUUUAAAUGUUUAAGAAUCUCAGGUAUAAACUCGAAAAUUCAUCAAAGGACCAAAUGGAUACAAGAUCGAGAUGCUUGGAAGACUUGUGAUCAUAGGAAACUAAUGUAAGAUGAAUGCUUGAGUGCACUUAAGAUUUUCAUACAUUUCAUGCAUCUUAAGAAACUCGGUUUAUUCUUUAAAACUUUGAUUUCAUUAAAACCCGAGUUUCUAACUAAUGUACCUUAGGCAAAAUGUUUUAUAAUUGGCUUAAUAAUUUACCUAAAGACCUUGCCUAAGUGUUAGAAAAGAAAGGAAUAAAAAAAUAGGUUUUCAGGGCCAAAAAGGCUCAACCAGUCGAGACUAUGGCCAACCGGUUGAGGAACCGGUCGACCAGUUAUGCUCAUUCAGGUCGAGGACCGAUCGAGGGAGGUAAAAAAUCUUCUCUUUCUCCCAGUAGCUUUCUCUUCCCAGUCGAGGGAUUUCUCUUACUGGUUGAGGUCCGGUUGAGGCAACGGUAACUUGUCAUGCCCUAAAUGCUCCAAUGGCUAGUGAACCGAUCGACCCUUAGCUCGACUGAACGAGGUUACCUUUUGCUGUUUUUGACUCCCAAGCUUAGAAACCUAUAAAUUGAGAGCUCCACUUAAUUUAUUAACAAAAGAACACUUGCAUUCAAUAGCCUACUUACCUGUUCUUGAUAAAAAAGCUUUCAUUUCUUUCAUAGUGCAUUAAAUCACCACUUGCAUAUCCUUUAGUGCACUCUUGUGUGUCAUCCUAGCUUUGUCUUGUAUUUGAGCUAUCCUUAAGCUAAGUUGAGGGAUUAUAUCUUGUAAAAUCUGAGUGUUAAAGCCUUCAAGAGGGUUGAAUCUUGAAGAGGUUGUGUAAGAGCCAAUUGGAGUCGGAAUCCAAGUGUAAGAAGAUUGGAAGCUUGGUUGAAGCUUUAAGUUAGUGGAACCCUCACUCGGUUAGGAGGUUGAAGAGAGUGGAUGUAGGCAAGGAAGUGUCGAACCACUAUAAACCCGAGUUUGAAUUCUCUAAACUCUAUCUCUUUACUUUACUUAUAUUGUGUUUGAAUUUGUUGUGAUUGAAAAGAUUUUAAAAACCCAAUUCACCCCCCUCUCCUCCUCCCCCCCCCCCUCCUUUUGGGUGUUUUUAUUAACUAAGCAUAGUCUUUGCUUUCUCAAUUGGUAUUAGAGCUAGACUUCUUUUUAAGACUUAAUUGUUUAAGAGGUAAUGACUAUUCCAUCAAGCUUAUCCCAAGCUGAAAAUUUUUCAAAACAUAGAGCUCCAUUCUUUACGGGAACCGACUAUCCCUAUUGGAAAAUUAGAAUGACUUGGUAUUUACAAUCUAUUGAUUUAGAUGUAUGGGAUGUCAUUAAAGAUGACCCAACUUUUCCCAAUAAACUAGUUGAUGGAGUUUUGGUUCCAAAACCCAAGCAAGAAUGGAAUGAGCUUGAUAGAAGAAACUUUCAAUUAAAUGCUAAAGCCGUUUUUACUUUGCAAUGUGCUAUGGAUAGAAAUGAAUAUAAUAGAAUAUGUCAAUGCAAAUCGGCUAAAUAAAUUUGGAGGUUGCUUGAAAUAACUCAUAAAGGAACUAAUAAAGUGAAAGAGUCAAAAAUCAAUUUACUUGUUCAUAACUAUGAAUUGUUUUCAAUGAAAGAAACUGAGACUAUUGUUGAGAUGAUUACUAGGUUCACCGACAUUGUCAAUGGUCUUGAAGCUUUGGGAAAAACCUACAAGGAAUCCGAGAAGGUGAUGAAGAUAUUGAGGUCUCUCCCAUCAAAGUGGCAUACCAAGGUCACCGCAAUUCAAGAAGCAAAAGACUUGACUAAGCUACCUAUGGAAGAGCUCAUAGGGUCAUUAAUGACAUAUGAGAUCAAUUUGACAAAGAAGUUACAAGAGAGUGAAGACAAAAAGAAGAAGAGCAUAGCCCUCAAAGCUACAACUAAGGAAGAAGAAGAUGUUGAAGAAGAAAAGCCAAGUGAUGAAGAUGAUGAUCUAGCCCUCAUCAUAAGAAAGCUCAACAAAUACAUGAGAUGUGAAAGGUUUAGAGGAAGGAAAUUUACCUCUAGAAGGGAUCUUUCUAAAAAGGAAUCUUCAUCCCAUGGUGACAAGAAGAAAUGGGAAGAGAAAAGAGAUUUGACAUGCUUCAAGUGCAAAAAACUGGGACACAUCAAAUAUGAUUGUCCUCUUUACAAGAGUGAAGCCAAGAGAAGAAUGAAGAAGGCAAUGAUGGCCACUUGGAGUGAAAGUGAAGAAUCCUCCAAAGAAGAAAAUGAGAAAGAAGUGGCAAACAUGUGCUUCAUGGCAAUAGAUGAUCUAAAUGAGGUAAACUCUAACUUUAGUGAUGAAGAUAUGCAUGAUGUUUUUGAAGAAUUAUAUGAGGAUUUUGAAAAACUUAGUUUGAAAAAUAAUUCUCUUCAAAAGAAAAUUCAAGAACUUGAAAAUGAACUUGAAGAAGUGAAAGAAAAAUUUUCAAUUGUUGAAAUAUCUAAAACUCAUCUUGAAAAAGAAAAUGAGAUUUUGAAAAAGAAAAAUGAACAGUUAACCUCCUCUCUUUCAAUUUUCUCUUGUGGACAAAAAUCUUUUGAAAUGAUCUUAGCUAGCCAAAAAAUGUGUUUUUGACAAACAAGGGCUAGGAUUCAAAUCAUCAAAAAAUCAAAAGUAUUUUAAAAACUACUUUGUAAAAGAAUCCGCAAGUGCAAGUCCUUCCACCACUUGCAACUUUUGUGGAAAAGGAGGGCACAUUAAUAGUACAUGUCCCUUAAGAAAUGGUUCUCAAAAGACUUCAAAUUCUAAAACUAAAAAGGUUUGGGUUGAGAAAUCCAAGGUUAUUAACCUUCAAGGACCCAAAAAUAUAUGGGUACCUAAAUCAACUUAAAUUUUAUUUUGUAGGGAUCAAAGAAUGAUAAGUGGUUCUUGGAUAGUGGAUGCUCAAGACACAUGACCAGGGAUGAAUCCAAGUUUGCUUUCCUUACAAAGAGAAAAGGAGGAUACGUUACCUUUAGAGACAAUUCAAAAGGAAGGAUCAUUGGUCAAGACAACAUUGGUAAUGGCACAUCUUCUCUUAUUGAAAGUGUUUUAUUAGUGGAUGGUUUAAAACAUAAUCUUUUAAGCAUAAGUCAACUUUGUGACAAAGGUUUUAAAGUGAUUUUUGAAGCAUCUCAUUGCAUCAUCAAAGAUAUUCAAAAUGAUAAAACCAUCUUCAUGGGCCAUAGAUGUGAUAAUGUUUAUGCAAUAAAUAUUUCAAAAUAUGAUGGCCAUGAUAGAUGCUUUUCAAGCAUGCAUGAUCAAAGUUGGUUGUGGCAUAGGAGGUUGAGACAUGCUAACAUGGACCUCAUUUCCCAACUCAACAAAGAUGAACUUGUUAGACGCCUUCCCAAAAUAAAUUUUCAAAAAGACAAAGUUUGUGAAGCUUGUCAAAUGGGAAAGCAAAUAAAAAACUCUUUUAAAAACAAAAAUUUCAUUUCAACAACUAGACCUCUUGAAUUGUUGCAUAUGGAUUUAUUUGGUCACUCUAGGAUACCAAGCCUUGGAGGAAAAUCUUAUGCUUUUGUUAUUGUGGAUGACUUCUCUAGAUACACUUGGGUCUUAUUUUUAAGUCAAAAGAAUGAAGCCUUUUAUAAGUUUUCAAAGUUUUGCAACAAGGUUCAAAAUGAAAAAGGUUUUACAAUUACUUGUAUAAGAAGUGAUCAUAGGAGAGAAUUUGAAAAUAUUGAAUUUGAAGACUAUUGCAAUGAGCAUGGUAUUAACCACAACUUUUUGGCUCCUCGAACUCCUCAACAAAAUGGGGUAGUUGAAAGGAAAAAUAGAACUCUUCAAGAAAUGGCUAAAACCAUGCUAAAUGAAAACAAUUUACCAAAAUACUUUUAGGUCGAAGCGGUUAACACUUCUUGUUAUGUUUUAAAUAGAAUUUUAUUAAGGCCUAUUCUUAAGAAAACUCCCUAUGAGCUUUGGAAAAACAAGAAACCUAACAUUAACUAUUUCAAAGUAUUUUGGUGCAAAUGCUUUAUAUUAAACACCAAAGACAAUCUUGGAAAAUUUGAUGCAAAAUCGGAUGUUGGAAUUUUUCUUGGCUACUCAACUUCAAGUAAAGCCUUUAGAGUUUUUAACAAAAGAACCAUGGUUGUUGUGGAGUCCAUCCAUGUUAUUUUUUAUGAAUCUAACAAUUCUCUCCAAGAAAGAGAGAGCUUUGAUGAUGAUUUAGGCUUGGAGACCUCCAUGGAAAAAUUACAAAUUGAAAAUAAAAGGCAACAAGAAUAAGUUGUAAAGGAUCCCAAGAAAGAAGAAUCACCUUUGGCACUACCUCCUCCUCAACAAGUGCAAGGUGAAUCAAGCCAAGACCCCCCUAAAGAUUGGAAGUUUGUCAUCAACCAGCCACAAGAUCAAAUUAUAGGUAAUCCAUUUUGUGGGGUAAGAACUAGAUCAUCUCUUAGAAAUAUUUGCAAUAAUGUUGCUUUUAUCUCUCAAAUUGAACUUAAAAAUAUAAAAGAUGCUCUAGUUGAUGAAAAUUGGAUGAUUGCCAUGCAAAAAGAGUUAAACCAAUUUGAAAGAAGUGAAGUAUGGGAAUUAGUGCCAAGACCUCAAAAUCAAAGUGUUAUUGGAACUAGAUGGGUCUUUAGAAAUAAAAUGGAUGAAAAUGGCAUAAUUAUACGGAAUAAAGCAAGAUUGGUAGCCCAAGGUUUUAAUCAAGAAGAAUGGAUAGAUUAUGAAGAAACCUUUGUUCCCGUAGCUAGAUUGGAAGCCAUUAGAAUGCUACUUGCCUUUGCAUGUUUUAAAGACUUUGUUUUAUAUCAAAUGGAUGUGAAAAGUGCUUUCUUAAAUGACUUUAUAAAUGAAGAGGUAUAUGUUGAACAACCACCUGAUUUUCAAAGUUUUAACUUUCCUAAUCAUGUUUUUAGACUUAAAAAGGCACUUUAUGGUUUGAAACAAGCACCUAGAGCAUGGUAUGAAAGAUUGAGUAAAUUCCUUUUGAAAAAGGGUUUUAAAAUCGGAAAAAUUGAUACAACUCUUUUCAUAAAAACCAAAGAAAAUGACAUGCUCUUAGUACAAAUUUACGUUGAUGAUAUCAUUUUUGGAGCUACUAAUGUCUCUCUUUGUGAAGAAUUCUCUAAAUGCAUGCAUAGUGAGUUCGAAAUGAGCAUGAUGGGAGAACUUAUCUUCUUCCUUGGACUUCAAAUCAAGCAACUAAAGGAAGGAACCUUCAUCAAUCAAGCAAAGUAUAUAAGAGAUCUCCUUAAAAGGUUCAAUAUGGAGGAAACCAAAACAAUGAAGACUCCAAUGAGUUCAUCCAUCAAGCUUGACAUGGAUGAGAAAGGUAAGCCCAUCAACUCAACUAUGUAUAGAGGCAUGAUAGGUUCUUUGCUAUAUUUGACCGCUAGUAGACUCGACAUCAUGUAUAGUGUAUGCUUGUGUGCUAGAUUUCAAUCUUGUCCUAAGGAAUCUCAUUUAAGUGUUGUAAAACGAAUUCUUAGAUAUUUAAAAGAGACUAUGGACAUAGGUCUAUGGUAUCCUAAGGGUGAUAACUUUGAAUUAAUUGGAUACUCGGAUGCCGACUUUGCCGGUUGUAAAGUUGAGAGAAAAAGCACUAGUGGCACUUGUCAUUUCCUAGGACACUCACUUGUUUCAUGGCAUAGUAAUAACCAAAAUUCAGUAGCUUUGUCUACAGCGGAAGCCGAAUACAUAGCAGUCGGUUUAUGUUGUGCACAAAUCCUUUGGAUGAAACAAACACUAGUGAUUUCAAUUUGAUUUUUGAGCAUGUUCCUAUAAAAUGUGAUAACACUAGUGCAAUAAACAUUUCAAAAAAUCCGGUACAACAUUCUAGGACUAAGCAUAUAGAGAUAAGACACCAUUUUCUUAGAGACCAUGCAUAAAAGGGUAACAUUACACUUGAAUUUGUAAGCACAAAAGAUCAACUAGCCGAUAUUUUUACAAAACCCCUAAGUGAAGAGCAAUUAGUUGAUAUUAGAAGACAACUAGGGGUGAUUUCUUUAUGAUCAAAUGAUUGCUUGAUGAAUUCUUGAUUGAAUAUACCCUAUGAUUGCGUGAAAUUCAUAUCAUAUGCAUCAUAUAGAAAUAAUCCUAGGAAAGAGGUCAAAUUUUGACCAAAAAUCAAAAUUCCCAUGGCAUUGGACAUAAAAAAAUUGGGGAUUUCAACUGAAAAGGGCAGGGGGAGGAUCACGAGACAAGAAAAUGCAACAAAAUUUUGAAAAAUUGACCAUUGACCGUUGACCAAGUGGUCGACAGGUUGAGGAACCGGUCGACCAGUUCGUCGAGGCUGGGAAUUUAAAAAGCCCCCCUUCCCACUUCAUUUCUCACCUGUUCUCCUCCAUAGCUUGAAGCCUCUUCACAUCCCUGCUUCCAGAAGACUGUUUUGGCCAGAUUUCGGACCGAUUGAAGGCUAUGAACUUGAUUUUGGGACGCCUUAAGGUUAGGGUUUUGAUUUGAAACCCAGGGUUUCAGCUUUUGGGAGUGUUUCUUCUCUACACCACACGCCUCAGGGUUGGUUCAACUUCAUUUCUGUGCGCCUAGGGCUUCGGGUUUGUGAUUGCUCCUUCUCGUUUCAUUUCAUUCUCUCUUUUUGGACUCUUCCUUCUCAUUUUCAUUCAUUGGAUGGCACCAAGGUGAGAAACGGGCACCUCCAGGGCUCAGGGCAAGCGCCCUAUUGAGCCAUAUCAGCCUGAGUAGACGGAGGCUCGCCGAAAGGUGAGGUAUGACACGACCUUUUUCAGUUCGAUUGAAGAUUAUCAGCACUACAAGCAAAAGUUCGCCUAGAGGAAAGUCGUCCUGGGGAGAAGUGUCAAUUUCUCCCAACUUCAGCACUUCGGGUUUGAGGGACCAUUCGGUUGGAUGGGAUGGCUGUCAGUUAUGACAAUUUCUGAGCCAAUCUUCCCAACUUUGGUGCGGGCUUUUUAUUCCCGGGUGACUUAUGGGCUUAGAGAACCGGUAUUGUCCACUAUGAAGGGAGUUGAGAUCAAAUUGAGUCCCGAGAGUAUCUGCCGCAUUCUCAACAUCCCUUCAGUUGGACUCCGAGUGUAUGAGGCCAAGGCGUGGGCCAUUGUGCCGAGAUUUGAGCCUAGAGAGGCUGUUCAGAGGUUGUGCGGACUCGCAGAUGCCUAGGAGAUGGGCAAACCAUCAGCACACAGCCUGACUAUGCCCAGUCGAGUCCUUCACCACAUGAAAUGCUCCAUUUUAUUGCCACGUGGAGGACAUCGAGACGAGGUCUCCUACCUUGAGGCAUUUAUUGUGGACUCGAUCAUCACCAGGAGACGGAUUCACGUGGGAUAUCUGAUUAUGAUGCAUAUGAUCUCCUGCGUUGAGAGCACGACACGAGUACUCCCUUACGACUGCUUUCUUACCCGAGUAUUCAAGGAUGCUGGGGUCGACUUGAGUAGAGAGAUGGAUUUCAAGGCCCCCAUCAGCUAUGACACGUAUGAUGAGCAGUUUUUGGGGCGCAUGAAGUUCGAAAAGGCACCCGAUGGCUCCUAGGUUAGGAAAGCUGAGCGACAGGCCCGAGGACAGGAUCAGAUGCAUCCCGGAGCAAAGGAGGAGACCGAUAUCAGAGAGAUGGAGGAUGGGUUAGACCCUCACAGGGACUUUGAGCAAAGAGGGCCCGAGCUUGACAUUCUGCCUCCACCUCAAUCAGAAGGCAUUCAUGUUGAGGCUACCUACUCAGAGCCUAUGAUGACUGAGUCGUCUUUCACAGUAGGACCAUCAUCUCAACCAUCAUUUACCGAGCUACCAUCUCAGGCACCUCACACUCCUGAUUAUGCGCCUUGGAUGGAUGUCUCCGCUCAGAUCAGCUCACUUGGGACUCGUAUGGAGGAACUUGCCUUAGUCCAUGACUCUCGCUUCUACUCUAUGGAGGAGCACAUGGAUUAGUAUCAGACUAGAGUCACUUCUCGAUUUGAUCACUUCCAACAGCGAUUUGAGCGCAUAGAGGAGCGUAUGGAUCAACAGCAGGCUACAUUCGAGCAUCUCCAACAAAGCAUUGAUCGUAUUAAGAGUCGUCAAGCGAGUUAGCAUGAAGAGAUGAUGACCUACUUUCGCUUUGUGUUUCCUCCUUCACCCCCUUAGCCUUGAGACUAUCUAGACAUCCCCCUCUGUUUAUUUUUUAUGUUGCCAAAGGGGGAGAAAUUUAUAGGAUCUAGGAGACUCUCAUGCAUGUCAUUGUCAUCAUAGUCAUAUCUAUUUUGUUUGUACAUGUGAGGUUUCGUUUCCAUAUAUAUAUGAUAUGAUAUUUUUAUGAUCUAGUGUUCAUUUUCGUGUUUCACAUUGCUUCCUAUUAAAAAUCGUUUGAAUUGAUCCAUGAUUGGUUUGAGGAGGAGAUUUUUUUUCUCUCCUAGAUAACCAAGGUUUGUCAUCAUCAAAAAGUGGGAGAUUGUUAGCUCAAGGGUUCUCCUAAUCGGGUUUUGAUGAUAACAAACCAUGGUUAAGUGACUAAUUAGUUUAAAUGUUUAAGAAUAUGAGGUAUAAACUCGAAUAUUCAUUAAAGGACCAAAUGGAUACAAGAUCGAGACGCUUAAAAGACUUGUGAUCAUAGGAAACUAAUGUAAGAUGAAUGCAUGAGUGCACUUAGGAAUUUCAUACAUUUCAUGCAUCUUAGGAAACUCGGUUUAUUCUUUAAAACUUCGAUUUCAUUAAAACCUGAGUUUCUAACUAAUGUACCUUAGGCAAAAUUUUUUAUAAUUGGCUUAAUAAUUUACCUAAAGACCUUGCCUAAGUGUUAGAAAAGAAAGGAAUAAAAAAAAAAGGUUUUAGGGGCCAAAAAGGCUCAACCGGUCGAGAAUAUGGCCAACCGGCUCAACCGAUUAUGCUCGUCCGGUCGAGGACCUGUCGAGGGAGGUCAAAAACCUUCUCUCUCUCCCAGUAGCCUUCUCUUCCCGGUCGAGGUAUUUCUCUUACCGGUCAAGGUCCGGUCGAGGUCCGAUUGAGGCAACGGUAGUUGUCAUGCAUUAAAUGCUCCAACAGUUAGUGAACCGGUCGACCCCUAACUCGACCGGACGAGGUUACCUUUUACUGUUUUUGACUCCCGAGCUUAGAAACCUAUAAAUUGAGAGCUCCACUUCAUUUAUUGACAAGAGAACACUUGCAUUCAAUAGCUUACCUACCUGUUCUUGAUAAAAAAAAACUCUCAUUUCUUUCAUAGUGCAUUAAAUCACCACUUGCAUAUCCUUUAGUGCACUUUUGUGUGUCAUUUGUAUUGUAUUUGAGCUAUCCUUAAGCUAGGUUGAGGGAUUAUAUCUUGUAAAAAUCUGAGUGUUAAAGCCUUCAAGAGGGUUGAAUCUUGAAGAGGUUGUGUAAGAGCCCAUUGGAGCCGGAAUCCAAGUGUAAGAAGAUUGGAAGCUUGGUUGAAGCUUUAAGUUAGUGGAACUCUCACUCGGUUAGGAGGUUGAGGAGAGUGGACGUAGGCAAGGAAGUGCCGAACCACUAUAAACCCAAGUUUGAAUUCUCUAAACUCUAUCUCUUUACUUUACUUAUAUUGUGUUUGAAUUCGUUGUGAUUGAAAAGAUUUUAAAAACCCAAUUCACCCCCCCUCCCCCCUUUUGGGUGUUUUUCUUAACUAAGCAUAGCCUUUGUUUUCUCAAUUAGUAUCAGAGCUAGACCUCUUUGUAAGACUUAAUCGUCUAAGAGGAAAUGGCUAUUCCAUUUUGCAUGUCCAUAGAAAAAUUUUGAGCUUGUUUGCCCACGAUAUGGACCUGCUUUAUUUAUUUCAAACUUGCUUUAUAUAUGUGUGUGAUAUGAUGUAUAGUUUUUAAGGUUAUGAUUUUUUUUUUCUUUCCCUGUGAAUUUUCCCGUUUAGAGUUUUUCACAUAAAUUUGUGUGUUCUUAUUUUGUUUUUUCUUAUUGUCUAUUCUCGUUAUUUUAUAACACAAACAAUCUUCAACUUUUUCAAGCCACAUAAAAUAUCACUUGAAUUGUAAUAUUUUGGGUGGUUGGGAAAUAUUUUUUUUAUAUGCUUAUUUGAUUAGUAAUUUGAAAUUAAGCAUAUGGUAAGAUCCAAAAUGUAUCAUAACUCAAUUAAUUAGGCAUAAAAAAUUGAGGUAUUAAAAAAAUUAUUUAAAAUUUUAUGAACCUAAUCUAUGAUUUUCCAUUUAAAAAAAAAAAUUCGACACUAAACUGAAUUGAACUAAAAAUUAUAUACUUAUGUAUAAUACUUAAUAUCUGUUUGUUGUAUUACUAAAUUUUUGCUAUAUGAUAGCAUACCACAUCUAUAUACUUUAUAAUUGAACUACUUAGUAAUGCUAUGAGAAGGUUAUAUCAAUAGGUAUAUGUAAUAUCCCUAAUUUAGUUUUCACAAAAUAAUAAUAAUAAUAAUAAUGGUGGAUAGGGAAGUUACAAUUUUAAAUCACAACCAAUGAGUUACAAAUUUUAUACCACUUUGGAGAAGUUUUAGUUUUAAAAGAAAAAAAAAUAUUUAACAAUUUUGAAAAAUCAAGAAAAGUGAGAAAAACCCUAGAGAGAUAGGAUAAGAGGUAAAAGAGAGAAAAACCCAAAGAUAAACGUCAAGAUUGAUUUCACAUCGUUGAUUAUUUUUAUUCUCUACUAAGUAAAAUUUAUGGUAAGUCUUUAAAAUAUAUUCUUUUUUUUUUUAAAGAUAUAUGUUCAUGAUAAGAUUCUUAUAUUAAUCAAAGGUAGUACUAUGAAUGUGGCCUCUAAUUUAAUCCUAGACAAAAACAAAGUCUUCGUGAAUAUAAGAGUUUUUAUUAUUAUUUGGAAGAAAUUUUUAUACAAUACAAUUCUAAAAUAAAGAUAUGUAUUUAGUCUAAAGGACAAUUCUAAAAAUUUAAGAAGGUUUUGAAGAAAAAUAUAAACAUAAAUAAAUAAAUAAUUCAUUGUAGUUGUUCAAUAAAAGAAUGCAAUGUAGAAUAUAUAUUCAAUGAGAAAAAAAUGUGAAUAAUAAAGGAAAAUAAGAAAAAUAAAAUAUUCAUUGUACAAUAAAAAAUAUUAAUUAGGAUAUACAUAAGGUUUUGAAGAAAAAUAUAAAGAUAAAUAAAUAAAUUCAUUUUAGUUGUUCAAUAAAAGAAUGCAGUGUAGAAUAUAUAUUCAAUGUGAAAAAAAUAUGAAUAAUAAAGGAAAAAAGAAAAAUAAAAUAUGUAUUGUAAAGCGAGGAUAAAUGUGACUCAAAUAAAAGUAGAGACAACUAUAUAUUACUUUAAUAAUAAAUAUAAUGGGGGAAGGAAUCAUAGAAGAGAAAUGAAAUAGUUGAAAAAAUGAAAGCAAGAGAGAAUAUGAGAGAAUGAGAAUUUCUUUCUUUUCUUGGGAUACUUUUGUACAAAGGAUGGAAGGUCUUUUAUAGGCCUCACAAAAAUGUUCCAUUAAUGCUCUCCAUUAAUAUCAAUAAAUGAAGCCAUUAAUGGAAGACUUUAUAUAAUGUUUUAAUAUAAGUUUUAAUGCAAAUGGGACUUUAACUGGUGACAUCCACCCUUGGAUGUCCAUCACACUAAAGAAUAUACCUCACUAAAACCUUGCUAGUAAAAGAACUCUAUGGCAAAAACCUAGCGAAGGAAAAAAAAAGUACAAUUUAAGUUGUUUUUUGUAUGUUAGAAUUGCCUCGUUAAAAAACUUGCCUGUAAAACCCAAUGAGACAAAACCUAGAUGAAGGGAAAAAAGAGUACAAUACACUAACACCCUUUUAAAAACAUUCUCCUCCUCAUGUUGAUAUCCUUGAGUUGACACAUUCCAAUUUGAUAUACUAAGAUAUCAUCAGUAAAGAUAACCACAAACUGAUCCAAAUAGGAUUUGAACACCCUAUUCAUCAAAUCCAUAAAAGUUGUAGGGGCAUUAGUUAAACCAAAAGGCAUCACUAAGAACUCAUAAGGCCCAUAUCAAGUUUGAAAAACGAUGUUGGGUACAUCCUCCCCCUUCAUCUUAAGUUGAUGGUAACCAAAAUGAAUGUCAAUCUUUAAGAAUAUAGAAGCACCUUGCAAUUGAUCAAAUAGAUAAUCAAUUUGAGGUAGUGGGUAUUUAUUUCUAAUAGUCACCUUGUUGAGUUCUCUAUAGUAGAUACAAAGCCUCAUUGACCCAUGUAUUUUUAACUAAUAACACUAGAAUACCUCAAGGUGACACAUUGGGCCUAACAAUGCUCUUUUCCAACAUUUCCUCAAGUUGCAUCUUCAACUCAUUAAAUUCCAUGGGUGUCAUACAAUAAGGUGCCCUAGAUAUAGGAGUUGUCUCAAGCAUUAACUCAAUGAUGAACUUCGCCUCUCUUUCUAGUGGAACUUUUCAAGAAAGACAUUUGGAAAGUGUCUCACAACCAGAAUGUUUUCUAUCCUUAAAUACUUUGUCUCUAACAAUAUUUCUUUUAUGGCCAAAAGGCUUUCUUGACAAAAAAUUUCAUCUCGACAAUUGUCUCCAAAAUUGUGUCACCCUAUAGUUUUGGAGACGAAUAAUUACAUUUUGUUAGGAAAACGUAUCUAUGACGAAAUGAAAUCUCAUGGCCAAAACUAUUUGGCAACGAGAGUUUUUUAUGGCGUAAAAUAAAAUGUUUUGUUGGGAAUUAGAUUUUCAAAUAUCUAGUAAACCAUUUGGUGACACAAGAUUUCAUUGGACAACGAAAUUAUUUCAUCUCUAAAUGUUAAUUUAUACAUUAGGAGAUGAAAUAUUUUAAUCUCCAUCAUGUUAACAUAGAGUUUCUACAACGAAAUAAUUUUAUGUCAAAAUAUUGACAUAUAGUUUCAGUAACAAAUAAAUCUUGUCUCUAAAUGUUUUCAUUACAAUUGGAGACAACAUUAUUUCAUCUUUAAAACUAAUCAUGUUUAGGUAAUGAGAUAGUUUUAUCUCUAAAUGUCUUUAUUCAUAUUAGAAGAUAAAAUAAUGAAACAAAUUUCGUAUUUAUACUAAUUUGAGGAUGAAAUAAUUUCCUCCCUAAAUAUAAUAUUAUUAUUAAUUUUUAAAAUUUUAAAUAAUCCUAUUGAAACAUUUAUAAACCUGUAUGAUAUUCAACACUUUCAAAUAUAAGAUGAUAUUAUACAAAAUGAAUAAUUUAAUAAUGCAAAAAUACAAUAACCUAUAGAAAAUAAGUAAGAACAAAACAUUUGUUUUAUCAAUGCAAACCAUACUUGCAAAUAAAAUUAUCUAUGCUAUUUGAAUAUUAUCUAAAAUAAAAAUGACUAACAUAUAAUAGUAAACCACAUAAUAAUGUCAACUUGAUAGUGAAGGUGGUGGUUAGGAAGCUAAGCCAAAAUGAGGUGGUAGUGAGUUAGAAGUAUUGGUUUGUUGUGGCACGAAACUCUAUAUCAUUGCCUUCAACUAGUCCAAUUAAGUGGUAGUUGUAGUCUUAAACUCUUGUAACUCUAUGAUCUAUUGUCACAACUUCUUUGUCUCUUUAUUAGGAAAUUUAGUUGCACUUGAAUGGUUAAGUUGUGAUCCAUAUCCCAAACCUUGAACAUAACUUGAUUGCUUCUUAAGCACUCAAUGAGUUAUCACUAAGUCAGACAAGAGUACCAACCUUCUGGGUACUUUGCUCUUGAAUCUCAUGCAUCUCUUCGUGAAAAAUAUAGUAUAAUUUUAAUUAGUAAAAAUAUUACCAUAACAUAUUUACCUUUUACUACUACAAGUAACAUGACUCUUACGUAUCGAGAUUUAAGAGUAUCAUUUAUCCAUCCUUUACUCGCAUUGUAGUAGGUGGCACAAAAUAACUCCACUUCCUUUUCAACCCUUCAAUGGUAAGACUCUUUUACAUGCACAAAAAAAAAUAAUUAAGUUACUUUUAAAGAUAAUGAAUAAACUCCCCUUUACAACUUUUUAGGUAAAACAUGUCUUUUACAUAAAUAGAAUAAAAUAAAAAUAUUAUUUUAAAGAUAUAAUUAAGAAGUAUAUAUUAUAUCAUUGAGUUAUGGUGAUGAUAAAACGCUAAUCAUUUAGAUCCAUCACAAUGAUUGAAUGGAAGCUUUUCAUGAUUUUCAUUAUUUAUAGCGGCCAUUUUCUACACAAUAAUAUUACUAAAAGAGUAAGUAAAACGAAAAUGAAAAAAUUAUAGUAACCUAAGAAUUAGAUAAAUAUGUUAGACAAAUAACCAAACAUAUAAUAAAGUAAAGUUUUUCUACCAUGUUUUAAGUAGUCUCCUCCAUUAAUCAGACUAUAUAUACACCUAUGUACAAUAUUUUAAUUUUUCAUAAUAAAUCAACAUUCCAACAUAGCAUUUCAAUUAUUCAUAAUAAACAAACAUUCUAAUAGAAUACUUCAAUUUUUCAUAAUGAAUCAACAUUAUGACAUAAAUUUUGAUUUUCAACUUGGUUUAAAUGACAAAUUCCUACUUUAUACUUCAAAAUAUACCAAUUAAUGAAAAAUUCACUUUUUCUUUUUUAUCUUUCCAACUUUUAACAUCUACGAUACUUAAACUUGAUUUUUCAAUCACAGUAAAACCAAAUUCUUAAUUUAAAAAUAAAUUAAAUUUUUGAGCUUUCAUUCAAUACUGUGACAAAUUAAUUUAUUAUCAAUUAGUAAUAAUUAUUAAUAGAAAUAAAAUAUAAUUUAUAUAUUUUCUUUUCUUUUUUUUAAAGAAUUUCUUCCUUACUUCUUAAGUAAAUUUAGAUAUAUCAUUUUCUCAAGAAUAUUUACUGAAUAUAAAUACAAAAAAUAUAAGAACAAAUUAAUUUUAAUAUGAAAUAAAUUUAAACUCAUAUAUUUUGACUUGACAAUAUGAAAACGUUUACUGUUUUCCAAACAAACAUAAUUAAAUACAUCAAUAUGAUAAUGAAUUACCCACACUAAGACCUGCAAAUAUAUCUAAUAAUUAUAAUUUUUAUUUUAAAAUAAAUAUUUGAACAUCACUAUUUAAUAAUUUCAGACACAUAAAGAUAUAUCUUUAGCCUUAUAAAAUAAACAAUAAUGCAUAAAUUCUCAAACCAAAUUCCACAUAAUAACAAACAAAUUGGAUGAAAAAAAUGGGGAAAAUACACAAUUUCUCAAACAAAAUUCUACUUAAUAGCAAACUACUCAAAAAAAUGAAAAACAAAAUAAAUAAUUUUAGAAACAAAAAAAAAAAUUAUGUAUAAUAACAAACAAACACAUAGGAAUCUUAAAAAUAACAAACAAACCAAAAUUAUGUAUAAUAACAAAAAAGAAACAAGAAAAUAUAAAAUAAAAAUAAAUAAUGUAUUACAUGAUGUGAAAAAUACGUCAAAUACCCAUGUAAACCCCUUAAAAGACCAAUGUUUUUUUUUUUUUUUUAUUUAGCUGGGGACCACCCGAGGAGGUUUGUUUGGCAUUCAUUUUUCAAGAUGUGGGGGACCCCUCUCCAUGCAUGGGACGUGCAGCAGCAGGGGGGUGAUGGCUGGCCAUGCUUGCUGAUGGGUGAACAGCAGGGCAAGUAGUGGCUUGCCAAGGAAGAAAAGAAGACGAAGAUUUUAAGGAGAAGGAUAAGAGAGAAAAAAAGAAAAGAAAAAAACGAGGGGGGAGGAGAUCUGAAACGGGGAAGAGAUUUUCAGGUAUGAGCACUGCGGAUUUCCUUCUUCAUCUUCUUUAUUACAUCAUUCUUCAUGCAUUUAUCUGGUGUUUCUCUUGCUUUCAUUUGUUAUUGGGGUAUUUUAUCGCUCUGUUUUCUUUGCCAUCUUCUCCGAGCAUUCAGUUCAAAGGUAAACCCGGAUUCUAUUUGAGUUAUGCCACUGACCACGGAGCCCGUUUAUGUCGGCAUGAAAUGGGUUCCUAUGAUUGUUUGUUUGUUUUAUUAUUUUGGGAAGUGCUCAGUUUGAGGUUGUUCAUCUCUGUUUCUUUUCUUUUUUUUCUUUUUUUCUUUCCUGGUACCUCAAUCUUUGUCCUCCAACACGCGUGUGGAGAUCACGUGUCACUCAGCCGGCGACCAUGCCUACGUCCGCAUUGACUCACCGGCCGGAGGACCUGCUCACACGGCUGCGCUGCGCCAACGCCGAAGCCUGCCCUCCCCCCCUCUGUGAAAUCCAAUUACAGAAACCUAAAAAAAUCUAACCCUGAAAGUCUUCUCUUUGUCUUCACCAUGGACGACCUUGGGCCACCUACAGAGACGAAGACGAAGAAGACGACGAUUGCGCUGACACUGCCGGAGGAGAACCAAGCGACGGAGCAAGCCAUCGAGAUGGCCACAGCAGCGGUGGAAGCGACGGAGAUGCCGAAAGUCACACAGAAGGCGAAGAAAGUGGAGCUGGCCUAUGAUAGAAUGCGUGCCGCGAGUGGGAAAGGGUACAGAGUGGUUAAGGCUACUAGAGGGGUUGUGUAAGGAGCUUGGUAUUUUGAAAUCAGGUUUUGAAGUUGAGGGAGACAAGGCAUACGAGGCUUGGAUGGUCAACGGAGAAGGGGGCUUGCAGGCGCCAGUGGGGUACGAUGCAAAUGGUUUCAGGUAUAGGGAUAUAGGUGGGAUUAAGGUGCACAAGGCCAUGGAGGAGAAUGUGGAGAGGAAAGAUUAUUUAAUUUGUUUAAAAGAGUUAAUGGCCACGUGCAAGCCAAAGGAAUGUUUAUUUAAUUUUUUUAAAAGAGUUAAUGGCCACGUGCAAGCCAAAGGAAUGUUCUUGGGGUAGCAAUAAAAAAAAAAUACCCAGGCCACUUUAUGGUCCCGGUGUUAGCAUAUGAGACAUGAGUUUUAUUUAUUUAUUUAUUUAUUAUUAUGUGUGUUUCUAGUUUAUCAUACCUAUUUAAAUAAUUCCUCCAAGUCCCGGAUUCCAAAUUCUAAUCCUCAAUUCCCACAAUUCCAAUUUUUCACACUUGUUUAUUUAGUCGUUAUUAUUAUUAUUAUUAUUAUUAUUAUUAUUAUUAUUAUUAUUCCAUAUUUAUUUAAUUAUUUCAUUUAAAAAUUCAAAUCAUUCAAGUUCAGUAAUUAAAAAAUCUGACUUCCUAAUUUAAUAUUCAAUUGCAAAAAUUCCAUUAUUCAUUUUUACUCGUUUAAAUAUUGUUUUCGUUAAUUAGUAUUACUACCCCAUAUUUAUUUAUUAUUUUGAUCAUUAAAGUCCAAUUCUUCAAAAAUCUAGAGUCCUAAUUUAACUUUUAAUCCCAAAAUUCCACUAUUCAUUUUUACUCGUUUAAAUAUUAUUUUCGUUAAUUAGUAUUAUUACCCCAUAUUUACUUAUUAUUUCGAUCAUUAAAGUCCAAUUCUUCAAAAAUCUGACUUCCUAGUUUAAUAUUCAAUCGCAAAAAUUUCACUAUUCAUUUUUACUCGUUUAAAUAUUGUUUUCGUUAAUUAGUAUUAUUACCCCAUAUUUAUUUAUUAUUUCGAUCAUUAAAGUCCAAUUUUUAAAAAAAUCUAAUGUCCUAAUUUAAUUUUCAAUCCCAAAAAUUCCACUAUUCAUUUUUACUCGUUUAAAUAUUGUUUUCGUUAAUUAGUAUUAUUGUCCCAUAUUUAUUUAUUAUUUCGAUCAUUAAAGUCCAAUUCCUAAAAAAAUCUAACGUCCUAAUUUUUAUUUUCAAUCCCAAAAAUUCCACUAUUCAUUUUUACUCGUUUAAAUAUUGUUUUCGUUAAUUAGUAUUACUACCCCAUAUUUAUUUAUUAUUUUGAUCAUUAAACUCCAAUUCAUAAAAAAUCUAGUGUCCUAAUUUAACUUUUAAUCCCAAAAUUCCACUAUUCAUUUUUACUCGUUUAAAUAUUAUUUUCGUUAAUUAGUAUUAUUACCCCAUAUUUACUUAUUAUUUUGAUCAUUAAAGUCCAAUUCUUCAAAAAUCUGACUUCCUAAUUUAAUAUUCAAUCGCAAAAAUUCCACUAUUCAUUUUUACUAGUUUAAAUAUUGUUUUCGUUAAUUAAUAUUAUUACCCCAUAUUUAUUUAUUAUUUCGAUCAUUAAAGUCCAAUUCUUAAAAAAAUCUAAUGUCCUAAUUUAAUUUUCAAUCCCAAAAAUUCCACUAUUCAUUUUUACUCGUUUAAAUAUUGUUUUUGUUAAUUAGUAUUAUUGCCCCAUAUUUAUUUAUUACUUCGAUCAUUAAAGUCCAAUUCCUAAAAAAAUCUAACGUCCUAAUUUAAUUUUCAAUCCUAAAAAUUCAACUAUUCAUUUUUAUUCGUUUAAAUAUUGUUUUCGUUAAUUGGUAUUAUUACCCCAUAUUUAUUUAUUAUUUUGAUCAUUAAAGUCCAAUUCUUCAAAAAUCUAGCGUCCUAAUUUAACUUUUAAUCCCAAAAUUCCACUAUUCAUUUUUACUCGUUUAAAUAUUGUUUUCGUCAAUUAGUAUUAUUACCCCAUAUUUACUUAUUAUUUCGAUCAUUAAAGUCCAAUUCUUCAAAAAUCUGACUUCCUAAUUUGAUAUUCAAUCCCAAAAAUUGCACUAUUCAUUUUUGCUUGUUUAAAUAUUGUUUUCCUCAAUUAGUAUUAUUGCCCCAUAUUUACUUAUUAUUUCAAUCAUUAAAGUCCAAAUUCUUCAAAAAUCUAACGUCCUAAUUUAAUUUUCAAUCCAAAAAAUUUUCACUAUUCAUUUUUACUUGUUUAAAUAUUGUUUUCGUUAAUUAGUAUUAUUACCCCAUAUUUACUUAUUAUUUCGGUCAUUAAAGUCCAAUUCUUCAAAAAUCUAAUGUCCUAAUUUAAUUUUCAAUCCAAAAAAUUUUCACUAUUCAUUUUUACUUGUUUAAAUAUUGUUUUCGUUAAUUAGUAUUAUUACCCCAUAUUUAUUUAUUAUUUCGGUCAUUAAAGUCCAAUUCUUCAAAAAUCUAAUGUCCUAAUUUAAUUUUCAAUCCCAAAAAUUUCACUAUUCAUUUUUUUGUCCGUUUAAAUAUUAUUUCCGUUAAUUAGCAUUAUUAUUCCAUAUUUGUUUAUUUAUUCCAAUCAUUAAAGUUCAAUUCUUCAUAACCCGACUUCCAAAUUUAAUUUCCAAUAUCAAAAACCACACUAUUCACAUUCAAUUGUUUAAUGAUUAUUUUCGUUAUUAAUGUUAUCCCAUCCAUUUAUUUAUCCACUCAUUUCUAUGUUAAAGAUCUCAUCUCUAAAUAAUUUCUUAAAUUUUCAACCUCUAAGUUUAAUCACCAAUUUCUAAAAAUCUCAUCUUUCGCAGUUAUUUACCUGACCUCUAUUAUUUCGUCAUCGUUAUUAUUCCAUUCAUUCACUUAUUCACUCAUCUGCUUAUCCACUUAUUUAAAAUUCCAUCCCUAAGUAAUUCAACAAAUUUCCAAUCCCAAAGUCCAAUUUCCAAUUUCCGAAGCCCCUAACUUCCGCAAUUAUUUAUCCAAUCAUUAUUACUUCGUCAUCAUUAUUCCAUUCAUUUAUUUAUUCACUUAUUCAUUUAUUUAAAAUCCUGUCUUUAAAUAGUUCCUCAGAAUUCCGAUUUCCAAAUUAGUUCUCUGAAAUUCCAAUUCUCUAAUUUCCGAACUUAAUUUUCGGUUUCCCAUGCUCUAGUUCUCGUAUUUAUCCCAUUACUUAUUAUUAUCAUUACCACUAUUAUCUUAUCCAUUAUUUCUAAAAAUUCUGCCUUUGAAUGAUUUUCAAGAUUUCCAAUUUUUAUAAUCCAAUUUUCAUAAUCUCUACUUCUCAAAUAAUUUUCAAUUAUGAUUUCUUUCAAAAUUUAAUUCCCAAAGUCCCAAUUUUCAUAAUUUAAUUUUUUUUUAAAUCCCGAGCUCUCAAAUAAUUUUCAAAAUUCCAAUUUCUUUCAAAUUUAAUUUCUAAAAUUCUCAUUCUCACAUUUAAUCUCUAAAAGUCUGAUCUUCAAAUAAACUGUAAAAAAAAUUCCAAUUUUCUAGUAAUCUUCGAGAUUCCAAUUCUUCAAAUAAAUUUCAAAAAUCCAGUUUUCUCUCAAAUAGUUUUAAUUCCGCUCUGGUUUUCAAACGAUCUUCUGUUCCUUUUGAUUUCAAUAAGCAUGAAUGAUUACUACUCAAAAAGUGCUAUUUUAUAGCUUGUAAUUAACUCUUUUAAACACUUUUGAGUAGUAGUUAUUACCUUUUAACCCAAUUAACAUAUUAAGGACCUUUGCAAGCAUUUCUAAUCAAAGUGUGUAAGUUUUGGUGUUUUUGUUAGUAAAUUGACCACCAAAGCAAUCCGAGAUUGAGGAGAGUUCUUUAGAAUCCAUGGCAAAGCAAUGGAAAGCUCAGAAACAUGAAGAACCGAAGCUUUGAAGUCCUUUGCCAUAAGCAAAUCCGGAAUGCAAGGAAGGGAAGCAAAGAGAAAUCUAACAUGAAGCAUUCUAGAUGACAGUCAUGUCAGCCACUUUUGGAGCACUUCCUGGAGUUCAAUUUAUGCAUACUAUAUGUCGUUUUGAAGCUCGGGAAGUCAACAAUCCAAUGCUUUAAACGGUGCGUGAUUCGGAGUUGAAAUGAAGGAGUUACAGCCAUUGGAAGCCGAUCACUCCAAGAUGAAGGAAAAUUUCACACGACUGCGAAAUCAGCCUUAGGCUGUGAAAAGGGUGUCCUUUUGCUGCGAAAUUUUGCAGCCCUUUUGCUGUGAAAUUUCUCCUAAAGCUUCUCGAUAUUUGCGACCGACAUUUUGAGAUUUUUUGCUUUAGAUGUUUGAUGUCUAAAUCCUCAAACUCUCCUUGUAACCCACCUAUCAUAGGAUUCCUUAGUCUUUAAGUAAGAACAAAGGGUGAAUAACUUGUUAUAUAUAGUUGUAAUUUUCUUUACAAAUAAAAAAUCUCAGGAGCUUGUUCUCAGAGACAACCUUUUUUAAUAGUUAGAAAUAUAUUUUACAGAGCACUUGCUCUUUUUUUUCCUUCAUAUUUUUAUUUUCUCGUUCUUUUUAUUUCUAGCCAAUCAAACUUUGAGGAUUUUUCCUCAGAGGAUGAGUGGCUAGGCUCUUCGUCUCUUGGAGUGAAGAAAGCCGGGUAAGUUUCCUCAUGCAUAAAUUGGAAGUUUUGUUGUUUUAGUUUUUAAUGAAGAGAAAGUGUGACCCGUUAAUGGUUUUUAUCUUUUUAGUUAACUUAAAACGCCUUUAAAUCACCUGGGCUAACACUUGGUAAGACAAGUGAUCUUGGUCCAUUGAGAUGCACUAGUUUACCUCUUGCAAGCCUUUAGGAGGUGGUUUGAAGGUAGGAUUUUCUAAAAUAGCCAACACUUGGUAAGUUUUUGGACUCUAAGGAGACAUCCAUUAGUUAUCUCUUGCGAGCUUUUGACGGGUAAUCCAAGGUUAAAGAUCACCUUGAAUGGCAAAUGCUAGGUGAGAGGCACAAGUCAUUGCAAGAUGCAUCAGUGAGAAGGAUUUGGUGUUUGAACCCAUUAAUGGGAAGCAUCUGUACCACACCGAUUAGAGAAUUAACUAUAUGUUAAUUCUUUAAUGCGAGAAAAAGAAACAAGUGACCGGAACUCUCCUUUUUGUAUGAGGAACCUGAGCCUAGUGAUCUGAAACUCCAAGAAACACUUUUCUUUGUAAUUAAAAUCAGUUACUAUUUUUGGUUAGCUUAAAACCAAACCUUUUCCACCAAAGAUUAUGUUUUCUUUUAAAGCUAACCUUGAAAUGAAAAGGCACCAAUUCAUCUUUGAAUUAAUAUCAAUUGUGAAGUGAAAACUCAUCCCAGUGAACGACCCUAGAGCCACUAUGCUAUGCUAGCUAAGGCUAUCCUAGUACAUGGUGUAAUAGGUUAUAAAUUUUGUUGAUUACUCCCUUCUGAGGACCACAAUCAAGGAGCACCAGCUGGACACGAAUCAAAUGGUACCACUUUCAGGGACCAUUGAGAGGACAUGAAUCAGUUGAGACACCAAUUGGGAACGUAUCAAUGAAUAAUUUUUUUUUAUAUAUAAUUCCAGAAUAAUGGAAUUUGUGACAUUAAGUCAUGCUGAAUAAACGGGUAUUGGUGGAGGCCCAACAUGGGUGACUUUAUGAUUGAUUGAUUGAUUGUUUGAUUGGAUUAUCAUACAUGAUUGAUUUAUCCUACUCUCUGACAUGCAUGAGAUUAUUUCUUAAUUGUGCACUAACCCGCUCUCUUGAUAGCGCAUUGACGUUUGAUGCCAAGGUAUGCCCCGCUCCCACUUUGAUCGUUUUUUAUUGAGUGUUUUAAUUCUCAUAUGCGCAUGAUCAAUUUGAGUAUACAUUGAUUUUCCUACUAAUUGCCAUGUCAGUUUCGUUUUAUUAGUAGAAGCCCGACUUUAGGGACUUAGAGGGGUGCUAUGGUCUUUACCUACCUUCCCGAUAAGUAACCUGACCCCCGAGCCCGACCCGAUUUUUCGUAGAUCACCUUUUCCAAAAUGAGGAGUCACACUUAGGGUUUUCUUUCUUAUUUUGUUUACCCUUUUAAAAAAGUAAAACAAAAAUAAGUGGCGACUCCAAGUCAUUUUUCAAACAAUAAAAUCAUUUUCAAAGUAAAAUCAAGCUCGCCAUCGAGUGGAAAACGCAUGAGUCAAAAUGCAGGGUCCACAACCCAUAAAAAAAAUAUUUAAUCAAAUAUCUUCUCCAAUAAAAUUAUGUAUAAUAACAAAAAAUUUCAGAAUAAAAGUGACCAACAACAGUCAGUAGAACAAACCGAAAUAAAAUUAUGGGUCAUAACAAUCCUAAAAUUAAAUAAAAUAAAAACAUAAAGUUAUAAUAACCCCACACCUGUGUUAUGUGUGGCGUUGUGCAUUGAUAGCAGCAUCAGCGAAACAAGAUUGACCAACAACAGUUGGCAACAUCACUUAAUGGCGAAGAAAGCAGCAACUUGCGACAACAAGUAUGGUGAUGAGUUUGGAAUAAUUGAGGAGAACUAAGAGCAAGGGUUUUUGUAGGGAGUUUAGGAAAGCUUUUAAUUUUAGUUAUUUUUUUUUUUGUUUUUUUAUGUUUCCAUUUAACAUCCCAGAAUAUUACUUUAUAAUUCCUUAUAUAAAUAUUUGCCAAUUAUAAAAUGGUUUUUAGGAUUGUUUUUUAUUUUGGUUUUUUUUUUAAAUUUUUAUUCUUUUAAAAAAUUAUCAAGAUUACUUUAAAAAUAUUUGAUUAAAUAGUUUUAAAAUUUUAAAUAAGAUAAAUGUAAAGUAACUAGUUUCUUUUAGUCCUACAAAAUUGUAAUAUUCUAAGAAUUAAAACUAUUAAAAGAGAUUAUAUUUAAAAUUUUAAUAAUUAUUAAUAUAACUUAAAGUUUCAAAUUAAUUUGGAUAAUUAUUUAAGAUAGUUUAGAAUAUUGAUAUUAAAAUUAAAUACUUAUAGAUAAAGGCAUGAGGUAGUUUUAUGGCAAGUACAAGAUUAAGUAAAUUGCCAAAAGUUUUAGAAAUUUUUUAUACAGGAUUAAUUUAAAAAAAAACAAUAUUAAUUUAUUGUUUUAUAUAGUUAAAAUUAGAAUUUUUUUUUAUAAAGAAUAUCAAUAAAAAAUACCUAUAAAAAAUUUAAGAAGAUAGAGAUAAUUUUAUAGAAAGGUAAAACAUUAUGUGGUUAAAUUAUUGAAAAACAAAAGAAUUUUUUGUAUCAAUUUCAAGGGAUUUAUAACUUUUUAUAUAUGUCUAAAAAUAAUCAAGGAGAUAAAUUAUAAAAAGAUAUAAAUAAAUUAUCAUUAAAAUGUUAUUAUUUUAUAAAUUCAUAUAUAAAAUUAUAAUAAAAUAUAAUAUUAUAAAAAUUAAAAUAAAUUACUUUUUUUUUUGUCCUAUACAUUCACAAUUUAGAUUUAUUUUUAUGUUUUCAUAUGAAAAAGACUAACAAUGUUAGGUUCUCACAUGAUAAACUAAUUUUUAUAUUUUGUAUAAUCAAUAUAAUCCAAAUUAGACUAUAUAUAUAGAAUAAAAGUUAUAAACAAAAUAAAUGAUUUUAACUUAAUAUAUUUUUUUUAUAAUUUAAUUUUUAUUUUAUUAUAAGUUAUUAAGGAUAGUGUAAAAUAUUGGCAUUAAAAUCAAAUACCUAGAUAACGACAUAAGGUGGUUUUGUGGAAUGUAUAAAAUUAGGAAAUAUAGAAUUUACUAAAAGUUUUAUAAAAAUCUUUAUAAAGGAUUUAUUUUUAAAAUUUUAAAUUUAUUGUCUUAUAUAGUUAAUAUUAGGAUUUUUUUUUCUAAAAAAUAUCCAUAAGAAAUACCUAUAAAAAAAAUUAAGGAGAUAGAUGAUUUUAUAGAAAACAUGAGAUUGGUAAAACGUUAUAUGAUCAAAGUAUUAAAAAACAAAUGAAUUUUUUUUUUAAUCAACUUUAAGUGAUCUAUAAAUUUUCCUAUGUCUUUAAAAAAUCAAUUAGAAAAAAUAUGAAAAAAAUAGAAGAAUUGAAAUAAAUAUAUUUAUAAAUUUCAUUAUCUUAUAAAUUUAUAUAUGAAUCAUAAUAAGAUAUAAUACUGUUAUCCUAAGGGUUCUCCUAAUUAGAUUUUGAUGAUAACAAACCAUGGUAAAGUUACUAAUUGGUUUAAAUUGUAAAGAAUCUCAAGUAUUAAUUUGGAAAUUCAUCAAAGGACCUAAUGGAUACAAGAUCAAGACGUCUGGAAGAUCUUUAAUCAUAGGAAACAAUUGUAAGAUGAAUGCAUGGGUGCACUUAGGUUUUACAUAUCAUUUCAUGCAUCUUUGGAAAACUCGGUUUAUUAUUUAAAGUUACAAUUGCAUUAAAACCCGAGUUUUAUCAAAUGUACCUUAGGCAAAACGUUUCAAAAUUGGCAUAUUAAUUUACCUAAAGAGCUUGUCUAAAUGUUAGAAAAGAAAAGAAUAGAAAAGAUAGGUUUUCGGGGUUCAAAGGUUGAAUCAGUCGAGGCACUAGGCCAACCGGCUAGGGUAUCGGUUGCCGGUUCCUCUUGCCCGGUCGAGGAGUGCUAAAAACACUCUCUUUAAUCCAGUAGCCUUCCAUUCCUGAUCGAGGUAUCCUCCUUCCUGGUCGACCUCCAGUCGAGGUCCAGUUGAAGUAACGGUAACCUACCAAAGCAUUAAAUGCUCCAACAGCUAGUGAAUUGGUCGACCCCCAGCUCGAUCAGUUGAGGUUGCUUUUUGUUUUUCUUGGCUCCCAAGGUUAGAAACCUAUAAAUUGAGAGCUCCACUUCAUUUAUGACAUAGAGAACACUUGCAUUUAAUUGUCUACCCACUUGUUUUUUACUUAAAAGCUCUUACUUCUUUCUUAGUGCAUUAAAUCUUCAUUUGCAUAUCUUUUAGUGCGCCCUUGUGAGUCAUCCUAGCUUUGAUUUGUAUUUAAGCCAUUAUUGAGCUAGGUUGACAAAAGAUCAUCCUUGUAAAUUGAGUGUUAGAGCCUUCAAGUGAGUUGAAUAUUGAAGAGAUUGUGUAAGAGCUCAUUGGAGCCAGAAUCCAAGUGUAAAAUAGAUUAGAAGCUUGGUUGAAGCUUCAAGUUAGUGGAACCCUCACUCGGUUAGGAAAUUGAGGAGAGUAGACGUAGGCAAGGAAGUGUCGAACCACUAUAAAAUCUGAGUUUGAAUUUUCUAACUCUAUCUCUUUAUAUUUGCUUCUAUUGUGUUUGAAUUUGUUGUGUUGAAAAAGUUUUAAAAAAAACCCAAUUCACUAUUUCUUAGGUGUUUUUCUCAUUUAAGGUUAGCCUUUAUUUUCUCAAUUGGUAUCAAAGGUAGGCCUCUUGUUUAAACUUAAUCGUCUAAGAGGAAAUCGUUAUUCCAUCAAACUCAUCUUACACUGAAAGUUUUGCAAAAAAUAGAGCUUCAUUUUUUACGAGAACCGACUAUCCCUAUUAAAAAACUAAAAUGACUUGGUAUUUACAAUCAACCGAUUUAAAUGUAUGGGACGUCAUUGAAGAUGGCCCAACUUUUUCCUACAAAACUAGUUAAUGGAAUCAUGGUUCCAAAACCCAAACAAGAAUGGAAUGAGCUUGAUAGAAGAAUUUUUCAAUUAAAUGCUAAGGCCAUUUUCACUUUGCAAUGUGCCAUGGAUAGAAAUGAAUAUAAUAUCAUAUGUCAAUGCAAAUUGGCUAAAGAAAUUUGGAGAUUGCUUGAAAUAACUCAUGAAGGAAUAAAUCAAGUGAAAGAGUCAAAAAUCAAUUUACUUGUUCAUAGCUAUGAAUUGUUUUUUAUGAAAGAAAAUGAGACUAUUGUUGAGAUGAUCACUAGGUUCACCGACAUUGUCAAUGGUCUUAAAGCAUUGGGAAAGACCUACAAGGAAUCCGAAAAGGUGAUGAAGAUCUUGAGGUCUCUCCCAUCAAAGUGGCAUGCAAAGGUCACCGUAAUUCAAGCAGUAAAAAACUUGACCAAGAUACCAAUGGAGGAGCUCAUAGGGUCAUUAAUGACAUAUGAGAUCAAUUUAGCAAAGAAGCUACAAGAAAGUGAAGACAAAAAGAAGAAGAGCAUAACUCUCAAAGCUACAACUAAGGAAGAAGAAGAUGUUGAAGAAAAAAAACAAAGUGAAGAAGAUGAUGAUUUAACCCUCAUCACAAGAAAGCUCAACAAAUACAUGAGGGGCGAAAGGUUUAGAGGAAGAAGGUUCACCUCUAGAAGAAACCUUUCUAAAAAGGAAUCUUCAUCUCAUGGUGACAAGGAAAAAUGGGAAGAGAAAAGAGAUUUGGCGUGUUUCAAAUGAAAGAAACUGGGACACAUUAAAUAUGAUUGUCCUCUCUACAAAAGUGAAGCCAAGAGGAGAAUGAAGAAGGCAAUGAUGACCACUUGGAGUGAAAGUGAAGAAUCCUUCGAAGAAGAAAAUGAGAAAGAAGUAGCAAACAUGUGCUUCAUGGCAAUAGAUGAACUUAAUGAGGUAAACUCUAACUUUAGUGAUGAAGAUAUGCAUGAUGUUUUUGAAGAAUUGUAUGAGGAUUUUAAAAAACUUAGUUUGAAAAAUAUUUCUCUUAAGAAGAAAAUUCAACAACUUGAAAAAGUAAAAUAAAAAUUUUCAAUUGUUGAAAUUUCUAAAACUCAUCUUGAAAAAGAAAAUGAGAUUUUGAGAAAGAAAAAUGAAUGGUUGACCUCCUCUCUUUCAAUAUUUUCUUGUGGACAAUUUUUUUUUGAAAUGAUUCUAGCUAGCCAAAAAUUUGUUUUUGACAAAUAAGGACUAGGAUUCAAAUAUUCAAAAAAUCAAAAGUAUUUUAAAAACUAUUUUAUAAAAGAAUCCACAAGUGCAAGUCCUUCCACUACUUGCAACUUUUGUAGAAGAGGAGGGCACAAUAGUAGUACAUGUCCUUUAAGAAAUGUUUCUCAAAAGAUUUCAAAUGUAAAAGUUAAAAAGGUUUGGAUUGAAAAAUCCAAGGUCAUUGACCCUCAAGGACCCAAAAUGAUAUGGGUACCUAAGUCAACUUGAGUUUUAUAUUAUAGGGUUCAAAGAAGGAUAAGUGGUUCUUAGAUAGUGGAUGCUCAAGACACAUGACCGAAGAUGAAUCCAAGUUUACUUUCCUUAAAAAGAAAAAUGGAGGAUAUGUUACCUUUGGAGACAAUGCAAAAUGAAGAAUCAUUGGUCAAGGCAACAUUAGUAAUGGCACAUCCUCUCUUAUUGAAAGUGUUUUAUUAGUAGAUGGUUUAAAACAUAACCUUUUAAGCAUUAGUCAACUUUGUGACAAAGGUUUUAAAGUGAUUUUUGAAGCAUCUCAUUGCAUCAUCAAAGAUAUUCAAAAUGAUAAAACCAUCUUCAUGAGUCAUAGAUGUGAUAAUUUUUAUGCUAUAAAUAUUUCAAAAUAUGAUAGUUAUGAUAGAUGUUUUUCAAGCAUGUAUGAUCAAAUUUGGUUGUGGCAUAGAAGGUUGGGACAUGCUAACAUGGACCUCAUUUCCCAACUCAACAAAGAUGAACUUGUUAGAGGCCUUCCCAAAAUAAAUUUUUAAAAAAUCAAAGUUUGUAAAGCUUGUCAAGUGGGAAAACAAAUCAAAAACUCUUUCAAAAACAAAAAUUUUAUUUUCAUAUCUAGGCCUCUUGAGUUGUUGCAUAUGGAUUUAUUUGGUCCCUCUAGGACUCCAAGUCUUGGAAAAAAAAUCUUAUGCAUAUGUUAUUGUGGAUGACUUCUCUAGAUACACAUAGGUCUUGUUUUUAAGUUAAAAGAAUGAAACCUUUUCUGAGUUUUCAAAGUUUUGCAAUAAGGUUCAAAAUGAAAAAGGUUUUACAAUUACUUGUAUAAGAAGUGAUCAUGGAAGAAAAUUUGAAAAUAUUGAUUUUGAAGAAUAUUUCAAUGAGCAUGGAAUUAACCACAAUUUUUCGGCUCCUAGAACUCCCCAACAAAAUGGGAUAGUUGAAAGGAAAAAUAAAACUCUUCAAGAAAUGGCUAGAACCAUGCUAAAUGAAAACAAUUUACCAAAAUAUUUUUGGGCCGAAGCGGUUAACACUUCUUGUUAUGUUUUAAAUAGAAUAUUAUUGAGGCUCAAUCUUAAGAAAACUCCUUAUGAGCUUUGGAAAAACGAGAAACUCAACAUUAGCUAUUUCAAAGUCUUUGGGUGCAAAUGUUUUAUAUUAAACACCAAAGACAAUCUUGGAAAAUUUGAUGCAAAAUCGGAUGUUGGAAUUUUCCUUGGUUACUCAACUUCAAGUAAAGCUUUUAGAGUUUUUAACAAAAUAACCAUGAUUGUAGAGGAGUUCAUCCAUGUUAUUUUUUAUGAAUCUAACCAUUCUCCCCAAGAAACAAAGAGUUUUGAUGAUGAUUUAGGUUUAGAGACCUUCAUGGAAAAAUUACAAAUUGAAGAUAGAAGGCAACAAGAAGAAAUUAGAGAGGAUCCCAAGAAAGAAGAAUCACCAUUAGCACUACCCCCUCCUCACCAAGUGCAAAGUGAAUCAAGUCAAGACCUUCCUAAAGAUUGGAAGUUUGUCAUCAACCACCCACAAGAUCAAAUUAUAGGUAAUUCAUCUAGUGGGGUAAUAACUAGAUCAUCUCUUAGAAAUAUUUGCAAUAAUCUUGCUUUUAUUUCUCAAAUUGAGCCUAAAAAUAUAAAUGAUGCUUUAGUUGAUGAAAAUUGAAUAAUUGCUACGCAAGAUGAGUUAAAUCAAUUUGAAAGAAGUGAAGUAUGGGAAUUAGUACCAAGACCUUCAAAUCAAAGUGUUAUUGGAACUAGAUGGGUCUUUAGAAAUAAAAUGGAUGAAAAUGGCAUAAUUGUUAGAAAUAAAGCAAGAUUGAUAGCCCAAGGUUUUAAUCAAGAAGAAAAGAUAGAUUAUGAAGAAACCUUUACCCCGAUAGCUAGGUUGGAAGCCAUUAGGAUGCUACUUGUCUUUGCAUGUUUUAAAGACUUUUCUUUAUGUCAAAUGGAUGUGAAAAGUGCUUUUUUAAAUGGCUUUAUAAAUGAAGAAGUAUAUGUUGAACAACCACCCGGUUUUCAAAGUUUUAACUUUCCUAACCAUGUUUUUAAACUUAAAAAGGCAUUCUAUGGUUUGAAACAAGCACCUAGAGCAUGGUAUGAAAGAUUGAGUAAAUUUCUUUUGAAAAAGGGUUUUAAAAUGGGAAAAAUUAACACAACUCUUUUCAUAAAGACCAAAAAAAAAAAAAAUGGUCUUAGUUCAAAUAUAUGUUGAUGAUAUUAUUUUUGGAGCUACUGAUGUCUCUUUUUGUGAAGAAUUUUCUAAGUGCAUGCAUAGUGAGUUUGAAAUGAGCAUGAUGGGAGAACUCAACUUCUUCCUUGGACUGUAAAUCAAGCAACUAAAGGAAGGAACCUUCAUCAAUCAAGCAAAGUAUAUAAGAGAUCUUCUCAAAAGGUUCAACAUGGAAGAAGCCAAAACUCCAAUGAGCUCAACGAUCAAGCUUGAUAAGGAUGAGAAAGGUAAAUCCAUUGACUCAACUAUGUAUAGAGGCAUGAUAGGUUCUUUGUUGUAUUUGACCGCUAGUAGACCCAACAUAUGUAUAGUGUAUGCUUGUGUGCUAGAUUUCAAUCUUGUCCUAAAGAAUCUCAUUUAAGUGUCGUAAAACAAAUUCUUAGAUAUUUGAAAGGGACAAUGGACAUAGGCUUAUGGUAUCCUAAGAGUGAUAACCUUGAAUUAAUUGGAUUUUCGGAUGCCGAUUUUACCGGUUGUAGGGCUAAAAGAAAAAAGCACUAGUGGCACUUGUCAUUUCCUAGGACACUCACUUGUUUCAUGGCAUAGUAAGAACCAAAAUUUGGUAGCUUUGUCAAUGGCUGAAGCUAAAUACAUAGCAGCCGGUUUAUGUUGUGCACAAAUUCUUUGGAUGAAACAAACACUUGGUGAUUUUGAUUUAUCUUUUGAGCAUGUUCCUAUUAAAUGUGAUAAUACUAGUGCCAUACAUAUAUCAAAAAAUCUUGUGCAAUACUUUAGGAAUAAGCAUAUAGAGAUUAGACAUCAAUUUCUUAGAGACCAUGCACAAAAGGGUGACAUAACACUUGAAUUUGUAAGCACAAAAAAUUAACUUGUUGAUAUCUUUACAAAACCUCUAAGUAAAGAACAAUUUGUUGACAUUAGAAGACAACUAGGGGUGAUUUCUUUAUGAUCUAAUGAUUGCUUCUUGAUGAAUAUAUCUUCUGAUUGCAUGAAUUUCAUGUCAUAUGCAUCAUAUAGACACAUACUUAGAUAAAUGGUCAAAUUUUGACCAAAAAUCAAAAUUCUCUUGGCAUUGGGCAUAAAAAAUUGGGGAUUUCAACUAAAAAUGGCAGAGUGAGGAUGAGAAAAUGAGAAAAUGCACAAAAUGUGAAAAGUCAAACCCGUUGACCAUGUUGACCAGACUGUCGACCGAACCAAGACCAAUCGACCGAUUCGUCAGGACUAGGUAUUUAAAGAGACUCCCGUGUAUUGUUUUCUCCACUGUUCUCCUCCAUUUCUUCAGGGUUUUUCACAUUUCGGCUUCCAGAGAUCAGUUUAAGCAAGGUUUAGACCGAUUGAAGGCUUUGGAUUGGAUUUUUGGGAGGAUUAGGGGCUAAGGUUUUGGUUUUGGACUACACUUUCUUCCUCUCGCGCACCACAACCAGGGUUUUCUUCCUUUCUGCACACCUAGGGUUUCGGUUAUGAGUGUUUCUCUCUCUACCAACCUCGUCUCCUUUGUUUCUUUCAUUCUCAUGGCUCCUAGGAGAGAGUUGAUUGCCUUUAGGGCACAGGGCAAACGCCCAGCUGAGCCGACUCAGCCCCCUCUAUCGAAGGCUCGCCAAUAGGCGAGGUUUGACACCUCUCUAUUCAGCUCCGUGGAAGACUACCAAUGGUACAAGCAAAAGUUUGCUUAGAGGAAAGUAGUUCUAGGGAAAAGUAUCAAUUUCUCCCAACUCCAGCAUUUCAGAUUUGAGGGAUUGUUUGGCAGGAUGGGUUGGCUACCCAUGGUGACAGUUUCGGAGCUGAUUUUUUCGACAUUGGUGCGAGCGUUCUAUUUAAGGACGACAUAUGGCAUUGGUGGCCCGAUUAUUUCCACUAUUAGAGGACUCGAGAUUCAGCUGGACUUGGAAAGCAUCUGCCGCAUUUUCAAUAUUGCUCCAAUUGGACUCAGGGUGUACGAGUCCAAGAUUUGGCCCAUUAUGCCGGGUUUUGAGCUUAGAGAGGCCAUUCAUAGAAUGUGCGGACUUGCAGACGCCUAGAGGAUGGGCAAACAAUUGGCCCACAGCUUGACCGUGAUCAAUAGAGUACUAUACCACAUGAUUUGCUCUAUCUUGCUACCACGAGGCGGACACAAAGACAAGGUCUCCUAUUAUGAGGAAUUCCUCGUGAACUCUAUUCUAACAGGGAGACGAAUUCACUUGGGGUAUUUGAUGAUGAUGCACAUGAUCUCAUGUUGCGAGAGCAUGACCCGUGUACUCCCCUAUGGUAGAGUGUUCAAGGAUGUCGGAGUUGAUUGGAGCAGAGAGACAUAUUUUGAGGCUCCCAACAUAUAUGAUACAUAUGAUGAGCAGUCUUUGGGGCGAAUGAAAUUUGAGAAGGCCCCCAAUGGUUCUUGGAUUAGGAGAGCAAAGAGACCACCAGCACAAGCCCGAGGACAGUGACAGGUACAUCCUGGCGUAAAAAAGGAGGCCAAGAUACGAGAGAUAAAUGGUGGAGUAGACCCUUAGAGAGGCUUUCAACAGAUAGAUCUCGAGCUUGACAUUCUUCCACUCCAGUCAGAGGGUGUUUAGUUUGAGGCCAUAUUUUCUGAGCCGAUGAUGUCUGAUCUGACUUACAUAGUGGGACCAUCUUCUCAGCUAUCAUUCACUUAGCCUCCUCACAUAGAGAUACCACCUCAUCAGGCACCUCAUGUUUCUAAUCAUGCACCUUGGAUGGAUCUAUCUGCUCAAAUUAGCUCUCUUGGCACUCGCAUGAAGGAGCUUGCAGUAGUCAAUGAUACUCGAUUCUUCUCCAUGGAGGAUCGCAUGAAUCGAUAUCAGACUGGUUUCACUUCUCAAUUUGAGUAUUUGCAAUAGAGAUUUGAGUGUAUGGAUGAUCACAUGGAUCAACAGUGGGCUGGGUUUGAGCAUCUCCAGCGAAGAAUUGAGUGCAUUGAGAGUCGUCAGAAGAGUCAGCAUAAGGAGAUGAUGGCUUACCUACGCUCCGUGUUUCCACCUCCACUUCCUUAGCCUUGAUUUAAUAGAGACCUCCUUUGUUUCUUUUUUAUAUUGCCAAAAAAUGGAGAGAUAUUUAGGAUCUAGGAGACUUACAUGCAUAUCAUUGUCAUAUCUUUUGUUUGGAUCAUAUAUAUAAUAGGCUUAUAUGUUUCGUGUACAUUUGACUUAUAUAUGAUAUGCUAUAUGUUUCAUGACUUACACUGUUUCAUAUUGAAAAUUUGCAUGUCUUGAUUAUCUUGGUUUUAACUUCAUAAAUUUUGAUUGAUUGAUCCAUGAUUGGUUUGAGAGGGAGAUUUUUCUUCUCCUAGAUAACCAAGGUUUGUCAUCAUUAAAAAAAAGGGAGAUUGUUAGCGCAAGGGUUCUCCUAAUUAGGUUUUGAUGAUAACAAACCAUGGUAAAGUUACUAAUUGGAUUGAAUUGUAAAGAAUCUCAAGUAUUAAUUUGGAAAUUCAUCAAAGGACCAAAUGGAUACAAGAUCAAGACGUCUAGAAGACCUUUAAUCAUAGAAAAAAAUUGUAAGAUGAAUGCAUGGGUGCACUUAGGUUUUACAUAUCAUUUCAUGCAUCUUUGGAAAACUCAAUUUAUUCUCUAAAGUUACAAUUUCAUUAAAACCCGAGUUUUAUCAAAUGUACCUUAAGCAAAACAUUUCAAAAUUGGCAUAUUAAUUUACCUAAAGACCUUACCUAAGUGUUAGAAAAGAAAAGAACAUAAAAAGAUAGGUUUUCGGGGCCCAAAGGUUGAACCGAUCGAAGCACUAGGCCAACAGACUAAGGUAUUGGUCGAUUGGUUACCCUUGCCUAGUCGAGGUCCGAUCAAGGAGUGCUAAAAACAUUCUCUCUCAUCCAAUAGUCUUCCCUUCCUGGUCGAGGUAUCCUCAUUCCCGGUUGACCUCCGAUCGAGGUUCGGUUAAAGCAACAGUAACCUACCAAAGCAUUAAAUGCUCCAACGGUUAGUGAACCGGUCGACCCCCAGCUCAACCGAUUGAGGCAACUUUUUGUUUUUCUUGGCUCCUGAGGUUAGACACCUAUAAAUUGAGAGCUUCACUUCAUUUAUGACAUAGAGAACACUUGCAUUUAAUUAUCUACCCACUUGUUCUUGCCUUAAAAGCUCUCAUUUCUUUCUUGGUGCAUUAAAUCUUCACUUGCAUAUCUUUUAGUGCACCCUUGUGAGUCAUCCUAGCUUUGACUUGUAUUUGAGCCAUUAUUGAGCUAGGUUGAUAGAAGAACAUCCUUGUAAAUUGAGUGUUAGAGCCUUCAAGUGAGUUGAAUCUUGAAGAGAUUGUGUAAGAGCCUAUUAGAGCAGAGAUCCAAGUGUAAAAGAGAUUAGAAGCUUGGUUGAAGCUUCAAGUUAGUGGAACUCUUGCUCGGUUAGGAGAUUGAGGAGAGUGGAUGUAGGCAAGGAAGUGUCAAACCACUAUAAAAUCUGAGUUUGAAUUCUCUAACUUUAUCUCUUUAUAUUUGCUUCUAUUGUGCUUGAAUUUGUUGUGUUGAAAAAGUUUUUGAAAAACCCAAUUCACCCUCCUCUUGGGUAUUUUUCUCAUUUAAGAUUAGCCUUUAUUUUCUCAAAUAUUAUAAAAAAUUAAAGUAAAUUACUUUUGAAAUUUUGUUAUUUUUUACAUUUACAAUUUAGAUUUUAAUACAAAGAAGACUAAUAGUACAUUUUAUUGAGGAUGAAAUAUUUUCGUCUCCAAUAUUGAGUUUUUACAACAAAAACAUUUCUUCUCUAAUAAAUUUCUUUAUUCCUCCAUCUAAUGGUAUUAGGACAAUAAUUUUGUCCCUCAUUGUGAGGUUUUUCCUCUCCAAAACUAUUUAACAACAAAAUAAUUUUUAUUGCCCAUUAUUUACCUUUUGGGACGACAUUAAGUUUUCAUCUCCUAAUAUAUUUUCUACCAUGAAAUAUUUUGUUAUUAAAAUUUAUGAUGUCGUCACAAAUAAUUUGGCCUCAUUUCACACUCAAUUAAAAUUUUAGACACAAAUUUUUGUAACAAAAUCAAAUUUUGUUUCCCAAAAUCAUAUUUGGAGACAAAAUUAUAUUCAUGUCCAAAAAAAUUGUGCCAAAAGGUAGAAUUUCUUGUAGUGCCUUUACUUAUUAGAUGAACGAUAAAAAAAUUUCCUUUAUCAUUCUCUCUCUCUCUCUUUAACAUGUAAGCUAAAUAAAUAAAUAAAUAAACAAGAAUACAUUUCUUCAAAGACUUUUACCAUAAAUUUUACUCUAUAGAGAAUAAAAAUUGUCAAUGGUAAAAUCAAUCUCAAUAUUUAUCUCUUUGUUCUUCUCUUUUUUAUUUCUCCAUCUAUCUUUCUAGGGAUUUUCUAUCAUCUCCAGAUUCUUCAGACUUAUAUAUAUUUAAAACUAAAACUCCCCAAACUUGGUUUAAAAUUUGUAACUCCCCAAUCAUGGUUUAAAAUUGUAACUUUUUUUUUUUAUUAUUUUGUUUUUAAUAAUGUAUCCUUAUCUUUAUCCUUAUUAUUAUUAUUCUAUGAACUAAAUUAGGAAUUUUAGACUAUCCACUCUUUAAAUUAGGAAUAUUAUUUAAACCUAUUUUAACCUAACAAAAAUUUUAUAUCAAUUGGUACUAAUUUAUUCCUACAAUAAUUAAAUUUAAAUGUAAGAAUUUAUUCUUUUUUUCGUCAUACAUUAUUGAGUACUAAAAUAAUUUUUUUUAUAUAUAUAAUUUAUUCUUAAAAUAAUUUUUUCGUCAUAUAUAUAUAUAUAUAUAUAUAUAUAUAUAUAUAUAAUUUUUUUUAUAUUGUACAUUGCAUUUUUUUUUCCUAUUUUCCUUUAUUAUUCAUGUUUUAUUCACAUCAAAUAUCCAUUUUGCACUACAUUUUUUUAUUGAACAACUAAAAUAAUUUUUUUUUAUGUAUUUAUCUUUAUAUUUUUCUUGGAAACCUUACUUCUUAAAUCUAUAGAAUUUUUCAUCAAACUAAAUACAGUUUUUUAUUUUAGAAUUAUAUUGUCUAUAAAUUUCUUUCAAAUAAUAAUAAAAACUCUCAAACUCACGAAGACCUUGUUUUUGUCUAGGGUUAUAUUAGAGAAAACAUUCAUCGUACUACUAUUAAUUUUUUUUUUUCUUUUCUUACUUCCUAAACCUUUACUUAUUAGAUGAACGAUAAAAAUUUCUCCUUCUCGUUCUCUCUUCAACAUGUAAGUUAAAUAUAUAUAUAUAUAUAUAUAUAUAUAAGAAUACAUUUCUUCAAAGACUUACCUUAAAUUUUACUCUAUAGAAAAUAAAAAUAAUCAAUGGUAAAAUCAAUCUCAACAUUUAUCUUUUUGUUCUUCUCUUUUUUAUUUCUUCACCUAUCCCUCUAGGGGUUUUCUAUCAUCUCUAGAUUCUUUAGAUUUGUUAUAUAUAUAUUUAAAACCGAAAUUCUCCAAACUUGGUUUAAAAUUUGUAACUCCCCAGUUGUGGUUUAAAAUUGUAGCUUUUUUUAUUUUUUAUUUUGUUUUUAAUAAUGUAUCCUUAUCUUUAUCCUUAUUAUUAUUAUUAUUAUUAUUAUUAUUAUUAUUAUUAUUAUUCUAUGAACUAAAUUAGGAAUAUUAAACUAUCCCCUCUUUAAAAAAAAGUUUAGUCUUCUAAACUUAGCAUACUUGAAAUUAGAAAAAAAAAAAUGUGAAAACUUUUCCCUCAUCUCAUCUUCAAGUCCCCAAAUCACCUCUCAGUUAGAGUUAUUACUCCAUUGAACUUUGACUAAUUUGAUUGUUACAAGAAGAAACAUCUUAUCCAUCAUGUCAACAAUCUGAAUUGGAACUUCCUCAUAAGAUAGAUUUUAUGCUAAAUGAAUCGGUUAAAGUUCCACAACAUGUGAAGGAUCAUAAACAUACUUUUUUAAAGCUGAUACGUGAAACACAUUAGGAACCUUUUCCAAACUUGGGGGUAAAGCCACCCUUUAUGCUAAGGUGCUAACUUUAUCCAAAAUUUCAAAUGAUCCCACAAACCUAGGACUAAGUUUUCUUUUCAAACAAAAUCUCAUAACCAACUUAAGAGGUGAUACUAUGAGAAACACAUGAUCACCAACCUAGAACUCUAAAUUUCACCUUCUAUUAUCAAUAUAGCAAUGUUGUAUACUCUGAGCUAUUUUUAAUCUUUCUCUUAUUAAAGCAAUUUUUUUAUAAGUUUCUUGAACUAAUUCUGGUUCCAAAAAUUUUAUCUCAACAACCUCAUCCCAAUAAACAAAGGACCUACACUUUCGACCAAACAAAGCUUCAAAAGGUGGCUUCCUACUUUGAAAACUAUUGUUGUAGGCAAACCCCACUAAGAGUAGAUGGUUGUCCCAAUUACCUUCAAAAUCUAAAAUACAUGCCCAAAUCAUAUCUUCCAAAAUUUGAAUUACCCUUUCUGAUUGUCCAUUGGAUUGAGGAUGAAAGGUUGUACUAAAAUUUAGCUGAGUUACCAUAGAUUUUUGCAACCUCUUCUAAAAUUGGGAAGUAAAACGGGCGUCUCAAUUUGAUACUAUAGAUAUUGGAAAUCCAUACAUCCUCACAAUCUCCUUAACAUACAACAAGGCUAAUUUGUCCAAGGACCAAGUAGUUUGAAUAGGUAAAAAGUGGGUUAAUUUAGUUAGUUUAUAAACAAUCACCCACACAACAUUACUUCCCACCACAAAUUUGGGAAAGCUAAAAACAAAAUCCAUUGUAAUGUGUUCCCACUUCUAAUUAGGAAUGAGAAGUGGUUGCAACAUACCUAAUAGACGUUGAUACUCAGUUUUGACCUACUAACAAGUCAAGAAUUGGGUAAUAUAUUAAGCGACACCACGCUUCAAACUAGGUCACUAGUAAAGUUAUCUCAAAUCCUGUUACAUUUUGGUCUCAUUGGAGUAGACUACAAACUUAAAGGAGUGAGCUUCCUUUAAAAGUUCUUUCAUGAGAUUUCCAACUUAGGUCACAUACAUACAAACAAAUUCUAAAUCUCAAUAUUCCAUCAUUUAGAAGUACAAAGUAAAACUUAGUUCCCCUUCCUAUAUAUAAUUUGAACAACCUGUAGAUCAUCUAUUUGUAAGGACUUGAUCCUCUCAAACAAAUUUGGUUGAACCUUAAGAUGAGCAAAUAAUACUCCAAACUAUAAAACUUCAAAUUAAACUAGUAGUCUAUUCAAUUCAAAUAACAUAUAUGGUUUUCUAACCCUCAAGGCUACUAAAGAACCAAAAGACUUCUUACUUAAAGCAUUUACUACUAUAUUCGCAUCACCAGAAUGAUAUAGAAUAAAGUGGUUAUAGUUCUUGAGGAGUUCAAGCCACUUUCUCUAUCUCAUAUUCAAUUCUUUUUUAGAAAACAAAUACUUUAAUCUUUUAUAAUUAGUGUAGAUCUCACAUGUCUCACCAUACAAAUAGUGUCUCCAUAUCUUAAGAGCAAAAAUCACUAUUGCUAAUUCCAAAUUAUGAGUAGGAUAGUUUCACCCAUAAGGUUUCAAUUGCCUAGAAGGAUAACUGAUGACUUUCCCAUCCUGCAUGAGAACACAACCAAGCCCUUAAUGUGAAACAUCACUAUAAAUAACAUAACCCAUAGAACUUGAGGGGACUAUUAACAUUAGAGUAGUUACCAAUCUAUUCUUCAACUCUUGGAAGCUUUUCUCACAACCAUUAGACCACAAAAAUUUGACCCUCUUUUGAGUAAGCUUUGUUAAAGGUUCUUAGAGAUUCCCUUUGAAAUGUUUGUAAUAACCAUCUAAACCUAGGGGACUCCUAACCUUAGUUACCAAGUUAGGCUUGCUCCAACUAAGUCUACCGAUAUUCCAUCCUUGGAGAUUACAUGGCUAAGAAAUAAAACUCUAUCCAACCAAAAUUCACAUUUCUUAAGCUUAAAAAAAAAAAAAAAAAGUUGAUCUAGGUUUAGGAAGUAAGAAAAAUAAUAAUAAUAAUAAUAAAUAGAAGUAUGAUGAAUGUUUUCUCUAAUUUAACCCUAGACAAAAACAAAGUCUUCAUGAGUGUGAGAGUUUUUAUUAUUAUUUGAAAGAAAUUUAUAUAUAAUACAAUUCUAAAAUAAAAAAUCAGUAUUUAGUUUGAAGAAAAAUUCUAUAGAUUUAAGAAGUAAGGUUUCCAAGAAAAAUAUAAAGAUAAAUACAUUUAAAAAAAAUCAUUUUAGUUGUUCAAUAAAAGAAUGUAGUGCAGAAUGGAUAUUCGAUGUGAAUAAAACAUGAAUAAUAAAGGAAAAUAGGAAAAAUAAAAUAUGUAAUGUACAAUAGAAAAAAAAAACAUUAAUUAGGAUAAUUAAAUAUAUAUAUAUAUAUAUAUAUAUUAAUUUAGUACUCAAUAAUGUAUGAAGAAAUAAAGAAUAAAUUUUUACAUUUAAAUUUAAUUAUUAUAAGAAUAAAUUGGUACCAAGUGAUAUAAAAUUUCUAUUAGGUUAAAAUAGGUUUAUAUUAAUAAGAUUUAUUUUAUUUUUUUAGGUAAAUCCUAAGUUUAAUCAACUUCCUUGCUGAGUUCAACUUUUACUAGGUAAGGAAUUAUGACCCUUAAAUAUUUUCUAAAGUAUUAUUUUUCUAAAAGGGUAGGAAAAUAUUUUACUAUAUGAAGAAUAUUUCAUAUUGUGAAAAAUAUUACUAUUAUUAUAUAUUUUGAUAUCUGGCCCUAGUCAAUAGGGGUUGUGUUGUUGACCCUCAUUACUUAAUUGUAUAAGGAUUGGAAAACCUAGUCAAUGGGGUAGUCACUAACCCUCAUUACUUAAGUUUAUGAGGAUUGAAAAACCUAGUUAGUGGGAUAAUCACUAGUCUGAUGGUACCAUAUGAUUGGUUAGUCCCUUCUGAAUUGAAGGAUCAUCUGUUUCUAAAGAUCCCAUUAGUUUGGGAAAAUAAUUUUUUUUUAUACCUAUAUGUUUGAAGAUUAUAUUAUGUUAUGUCACUUUCUUUUUUUAUAUAUAAAAUAAAUUGUUAGUAUAUUCCUUAUUGAGCUAAAGCUUACUACUUUUGCUUUUCAAAACCCCUUUUAGGUUCCCCAAAUGUAGAUGGAAAUGAGUGACAUUGAAUAUAGGAGGGGUUCUUGUUAGUUAAGUUUAUGGUAGGCCUUAAAGCCUUUGUUUAGACAUGAUGAUUUGGACCAUGUGUUAUGUUUUAAUUAUCAAGUUAAUUUGAACAAAAUUAGUAUUUCAUAAUUAUGUGAAUCAUGAAACUUCUAUCUUAGAAAAAUAAUUUUAACUCUAUGAACUCACUCUUAAGGGGAAUGUAUGAAUUUUGUUCUUUUUUAUUAUUUAAUCAUUUUUGCAUAUUUUGCCUUUAUGUUGGACAUCCAAAAUUUACAAGGUUAGCCCUAGCCUCAGGACAUAAGGUGUUACACUAUAUAUAUAUAAUAUGAUUUGAAAUAAUGUAAUUUAAAUAUGAUUUGAAAUAGAUUGCAAUAAUGUAAUUCUAAUAGGUCUAUUAUAAUAGUAAUUUAAUUUUUUUUCCUUUUUUUAAUCUUUGGAUCAUAACAUUUGAUAAACCUUUUGGUUUUGACCAAAAUUUAACAUUUUAAAAAAUAAUUAUUGGUUUUUGUUAUUAAAUAGAAUUGAAACAAAAUGGACAUCAUUGUUAUAAACUAAAUUGAAUGAUUUCUUUCAAUUAAUUCAACUUUUAAUAGAUGAGAAUUCAUUACAUGGAUUCAAUCGUAUACACCCUAAAGUUGACAGCAAAUUUAUGGGAAGGAUAAAAGGAAUGAAGGCUUAUAAUUUUAUAUUUUGAUAUAGCAUUCGACACAAGAAAAGUAUUCAAGAACAAAAGUGUUUGUUUUUUCAACUUGCUUUCAAACCUUAAGUAGUUUGUUUUUUUACUUUUUCUUGAUUUAUUACUUAUUUUUUUAAAAUUUGAUUAAAUAGAAAAAAAUAAAAUAUUUGAUUUUUUUUAAUACUAAAAAUAGUUAAACGUAAUAUCAUAAUUACAGGGAACCUGUUGAAUUUUAUUUUAUUUUUUUGUUACUUUUUAACACUUAAUAGAAAUACAAUAUUAAAAAAUAAACUAGCUUAAUACUUAACGCUAUCAAGCAAUAUUUAGUUUUAAAUUCCAUUUAGUUUUAAAGUCUUUGUUUAGUUAACCUAAGAAGACAUUCCUACUUUUCUUUGUGUUGAGAGUCACCUAAAUGGAAUAAAAUAUUCAAUAUCAUAGGAGAGUAAAAAGUAUUGUAGAAAUGAUUUUGUUGAGAGAGUUAUCUAAAUGGAAUGAGAUAUUGGUAGGUGAAUAAAAUAUUAUGGUGAUUGUAAUAGUUGACUUAGUGAGUGGAGGAGAAGUGUAUGCUUCUUUGUUUAUUCUAUAAAAACAAUAAUUUUAGUAGUUGAAAACGUGUAUGAAAUGACUGAAAAUAUUUUUUGAAAAAUAAGAAAAUAAUAAAUGGAUAAUAGUUCAUUUCCUAAAAAUCUUUUGAUAAAUUAAAAUAACUUGUAGUUAAAAUAUAUUCUUGUGAAAGUAUUUAAAAAUGAACCAAUAUAUUAAUAAUUGUUAUUUUGUUUAAAAAUAAUUUAAGAAUAAAAAAAUAAUGCUGAGUUCAAAUAUGACUACUUUGUUAUGAGAUUCAUUAAAGAAAUAAUUGUUGAUUUUACAGUUAUUGCAUCAAAGGUUGUACUCAUUUAAUGAAUUGUAUAUAAUUUCAUACUUUCAAUUAUUGUGAUAUUAAUGUUAUUCUCAUUUGAUUUCAGUUUGAUGACAAAUAAAACAUAUUCUCAAGUAGAAUUUGAUGAAAUUAGAGAAGAAUGGAUUACUUUUGUGUUAUAACUAAUCAUGAAUCAUAUUGAUGUAUCGUGAUCAUUCAUGAUAAGUCCUUUAGUUGUUAUAUGAUUGAAUUUUCCAUUGAUAUUGUCUAACAUUACUUAUUCUUUACGAACUAUUUUUAUACCAAAAUGAGAAAAAGGAAAAAGAAAAAGAAAACAUUAGUACUUAGAUUUGUUUAUUGUUUAUAACAUCACAUUUUCAUUUUCAAUAAGAACUCUAAAACUCAUUAAACUAUGAAAUGCAGGUAUACACUCUUGGGAGGACAAUAUGAAGAAUAAAAAGAAAGGAGAAAGAGGCAACAAGAUUUAGGUUUUUAGAUAUGACUCUUAUGUCAUACAUUAUAGGACAUAAACGUUACUUUAUUUGGAAUUGAGAAUUUUGGAUUUUUGGAUGCAACUCUUGUGUCAUUUUAUGGUUAGCCGGUUUUAUGCAUAUGAAAUGCAAGUAUACAUGAAUGUUGGGAAGCUUAACAUUUCUAAAUCAUGUUUUAAUGUACAUUCACUUUUCUUUUUUAGUUUUGGUGGGUUUGAUGUGUUUGAUGUACUAUCAUUUUGUGAACAUUUGAUAUACAAAUAUUAUUGGAUGAUGUAAUAUGUUACAAAUUAAUUCAUAAGUAUUAUGAAAAUAUAAGUUAAAUGUAAUAUGAUUAUUAUAUUUAUGGACAAUUUACACAGGUUAGUCUUAUUUAUUAAUAAGCAUUACAAAAAUCUACAAAUUAAUCAACAAAAAACAACCAUAUCUUCCAUAAUCAUUUACAAUGAUGUGACACCAUAAAUUAAAGGUGAUACAUUUAACGUGACACCAUAACUCAAAGAUGAUGCAUUUAAUAUGACACCUUAUAUAUCUCAUACAACUCUAUGUCAAAUUAAGCAUCACUAAAAAUAUAUGGUGUCUCUUCUAAAUGUGUCACCAUUUAUCUGCUUUGGUGUCGCUUCCAAAUACGUCACCAAUUGAUACCCUCUAUGGUGUCAGUGGAUAAGGUGACGCUAUGUUGUAGUGACACCCUAUGUUUAUAGUGACUUAUUAUAAAUGUCACCAUAUAUCUUUUUCCUUGUAGUGAAGAAAACAAAUACUGCCUAUGUUUUAAGUAUAGCAUGUGUUUUAAAAAAAUUUCAAACUCAUCCCUAACCUAUUUAUUUAAAUUCCAAUCCCGCCUUCAUCUCUACAAGUACAUAUUAAAAUGUGGGUUCCACACAAAUAAAUUAACGUGGUGGCUGUGUUGGAGACAUGCUUAGAAUAUGAUAUAAUGGGAGUAUGAGAAUAUAUACAAAACAUAGAAGCAUAUAAAGCAUAUAAAUAAAUGUAACUUUGAAAUCACAAGAAAUUGGGUGCAGCAUAUAAAAACAUAUUGCUUUAAGAAUUCUGGUGUGCUGAAAAUAAAGUUUGGUGGGCUAUGACUGCAAUCCUUAGGAUCGUAAGAUAUCAUGCUUAUGCUUUUGUGUGUGUUAAUAUAAUGGCUAGUGACAUCUAAAAACCAAAGCACAAUGUUUCAUGUGCUGAGCAUGCAUUGUGCCUUUGUGAUAACAGGUACUUUGAUUACAAGAUUAUAGGAUUUCUAAUCUCAGUGCUUGCAACUUGGGGUGCAAUAUGUGCCUACUAGAAGGGAAGAAGAAGAAUCACUUUUGCUAGAAGGCAUAGAAAAGCAAGGACCUUAUUUAACUUUGUACGGUACAAUGCCUAUCAUAGAGUUGCCCUGCAAUAUCAUCAGAAUUCACCCUUUUUUUCCUUUUCUAUGUACAAACCUUUCCAUCUUCAAAGAUUUCCUCUAUAGAUCACAUCCACACAUUCUCAUUCAGUUUUUUAUGCCCAAAUUUGUAUGUUCUGCUGGGAUUGCAGUUGAAGUUAUUGUCACCCCCAAAGCCAUACUUGGUGCGGUACCCUGGGUAGUCCAUAAAAUUAAAGGGCUCUUCUUCUAUAAGUCGAAGCCCAACUCUUGAGGCUAGAAAUUCCAAAUUCCACUCAUAAAAGAAGCCAUUGCUUUUGUGAGUAAUGUGGAUUUCUCCAUCUAUGUGAAUCAUCUUCUUAGCAUUUUCUAAAAACAGCUGUACCAGCAUUUGAUUUCGCCUGCAAGAAUUAACAAUGAUAUAGAAGGAAAAUUUUCAUGUAAGAAUUAGGAAUACAGGCUAUACAUAAAUUCGAUUGAAGAAGCUUUUCAAAGAAGGAAUCUACCAACCGGAUCUUAUCUUCCCUAGAUGCAUUGGGAAAAAAUCCAGCCAGCGGGAAGUUGUAGACAACUCGAUCAAAACGCAUGCAAUUGAAUGGGAAAACGUGUGCCAUUUUGGUGGCAUCAACAUCAUGCAUGACCUUAGCUCCCAAGCUCCGUAGUGAAUCGAUGUUGGACAAGGCAUGCCUAUAGUUUGUGCUCAAAAACUCUGAAAAUUGCAGUCAAUUAAGGCCAUAAGACAAACCCCAAAUGGGUGCUGGGGCACAUGCUAAUCAAGGUUUACUCGGGACUAGAAUGAGAAAAAUACCCAAAUCAACCAAAAUCAUGACAUUCAUGAGAAACACUCAAAGAAGAUUACCAACUUAUGAUUCAGGAUUUCUUAUUUGUUACCUAUAGAAUCAAGAGAAGUAGCGGUUAUGUUUGUAGCAGAAGCAAAAGCCACAGCCAAAGACGCAGAGAAUGAGAAGUCCCCUUCACCCACCAGCAAUAUUUUGUAUUUACUGCUGUAGUGCUUUAUCCAUCUUACUCCAAGCUUUCCUUCCUCUAGGUCUUCUUCACAGCUGCUGUAGUCCCACCAAUUUUUUCCUACCGCUCCUCUGGUUCGUUCUUCGUUUUCUUCAAUUAUGUCGUAAUGGUGGAGCCGUGCAGAAACUUGCUUCUCAUCACCUACAACUUCGACUUUAAAUUUUGCAGGAAUUAACAGAUCCAAUGCAUCAUCAGACCUGGAAUUGCUGCGUGAUUCCAAGCUCAGUGGAAAACCCAGAGAGUUUCGCUGCGAUGCACCAUUGAUGCCUGAGUUGCUGCUUGGGACAGAGCUCAGUGGAAGAGUCACUGGAUUUGGCUGGAAAUGGGAUGCACCACUCACGCUAGAGUGGCUGGAGGAGCUAGAGAGUAGUGAAGGAUGAGUCUGUAUCUUUGGCUGAGCAUGAGAAGUACCACUUGGCCUGGAUAGGCCACACGAGUUGGAGCUGAGUGGCUGAGGAGUCUGCACUGGUUUUGGGUAAAAAGAGGUUGUGCUGGAUUGGCUGCAUGAGCUAGAACCUAGCUGUUGGUGAGUCUCUAGUUUUGGUUGGACAGGGGAUGAUACAGUCGUGCUGGAGAGGCCACAUGAGCUCAAGUUGAGUGGCUGAUGAGUCUGCACUAGUUUUGGGUAAAAUUGGGUUGUGCUGGAUUGGCUGCAUGAGCUAGAACUUAGUUGUUGGGGAGUCUCUAGUUUUGGCUGGACAGGGGAUGAUACAGUCGCGAUAGAGAAGCCACAUGAGCUCGAGUUUAGUUGAUGAUGAGUCUGUAGUGUUGGCUGAAGACGUGAUGCACUACUUGUUUUGGAGUGCCUGAAUGGGCUAGAGCUAGAGUUAGAGCUAGAGCUCACUGGAGGCGGAGGAUGAGUCCGUAGAUUUGUCUGCAAUGCGUAGUCCCUACAUGAUUCUAAGCUCGGUGGAGAAGUAAAUGGAUUCGGUGGCAACGCAGGCCUUGAGCUUGAAGAAUUGGUGUCUGAGGCAAAUCUCGGCGGAGAAAUCAGGGGUAGUUUUUCACUUGGCUUCUUUUUAUCAUCUUUUUCACCCCACAACCAGCGAAUAAUAACGGAGAGAAUUUGACCCAUUGAAUCACCCGUCCCCCCCUUCUUUUUCUUCUUACUUCAUCAAGGAGCCUGUAAACAUAGAAAUGUCCCUUGUCAUGAAAACCAUGCGGGCGUGCACUGCAAUGUCAAUGGACUUGACACAGGUCCCACCAACAUUGCAUUAAAUUUUCCUUCUCGGACAAGUAAGAUAAGGAAUGCCUCUGCCACAUACUGUUGAGAAAUAUAAGAAGAUAUUACCCACAAUUACAAAGCCUAUCAUGUUAACAUUCAAGUCAUCCCACAUCGGAAUAAGAGAGAGGCUUUUCGGUCUCACCCCAUAGUGGUUCCCUCGUAAAAAGGGCUUUACCACAUAUUUUUCUUUUUAUUAUUAUAUUUUAAAAUUUUCGCUGCAGUAUCCUUUCAUAACAUAUUAAAUCAGGUAUCAUUUCAUAUCAAAUCAUUGUAGCCUGCUUGACUACUCCAAUUCCCAAGCCUUUCUCCUCCUUUUUGAAAGUUGAUUCCAUAAAUGUCUAGUUUCCAGUGAUGUAGGGUUGUGUGAGUCUUUCUCUGCCAUAUCAGACCGAGACAUUAAUAUGACUCAAAUGCAACAUUCAUGUUAGAAUACAAAGGGAUUCAAAUUGUCAACAAAUAAACCAAAAAUCAUCUUCACAGCCAAAUCUACAACUACUAAACAUCUUUUCCCUCUAAAACUAGUAAAGUUUUCAUCCAGACAUGUUGAUUAACUAUAGAAGAACAUGCUUCUGCAUCAUCCCCAUCUAAGUUCAGCAUUUUAGCAGAAACUCAAUAUGAAAAAACAGAAUGACAGAAAGGGUAAAAGGGCGCCAAUAUCAAUACCAUGCAUGCAGAUGAGCUUGUGGGUGAUGAGAGCUUUGUUGAGACCAGAGAUCAAAGCUCCCAAAUCAGAGUUUUCCCACCAAAGAUCGGACGAGAUCAAACACUAGUGAUGCUUGGCUUGCAGGAGAUCCAUCAGUGUUGGGUGUGAGAAAUGAGAGUUGUGCUGAGAGUGAAGGGGGAGCAAUAUCAGAAGGUAAAGAAGCUUCCGAUGAUUCGUACGUCCAAAGACUUGGUUGGACUUGGCCAUUUUUAUGCUACGUGGAGGCACUCUAUUCGGAUUAAUAAAGUGAUAAAAGAAAAAAAUUAGGAAAGAUUCGAAAGAAGUCCAUUUCAUCAAAGAAUUUGAUACCCAAAGUGAUCGAAGUAAUUAAAAUAGAUUGAUGAUGAUGAUGAUGGCUCCACCAAACAGCAUUCCAUACCCAACCCACCAAUCAUAAAAUUCAGUGACAUGGGAGUGCAUAAAGCAAAAUAAGAUAUACUAAAAUUAUUUUAAAAUACUUUGUAUUUCCAGAUAAUUUUUUAUUUGGGGAUCGGCAAAGGAAACAAAGUUGAAGAAUUAUUUUAAAACAAUUUAUUCAUUUUAAUUUUUUUUUUAAAUUUUCUUUCACUUGGUAAAUAUUUCAUAAUUUUAAAAAUUAUUAUAUUAUUUAAUUCAUAUUAUUUUAAUACUUAUCAUUAUAAAAAUAAAUAUGCACUUAAAUAUUUAUAAAAAUAAACAUUAUAUAUUUUUUGAAAAAUUUUCGUAAAGCUUAGUUGGUCUAGUGGUAGCAAUCUCUUUUUUUAUUGCUGCCUUUUAGGUUUGAUUUCUCAUACUCCUCUUUUCUACAUAUACCCAUCCCACAUUGAAAGCUCAUACAAGCAUUUCCUCCCAUAAAUUACAUAUGAGCUUGGCAUAGAAAUUAGUUACUUAUAAUGUGGCCCAUCAAAAUAAAUAUAUUUGGGAUGUACAACUUUUAGGGCUAGGUUGAGAUCGUACAACAUGUUUUUAAUUUAACUCGACUUGGAGGCAUUGGCAUCUUCCUCCAGGUUCACACUAUUUAUGAAGAACUCUAUGUAUUUUUAAUAAAGUUGAGAUCGUACAACAUAUUCUUAAUUUAACUCGACUUUGAGACAUUGGCAUCUUCCUUGGGGUUUACAUUGAAUCAAUAAAGAGGGGUUCACAUUAUCAUAUGAAGAACUUUAUGUGUUUUCAAUGAAGUUGAGAUCGUACAACAUAUUCUUAAUUUAAGUCGACUUGGAGGCAUUGGCAUCUUCCUCGGGGUUCACAUUGAAUCAAUAAAGAAGGGUUCAUAUUAUCAUAUGAAGAACUCUAUGUAUUUUCAAUGAAGUUGAGAUCGUACAACAUAUUCUUAAUUUAACUCGACUUGGAGGCAUUGGUUUCUUCCUCCCAAAUUCAUUGUAUGUGUAAAUGACAUCUUCCUCUCAAAUUCAUUGUAUGUAUGUAUAAAUGAAAGAAAGUUGAUUCAAAGAUCCAAACAAUCUUCUACUUUUAAAAUUUUAUGAACCCAAUCUAUGAUUUUCCAUUUAAAGAAAUUGACAAUGAACUAAAUUCAAUCAAAAAUUACAUACAUAUCUAUAAUAUAUAAUAUCUAUUAGCUAUAUUACCAACUUAAUUUUAUUAUAGAGUAGCAUACCACAUCUAUAUAGUUUAUAAUUGAGCUACUUAGUAAUGCUAUGAGAAGGUUAUACCAAUAGCUAUAUACAUUCAUCUCCUUGAGUUAGAAUAAUAUGACUUGACAUAGAUUGCAAUAAUGUAAUUUAAAUAGGUUUAUUAUAAUAGUAUUUUUAAGCUUUUCUGAUCAUAAUGUUUGAUAGGCUUUUUGGUUUGAGCCAAAGUUUAACAUAAUAAAAAAUAAUUAUUGGUUUUUAUUAUUAAAUCGAACUGAAACCAAAUGGACUUUAUUGUUAUUAAACUGAAUUAAAUGUUUUUUAAUAUUAAAAAAAAUAAAUUUAUUGAUUUUUUCUAUUCAAUAAAAAAAUUUAAAAAUAAGUAGCAGAUUAAUAAAAUAAAAUUUAAAAAAUGAGCAAUUUAAAAUCUUAGCAAAAAAGUUAAAAAAAUAAACAAGACUGAAGUUAAUUUUCUUUGAGUGUCGCAUGACUCCCCUGGGCUUAUUAAUAAUUCCCUGAUUGGGCUUUUAAUUCAUGACUAACAAAUUUGGGCCAAAACUUCCAAAAGUUAGCCUCCUAACGUUUCAAAUUGGGAUGGCAAUAUGGGUCAACUUCAUCCAAAUCUUGUCCAGUUUAUUUAUACCCAUUCUCGUCCGAUCCAUACCUAAAAAUAAAAAUAAAAAUAAAAAUUUUGAUUUUUUUUUAUUUUGAAAAUUUUAAAUUAUAUUAAAAAUAAAUAUAAUUUAUAAAAAAUAAAUAUUAAAACUUUUUAUUAUUUAUUUGUAUGAAAAGUAUAAGAAUUUACUUUUAUAUGCUAAAAAGAGGUGAAAAUGAAAAAAAAUAUAUUAAAUUAACUUUUUAUUUAAUAUUAUGUAUAAUAAUUGGGACAAGACAAAACUUAGGUUUUAAAAAAUUUUUAUCAAACUCAUUUCAAAUUUAUCUUUAUCUCAAAUUCAUCACUUUAAAGAAGGGGUAUCCCAAAAACCGUCUUAUUGUCAUCCCUAGAUCCAAAUCCUAUAUAUCAUGCCAGUUUCCUAAUUAUACUAUAGUGGACAACCGAAAAAAAAAAAAAGAGAGAAGGAAUGAGAAGUUGCACAACUUAUGUGGUUGAGAAAGUUAGACAAAGUAGAUAAGAUGGUGAUCGAUUCAACUCACAUAGUAGGUCUCUCAUCUACUACUAUAGAUUUUUUAAUCAUUUUUCUUUUCUUUUAAGUGAAAGAUUGGUAAUUGGACGGUUGGAGUUCACUUAUUCUUUCUAAAUUUUAUGGUUUUGGUUCAAAGACUAAUGAAAAGAGUUGAAGGUUCUAGGGAUUUCCAUGAAUAUCAAGUAGAAUACGUGUCAAAUUGAUCAUGAUAAGAAUAGCAUUAUGAAUCUAAAAUUAUUUGACUAAUUUAAAAAGAAAAAACAGAGAGAAAAUAAUUUGAAGCAAAAAAGUAAGAAAGGACUCUAAAUUAGUAUUAUGUUUGAAUAUCGAGUGGUUAGCAAAUAAGUUACAAAUUAUGGUAACAAGAAACCAUUGGUGUCACAAAAAUAUGCAACUUAUGAAUCUGGGUAUUGUUCAAAUGAUAGUUGAAAAAUAUAGUUUUGAGUGUUAGAGAAAAAAAAAUAAAGACGAAAUAAAUUUGUUCAAUAUUAUAUCUACAUAUGGUUGUAGGGUUGGCAUUACUAGUUUUAUAUAUGCUUUCCAAUUUGUUUUCUAUAUUUUUAGUCACUUGUCCACACCUCUCGUCUCACAAAUCUUCUUUUGAAUAACUAAGUUACAUUACCAAAUUACUCUGCUAUUUGUAUCUUUGGUUCUAAACCUUAUGCAACACCUAUUGCCUCUAGAAUCGUGCUCUUUAUUAAUUAAAGACAGUACUCCUCUCUCGGACCCUACUCUGUAUAUAAAUCUUGUUGGGUUUUAUAGUAUUGCACCAUUACUUGCCUUCACAUUUCUUUUAAUAUUGAUAAUUUAUGUCAAUUCAUUCAUGCUCUAACUCACAUUCACUUUUAGAUAGUUAAAUGACUUCUUUGGUAUCAAAAGGGGGUUGUUCAUUUCAUGGUCUUACUCUUCAUGGAGCCUAUUUUUUUGGAUCUUUUGUUUAUUUUGAUACAUGCUGGGAUAGUUGCCCAAAGAAUAGGUGAAGUACAAUGGCUAUUAUGCUUUCUUUGGAAAUAGUUUUGCCUCUUGAUAUGCUAGUAAACAAAAGGUGGUCUCUCAAUCUAGUAUUGCUUUUGAAUAACAUGGGUGCAUUUGAAUACUAUGUUAUUUACAAAUACUACCUCAAAAUUGGUUUGAAUUCAAUUCAUGUUUUAUAAGGGAAGGUUCCCUUAUUCCAUACACCUUUUAUAUUGUGUGACAAUUUAAGUUCAACCUAUUUGGCUAUGAAUCCUAUUUCACAUUCUCAUAUCAAAUAUGUGGAUACUGACUUCCCCUUAUGCAUAAUCUGAGUAUUUCAACAAAUCAUUAGAUGUCAAGUUCGUGUCUUUUGCUUAUCCAUUGGUAGAUGCUAUAACUAAGCACCCACUCAGAUCAUUCAAAACCGAAUCUCAAUGCUCCAUGCAUGAGCACAAUCCCUCCAUUCGAGUCAGGUCUCAAAACAUUCCCUAGAUUACUCAGCCUCCAUUAACACUCAUUUCUCAAUGAAAGCAAAACGCUGAAGUUUACCAACCCAGGUUCAAACUUGGUACACUUGUCAUAUGAUGCAGGACUGAGCUAAUUCAAAACUGUUCCAUCUCAUGUGGCAAUCCUAAAGUCAUAUUGCUUCCUUCCAGCAUUACAGAACAAAACUCAGAAGGUAAAAGCUAAGCAAAACUCAUUCUGUGUCGUAUCAUGCUGAACUUAGGAACUAAAAUAAUUCCAUGGUUCCCUAGGAUGGGAUCAGUCCAAGUCUCAGGAAUUUGAAAAAGAUUUUAUGUGCCAGCAUGAAAAUAAAAUUUAGGCCCAAAGAUCCCUGACCAAGUUAUCUUGGCCUUCACAACCCUCUCCCAGCACAUUAUCAAGGGUAUCUACUUUGUUUCCUGAUGGAUAUUUAGACCAGCUUUCGCUAAAUUGGUUUUGGGGAUCAAGCAGAAAGUACAAAAUAGAUUGUAUGCCAUUCUAAAUAGAAUGCAUGUCACACCAGGACUGCAAUUUGAUCAUGAAAAUUGACAGAGAUCAUCUCACCUGGAAGUAUGAAUUUCUAUAAAAUUUACAAUAAUUCCUGCUCUCCUACACACAAGUGUACUGAGACAAAAACCAAAAACAAAAAGAGGAGUAUAGUUUUCACCUAUAGAACAACACCGGUGCUUAACUUGUAUUCACUAGCAAACAAGGCAAAAGGUGCUCACUUCUCAGAAACAUGUUCUAUUUCUCCUUCUUUACAAGUAGUGAUCAGGACCCAAUAACAUCCUUUGUAGGAAUGCUGAUCUCAACCUGCUCAAAUGUUGAAGCUCUUGCAGAAGGUUUGUGUAACCAGUCAAGGUUCUUCCUGGACCUUCAGCCAUAUAUCUUUCAAAGCCAAGCCUAAGUGCUUCAUGAACAGUAUAGCCCACAUCGUAACCAGUUCUUCCGAAUGUUUCCACAGCAUGAUUGAAGUAUCCAUCAAAGAUCCGAGAACAUUCAUUGCUGACAGAGAUUGUUGAAGGUAACCCCAUAUGCCUUGGGAUGCCAUUCAUAUUUGCUUAAAUAUUUCUUCUAGGACCUCUGUAAUCAGAUGAACCUGGCCACUGCUGCAUUUGCAUUAGAUUAAUUUGCCGAGAUCCUCGGUGAUUUAAAUCAGAGUGGCUGUAAAGUGUGAUUGAAGGGUCAAAGCUUAACCCUAAUUGAUAUUCAUCCACGUAAAUAUAUAGUACAUCAAGCAAACCUAAUUAAGGGAAAACCGUGAGUUUAGGAAACAAUCCUAAACAAUAGCAACUACUUUCCUAGAAUAUAUCAUAAUAAUAUAUCAUAAUAUCUCAACAGUGGCACACGAUUCUGGACAUUUUCAUAGCAGUGGGGGAGAAUCUGAAUUUGAAAGUACUGCAAGCUCCCAAACGGAAGGGCUCAUCACAUCUUGAACCAGCUCCUCUCUUAUUGUUAUAGCCUGGGUAGUCCUCUUUCUUAAAAUCAACACACUCAAACAACACCAGAGAGUUUUGAGAAGCAAGUUCCUCAAGAUUCCAGUGGGAAAAUGGAGCUGUGGUUUUGUGAUUUACAUGAAUUUCACCAUUGGCUCUUAGCAUGCCACUUGCAUUCCUGAAGAAACCAUGCACAAGAUCCCUAUGCAUACUGUAGCAUAAGAUGGGAUGACAACAUAAGUACAAUCCACACAGAAUUAAUAAAGAAAUCAGCCAUUCUAUAAAAGCCUUAGGUACAACUAGAUUGAACCAUUUGAAAUCAGCAGAAAACAAUGCAUCAAAGAUACUCGUAUUCCUUUUGAUUUUUUUUUUUUUUUUUUUGGUUGUCAGACACACUGGUAGAAAAUAUUAUCAGAUGAUGAUGUCUAUAAUUAAUUUACCUGUGAUAAUGAAAAUUUUCUUCUACAUAUUUGUAUCUUUGAUAUAUAAUCUACCACUUCAAAAGAGAAACCCAGCACUCCCAUCAUUUGGAAGCAAAGGCAUGAUAUUUCUGGUGCAUCGGUAUAGCAGUUAAUCUUGUUUUAAGAUUGUAAGUUAGAUGCCUAGCAUCUGAGCUGAAGACCAACACAUGAGCCAAUGCCCAUGGUACAUGAUAGUAACAACUAGAAUUCUUAAAAAUACUAUGAAGACAAUAACUGAUUCAGUUACAUGUAGGGUUCCAAAUACCCCCCAGUCCAGUUCUAUCCUUUGCUGCCCUGGCUUUUGUGAUGGAGACUUUGUCCAUCAACAUGUAGAAGCUGAAAUUAUAACAUAGUCUCAUUAUGGAGGCAUUGGAAACCUACACAUGACCAUGUAGAUGUGAUUCAUUUGCCAAUACGAUGAAUCAUACUGCACUUGUGCAGACUCAUGACCACAGAAUGUGUGUUAUGCAUUAAAGAGGUUUAGACAAAAUGAUUCACACAAUUCUUAUUAGAAGAAGAGGUAUAAAUACAGAUUUGAGAAACUUAAGUUACUCCUAAACUUGUGCUAACGUAUAACAACAUAUGUGAAAAUAAAGGAAAGAAUGAGCUGUACAGAUUUCCUAAACUAGCUGAUCAAAUGCAGUUACAAAUUCUGAUGCUGAUUUUCUGCAUGAAUACUAGUAGUCCUUAUAUGCCCCCUCAAGAUGGAGGUGCCAUCUGCAACACCAAUCUUGGAUCUUAAUAGUUGAAAGCGUUGACGUGAGAGUGAUUUUGUAAGGAGAUCAGCGAGUUGAUCAAUGGUAUGGAUGUGCUGAACACGAAUAGUUCCCUUUUUGACAAGAUCUCGUACAAAGAGGAGAUCAAUUUCAAUGUGUUUCAUCCGUGUGUGUUGGACUGGAUUUAAACUGAAAUGGUUGGCGCCAAUAUUAUCACAAAACAUUUGAGGGGCUUCUCUGAGAGUGAGACCAAGUUCCUUGAUAAGAGAAUGAAGCCAAACUGUUUCUGAUGUGGCAGUAGCUAGUGCCCGAAACUCUGCUUCUGUAGAUGAUCUUGAGACUGCCCUUUGCUUGCGUGCAGACCAUGAGAUUGGAUUAGGACCAAUGAAUGUGAUGAAAGCAGUGGUUGAAACACGAGUGUCCGUAUUUGAUGCCCAGUCCGCAUCACUAUAGGUCUUGAGUUGGAAUUGAUCAUGCUUUUGGAAAAGGAUACCAUGAAACAUGGUCUGUUUAAGAUAUCUGAGUAGUCUUUUUGCUGCGACCUAAUGGUUUGUUGUCGGCUUCUACAUGAACUGAGAUAAUCUGUUGACUGCAAAGGCAAUAUCGGGACGAGUGAGUCCCAAAUACUGAAGUGCACCAAUGAUCUUGCGAUACUCAGUGUUGUCAACACAUUCAGAAUUAUCUUGAACCGUAAGCUUGGCUGUAGUGGACAUUGGAGUGAGUGUUUCUUUAGCAUUUUCCAUGGAGGUUCGUGAAAGGAGAUCCCGUAUAUACUGAUGUUGAGAUAGAAAGAACCUCUGUGGUGUUGGAAUCACUUCUAUUCCCAAGAAAUAAUGCAAGGAGCCCAUAUCUUUGACUGAGAAUGUAGAGCCAAGCUUGUUUAUAAUGUUAUUCACAAAGCUGAGUGUGUUGCUUGUGACAAUUAUGUCAUCAACAUAAACAAGGCAGUAGCACAAGAUAUCAUGAGACUUAUAGAUGAACAAAGAGUUGUCAGUGGCCGAGUGAAUAAAACCAAAGCUGAGGAGUGCAUCCCGAAGGGCCUUGUACCACUGUCGUGGGGCUUGUUUAAGACCAUAGAUACUCUUUUUUAGCUUGCAAACAUGCUGAGGUUGAGAUGGAUCUUCAAAUCCUGGAGGUUGAUGCAUGAAGACUUUCAAGAUUACCAUGCAAGAAUGCAUUAUUGAUGUCUAACUGACGAAGGAGCCAGCCAUGCAUGACAGCAAUGGUUAAAAGAAGCCUAAUUGUUGCUGGCUUUACGAUGGGGCUGAAGGUUUGAGAGUAGUCAAUACCUGGUCGUUGAUGAAAUCCUUUAGCGACAAGUCGAGCUUUAUAUCGACUGAUUGUUCCAUCUGGAUUUUGUUUCUUCCGAAACACAAAUUUACACCCAACAAGAUUCUGGCCAGGAGUGGGAGGAACCAGUUCCCACGUCCCAUGUUGAAGGAGGGUUGUCACUUCUUCUGACAUAGCCUUGCGCCAGUGAGGAUCUUUAAAAGCUUGACUUACACAACUUGGUUCGGGUGGUUUAGGUAAGGGGUGCUUGGUGGUGGUGUGGAGUUGUUUUGGCCGAAAGAUAUUGUUCAAGAAGCGAGUGAUGAUGGUUCGUGGACAUGGUGGUGGAGAGGAUGGUAUUGAAUUUUCUAGUUGAGAAAUAGAAGUAGAAGGUCUAAGAGUUACUUGAUCUGAAGUGGAGAGUGGUGCCUCUUGAGGUUGCACAAGAGCUGGAUCUUCACUUGGAGUCGAAGAAGCAGAGGGGAUAUCUCCUUGAGCCUGUGUGAUUGUUGGAAGCUCCUUGGAAGCAAGCUGCAAAAUUGGUCCUGAAAAAGAAGAGAUUUCUGGUGGGGAUGAGUCAGUGGGUGAUUGCAUGGAAACCUGUUUGAAGGGGUGAACAGAUUCAUCAAAGGUUACGUGUUUGGAAGUGUAUAUGCGCUGACUUUGUAGAUGAAGACAUAGAUAUGCACUUUGGCUAGUAGAGUAGCCAACAAAGAUACAAGGAACAAAUUUCUUUUGAAAUUUGUUUGUGUUAUACGGCUUCAUCAAGGGAAAGCAGAGACAUCCAAAGGAACGUAAUUUUUCAUACCGAGGUUGUUGCUUGAAAAGAGCUUGAAGAGGUGAUUUAUGAUGAAGAACAGGUGAUGGAAGUCGAUUGAUUAGAUAUGUGGCUGUUGCAAAAGCAUAAGCCCAAUAUUCUGAUGGAAGAGAGGCAUGACUUAGAAGGGUUUGACCUGUCUCCACAAUAUGGCGAUGACGACGCUCAGACACUCCAUUUUGUUGGGGUGUAUAAGGGGCUGUCGUAUAAUGACUAAUGCCAUGGGUUGUGAAAAAAGGUCGAAGAACAGUGAACUCUCCUCCAUUAUCGGAAUAAACUCCUUUAAUUUUUAUGUUAAAAUGAGUUUCAAUCAUUUUGUAGAAAUGAGGAAAUAUGGUUUUAACAUCUGAUUUUUGAUGCAAUGGAAAGAACCACACAUAUUUGGUAAAGUGAUCAACAAAAAUAACAUAAUAUCUGUGGCCAUUGAGACUAGGAGUGGGAGAAGGUCCCCAUACAUCAGUGUAAAGUAAAUCAAAUGGUGUUGUGCUAGUUAGACUGUGUUUAUGAAUGGGUAACUGAUGAGCUUUAUUGGUCAAACACGAAUGACAAUUAUUAGAACCAGAAAGACAUGAAGUGGUGGGAAGGGAGAAAGAACUAAUGAGGCGAGUGACAACUUUGAAUGAUGGAUGACUAAGGCGCUGAUGCCAACCAGCUACUGAUGUGCGUUCAUGGACAAAAGCAAUUGGAGUAGCAGCAGGCGAUGAGGGCAGAGGGUAGACUCCAUUUUCACACGGUCCUUGAAGAAGAAUCUCCCCCGUUCUCCGAUCCUUCACAAGAAAAUAAGUUGGGUGAAAUUCCAGGAUAACAUUGUUUUGCUUUGUGAAGUGGUGAACAGAUAUCAAGUUUUUGUUAAUGGUAGGAACACAUAGAGUAUCUUCAACUUGAAAUUUUCUGUUUGGAAAUGAAAGAGUAAGAGAACCAGAAUGAGUAAUGGGCAAACCUGAUCCAUCUCCAAUAAUAACUUCAUCAGUACCAUCAUAUUCAGAGUGAAAUUGUAAAUUUGAAACCUGAGAAGUGAUAUUAUGGGAAGCCGCAGAAUCAAUGAGCCAACGUUUGUCUAGACUGGAAGUAGUAGUUGUGCAGUUCACAGUGGCUUCAGAGGGUUUCAAUUUCGGACAGUAUUUUGCAAUGUGGCCUUGUUGAUCAUAAUAUUGACACCUUGGAGGGUACUUGUAUUGUUUCGACUGUCGAGACUUUGAUCUGGAGUCAUUCUUGGAUUGUUGAUAAGUUGAUGAAGACUGAUUCUUUAAGGAGCGUGAGUCCCUGCGUUGAGUGGUAUUGGCAGUAACUACCAAGGAUUGAGCAGUGGAAUCAAGCCUUCGAAGAUAUGCCUCAUGACCAAGUAGCAAAUCAUGUAAUUCUUCAAAUGAGAGUGAAGACUCUCGAGCUCGAAUCGAGGCAACAAUGUCACAAAAAUCUGAUCCUAAGCCAUGAAGAACAUAUAGGGUGAUGUCAUCUUGAGAUAAUGGGGCAUCGAUGAGAGCAAGCUCAUCGGCAAUGGUUUUUACAGAGUGUAGGUACUCUGUAAUGCUGCGAUUGCCACGUUGCAUGAGGGUGAGAUCCUCUUUGAGCUGCAUGACACGAGUCCUGGAUCGACUAGCAUACAGUUUUGUUAGUUUAGUCCAGGCUUGAUAUGACGUCUGGGAUGUUGCUAUGAGUGGUAUCAUAGUUGGGGACACUGAAGUCAGAAUUGCACUUAGAACAAGUUUAUCCUGACGGAACCAAAGGUGAUGAGAUGUAGUGGCAGCUGCAUCAGUUGACGUCGGUAGGGGUGGGCAGGUAUGAGUGCCAUCGACAUAGCCAAAGAGGUUAUAGCCGAGGAGGAGAGACUCAAAUUGGGCAUGCCAUGAAGGGAAGUUGGUUGGUGUGAGACGUGCAGUAAUUUGUUGGGUGGCAUUGAUGGCUAUUGGAAAACUAUCAGAGGAAGAAGUGGCCAUAGCAGAAGCAAGAAAGACAAGAAAUACUCGUUGGAGUUUUGAGGUGUGCUCUGAUACCAUAAAGAGGUUUAGACAAAAUGAUUCACACAAUUCUUAUUAGAAGAAGAGGUAUAAAUACAGAUUUGAGAAACUAAAAUUACUCCUAAACUUGUGCUAACGUAUAACAACAUAUGUGAAAAUAAAGGAAAGAAUGUGCUGUACAGAUUUUCUAAACUAGAUGAUCAAAUGCAGUUACGAAUUGUGAUGCUGAUUUUCUGCAUGAAUACUAGCUGUCCUUAUAUGCAUCUUCACCACUUUGAUAAAGUGGUCAAAAUUUCCCCUUUUGAGGACUUGAAUGGGAUCAUCAAAUGUGUGCUCCAAACCUACAGCUAGCUACCUUGAUGAGCAUCACCAUCUGAACCAAUUGAACAAACGCAGUUCUGUGCAUAGACAAAAAGGGCAUGAAAUGUAAAUGAACUCACAAACACAAAUAAAACAUAGGAGAAAAGUAACAUUGACCAUGACGAGCAACUACAAUGUAUGGAAGAUUGUACUAUGAAAUUCAAGCUACAUAUCAUAUCCAUAACAACAAUACGUUUUCUUCAUACAGAGAGAAGGUAGUUUUGAGGAAUUAUGAAAUUUCCAUCACAUAGAUAAGAAAUAAAAGAUGAAGCCUUACUUAAUCAUAAGCCUAUUGUCUUCCUUUCCAUGGAAGCUUGCAUGAGGAAAGUUAUAUAUAAUGCGGUCGAAUUUCCGCAUCUUGAGACCAAUAUGAAGCUUCAUCUUGGUUGCAUCCACUCCAAAUAAAAGAGAUGCUCCCAGCUUCUCUAAAGCUUCCAAAUUUGAUUUUGCUUUCUUGUACAUCUUUAUCAGAACAACUAGUUUGAGAUUGUGUCAGAAAACAAGUUGUCCAAGAAAUGUAAACUAAAAGGAAGAAACAAAAAUAAAAAAUAGCAUUCCUCAUAAAACAGAGAGACUACAACUUAAUUUAAAAUUUUGUAUAUUGAACUCAACAAAGACUAAACCUCAACUAAACAAUUGAAACAUUCACAAAUGUGAUAACUCCCCAAAUAUUGAAUAUAACAACCUUCAAAUUCUUAAUUUGCAUAUCCUUUUACCCAAAAUGAAAAUGACAUUUCAAUUUUAGAGCAUCAUAGAAGUCAGAACCCUUGUCAAUUUUGAUAUUUGGAAAGUACAAUAACAAUGGGGAAUUCUUGUCCAACAGGAGGAUUUGGAAAAACAUAAACCCAUAAAAAACUCACACAAUGUUAAAAAAUAUUUUGUUGAUAAUAAAAUAAAAGCUCUCCAAAUUCCACCUCUUGACUCUCCCCGGUUGCUUUCAUUUCAAAAUAGUCCUUCAUCUCCAAACCCAGAUGUUUGGUUCUCAGAAACUAAGAAAGAAAAAUAAUACAAAAGCAAGUUUCACUUAUAUUUCAAGGUUGACCAUUUCUUCAACCCAUAAAAUGAGUGUCAAAAUGUAUAAGUUCCUCCAUAUUUCUGGCAUGCUUCUUUCUCUUCCAGUCAUGACAGCCAAAUAAAGAAAAUAAUUCCCCUUCUACUAUUGCCCAAAAGUAUACAGGGCUAAGGACUACAAGAUUAGAGUAUAGUACACAAGUAACGAAUUGAUUCCAAUACAUAUAAAAUACAAGAAAAGGGAAAGAGAGAGACCAUAUGGGUCGAGAGAAGAAGCAACGAUAUUGGAAGCAGAAGCAAAAGAGUGACCCAAACACAGAGAAAAAGAGAAGUCCCCUUCACCAACCAAGAGAAUUUGAUGAAACGAGGAAUAAUGCAUCAACCGUUUCUCUUGUUCUUCCACACCCACUUCAUCUUUCACCAUUUCCUCCCCGACAGCCAUUGACGCUUUCUACAGUUACAGAACCAGAGAGACUCUUUGAGAGAGAAAGGCAGUGAAAGUUUGGUCGUGUUUAAGGGGCUUAUUUGAAAAAUAGAGAUGAUUUUCAAAUAGAAAUAUUUAGGCUGAAUUUUCCGAGAUGCCACUGUUACCUGGAUGGUGCAAGCAAUGGGAUUGUUUCGUUUGUGAGCGAUGGAGCUUGGGAGGGGCAUUUUGGGAAUGGAAGAUGCAUGGAAUGGUCGCCCAUUAAUGGUGGUUUGCCCUAACAUUGGGGAGUUCAAGCAUCCCUUACACUCGGCUCACAUGGCUUCUGACGAUGCAGAUUUAAAAGGGCUGGGGGAAUUACUUUCCUUUUUGGGUUUUAUUUUAUUUUUUAUUUUUGAGAAAGUAUGGUAUGUAAUUAUAUAAAAUUAAUUAGUAUAAAAUAAUCUUUAGAAUUGUGAAUCUAACUCAACUUAAUAAUCGUACGCUAAGAGACGCCAAGGAGAAAUUCAUGCAAAAUGUGACAUUAUUGAGCUCUGCUAUGAACCCAAUUGAAAGGACUGCUAAAUGCCCCACUGAGCUUGGAACUGCCUUUAUCUUGGUAUUGUGUACAUAAAAUCUAUGGCAGUGGCUUGAAUGUGAACUUUGAUGGAAGAAGGGCAAUUACUGAAGCGCCAGCCAGUGUGACAUCCAUUCAGGUUAGAGAUGCAGGUCGGAUCAUUCAAACUGAUAUGGUAGAUAUCCACUGUUCUAAUUGUGAAGGUCAUGUUGGAUGGAAAAUAGUAAGGAUUCGAUGAUGGUCCCCUUGUCCCCCUUAUGGUGGAUUUUGUGUUUUACUUUUAUUAUAUAUGUACAUUAAUUAGCAUUGGAUGGUGAUAUUGUCACGACCCAAAUUUCGGGCGACCCAAAAUUUGGCCCGUGACCUAGGUCAAAGGUUUGACCCUAAGGGUUUCUCCUAUUCCACGUUGGCAGUCAACUAAAACACUCAAAAUUAUUUUUUUUUCACAUAUAAGUCCCACUAGGGUUCUCACCAACUAACAAUAUUUUAAAACCUUACUCAAACACAUCAAGAUUUAAUAAACAUCAUUGCAUCCCAAAAUAAAGUUUCAUAAAAAUCCUCUUAAUCAAACUAGGGUCUUAUUACAUUAUCCAUAAUUCACUUAUUACAAGGUCUCAAUGCCACAAACACAAUAAAAAAAAAUAAAACCUUUCCACUAAACCGCUCCAGGGGCAUCCUGAAGUCCUCCCUGUCCCAUCUGUGGAUCCUCAGGAGUGAUAUAUGCAUCUAAAAAGAUAUAAAAAUGAAGGGGUGAACAUUUCCACAUUGCUCAGUAGGGUGCCUAACACUCACAGGGUUAAUGGGGGAUUACUAUAUUUUGAGAACCCAAACGCAAUAGUUCACCAAUAUAAAUCAAGUCACACAAUUUAACAUAUAAUAUUAAACUCAAUUCCACAACAUCCAAUCAUUAAAUGAAUGCAUAUAACCGUAUGACACACAAUCAUACAAUGCACUAUCGUUCUCGGGCUUUCACCGAAGGAUACGCGUCCGCGCCCAAAUAUACUCCCCAUUCGGAGUCUUCCCGGGGUAAACUUUUGGGUCUUUCACCCUAGGGAUCUCUCUCCCUUCUUAGUUCGCCUCACACGGGCUUUCACUUUUCAUUACUAUUUUUUUUUUUUCCAUUUCAUACACUUUUCACAAUUUUUUUUUUCUUCAUACAACCAUGAUGCAAAUGAAUGCCACAAACUCCAAAAUUCCUUAAUAAUUUCAACAAUUCCAACAUUUUCAAUAACCCAAUAAAAUAAAAUUUUCACAUUAAAAUUCCCGAAAAUAUACCAACGAAUUUUUGGAAAUUCACACAUCAAUAUACUUGAAUUUAUAUCACAAUUUCAGAAUUUUUCAAUAAUUCUAAUAAUUCCUAAUAUUUGAAAAUAACUAAUUUUUCACAAUAAAAUUAUCGCAAAUAUUCCAAUCAAUUUUCAAAAAUUCAUAAAUCACUAGAUUUGAAAUCUUGCCCUAAUUCCGGAAUUUUCCUACAUUUCUAAUAAUUUUUAACAACCUCAAAUAAUUAUUUAUCAAUUACAAAGAAUUCCGAAAAUUACAAAAAAAUCCAGAAAAAAUCUCAAAUCAUUCCGAAAAAUUCACACAACAUCACAAUUACCUACUUAACUCAUAAUUAUCAGAUUUAUAACUUUUUUCCAAUAAAAAAUACAUUAAAUUUGAGUUUUAGGGUUAGUUUUCCCCUACCACAAAUAUGAGAAUUUGGCCUUUAAAAACGAAAUCAGUCACCGCAAACUUGUUCCUCUAGUCGAAUAGAGUAUUUCCUCCGAAUUUGGGCCAAAACGGAGAUCGUUUGGUCGUCCAAACGGCCGGUCAAAGAUCCGGCGAGUGCCCUAAUUCCACAACUGCCGAUCCUUUCUUCUCCCCGCGUUCUGCCCUUUUAAAAAAAAAACUCCUUCUUUUCCUUUUUUUUUUUUUUUUUUUUAACAACCCACUUCACAUGGCUUUUAAAAGCCACCAGCCACUUAAGCCCAUAUCCAAGCCCAACUCAAUUCCUUUCUUUUUAACAAUCCAUACCACAUUCACAUAGCCCAAGUUUAAUAGCCCAUUUGAAUAUUUUCAUUUCUUUUCUUUUAUUUUGCUUUUCUUUUGUUUAUUCUAUUUGUUUUAUUUGAUUUCCAUUUUUUUUUUAACACACAAAUUUAUUUAUUACCACCAAUCUAAAACUAAUUUUCUUAAUUUUAUUAUUCAUCAAUUUAAUUUAAUUAACUUUUCUUAAUUAAUUCUAAUUAAUCUUAAUUUAUUUAUUUUUUUCGUUUUCGGAAAAUUUCAAUUUCUAAAAUCCUAAGAAAUUUUCUACCCUAAGGUUGACAUGGCAUAAAAUUUCAACUCGUUUAAUUGACCGACACAAUAAAACAAAAUUCACCAAUUUGAAAUUGACACGUGUUCUCCAAACACUUUUCUUUUUGACUUUUCAACCAUCACACAAAAUAAGACUUUUCAAACUAAAAAUGCUAACGUGGCAUAAAAUACCCGGUCAUUACAUCCUACCCCCCUAAAAGAAAUUUCGUCCCGAAAUUUAAACUAGCUUACCUUAAAAUUCGUAGAAGAGUUGCGAAUAGUGUCGUCUCAUUUCUUCCUCAGGUUCCCAAGUGGCUUCUUCUAUCCCAUGGUGUUGCCACCACACUUUGACUGCAGGAAUCACCUUGUUCCUGAACCUAUGCUCUCCAACUUCCAGAAUUCGUAAAGGUUCCUCCACAUAAGAAGUAUUUCACUAAUCUGAACAUCUUGCAAGUCCACUACCCAAGUUGGAUCUGGAGUACACUUCCUUAGCAUUGACACAUGGAAAACAUCAUGCACAAGGGACAAUUGUUGAGGCAAAAUUAACUUGUAUGCCACUGGGCCAACUCUCUUAUCAAUCUGAAAUGGUCCCACAAACCUAGGGGCUAACUUCCCCUUCUUCCCAAAUUGAAAUAUGCCUCUUCGAGGGGACACUUUUAUAAACACCCAAUCCCCUUCCUCAAACUCCAAGGGUCUUCUCCUUUUGUCUGCAUAACUUUUCUGUCUAUCUUGGGCAGUCUUAAGUUUUUCCUUGAUGAGUUAUAUCUUCUCUGUAGUCUCUUGGACACUCUCAGGUCCCAACAAAUGACUCUCACCCAUCUCUAUCCAACACAAGGGCGAUCUACAAGGUCUCCCAUAGAGUGCUUCAUAAGGUGUCAUGCCAAUACUAGAUUGGUAACUGUUGUUAUAAGCAAACUCUGCCAAAGGUAAGUAAUCUGCCCAAUUUCCUCCAAAAUCCAAAACACAAGCCCUUAACAUGUCUUCUAAGAUCUGGAUUACUCUUUCUGAUUGACCAUCUGUCUGAGGGUGAAAAGCGGUGCUAAAAUUCAGUUGGGUGCCCAAAGCCCUUUGUAAACUCUGCCAAAACUGAGAAGUAAACUUAGGGUCCCUGUCAGACACUAUAGAUACAGGUAUCCCAUGCAAUCUCACAAUCUCUUGUAUAUACAACUUAGCCAAAGAGUUCAUGGAAUCAGUAGUUUUCAUGGCUAGAAAAUGGGCUGACUUAGUAAGAUGAUCCACAAUCACCCAAACCCCAUUUUUCUUGCUUCUAGUUGUUGGCAACCCUAUCACAAAGUCCAUAGUGAUAUUAUCCCACUUCCACUUAGGUAUAGGUAAAGGUUGCAACAACCCUGCAGGUCUCUGGUGUUCAGCCUUCACUUGCUGACAAAUCUGACAGUUAGCUACAAACUGAGCAAUAUCUCUCUUCAUCCCACUCCACCAAAACUGUCUCUUUAAGUCUUGAUACAUCUUAGUAUUCCCAGGGUGAAUGGUAUACUUCGCCCUAUGAGCAUCUGCUAGAAGUUCAUUUCUCAACUCCACAUCUUUUGGCACACACAAUCUCCCUUUGAACCUCACACUCCCAUCUUCAUACAUAGACCAAUUUUCAUCUAUUUCACCUGCUACCAACUGGGCUUUAACCUUUUCUAAAAACUCAUCAUGAACUUGGGCCUCUACUAUUCUCUGGAUAACCAUUGGUCUAGCUGAUAUAUUGUACAAGCAUGGACCAUGCCUUUCCAAACCAAGACAUAAUUUAAAAUCCUCAAUAACUACAUGCAUCUCAAACUCUCUCAACUCCAAGCUAGACAACUGGCCAACACUCUUCCUACUCAAAGCAUCUGCUACAACAUUCACCUUUCCUGGAUGAUAAUGAAGAGCAAAAUCAUAAUCUUCCAAUGUCUCCAUUCAUCUCCUUUUCCUAGAGUUCAGAUCCUUUUGAGUGAAAAUAUAUUUCAAACUCUUGUGAUCAGAGUACACCUCAAACUUCUCUCCAUACAAAUAGUGUCUCCAAGUCUUAAGGGCAAACACCACUGCUGCAAGCUCCAAAUCAUGUGUUGGAUAAUUCCGCUCAUGCUGCUUUAACUGUCUUGAGGCAUAAGUACCACCUUGCCUUGCUGCAGUAGCACACACCCUAGCCCCACUGUGGAAGCAUCACAAUAAAUUGUAAACAACUCUCCACUAAUAUGAGCAGUUAACACUAGAGCAGUGGUCAAUUUCCGUUUCAACUCUUGGAAAGCAGUCCAAUCAAACUUCACCCUUUUUCUAGUCAACCGAGUCAUUGGUGCUGCAAUUCUAGAGAAGUCUUCCACAAACCUCCUAUAAUAUCCAACCAACCCCAAGAAACUUCUAACCUCAAAUACAUUAAUAGGCCUUUGCCACUCCUGUACAGCUUCCACCUUGGAAUGGUCUACUGCUAUUCCUGCCUCAGAAACCACAUGGCCUAAGAAAUUCACUUCAGUAAGCCAAAACUCACUUUUGUCCAACUUCCCAUACAAUUGAUGCCUUCUCAAAGUUCUAAGGGUGGUCACCAAAUGCUGCUUAUGCUCCUCCAAACUCCUGGAGUAGAUCAAGAUGUCAUCCACAAAGACAAUCACAAACUGAUCCAAGUAAGCACGAAAUACUUUGUUCAUUAAAUCCAUGAAAGCAGCAGGGGCAUUAGUUAACCCAAAAGGCAUGACUAAGAACUCAUAAUGCCCAUAUCUCGUUCUAAAAACGGUUUUAGAAACAUCUUCUUCCCUAACCCUCAAUUGAUGAUACCUAGUUCUCAAGUCAAUCUUACUAAAAUACUUUGCACCCUUCAACUGAUCAAACAAGUCAUCUAUCCUUGGAAGAGGCUACUUAUUCUUCACAGUAACUCUAUUCAACUUCCUAUAGUCAAUACAUAACCUUAGUGUGCCAUCCUUCUUCUUCACAAACAACACUGGGGCUCCCCAUGGUGAUGUACUUGGACGAAUAAAACCCUUACCCAACAAUUCAUCUAACUGAGUUUUCAAUUCUUUCAACUCAAGAGGGGCCAUCCUAUAAGGGGAUACUGAAAUAGGAUCAGUUCCUGGGUAUACUUCAAUAGAGAAAUCAAACUCUCUAUGAGAUGGUAAACCUAGUAACUCAUCUGGGAAUACAUCCUGAAACUUCCUCACCACUGGAAUUUCUAUAAUGUCCUUUUGGGCUUUCUCCUUACCACGAAGACAAGCUAGGAAAUUUAUUGAUCCCUUCCCCAACACAUACUGAUAGCACGGAUCGGACUGCGAAAAAGCCAAACUAACACACUUCCCUCCAACAAAGCAAACCUCAAAUCCCUCUGGCAGACAAAAUAUUAUCCUGCGGCGAUGACAAUCAAUAACCGCUCUAUACACUGUCAACCAAUCCAUUUCCAAGAUAACAUCAUACCCAGUCAUAUCCAAAAUCUUCAAGUCCACAUUUAGUGUUUUAUCUGCCAAGGUAAUAACACACCCCUUGCAUAUUCUAUCAACUCUAGAAUUCGUACCCAUAAGGGAUUCAAUAAGUAACAAAUUUUCUACCAUUUAUGUUUUCAACCCCAAUGCAUUAGCACAAGAUGCAGAAAUGAAAGAAUGAGUUGCACCAGUAUCAAACAAAACACGCACCCAAGUACUAUAUACCAAAAUCAUACCUUCCACCAAAAGGACGUCCUCCUCUGGCUCUGUUAGGGUCAAGGCAAAAACUCUUCCUCCUGCCUGCCUUCCCCUACCUCUAGCAUUCGACCCUUGAGAAGAACGGGUCUGACUACUCAUAGUAGUUGUCCUGGUUCCCUGCGCUGCUGGGGGUAAUUGUGGCAUCUGGUAGUAAGGCAAUUGAAACUGAGGGGGCUGGAAAGACACUACUGGUUGCUGCUAAGAACUUCCCUAAGACUGAGGUCGAGCCUGUUGUACACCUCGCAAUGGGCAAGCCUUCCACAAGUGGUCUCCCGCUCCACAACCAUAACAUACUCUAUUAGCAGCCACCCUCUGAGCACUCUGCUCACCUCCUACAUAGAAUGAGGAAUGCCUCUCAGACUGCUGAGUCCUCUGCCUCUACUGCGGACCCUGAGAUCUCCCUUGGGAACUUUCACCCAUUCUUUGUUUCCCUUUUCUAUUCCCCCCUUUGCUCCCGAAUUUGGUUGGUCUCCUCAAUAUCCUACUCCACCAACAAAGCCCUCUUAACCAACUCAGAAUAGUCCCUUAUUGCCAAUGGGACUAAUCUAUUCCUAAUAGCAGGCCUCAACCCCUGCUGGAACCUCCUAGCCUUUUCUCCUUCCUCACUGAUCAUCCCCAAAGCAAAACGAGACAACUCUGAGAAACGUGACUCAUACUCCAACACCGACAUGGUUCCUUGGAUGAGGUGCUCAAACUCCAUCCUCUUGGCAUGCUUAGCCACCUCCCCAAAAUACUUGCCUAGGAAGAUUCUCUCAAAUUCCUCCCAGGUCAUAACCUCAGUGUCAUACACCCUUUUCAUUGAUUCCACCAGAAAUCAGCUUUAUCAACAAGCAUAUAUGCUGCCAGACCUACCCUUAUUUCCUCAAGUAUGUCCAGUUCCACCAGAAUUCUUCUCAUCCUCCUCAACCAAUGCUCCGCUGCUUCAGCACUGGGCUCUCCAUUAAAAGAUGGAGGCUGCAUCACCAUGAACCUCUUCAUUGCUUCCAUUUGGCUCAUUACUGGCCUUUCAGUGCGGCUCCUCCUAUGUGAGUGGCCUGAAUCCUCAUGGCCCUGGGUACCUCUUGAUCUCCUGGAACCCUGGCCUCUCAUCAAUUCAACAAUUUCUCUCAACUCUCUUCUUACUUCUCGAAGUUCUUCUCUUAUCGUCUCCAACUCCUCAUUCCUCUCUGAUCUUCCUCCUCUGGUCCUUCCCGCCAUUUCAAGUUUAACAAACCCUAAUUCAAUCACAUUACUAAGGUGAGCAAAAAUAAAUUUCACAUAUACACACUUAGCAACUUCAACAAUUAUCAAAACUUUCACUUUCAUACACUCACAAUACAUAAUUCAAUUAAUCAUCAACUUAUUAAUUAACACAUACAAAAAUCAUAACAUUAUAACACACAUAAGCACCCACAAACAUUGACCCCAAGGUAUUAUUGCAACCUUGGCUCUGAUACCACGCUGUCACGACCCAAAUUCCGGGCGACCCAAAAUUUGGCCCGUGACCCCAGGUCAAAGGUUUGACCCUAAAGGUUUCUCCUAUUCCACGUUGGCAAUCAACUAAAACACUCUAAAUUUUUUUUUUUUACAUAUAAGUCCCACUAGGGUUCUCACCAACUAACAAUAUUUUAAAACCUUACUCAAACACAUCAAGAUUUAAUAAACAUCAUUGCAUCCCAAAAUAAAGUUUCAUAAAAAUCCCCUUAAUCAAAAUAAGGUCUUAUUACAUUGUCCAUAAUUCACUUAUUACAAGGUCUCAAUGCCACAAACACAAUAAAAAAAAUAAAACCUUUCCACUAAACCGCUCCAGGGGCAUCCUGAAGUCCUCCCUGUCCCAUCUGUGGAUCCUCAGGAGUGAUAUAUGUAUCUAAAAAGAUAUAAAAAUGAAGGGGUGAGCAUUUCCACAUUGCUUAGUAGGGUGCCUAACACCCACAGGGUUAAUGGGGGAUUGCUAUAUUUUGAGAACCCAAACACAACAGUUCACCAAUAUAAAUCAAGUCACACAAUUUAACAUAUAACAUUAAACUCAAUUCCACAACAUCCAAUCAUUAAAUGAAUGCAUAUAACCGUAUGACACACAAUCAUACAAUGCACUAUCGUUCUCGGGCUUUCACCGAAGGAUACGCGUCCGCACCCAAAUAUACUCCCCAUUCGGAGUCUUCCCGGGGUAAACUUUUGGGUCUUUCACCCUAGGGAUCUCUCUCCCUUCUUAGUUCGUCUCACACAGGCUUUCACUUUUCCUUACUAUUUUUUUUUUUUUUUCCAUUUCAUACACUUUUCACAAUUUUUUUUUUCUUCAUACAACCAUGAUGCAAAUGAAUGCCACAAACUCCAAAAUUCCUUAAUAAUUUCAACAAUUCCAACAUUUUCAAUAACUCAAUAAAAUAAAAUUUUCACAUUAAAAUUCUCGAAAAUAUACCAACGAAUUUUCGAAAAUUCACACAUCAAUAUACUUGAAUUUAUAUCACAAUUUCAGAAUUUUUCAAUAAUUCUAAUAAUUCCUAAUAUUUGAAAAUAAUUAAUUUUUCACAAUAAAAUUACCGUAAAUAUUCCAAUCAAUUUUCAAAAAUUCAUAAAUCACUAGAUUUGAAAUCUUGCCCUAAUUCCGGAAUUUUCCUACAUUUCUAAUAAUUUUUAACCUAAAAUAAUUAUUUAUCAAUUACAAAGAAUUCCGGAAAUUACAAAAAAAUCCAGAAAAAAAUCUCAAAUCAUUCCAAAAAAUUCACACAACAUCAUAAUUACCUACUUAACUCAUAAUUAUCAGAUUUAUAAUUUUUUUCCAAUAAAAAAUACAUUAAAUUUAAGCUUUAGGGUUAGUUUUUCCCUACCACAAAUCUGAGAAUUUGGCCAUUAAAAACGAAAUCAGCCACCGCAAAUUUGUUCCUCUAGUCGAAUAGAGUAUUUUCUCCGAAUUUGGGCCGAAACGGAGAUCGUUUGGUCGUCCAAACGACCGGUCAAAGAUCCGGCGAGUGCCCUAAUUCCACAGCCGCCGAUCCUUUCUUCUCCCCGCGUUCUACCCUUUUAAAAAAAAAACUCCUUCUUUUCCUUUUUUUUUUUUUUUAACAGCCCACUUCACAUGGCUUUUAAAAGCCACCAGCCACUUAAGCCCAUAUCCAAGCCCAACUCAAUUCCUUUCUUUUUAACAAUCCAUACCACAUUCACAUGGCCCAAGUUUAAUAGCCCAUUUGAACAUUUUCAUUUCUUUUCUUUUAUUUUACUUUUCUUUUGUUUAUUCUAUUUGUUUUAUUUGAUUUCCAUUUUUUUUUAACACACAAAUUUAUUUAUUACCACCAAUCUAAAACUAAUUUUCUCAAUUUUAUUAUUCAUCAAUUUAAUUUAAUUAAUUAAUUAAUUUUUCUUAAUUAAUUCUAAUUAAUCUUAAUUUAUUUAUUUUUUUCGCUUUCGGAAAAUUUCAAUUUCUAAAAUCCUAAGAAAUUUUCUACCUUAAGGUUGACAUGGCAUAAAAUUUCAACUCGUUUAAUUGACUGACACAAUAAAACGAAAUUCACCAAUCCGAAAUUGACACGUGUUCUCCAAACACUUUUCUUUUUUACUUUUCAACCAUCACACAAAAUAAGACUUUUCAAACUAAAAAUGCUAACGUGGCAUAAAAUACCCGGUCAUUACAGAUAUACAAAUUCGUGAGCGCAACAAUCACCCAAUAGUCCAUAAAGGCCAGUUCAUACUGCAGAGUUUUUAUCAGGAUGGUUGGGAGAGUCAGAUAUUCUCUCCAUGCCAUAAAACACAAGGAAGAAAACAUGGCUGAAAUUUCUAAUUCUGUUUAUAUUCCUUGCUAUCAUGGUUGUACGUAGACAAGAUUUGACAUUCGUUUCAUUUCUUUUCCCAGCAUACCCAAUCUGCUAUGUGACAUUAUAUGACUAAAGUUUGUCUGAGUUCCAAAGUUUCUAGGUUUUGAAUCUUCUCCACUGAGCUUGGAACUGCCUUUAUCUUGGUAUUCCUCAGAUUCAAUUUCUUUAGUAGGGUGAGAUUAAUAACCACUUCGGGAAAAGUUUCCAAAACUGCAUCUUUCAACUUCAAAACUCUCAAUAACCUUAAUCUCUAGUGUUUUUCUAAAUAUGAAAGUAGUGAAAUUCUCUCUUCCAAGUUUGAACAAGGUGCGAAGACGAGAGAAAUCCUCGCUUUGCAAUGAAUCUGUGAAAGCAUCAUGGAUUGCUAUACAUCGAUGGCUAAGGUGAUCAUAUCGAUCUACGUUUUGUAUGGUCAAAACUUUACAAAAGCUUGCAUCUUCAGAUAUUGGAAAUAAGGCAUUCUCGCCAAAGAUUCUUAACUUGACACCUUCUUACUAUGCCUUGGAAAUCCCUUUUGUUUGCGUCAACCAAGCACCCAUUGAUCAGCUCAUCGAGGUAGGCAUCCACCACCUCCUCCAGUGUUUUACCUCUUUUCUCCUCAACAAAUCCUUCAGCUAUCCACAAGUUAAUCAGCCUUCCACUAGUAAAAGAAUAAUCCUUAGGAAAUUUGCAGAAGUGAAAGAAACAACGCUUAAGAUGGAAAUAUCUUUGUUGUAAUAUUCUCCGAAUAAUCCCAAGUUUGGAAUUGCUUUAGAUGAAAGGGGUGAUGAAACGAGAGAGAUGAGAGGAAAAGAUGCUAAUAUUAUUUAUCUCAGUAGUCUUCUACAAUAACAGAGCACGCAUUAUAUACAAGCAGAAAAUACACAUCCUAACCAACUGUACAUGUGGAGCUAAAAGACUAGAGAGAAAAUAAUAUCCUAACUAAUUAUAGCUUUAGGCUUAAUAUCCCCCCUCAAGCUCAUUGGUCUAGUGAGAACAGUGAGUUUGGAACGUAGAGUAAUGAAACGUUGGGUCACUACAUGGAAAAAGAUAUAUGGUGACAUUUAUAAUAAGUCACUAUAAACAAAGGGUGUCACUACAACAUAGCAUCAUUUUAUCCACUGACACCAUAAAGGGUAUCAAUUGGUGACGUAUUUGGAAGCGACACCAAAGCAGAUAAAUGGUGACACAUUCAGAAACGACACCAUAUAUUUUUAGUGAUGCUUAAUUUGAUAUAGAGUUGUAUGAGAUAUAUAAAGUGUCAUAUUAAAUGCAUCAUUUUUUAGUUAUAGUGUCCCGUUAAAUGUAUCACCUUUAAUUUAUGGUGUCACAUCAUUGUAAAUGAUUAUGGAAGAUAUGGUUGUUUUUUGUUGAUUAGUUUGUAGAUUUUUGUAAUGCUUAUUAAUAAAUAAGACCAAUUUGUGUAAAUUGUCCAUAAAUAUAAUAAUCAUAUUACAUUUAACUUAUAUUUUCAUAAUGCUUAUGAAUUAACUUGUAACACAUUACAUCAUCCAAUAAUAUUUGUAUAUCAAAUGUUCACAAAAUGAUAGUACAUCAAACACAUCAAACCCACCAAAACUAAAAAAGUAAAGUGAAUACACAUUAAAACAUGAUUUAGAAAUGUUAAGCCUCCCAACAUUCAUGUAUACCUACAUUUCAUAUGCAUAAAACCGACUAACCAUAAAAUGACACAAGAGUUGCAUCCAAAAACCCAAAAUUCUCAAUUCCAAAUAAAGUAAUGUUUAUGUCCUAUAAUGUAUGACAUAAGAGUCAUAUCUAAAAACCUAAAUCUUGUUGCAUCUUUCUCCUUUCUUUUUAUUCUUCAUAUCGUCCUCCCAAGAGUGUAUACUUGCAUUUCAUAGUUUAAUGAGUUUUAGAGUUCUUAUUGAAAAUAAAAAUAUGAUGUUAUAAAAAAUAAACAAAUCUAAGUACUAAUGUUUUCUUUUUCUUUUUCCUUUUUCUCAUUUUGAUAUAAAAAUAGUUCGUAAAGAAUAAGUAAUGUUAUACAAUGCCAAUGGAAAAUUCAAUCAUACAACAACUAAGGGACUUACCAUGAAUGAUCACGAUACAUCAAUAUGAUUCAUGAUUAGUUAUAACACAAAAGUAAUCAAUUUUUCUCUAAUUUCAUCAAAUUCUACUUGAGAAUAUGUUUUUUUGUCAUCAAACUGAAAUCAAAUGAGAAUAACAUUAAUAUCACAAUAAUUGGAAGUAUGAAAUUAUGUACAAUUCAUUAAAUGAGUAAAACCUUUAAUAUAUGCAAUAACUAUAAAAUCAACAAUUAUUUUUUUAAUGAAUCUCAUAACAAAGUAGUCACAUUUGAACUCAAAUAAAAACAAUUCAAGAAAAUAAAAAAUAAAUCAAAACUACAAAAUCAAAAUAUAAAUCUAAAAUUUUAAAAAAUACUAAUUUUCUACUUAAAAUUUUCACUUUUUAAUGUUUUUUUAUAAUUCAUUUUGCUUUUAAAAAUCAUUUUUAACAUCUAAUUCUUUAUAUAUAUAUAUAUAUAUAUAUAUAUAUAUAUAUAUAUAUAUAUAAAUUCUCUUAUUUUCAUACAAGAAAUUUCCAUUUAUGCCUAAAAUACUUUUAGAAAAAUCAUUGCCAACAAAAUUUUAUUUUUAAAAUUAUUUUCAACAUUCUUAUUUAAAAAAAUUAUCACUGGAUUAUUUUCAAAAAAGAUAGUCCUAAAAAAAUUAAUAUUUUAUAACCCAAUUUAAACUCAAAAAUUAUCCCCAAUAUUAUUUUAUAUUCCUAAAUUAUUUUCAAACAAAAUAAAAAUUAUUAAUAUUUUGAUUCAUUUUUAAAUACUUUCACAAAAAUAUAUUUUAACCACAGAUUAUUUUAAUUUAUCAAAAUAUUUUUAGGAAAUGAGCUAUUUUCCAUUUAUUACUAUCCUAUUUUUCAAAACAUAUUUUCAAGCAUUUCAUUCACAUUUUAAAAUUUCAAAUACUAAAAUUAUUGUUUUUAUAAAACAACAAAGCAUGUAAAUUUCAACUACUAAAAUUAUUGUUUUUGUAGAAUAAACAAAGCAACAUACACUUCUCUUCCAUUUACUAAUUCAACUAUUACAAUCACCCCAAUAUUUUGUUCACCUACCAAUAAUUCAUUCCAUGUAGGUGACUCUUUAAAAAAAAAUCAUAUUUAUAAUACCCUUUACCACUCUGAUACCCAAUAUUCUAUUCCAUUUAGGUGACUCAAUACAAAGAAAGUAGAAAUGUUUUCUUAGGUUAACUGAAGAAAACCCUAAAUAGCUUAAGUGUUUUUGGAUUAAUUGAGCAUCAUCUUGUAGUAGAUGUCAAUCUCUAUUGUUAGACUUCACCAAAAAGCUCCUAGCACGGUGGAAAAAAUUAUCAAAUAUAGUCAAGUCUUCAAUAAAAUAUUAUUUCAUGUGAAAAAUUACUACAAACUAGUGUAUCUCUCAUUCUCAAUUAGACAAAAAUUUUAAAAAUCAUUCAUUUAUCUUGUUUUCAUUUGUUUUGGGGCUUAUUAGCAAUGAAACGAAAAAUAUGUUAGAAUGUUAAACCUAGUUUUUACUUCCUUGGAACUCGAUAAAAGACACCAUUUACAAAACCCACAUCAUAGAUAUACUAAAUCAAGAGAUAUAAAACAAUUAUACUAACAAAGAUUUUUGCAUUAAUAAAAAAAAAAUGAAGAUGAUAGAUAAGGGAUUUUGACUUACCCGAGAUUUUACAAAACAAAGAAUAUCAAUUAUGGGUGUGCCGACCAUGGGUGUGAGAAGAAGGAGAAGAAAACGAUGGUUAGGGUUAAGCAAUAAGAUCUUUUAUAUUAGUUAAUGUAUAUAUGGAAACAAUGGACUUUUCAUAAAUUGUUCCUACUCACUAUUUUAAAAAAAGGCCCAUUGAGUUAUAAAAUUUAAUUUUUUUAUUUCAUAUGGUGUCACUUCCAAAAAAUGACACCAUAAAUCUAAAAUUAGCAUCAUCUAACUACCCUAAUUGAAGAUUUUUUAUAUGAUGUGUCACCUUUAUAAAUUUUAAGCUCAAUGGUGUCAUUAUUUUAAAUGCGACACCAUAAAUAAUGACAUCAUAAAUUAUUUUUGUAGUAGUGGGUGGAAAGAAGCUUGGUCAUGCAAUCAGCAAGUUGAUCAUCAGAAGGUGUGAACUAGAGAGAGAGAGCGUUGAAGAACAUGUUCCCGGACAAAGUGGUAGUCGAUUUCCACAUGUUUGGUUUGGGCAUACAAAAUAGGAUUGGCAUUUAAGUAUGUUGCACUGAUAUGAUCACAAAGAAUGAGGGGAGGUGAUGGGAGUAAUGGAAAGUUCACAAAGAAGAGAUUCAGUCCAAGCAAUUUCCGCAACCCUAUUUGCUACCCCUCGGUACUCUGAUUCGAUGUUGGACCGGGAUACCACUUCUUGUUUGGAAGAUGACCAAGAAACCAUAUUUGAGCCAAGAAAAAGGUAGUAGCCACUAGUGCAACGCUUGUCAUCAGGGCAAGAGGCCCAAUUGGCAUCUGUAUAGCAAGUGAUGUUGAAGUCCAGUGAAGGCUGUAGGAAGAUACCAAAAUGAGAUAUGCCCUUUAAGUACCAGAGAAUACGUUUAACAACCUACCAAUGAACAUCAAAGGGAUGGUGCAUGAAUUGACACACUUUAUUUACUACAAAAGCUAUAUCUGGGCGUGUCAAGGUACAAUACUGAAGAGCACCAACAAAACUGCGAUAAUCUGAAUCAUUUUUAAGAGCCACACCAUCAUGAAGAGAGAGAUUUGUGUUGGAGGACAUAGGAGUGGGACAUGGCUUGGCAUCUAACAUAGCAGCUCGGGUAAAGAGAUCAAUGAUAUGCUUUGCUUGGCUGAGUUGAAUACCAGUAGGGGUGUGAUGAACCUCCAAGCCCAAAAAAUAGUUGUUUUUUAUAUGUUAGAAUUGCCUCGUUAAAAAACUUGCAAGUAAAACCCAAUAGGACAAAACCUAGAUGAAGGGAAAAAAGAGUACAAUACACUAACACCCUUUUAUAAACAUUCUCCUUCUCAUGUUGAUAUCCUUGAGUUUACACAUUCCAAUCUUCUGUAUUAACUUCUUAAAUGUUGAGGUUGGCAACGACUUUAUGAACAAAUCUACUAUAUUAUCACUUGAGUGUAUUUGUUGCACAUCAAUAUCACCACUCUUCUGGAGUUCAUGUGUAUAAAAGAAUUUUAGUGAAAUGUGUGUAGUUCUAUCUCAUUUAAUAUAACCCUUUGUUAUCUGUGUAAUGCAUGCAGCAUUAUCUUCAAAUAAUAUUGUUAAGUCACCUUUGAUAGAAAAGAGUCCACAUGAUUCCCGAAUAUUCUAGAUCAUAGAUCUUAGUCAUAUAUAUUCACAACUUGCUUCAUGAAUUGCCAGUAUUUCUGAAUGAUUUGAUGAUGUGGCCACCAUUGUUUGUUUGACAAAUCUCCAUGAAAUAGCAGUACCAUUACAAUUAAACACAUACCCUAUUUGUGACCUACCUUUAUGUGGAUCUAAAAGAUAUCCUGCAUCUGCAUAUCCAAGCAAUUGUUGUUUUGAUUUCCUUAAGUAAAAUAGACACAUAUCAGUAGUUCCGUAAAGAUAACGCAAUAUAUGUUUGAUGUCAUUCCAAUGUCUUCGAGUUGGAGCGGAACUGUAUUUUGCUAAUAAAUUGACAAAAAAAACAAUGUUUGGGCAUAUACAAUUGGCAAAAUACAUAAGUGCACCAAUAACACUAAGAUAUGGUACUUCAGGACUAAGUAAUUCUUCAUCUUUUUUGCAAUGAUGAAAUGGGUCCUUUUUCACAUCAAGAGAUCGGAUAACCAUUGGAGAACUUAAAAGAUGUGUUUUAUCCAUAUAAAAAUACUUCAAAACUUUCUUAAUGUAUGUUGAUCGAUGUACUAAAACUCCAUUUUGAAAAUGCUUGAUUUGGAAGCUAAGACAAAUUUUUGUUUUUCCAAGAUCUUUCAUCUCAAAUUCCUUUUCAAGUAAUUUUUAAUUUUGUGACCUUUUCAGGAGUUCCAACAAUAUUUAAGUCAUCAACAUACAUUGCAAUAAUUGCAAAUUCGGUUUUUGAUUUCUUAAUGAAGAUGCAUGGGCAUAUAAGGUUAUUCACAUGCCCUUAUUUUAGCAAGUAUUUGCUAAGGCGACUGUACCAUAUGCGUCCAGAUUGCUUUAAUCCAUACAAGGAUCGUUGUAACUUGAUUGAGUACAUGCUACAAGACGAUGUACUAUUUGCUUCAGGCAAUUUAAAUCCUUCAGGGAUUUUCAUGUAUAUCAUUAUCCAUGGAUUCGUAUAAAUAUGUUGCAAUAACAUCCAUGAGAUGCAUAUCUAGUCCUUUUGAGAUUAUCAAACUAAUUAAGAAAUGGAAUGUGAUUGUGUCCAUGAGGGGAGAGUAUGUUUCCUCGUAGUCAAUACCAGGUCUCUAUAAGAAACCCUGUGCUACUAAUCGUGCUUUAUAUCUUAUGAUCUCAUUAUUUUCAUUGUGUUUUUGUACAAAUACCCAUUUGUACCCAAUAGGCUUUACAUCUUCAAGUGUUUGGACUAUAGGUAAAAAAACUUCUCGUUUUGUUAAUGAGUUUAACUCUGCCUGCAUAGCUUCUUUCCAUUUUGGCCAAUCAUUUCUAUGUCAGCAUUCUUUCACAUUUUGUGGUUUGGGAUCUUCAUCAUUUCUUAUGAUAUCAAAGGCUACUUGGAAAGUGAAAAUAUUGUUAAUAACAAUAUUAUUUCAAUCCCAUUUUUCUCUCAUGUGUACAUAACUUACUGAGAUCUCACAAUUUUCAGGUACUUGUGUCUCUUUAGGGGUUUCUCAUUCAAUAUGUGCCUCUUCAGGGGCUUCUUAUUCAAUAUGUGUCUAUUUAGGGGCUUUCUGCAUUAUUUAUGCCUCUUUUGGGGCUAUAGAGUUAUCAAUUUUAAACUAAUCAGUCAUUUUGAUGGCCUUUUCUAGAGUGCUAAGUUUUUCUUGUAUUCUCAUCUUAUAGAGAGUCACAUCCUUUAAGUCGACAGGUCUACCACACUUCAGGUGUAUUUUAGAUUCAUUUAUUAAUUGUCCUGCAAGAAAUCAAUCCAUGUUGGAGUAACCAAGAUAUGUGACUUUGUCACUUUCUUUAUAUCAAUGAAUGCAUCUGGUAAUUGAUUUGCAAUAUUUUGAAAAUGAAUGAUCCUUUGAACUUCUAGUUCACAUUGAUUUGUACGAGGAUCAAGAUGGGUCAUAGUAGAUACCUUCCAGCUAAUUUCUCGUUGUUCUUUAGGAAUCGACUUUUCUCCCCCUAAUAACGGGAAAACACUCUCAUUAAAAUGACAAUUCGCAAAGCGGGUUGUAAAAACAUUUAUUGUCAAAGGUUCAAGAUAUCUUAUGAUAGAUGGAGAAUCAAAACCUACAUAAAUACCAAGUUUUCAUUGGGAACCCAUUUUAGUGCGUUGUGUAGGUGUAAUUGGUACUUAUACUGCACAACUAAAGAUUCGUAAGUGAAAGAUAUUUGGUUGUUUUCCAAGCACAAGUAGUGAAGGGGAGCAUUCAUGGUAAGUUGUAAGUUGAAUAAGGACUAAAGCUAUAGCAUGCAUAAUAGCAUGUUCCUAGGUGAAAGUAGGUAAUUUGGUUUUCAUUAGUAAUGGUCAAGCUAUUAAUUAGAGACCUUUGAUGAAGGAUUCUACUAAUCCAUUUUGGGUAUGAAUAUGAACAACAUGAUGCUUAAUAUUUAUCCCUACUGACAUACAAUAGUCAAUGAAUGUUUGUGAAAUAAAUUCGUCAACAUUAAUAUCAAGACGUAUUGUCUUAAUUGGAUAAUUUGGAAAUUGUGCUCGUAAUAUGAUCAUUUAUGCAAGGAGUCUAGCAAAGGUAACGUUAUGUGUAGAAAUGAGACAAAAAUAUGACCACCUAGUAGAAACAUCUAUUAAGAUCAUAAAAUAACAUAAUGGUCCACAUGGUGGAUAGAUAGACCCACAUAUGUCCCCAUGUAUUCUUUCUAAAAAUACUGGUGACUCGGAUAUGACUCUAGUAAAAGAUGGUCUGACUAUCAAUUUACAUUAUGAGCAGAUAGCACGUGAAUAUUCAUUGGGCAAAAGAAUCUUAUGGUUCUUUAGUGGAUGCUCAUGUGAGUGUUUGAUUAUUCGAUGCACCAUUGAAGACCCUGGGUGGCCUAGUCUAUCAUGCUAAAGGACAAAAACUUUUGGGUCGUUGAACUUUUGGUUUAUGACAACAUAUGAUUCAAUAGGCAUUAUAAUUGUAUGAUACAACCUAGAGGAGACAGCCAAGAGUUUUUCCAUUAUAAGCUUCUGGCUAGAUAUAAUGGAAGUAAUAUAAAGAUAUUUUACAUUAUCUUCAUUCAUAGUUUCAAUAUGAUAUCCAUUUCUGUAGAUAUCUUUAAAGUUGAGCAAAUUUCUUUUGGAUUUUUUAAAAUAUAAAGCGUCAUUUAUAUGGAAUCUAGUUCCAUUAGGUAGCAUUAUAUUUGUUCUUCUAGAGCCUUCAACUAAGUUUGUAAUACCAGAUAUGGUACUUACAUUAGCUUUUAUUAAUGUCAAUUAGAGGAAUAUUUUUUGUCUCGAAGAAUUGUGUGUGUGGUUGCAUAGUCUACAAGACAUACAUCAUCCUCAUUCAUCUUGAGACCAAAUAACACAUAGAUUUUAGAUAUAACUAAUAUUAAAAAAAAAACAGGGCAUAAUAUAAAUAACAAAAAAAAUCAGAUGUGAAUAUCAGACAUAAUAAUAUAUUAUUUGAUAUAUAAAGUAACAUCAAUCAAUGUUAAUAUUCUCAUCAUUUAUUAAACGGUCUGCUUUUUCACUAGGACCUCCAAAGAAAUCAAUGUCAUAGUAGGUUAGGUCCAAUCCAUCACCAUUGGCAAAGUUCAUCUCUAUCUCUUUUUCUUUUGCUUUUAUUAAUGCUUGGUAAAGGUCAACCAAAUGGUUGGGUAUACAACAGGUACGCGACCCAUGCCCCUUCAUACCAUAUCUAUAAUAAUUAUUUUCAUGGUUCUUAGGGGGUUUAUCUUGUAAACACUUCCCAUUUUCUUGUUUUGCCUCAGUAUUAUUCCACUUUUGGUGGUGCAAUGAGGCUUUCCUCUUAUGAGAAUUUGAUGAAUUGUUACCAUAAGAAGCAUGGUAUCAGGGAUUUUUUCCACGACCAUGUCCUCGUCCUCAUCCAUGUCCAUGAGUUUGGGACGAUAUUGCAUUCACUUUUGGGAAUGGUUCAGAUCCAGUUGGACGAGACUGGUUAUUUCUCAUCAACAGCUCAUUAUUUUGUUCAGCAACAAGAAAACAUGAUAUUAAUUCAGAAUAUUUUGUAAAUCCACACUCUCAAUAUUAAAAGUUUUUUCUAAUUCAGUUUUUUAUGCCCAAAUUUGUAUGUUCUGCUGGGAUUGCAGUUGAAGUUAUUGUCACCCCCAAAGCCAUACUUGGUGCGGUACCCUGGGUAGUCCAUAAAAUUAAAGGGCUCCUCUUCUAUAAGUCGAAGCCCAACUCUUGAGGCUAGAAAUUCCAAAUUCCACUCAUAAAAGAAGCCAUUGCUUUUGUUAGUAAUGUGGAUUUCUCCAUCUAUGUGAAUCAUCUUCUUAGCAUUUUCUAAAAACAGCUGUACCAGCAUUUGAUUUCGCCUGCAAGAAUUAACAAUGAUAUAGAAGGAAAAUUUUCAUGUAAGAAUUAGGAAUACAGGCUAUACAUAAAUUCGAUUGAAGAAGCUUUUCAAAGAAAGAAUCUACCAACCGGAUCUUAUCUUCCCUAGAUGCAUUGGGAAAAAAUCCAGCCAGCGGGAAGUUGUAGACAACUCGAUCAAAACGCAUGCAAUUGAAUGGGAAAACGUGUGCCAUUUUGGUGGCAUCAACAUCAUGCAUGACCUUAGCUCCCAAGCUCCGUAGUGAAUCGAUGUUGGACAAGGCAUGCCUAUAGUUUGUGCUCAAAAACUCUGAAAAUUGCAGUCAAUUAAGGCCAUAAGACAAACCCCAAAUGGGUGCUGGGGCACAUGCUAAUCAAGGUUUACUCGGGACUAGAAUGAGAAAAAUACCCAAAUCAACCAAAAUCAUGACAUUCAUGAGAAACACUCAAAGAAGAUUACCAACUUAUGAUUCAGGAUUUCUUAUUUGUUACCUAUAGAAUCAAGAGAAGUAGCGGUUAUGUUUGUAGCAGAAGCAAAAGCCACGGCCAAAGACGCAGAGAAUGAGAAGUCCCCUUCACCCACCAGCAAUAUUUUGUACUCACUGCUGUAGUGCUUUAUCCAUCUUACUCUAAGCUUUCCUUCCUCUAGGUCUUCUUCACAGCUGCUACAGUCCCACCAAUUUUUUCCUACCACUCCUCUGGUUCGUUCUUCGUUUUCUUCAAUUAUGUUGUAAUGGUGGAGCCGUGCAGAAACUUGCUUCUCAUCACCUACAACUUGGAUUUUAAAUUUUGAAGGAAUUAACAGAUCCAAUGCAUCAUCAGACCUGGAAUUGCUGCGUGGGUCCAAGCUCAGUGGAAAACCCAGAGAGUUUCGCUGCGAUGCACCAUUGAUGCCUGAGUUGCUGCUUGGGACAGAGCUCAGUGGAAGAGUCACUGGAUUUGACUGGAAAUGGGAUGCACCACUCACGCUAGAGUGGCUGCAGGAGCUAGAGAGUAGUGAAGGAUGAGUCUGUAUCUUUGGCUGAGCAUGAGAAGUACCACUUGGCCUGGAUAGGCCACACGAGUUGGAGGUGAGUGGCUGAGGAGUCUGCACUGGUUUUGGGUAAAAAUGGGUUGUGCUGGAUUGGCUGCAUGAGCUAGAACUUAGCUGUUGGUGAGUCUCUAGUUUUGGCUGGACAGGGGAUGAUACAGUCGCGAUAGAGAGGCCACCUGAGCUCAAGUUGAGUUGAUGAUGAGUCUGCACUGGUUUUGGGUAAAAAUGGGUUGUGCUGGAUUGGCUGCAUGAGCUAGAACUCAGUUGUUGGUGAGUCUCUAGUUUUGGCUGGACAGGGGAUGAUACAGUCGCGAUAGAGAGGCCACCUGAGCUCGAGUUGAGUUGAUGACGAGUCUGCAGUGUUGGCUGAAGACGUGAUGCACCACUUGUUUUGGAGUGGGUGAAUGGGUUAGAGCUAGAGCUAGAGUUAGAGCUAGAGCUCAGUGGAGGCGUAGGAUGAGUCCGUAGAUUUGUCUGCAAUGUGUAGUCCCUACAUGAUCCUAAACUCGGUGGAGAAGUAAUUGGAUUUGGUUGCAACGCAGGCCUUGAGCUUGAAGAGUUGGUGUCUGAGCCCAAUCUCGGUGGAGAAAUCAGGGGUAGUUUUUCACUUGGCUUCUUUUUAUCAUCUUUUUCACCCCACAACCAGCGAAUAAUAAUGGAGAGAAUUUGACCCAUUGAAUCACCUGUCCCCCUUCUUUUUCUUCUUUUUCUUCUUCUUCUUCUUCAUCUUCAUCUAGGAGCCUGUAAACAUAGAAAUGUCCCUUGUCAUGAAAACCAUGCGGGCGUGCACUGCAAUGUCAAUGGACUUGACACAGGUCCCACCAACAUUGCAUUAAAUUUUCCUUCUCGGACAAGUAAGAUAAGGAAUGCCUCUGCCACAUACUGUUGAGAAAUAUAAGAAGAUAUUACCCACAAAGCCUAUCAUGUUAACAUUCAAGUCAUCCCACAUCAUUUCAUAACAUAUUAAAUCAGGUAUCAUUUCACAUCAAAUCAUUGUAGCCUGCUUGACUACUCCAAUUCCCAAGCCUUUCUCCUCCUUUUUGAAUGUUGAUUACAUCAAUGUCUAGUUUCUAGUGAUGUAGGGUUGUGUGAGUCUUUAUCUGCCAUAUCAGACCGAGACAUUAAUAGUGGGAUUCUUUUUUUCUUUGCAAAUCAAUAUGACUCAAAUGCAACAUUCAUGUUGGAAUACAAAGGGAUUCAAAUUGCCAACAAAUGAACCAAAAAUCAUCUUCACAGCCAAAUCUACAACUACUAAACAUCUUUUCCCUCUAAAACUAGUAAAAUUUUCAUCCAGACAUGUUGAUUAACUAUAGAAGAACAGGCUUCUGCAUUCAUCCCCAUCUAAGUUCAGCAUUUUAGCAGAAACCCAAUAUGAAAAAACAGAAUGACAGAAAGGGUAAAAGGGCGCCAAUAUCAAUACCAUGCAUGCAGAUGAGCUUGUGGAUGAUGAGAGCUUUGUUGAGACCAGAGAUCAAAGCUCCCAAAUCAGAGUUUUCCCACCAAAGAUCGGACGAGAUCAAACACUAGUGAUGCUUGGCUUGCAGGAGAUCCAUCAGUGUUGGGUGUGAGAGAUGAGAGUUGUGCUGAGAGUGAAGGGGGAGCAACAUCAGAAGGUAAAGAAGUUUCCCAUGAUUCGUACGUCCAAAGACUUGGUUGGACUUGGCCAUUUUUAUGCUACGUGGAGGCACUCUAUUCGGAUUAAUAAAGUGAUAAAAGAAAAAAAUUAGGAAAGAAGUCCAUUUCAUCAAAGAAUUUGAUACCCAAACUAAUGGAAGUAAUUAAAAUAGAUUGAUGAUGAUGAUGGCUGCACCAAACAGCAUUUGAUACCCAACCCACCAAUCAUAAAAUUCAGUGACAUGGGAGUGCAUAAAGCAAAAUAAGGUAUACUAAAAUUAUUUUAAAAUACUUUGUAUUUCCAGAUAAUUUUUUAUUUGGGGAAAAGGAAACAAAGUUGAAGAAUUAUUUUAAAACAAUUUUUUCAUUUUAAGAUUUUUUUUUUUUAAUUUUCUUUCACUUGGUAAAUAUUUCCUAAUUUUAAAAAUUAUUAUAUAUUAUUUAAUUUAUAUUAUUUUAAUACUUAUCAUUAUAAAAAUAAAUAUGCACUUAAAUAUUUAUAAAAAUAAACAUUAUAUAUUUUUUGUAAAAAAUUUCAUAAAGCUUACGGUUGGUCUAGUGGUAGCAAUCUCUAUUUUUUAUUGCUGCCUUUUAGGCUUGAUUUCUCAUACUCCUCUUUUCUACGUAUACCCAUCCCACAUUGAAAACCUAUACAAGCAUUUCCCCCCAUAAAUUACAUAUGAGCUUGGCAUAGAAAUUAGUUACUUAUAAUGUGGCCCAUCAAAAUAAAUGUAUUUGGACUCUACAGCUCUUAGGGCUACAGAAGGUGUUAAUUUUGCCGAUUCAAUUUUGAAAACAUUUAAAAUCAAUAAAGAGGGGUUCACAUUACAAAAAUAUUCUUAACUUUUGUAUAUUUUUCGAUAAAUAACUCUAUGUAUUUUCAAUGAAGUUGAAAUCGUACAACAUAUUAUUAAUUUGAGGCAUUGACAUACAUUCUCUGUACAAAAAUAUUCUUAAUUUUUGUGUAUUCUUCAAUGAAGAACUCUAUGUAUUUUCAAUGAAGUUGAGAUCGUACAACAUAUUUUUAAUUUGACUUGACUUAAAGACACAGACAUACAUUCUCUAUACAAAAAUAUUUUUAAUUUGUGUAUUCUUCAAUGAAGAACUCUAUGUAUUUUCAAUGAAGUUAAGAUCGUAUGACAUAUUCUUAAUUUGACUUGACUUAAAGACACAGACAUACAUUCUAUAUACAAAAAUAUUCUUAACUUGUGUAUUUUUCAAUAAAGAACUCUAUGUAUUUUCAAUGAAGUUGAGAUCGUACAACAUAUAUAUUCGUAAUUUGACUUGACUUAGAGGCACUAACAUCUUCCUCCCAAAUUCAUUGUAUGUGUAAAUGGCAUCUUCUUCCCAAACUCAGUGUAUGUGUAAAUGAAAGAGAGUUGAUUCAAAGAUCCAAACAAUCUUCUACUUUUAAAAUUUUAUAAACCCAAUCUAUGAUUUUCUAUUUAAAGAAAUCGAUAAUAAACUAAAUUCAACCAAAAAUUACAUACAUAUCUAUAAUAUAUAAUAUCUAUUAGUUAUAUUACCAACUUAAUUUUAUUAUAGAGUAGCAUACCACAUCUAUAAAGUUUAUAAGUGAGCUACUUAGUAAUGCUAUGAGAAGGUUAUACGAAUAGCUAUAUACAUUCAUCUCCUUGGGUUAGAAUAAUAUGACUUGACAUAAAUUGCAAUAAUGUAAUUUAAAUAGGUCUAUUAUAAUAGUAUUUUUAAGCUUUUCGGAUCAUAAUGUUUGAUAGGCUUUUUGGUUUGGGCCAAAAUUUAACAUUUAAAAAAAUAAUUAUUGGUUUUUAUUAUUAAAUCGAAUUGAAACCAAAUGGACUUUAUUAUUACUAAACUCAAUUAAAUGUUAUUUUUAAUAUUAAAAAAAAGUAAAUAUUUUGAUUUUUUCUAUUCAAUAAAAAAAUUUUAAAAUAAGUAGUAGAUUAAUAAAAAAAAAAUGAACAAUUUAAAAUCUUAGCAAAAAGUUAAAAAAAAAUAAAAAUAAACAAGACGUAAGUUAAUUUUCUUUGAGUGUCGCAUGACUCCCCUCUAGAUGAGGGAUUCGAAGUAGAAGGAAAAAUUAUUGACAAGGAUGUUUUAAUCAGUAGCUAUGGCUUCUCACCCAGAAAUAUAGAAUUGAUUUUCCAAGUGCUUGUGAAUGCAAGGAUAUGUCCUUCCAUGUAAUACCCCAACCCAAGAUUUUGUUAGCUUUGUAAAGUACGAAGAAUAACUAUUUUAUGUUUUUUAUUUUUUGUCUGGGCUUAUUAAUAAUUCCCUGAUUGGGCUUUUAAUUCAUGACUGAAAAUUUUGGGCCAAAACUUCCAAAGGUUAGUCUCCAACGUUUCAAAUUGGGAUGGCAACUUUAUCCAAAUCUUGUCCAGUUUAUUUAUACCCAUUUUCAUCCGAUCCAUACCUAAAAAUAAAAUAAAAUAAAAUAAUCGCCCAAAAUUUAAAAAAAAUAAAUGGGACAAGGUAAUAUUAGGAAAUUUUCAUAUUUGCCCCAUUUGAUUUUUUUUUUUUAUUUUGAAAAUUUUAAAUUAUAUUAAAAAUAAAUAUAAUUUAUAAAAAAAUAAAUAUUAUAACUUUUUAUUAUUCAUUUUAUGAAAAGUAUAAGAAUUUAUUUAUAUAUGCUAAAAAGACGUGAAAAUGAAAAAAUAAAAUAACUUUUUAUUUAAUAUUAUGUAUAAUAAUUGGGACAAGACAAAACUUGGGUUUUAAAAAAAAAUUAUUGAACUCAUUUCAAAUUCAUCACUUUAAAGGAGGGGUAUCCCAAAAACGUCUUAUUGUCAUCCCUAGAUCCAAAUCCUAUAUAUCAUGUCAGUUUCCUAAUUAUUACUAUAGUGGACAACAAAAAAAAAAAAAAACCAAAGAGAAGGAAUGAGUGUUAGAUUUCUUAAUCCAUUAUCACCCAAAACACAAAACAGGAUAUAUGUAUAUCAAGCAUUCAAAAAAAAACAUUUCUUUAUCUUUUUAUCUUUGGAUAGAGAUCCAACCUGAAUCCAUUUUGACGUUUUGAUGAAGACGGUAUGAAUCUUCUAAGACUGAUGGAGGGCACCACCUCUGGAUUCUCUCAGGCAAUGGGAGCGGGAGAGAGAGCGGUUAAGUUCUUUUCAAAAGAUGUGAUUGUGCCAAAAGACACAAGUCAAAGCCCUUUUAUACCCUCCUGCCUUAGGGACCAUACCCAUUGGUUAUUGGGCCUCACGGGCCUUAGGCACAUCAUCUAAAGCUCGUGAUGGCAUUGGGCUCUACACAUUAGGUGGCCCAUACUCAAGAUUAAAUCAAAAAUUGCAUGUUAAAAGAUAGCCUUAUCCUGGACAAUGUUUAAUAUAUUGUCGGUCCACAUUUAUUCUAUCAAUGAGAAGUUGCACAACUAAUGUGGUUGAGAAAGUUAGACAAAGUAGAUUAGAUGGUGAUCGAUUUGACUCACAUAGCAGGUCUCUCAUCUAUUGUAGAUUUUUUAAUCAUUUUUCUUUUCUUUUAAGUGAAAGAUUAGUAAUUAGAGGGUUGGAGUUCACUUAUUUCUUCUAAAUUUUAUGGUUUUGGCUCAAAGACUAAUGAAAGAUUUGAAGGUUCUAGGGAUUUCCAUGAAGAUCAAGUAGAAUACCUAUCAAAUUGAUGACAAGAAUUGCAUUAUGAAUCUAAAAUUAUUUGACUAAUUAAAAAAAAUAGAGAGAAAAUAUUUUGAAGCAAAAAAGUAAGAAAUGAAUCUAAAUUAGUAGUAUAUAUGAAUAUCGAGUGGUUGACAAAUAAGCUACAAAUUAUGGUAAUAAGAAAACACUAGUGUCAUAAAAAUAUGCAACUUAUGAAUCUAGGCAUUGUUAAAAAGAUAGUUGAAAAAUAUAGUUUUGAGUGUUAGAGAAAAAAAAAAUAAAGACUAAAUAAAUUUGUUCAAUAUUAUAUCUACAUAUGGAUGUAGGGUUAGCAUUACUAGUUUUAUAUAUGCUUUCCAAUUUGUUUUCUAUAUUACAUAUUGCCAAAUUACUCUACUAUUUGUAUCUUUGGCUCUAAAGCUUAUGCAACACCUAUGGCCUCUAGAAUCGUGCUCUUUAUUAAUUAAAGGCCGCACUCCUCUCUCGAACCCUACUCCAUAUAUAAAUCUUGUUGGGUUUUAUAGUAUUGCACCAUUACAUGCCUUCACAUUUCUUUUAAUGUUGAUAAUUUAUGUCAAUUCAUUCCUACUCUAACUCACAUUCACUUUUAGAUAGUUAAAUGACUUCUUUGGUAUCAUAAGGGGGUUGUUUAUUUCAUGAUCUUACCCUUCAUGUAGCCGGUUUUUUGGAUCUUUUGUUCAUUUUGAUACAUGCUAGGAUGGUUGCUCGAAGAAUCGUUGGAGUACAAAGGCUAUUGUGCUUUCUUUGGAAAUAGUUUUGCCUCUUGAUAUGCUAGCAAACAGAAGGCGGUCUCUCAAUCUAGUAUUGCUUUUGAAUAACAUAGUUGCAUUUGAAUACUAUGUCAUUUGCAAAUACUACCUAAACAUUGGUUUGAAUUCAAUUCAUGUUUUAUAAGUGAAGGUUCCCUUAUUCCAUACACCUUUUAUAUUGUGUGAUAAUUUAAGUUCAACCUAUUUGGUUAUGAACCCUGUUUCACAUUCUUAUAUCAAAUAUGCGGAUAUUGACUUCCCCUUAUGCAUAAUCGAGUACUUCAACAAAUCAUUAGAUGUCAAGUUCGUGUCUUUUGCUCAUCCAUUGGUAGAUGCUAUAACUAAGCCUCUACCUACUCAAAUUCUUAGGUCUUUAUCCCAAGCUCUUAGUUCUUCCACGACCUUGAGCUUGUAAGGAAUGUCAGAAUAUAGGUCAACUAGCUCAACAUUCUUUUUAUCUUGUUAUAAUGAAAAUUAUAGAAUCUUGUUGGAGUAAGUUAUGUAAUAACCAAAAGUGGUAAUAACAGGGAAUGAGCUCUUUGAAAGAGGGCAUCCAAAGAAGGAAAAAUACCCUCAUGUUCUUUUAGCAUAUGAGUAUGUAGAUUGCACAUAAUAUUAUAUAUAGAUAUGAAGUUAUAAUUAUAUAUAUAAAAGAAAAGGAGUACAAGUGCAUAGGGAUGGCAAUGGGGUGGUUUGGGAUAGGUCAUCUUAUCUUAAUCUCUUCCCGUUUAUUCAAAAUAAUUUUGAUUUUUGUCCCAAUUAAAAAAUUAAACGGAAUGGGUGGUGGUAUAAAUUAGGACGAUGUGAGACAGGACAAGACAAUAUUUGAAACCACCUUGAACCUAUUUUGGGUUUUUAAAAAUUUCAAACCUAUCAAUAACCUAUUUAUUUAAAUUUCAAACUCGCCCCAUUAAAGGCAAGGAAGAGUAGCUACCCGAAAAAAUCCAUCCAUUGUCAUCCCUACAAGUGCAUAUUAAAUAAAUUAAUGUGGUGGCUCUAAUGGAGACAUGCUUAGAAUAUGAUAUAAUGGGAGUAUGAGUAUAUAUGAAAAACAUAGAAGAAUAUAGAACGUAUGAAUAAAUGUAACUUUUGAGUGUGAGAUCAUAACAAAUUGGGUGCAGCAUAUACAAAUAUAUUGCUUUAAGAAUUCUGGUGGGCUGAAUGUUUUGGUAUAGGAAUUAUUGGAGAGAAUAUGGAAUGCAAAAAUAUGAAAUAUUUUGGAUAAAUGAAAACUCACUUGUUGAUACAAAAUCUGGGUUAAGAGGAUAUACAAAAAUAUAAGCAUGGUUGGUGGUUGUAGAAUUCCAAAUUGAAGUGCAGCACCUUAAUAUUUUUGGACAAGAGGUAUAAAUAGGAGUCAUACCUAGAACAUAGUGUAAAUAUACAGUGUCAAGUAGUAAAUAAUCUUAAAUAUAUAUACUAUAUUUGAUUAUAUGUUAAAAAAAAAUAAAAAAUUCUCAUAUUUAGUUUCAUCAUAGAAAAUACGGAAAAAAUAUCAAAUAUAAUUAAAAUUAAUUAAAAUUUUAAAUAUUUUAAAAUUAUUUCAUAUUUACAUAGAAAGAGAAAAUGAAUGAAACGCGUUUGAAUUAAUAUAUUAAAAUGAAUUAAUGAUUUUAAAUUUAUUUUUUAUUUUUCUUCAUUAUUUUUCUUUUAUUUUACUUUUCCUCUAUUUUUUCUCUCUCGUGUUUUCCCUUCAAUUUUCCAUAAACCAAACAUAGCUAUAAUAUUAUAAUAGCUUUGUUUUAAAAUAAACAUUCAAUUUGAAUUUCCUAAUAUAACCUAAUGGGAAUUUAAUUUAUUUUACUAUUUUGCAUUAAUUUAUGAAAUAUCUAUUUUUCUGUCCAAAUUUAGAAAAAAUUUGUUUGUAUUUUUGUAAAUUUUGUACAUGAAAUUUAUUCAUUCAAUUACACUAAAAUUUAUAAGACACUACACAUCCUUAUCUGUAGCAUAAAUUUUUCUUUCCAUUUUCACUGUGUUCUUAACAGGCUAUGUUCAGACCCAACAAAUCCACUCAUGGUUCUUCCUUGCCAAAAUGCUCCAUGCAUGAACACAAUCCCUCCAUUCGAGUCAGGUCUCUGAUGUGUUUGUGCCCCAUGGUUGUCGUACCAUAAGCAUAUAUUCAUUUCUGAGAACGAAGCAAGCAACCAAACGGACCCCAGGAUACUUCAGUUUGAGAUUUUGACUGGGAUUUUUUGGAAGAUUAUCCCUGAUUUGAAUUUUCAUGGCUCAAAACAUUCCCUAGAUUACUCAGCCUCCAUUAACACUCAUUUCUCAAUGAAAGCAAAAUGCUGAAGUUUACCAACCCAGGUUCAAACUUAGUACACUUGUCAUAUGAUGCAGGACUGAGCUAAUUCAAAACUGUUCAUCUAAUGUGGCAAUCCUAAAGUCAUAUUGCUUCCUUCCAGCAUUACAGAACAAAACUCAAAAGGUAAAAGCUAAGCAAAACUCAUUCUGUGUCGUAUCAUGCUGAACUUAGGAACUAAAAUAUCUAUGGUUAAACACCUGGAAAGUAAUAAUUCCAUGGUUCCCUAGAAUGGGAUCAGUCCAAGUCUCAGGAAUUUGAAAAACAUUUUAUGUGCCAGCAUGAAAAUAAAAUUUAGGCCCAAAGAUCCCUGACCAAGUUAUCUUGGCCUUCACAACCCUCUCCCAGCACAUUAUCAAGGGUAUCUACUUUGUUUCCUGAUGGAUAUUUAGACCAGCUUUCGCUAAAAUGGUUUUGGGGAUCAAGCAGAAAGUACAAAAUAGAUUGUAUGCCAUUCUAAAUAGAAUGCAUGUCACACCAGGACUGCAAUUUGAUCAUGAAAAUUGACAGAGAUCAUCUCACCUGAAAGUAUGAAUUUCUAUAAAAUUUACAAUAAUUCCUGCUCUCCUGCACACAAGUGUACUGAGACAAAAACCAAAAACAAAAAGAGUAUAGUUUUCACCUAUAGAACAACACCGGUGCUUAACUUGUAUUCACUAGCAAACAAGGCAAAAGGUGCUCACUUCUCAGAAACAUGUUCUAUUUCUCCUUCUUUACAAGUAAUGAUCAGGACCCAAUAACAUCCUUUGUAGGAAUGCUGAUCUCAACCUGCUCAAAUGUUGAAGCUCUUGCAGAAGGUUUAUGUAACCAGUCAAGGUUCUUCCUGGACCUUCAGCCAUAUAUCUUUCAAAGCCAAGCCUAAGUGCUUCAUGAACAGUAUAGCCCACAUCGUAACCAGUUCUUCCAAAUGUUUCCACAGCAUGAUUGAAGUAUCCAUCAAAGAUCCGAGAACAUUCAUUGCUGACAGAGAUUGUUAAAGGUAACCCCAUAUGCCUUGGGAUGCCAUUCAUAUUUGCUAAAAUAUUUCUUCCAGGACCUCUGUAAUCAGAUGAACCUGGCCACUGCUGCAUUUGCAUUAGAUUAAUUUGCUGAGAUCCUCGGUGAUUUAAAUCAGAGUGGCACACGAUUCUGGACAUUUUCAUAGCAGUGGGGGAGAAUCUGAAUUUGAAAGUACUGCAAGCUCCCAAACGGAAGGGCUCAUCACAUCUUGAACCAGCUCCUCUCUUAUUGUUAUAGCCUGGGUAGUCCUCUUUCUUAAAAUCAACACACUCAAACAGCACCAGAGAGUUUUGAGAAGCAAGUUCCUCAAGAUUCCAGUGGGAAAAUGGAGCUGUGGUUUUGUGAUUUACAUGAAUUUCACCAUUGGCUCUUAGCAUGCCACUUGCAUUCCUGAAGAAACCAUGCACAAGAUCCCUAUGCAUACUGUAGCAUAAGAUGGGAUGACAACAUAAGUACAAUCCACACAGAAUUAAUAAAGAAAUCAGCCAUUCUAUAAAAGCCUUAGGUACAACUAGAUUGAACCAUUUGAAAUCAGCAGAAAACAAUGCAUCAAAGAUACUCAUAUUCCUUUUGAUUUUUUUUUUUGGUUGUCAGACACACAGGUAAAAAAAUAUUAUCAGAUGAUGAUGUCUAUAAUUAAUUUACCUGUGAUAAUGAAAUUUUUCUUCUACAUAUUUGUAUCUUUGAUAUAUAUUCUACCACUUCAAAAGAGAAACCCAGCACUCCCAUCAUUUGGAAGCAAAGGCAUGAUAUUUCUGGUGCACCUGUAUAGCAGUUAAUCUUGUUUUAAGGUUGUAAGUUAGAUGCCUAGCAUCUGAGCUGAAGACCAGCACAUGGGCCAAUGCCCAUGGUACAUGAUAGUAACAACUAGAAUUCUUAAAAAUACUAUGAAGACAAUAACUGAUUCAGUUACAUGUAGGGUUCCAAAUACCCCCCAGUUCUAUCCUUUGCUGCCCUGGCUUUUGUGAUGGAGACUUUGUCCAUCAACAUGUAGAAGCUGAAAUUAUAACAUAAUCUCAGUAUGGAGGCAUUGGAAACCUACACAUGACCAUGUAGAUGUGAUUCAUUUGCCAAUACGAUGAAUCAUACUGCACUUGUGCAGACUCAUGGCUAUAUACUGCAGAAAUAGGUAAACAUAUGACCACAGAAUGUGUGUUAUGCAUCUUCACCACUUUGAUAAAGUGGUCAAAAUUUCCCCUUAUGAGGACUUGAAUGGGAUCAUCAAAUGCGUGCUCCAAACCCACGGCUAGCUACCUUGAUGGGCAUCACCAUCUGAACCAAUUGAACAAACACACAGUUCUGUGCAUAGACAAAAAGGGCAUGAAAUGUAAAUGAACUCACAAACACAAAUAAAACAUAGGAGAAAAGUAACAUUGACCAUGACGAGCAACUACAAUGUAUGGAAGAUUUUGCUGUGAAAUUCAAGCUACAUAUCAUAUCCAUAACAACAAUACGUUUUCUUCGUACAGAGAGAAGGUAGUUUUGAGGAAUUAUGAAAUUUGCAUCACAUAGAUAAGAAAUAAAAGUUGAGGCCUUACUUAAUCAUAAGCCUGUUGUCUUCCUUUCCAUGGAAGCCUGCAUGAGGAAAGUUAUAUAUAAUGCGGUCGAAUUUCCGCAUCUUGAGAUCAGUAUGAAGCUUCAUCUUGGUUGCAUCCACUCCAAAUAAAAGAGAUGCUCCCAGCUUCUCUAAAGCUUCCAAAUUUGAUUUUGCUUUCUUGUACAUCUUUAUCAGAACAUCUAGUUUAAGAUUGUGUCAGAAAACAAGUUGUCCAAAAAAUAGCAUUCCUCAUAAAACAGAGAGACUACAACUUAAUUUAAAAAUUUGUAUAUUGAACUCAACAAAGACUAAACCUCAACUAAACAAAUGAAACAUUGGCAAAUGUGAUAACUCCCCAAAUAUUGAAUAUAACAACCUUCAAAUUCUUAAUUUGCAUAUCCUGUACCCAAAAUGAAAAUGACAUUUCAAUUUCAGAGCAUCAUAGAAGUCAGAACCCUUGUCAAUUUUGAUAUUUGGAAAGUACAAUAACACUGGGGAAUUCUUGUCCAACAGGAGGAUUUGGAAAAACAUAAACCCAUAAAAAAACUCACACAAUGUUAAAAAAUAUUUUGUUGAUAAUAAAAUAAAAGCUCUUCAAAUUCCACCUCUUGACUCUCCCCAGUUGCUUUCAUUUCAAAAUAGUCCUUCAUCUCCAAACCCAGAUGUUUGGUUCUCAGAAACUGAGAAAGAAAAAUAACACAAAAGCAAGUUUCACUUAUAUUCCAAGGUUGACCAUUUCUUCAACCCAUAUUUCUGGCAUGCUUCUUUCUCUUCCAGUCAUGACAACCAAAUAAAGAAAAUAAUUCCCCUUCUACUGUUUCCCAAAAGUAUACAGGGCUAAGGACUACAAGAUUAGAGUAUAGUACACAAGUAACGAGUUGAUUCCAAUACAUAUAAAAUACAAGAAAAGGGAAAGAGAGAGACCGUAUGGGUCGAGAGAAGAAGCAACGAUGUUGGAAGCAGAAGCAAAAGAGUGAGCCAAACACAGAGAGAAAGAGAAGUCUCCUUCACCAACCAAGAGAAUUUGAUGAAACGAGGAAUAAUGCAUCAACCGUUUCUCUUGUUCUUCCACACCCACUUCAUCUUUCACCAUUUCCUCCCCGACAGCCAUUGACGCUUUCUACAGUUACAGAACCAGAGAGACUCAUUGAGAGAGAAAGGUAGUGAAAGUUUGGCCGUGUUUAAAGGGCUUAUUUGAAAAACAGAGAUUAUUUUCAAAUAGAAAUAUUUGGGCUGAAUUUACCGAGAUGCCACUGUUACCUGGAUGCUGCAAGCAUUGGGAUUGUCUCGUUUGUGAGCGAUGGAGCUUGGGAGGGGCAUUUUGGGAAUGGAAGAUGCAUGGCAUGGUCGCCCAUUAAUGGUGGCCUGCCCUAACAUUGGGGAGUUCAAGCGUCCCUUAAGCUCGGCUCAUAUGGCUUCUGACGAUGCAGAUUUAAAAGGGCAGGGGGAAUUACUUUCCUUUUUGGGUUUUUUUUUUUUUGGGAAAGUAUGGUAUGUAAUUACAUAAAAUUAAUUAGUAUAAAAUAAUCUUUAGAAUUGUGAAUCUAACUGUUCCAUAAUUUUAUAAAAUAACCAAUUUUUUUUAUAUAAAUAUUUUUAUUAUUUCACGUAUUCACUCCUAGAUUUUUUUUUUCUUAAAUUAUUUUUAUAAGAAAAUAGUGAGGAUGUUUUUAUCAAAAAAGGAGACCAAAAAUUGAUGAAAGGUUAUUUAAUAAUUGUUUUUAAAAAUUUUUUUAAAAAUGAUUUUUAAGAACAGUUUUUAAAAACUGUUUUCUAAUUUUGUAAAAUAAAAUUUUGUUUAAAAAUUUAAAAUAUUUUUAAUUUAUUUUUAAUAUUUUUAAAUAUGUUUUAAAAAUAACUUUUAUGUCUAGUGUUUUACUUUUAAUCAUUCUAUAUAUUUGUAUAAUUAUAUUUUAAAAUAAUUCUCCGAAAACAAGUGAAAACAUAAAAAAAUAAAUAAAAUUUAUUAUCCGAAAAUACCAUAUUUUUUAUUUUUAAAAACAGAAAAUAAAAAACAAUUUUUUAUUAUCAAAUACAUUUUCCUAUUUUUUUGUUCUAGAUAACAAAAAACUAUUCUCCAAAACAGUUAUCAAAUUGGCUCUUAAAUUUCUAACGUUGAGUGUUCAGUAACUCUUUUAAUCAAAUAAUCCAAAUAUAUAAAUGCUUUUAAUUGAAAUAAGAAAAACAAAUUAUGAAUUAUUAAGUGUAAAAAAUAAAAAUUAUUUGUUCACAUGUGUGAAACGUGUCUCGGGAAAAAUUUUGCAAAAUAGGGAUAAUUUGUUGUAUAAGUGAUCAAGGAAGCAAUUUAAUGAGAUUGGUCUAGAAUACAUAACCAAUGCACUGCGGGUAAGUUCAUUUUUCAAGCCACAUGUCCUACGUAUUCGUACAAUUUAGUGGCAUCUACUGAAAGAAAUUGUUAGUUUUGUGGACUUAAUAAUCGUACGCUAAGAGACGCCAAGGAGAAAUUCAUGCGAAAUGUGACAUUAUUGAGCUCUGCUAUGAACCCAAUGGACAGGACUGUUAAACAGAGGAAGAUCAAAGGCUACAAAUGGUCGGCCAAGGGAGGAGUUCGAGCCUUAAGAGGGCUAUUUUUAGCACAUUAGCUAUGGGAGGUAUGGCUUGGGCAUGUGUGGAGACAACUUGCAUCCACAUGGCCUGAGGCAUGUAGUAGAGGUAUGUCGAAACUCAAGCAUGGUGUUGGGCUUAGAAAACAUACUUGUCAUAGAGGCUGUAACUUCCAACGACAUGCAUAGGUCAUAAUUUGGCGCAAGUGCAAACAACAUUGUCAAGACAUGUUGCUUAACUAGAGGCAUGGGGUGCGACAAUGGCGCCCCGUGGUGGCAAACUCACAUGGACUUGACAUAGUAAGUGUUGGAUGUUGGUGUGUCUAUGAUAGGCGGUGAGUGGUACUAGAAGCACAUAAUAUUAUGGGAAAACUGAUCAAAAGGGACAAAAAUCCCUCAAUAUUGUAAAACUAACCCCCCACUUUUAAUAGCCUCCAAAAUGACCCGAUCUGGACAAAAAUACCCCUCAGCUACAUCAACUCCUUUUUCCCUCUCAUUCUAAUUUUAUUUCCCUCCAUUCACCUCUUUUUUAUUAUUUCUUCCACUUUCUCCUUUUUUUCAUUUUCUCCUGUUAUUCCGUUUCUCCCUUUUCAGUGCAUUUCUUCAAGUCUCACACAGUUUCUCUUCAAAUUUCUUCAACUUAAAGCGCUUUAAGUUGUGGUUGGAUAAACAGUGUACGUUUAUUUUUAUUUUUCCAUAUUUUUUUCUUUCAUGUUUUAUUUAUUGAAUAUUUUCAAACAUUUAAUGAGAUGUAGUAAAUAUUUAAAUAAGUUUGAAAUUGUUAUAAUUUUUUUAAUAUCAUUUACAACUAUGAAAAAAUGGAUUAAAAAAAGGAAACAAUCAACUUAAAAAGUGUAAUGUGGAGAAACAUUGUUUAUAUGGAAAAAUCAAAUGAUGGUAAGUAAUAAAACUUAUGGAAUUUUAUGAUGGUUUUGGUAUUAUUUGCAUAUUUUUUCUUUAUAUAGAUGUAAAUAUGUGUUAAUAAGGUUUUGAUAUAAUAUAUAAAGUUAUCUUUUUUAGUUAUAUAUCAAAACCUUACGGAUAUUAAGUUGAACUUAACGUAAGUUAAGAUUGUAUAUAGUUAUUUUAUAGUAACAUUAUAUUAUUGUUAUUUUAUUUAAUUAUAGUCAAUUUGAGUUGAAUCAUUUGCAAAUUACCCUUGACAUUAAAUGAAUUACAACAUAACCAAUCUUUUAGUAAAUAAAUAUAUUUUUAUUGUUUAAAAUAGCUUAGAGUUACAAUGUCUGAAUUUAUUUAAUAACUAUAUACAUUGUAUUUCUAUAGCAUUAUUGGUAUUAUUUGAGGUAGUAAAGAUGAUUAAUAAUGUUAUUUAUUUGUUGUUUAUUAAAAAAAUAAAUAUGUGUAAUGAAAUAAUAUGUAUUUAAUAAUGAAUGAGUUUUUUAAAAUUAAUACCUACUUAUUGGUGCUAAUGCUAUGAUGUAACUAAAAAAUAUUCUAAUAUUGUUUUUUGAUGCCACUAAUUGAAUUAUUUUGUUAUUUCAGUGGUUGAUGAAGUAUGGAUAAUGCUUUUAUAUGAAGGAGAAUGGGUACGAGAUGGAAAUGUUUUCUAUUUUGAAGGAAGUAAAGGUAAAGGCAUUGAGAUCCCGAAAGCUAUAUCAUAUAAAGAGUUAUUAGGGGUUGUCCAUCAUAUUCUGAAGCUAGAUCUAACAAAUUGUUUUCUUUCAAUGAAGUAUGUAUUCAAUUCCAACAUACCCACAAGUCCUAUACAACUAACUGAUGAUGGGGAUGUGAAAUUCUUUAUUGGUUUAAAUUGUACAAAAGGUAAGCUGCCUGUUCCAUUGUGCAUCACAGUUGAAAAGAGAAUUGAUAAUCACAAUCAGAAAUCAAUUUGCAAUUCUUAUUUUGAAUGUCAUGUCUUCUGAGAUUGAUAAAGAAUUGAAUGGGGACUCAAUGUUGAUGCAAAAAAGUAGACACAUUCAUUGUGAUUCAGUUGAAACUCUUACUGUUGAUGGUGAAAAUGGACUAAGAUUUCAAAAUGAGUCACUUGAAGGGUAUAAAGUUCAUGAUUGGAACAUGAAUGAGACUGCAACUAAUGAGGAGGAUUAUAGGAUGAAUACUAACCCUACUAAUGAUAAGCAAGUGACCCAAAUUGGCUCAUUCAGAAUUGGUUCAACUCAGAGUGCAGAAAUCUUGACCAUGAUUGAUACAAAUGAUGGUUUCAUACAUGACAAUCCCAUUAUAAUCGAAGAUGUAGCAAAUGAAAGACAAAACAUGAUGCAACAACCUAUAGUUAGUGAAAUUAGUGAUGACCAUUUAGAAGAGCACCAAAUAUACUCAAGUAAGAAAGAAUUACAAAAGAAGUUGUAUAUGAUGGCUCUGAAAAGGAAGUUUGAGUUCAAAACAACUAAAUCCACUACUAAGUUAUUGCUUGUUGAAUGUUUUGAUAAAGAAUGCAAGUGGCGAGUUCGUGCUACCAAGUUGGGGAUUUCCAAUAUGUUUCAAAUAAUGAAAUUCUAUUCAACACACACUUGUCGGUUAGAUAUGAUGCCUCGUGACAAUCGACAUGCAAGUAGUUGGUUGAUUGGUGAGAGUAUAAAAGAAACAUAUCAAGGGGUUGGUUGUGAAUUUCGACCAAAAGACAUUGUAGCAGACAUUCAAAAGCAGUAUGCCGUUCAAAUAAGUUAUGAUAAGGCGUGGAGAGCCAAAGAACUUACUCUAGGUUCUAUUAGGGGAUCACCUGAGGAGUCUUAUAACACUUUACCAUCCUAUUGCUAUGUUUUAGAGCAAAAAAAUACUGGUACCAUUACUGAUAUAGUUACUGAUUGUGAUAAUCAAUUCAAAUACUUUUUUAUGUCGAUUGGUGCAUCUCUUGCUAGGUUUCACACAUCAAUAAGGCCUGUGAUUGCAGUUGAUGGGAUAUUUUUGAAAGCAAAGUACUUCGGGACUUUAUUUAUUGCAGCGUGUAAAGAUGGCAACAAUCAGAUAUACCUUUUAGCCUUUGGGAUUAGUGAUUUAGAAAAUGAUGCCUCAUGGGAGUGGUUUUUACAAAAACUGCAUGAUGCACUUGGACACAUUGAUGAUUUGUUUGUGAUAUCAGAUCGACAUGGUAGCAUUGAGAAAGCAAUACAUAAAGUAUUUCCCCAUGCGAGGCAUGGUGUUUACACUUAUCACGUUGGACAAAAUUUGAAGACAAAGUUCAAGAAUCCUGCAAUUCAUAAGUUGUUCCAUGAUGUUGCCUAUGCUUAUCGUGUUUUAGAGUUUAAUUUUAUAUUUGGGCAACUAGAGAUGAUUGACCCAAGAGCAGCAAGAUAUUUUAUGGAUAUAGGUGUUGAUCGAUGGACACGUUCAUAUUCUACCGAAAAAAGAUAUAAUAUCAUGACGACAGGGAUCGUUGAAAGCCUUAAUGUUGUGUUGAAAAAUGCUAGAGAUCUUCUGGUUUUGAAAUUGGUUGAAGAAUUGAGAAACUUACUUCAAAAAUGGUUUGUGACUCGUCAACAACAAGCAAUGUCAAUGUCAACUGAACUUACCAUGUGGGCUGAUGGAGAACUUCAUUCGAGGUAUAAUAUGUCAGCAACAUAUCUAGUGGAACCUAUCAACUCCAAGGAGUGUAAUGUUAACUAUGCUGGCAUUAGUGCUCAAGUGAAUUUAGACACUCGUUCAUGCACAUGUCGACAAUUUGAUCUUGAUCAUAUUCCAUGUGCACAUGCUAUUGCUGCUUGUAGAUUUUAUAACAUUUCAUGUUACACUUUGUGCUCCAAGUAUUUUACUACUAUAGCAUUGUUAUCUUCAUAUUCAGAGUGUAUUUAUCCAACUGGAAAUGAAAUAGAUUGGGUAGUACCUAAUCAUAUUCGUGACAAAGUUGUGUUACCACCUAAAACGAGACGUCCAAUAGGAAGACCAAAGAAAGUAAGAAUUCCUUCUGGUGGAGAAGGCAAGCGCACAUCUCGUUGUAGUCGAUGUGGUCAAUAUGGGCAUAAUUGGAAAACAUGCAAACGACCAAUCCCUUGAUAUCAUGAUAGCUUUGGCACUCUAUGAACUUACAUGGAAUGAAAAUUGUAAUAGUGAGCUUUUUUGUUUUUUUGGUACCCAUGUGAACGGAAAUGUAAGUUACUUUUUUGUAUUAGGUGAUAGAAUAAGGACAUAGAUGAAUAUUGUAAUAAUGAUCCCCUUUUUUUGCAUACCCAUAGAAAUGGAGAUAUUUGUUACUUUUGUACAUAUAUGUUAUGAUGAGUUAUGUAUAAAGUAUGAAUGAAAAUUACAUGUUUAUUAUCAAACUAUGGACUCAACUAUUCUCACGUUUAUUGAUAAGGAACUUGACAAUAGUUAAGUUCAGGUUUUGUCUAAAGACUGUAGACUUAACUACCUUCAAGUUUGUACAUAAAACAACUUGAUAAUGAUUAAGUUCAGGUUUUGUCUAAAGACUGUUGACUUAACUGCCUUCAAGUUGGUACAUAAAACAACUUGACAAUAGUUAAGUUCAGGUUUUGUCUGAAGACUGUGGACUUAACUACCUUUAAGUUUGUUCAUAAAAUAACUUGACAAUAGUUAAGUUCAAGUUAAAAUGGCAAACUGUAAACACAACUUCCUAUGAGUCUAUAGAAGAUCAACUUGAUACCUGUUAAGUCCAGAUUAAAUAUGUUAUUCUGGAAUAGAUUUCGACUUAAUAUCUGUCAAGUUUGUUCACAGUUAACUUGAUAGUAGUUAAGUUCAGGUGUUCUAUUAAGACUGUGGACUUAACUACCUUCAAGUUUGUACACAUAACAACUUGACAACAUUCAAGUUUAGUUUAAAAAGUCAAUUGUAUACAUAACUAUUGAACAACAUUCAUCAAAAUAUCCAAGUAGAUAUAUCAACCUGUCCAACUACAUUUAUCAAAAUGUCUAACUACAUAUAUGAAGCUAUCCAAUUACAUAUAACAAACCAUCCAACUACAUUAUCAAAAUGUGAAAUAUCAACAUGAAUUCAUUACAUAGGCAAGUAUUUCAUAUAAAAUAACUUUGCUGCCAUCUUUUCCCGAAACCAGUCCAUUCGAGCACUUGUUAAUGACUUCAAUGGAUGGUUGUGCAUUAAGUAUUCAACAUAUUUGAUAACAAACAUGCCACAAUCACCACUGCAUGGUACACAAAUAAUCAAUGUUAGGGCUAUUAUUAAGGAUUAAGUGUAUAAGUUAUGAAAGUAAAUUGAAGAUCACUUACUCAUUUUCCUGUUAAGGAAUAUCUUGCAGCCGUUCAAUUUCCCAUUCAUGGUAGUUAACUUUUGUGUCACCAUGAAACCCAUAAUAUGCUAUUGCAUUCAAUAUAUGCGGCAACAAUUUGGCUAAUGGUUUAAUGGCAACUUGCAAUCUUGCAUUAUUAUUGAUGCUCAUCAAUGAGUCAUAUACAUAUAUAAUCCUUCGAUGAAGGUGGACAACUCCUAAUACCUAGUGACUAGCCCGAACAUUGAUGGGGACAUACACAAUGUCAACAUCAGGCCAUUUGACAGAAUAAAGAGGCUGCAAACCAUUGGCAUAAUCAAUAAGAAUGUCAUUCUCUGGUAAUUUGAAUUGGUUCCAUUUCUUGCCAUGCUUAAUCCAUCUUCAAAUUUUUUUUUUCUUAUUUUUUUUUCUUUUUCUUUUCCUCUCCUAAAGAAAGAAAAACUUUCUCCAACUCAUCAUUACGCACCUUGUUUUCUCCUUUAAAGUAUGUGUCCCUUAUUCGUAAUGAUUUUUUAUCACAGUUUGUAAUAUGACCAAAACUCAAGCCCGUAAUCUCUUCUUUACGAAAUCUUAAGCCCUUUAACUUUAAUAAAAUCCAUAUUUCAUUGUCUUUUUUGGUUUCACAUUGAUGAGCAAUUUGGGCUGAAAAUCUAAGUUUGGGAAGGAGUAAAAAAUGACCAAAACAUGAUUUUCUAAACAUCUCCAAUUGUGGUUCAAUCAAUUUCUUCUUAAUAUUUUCAAUGGCAACCAAGUGAGACAAACAUGCAAUUUUUCCAGGAAAGUACUCCUCUUUAGGUAUUUUAGAUAUAAAAGAUAGGAGAGGAGGAGGAAUGUCAAUCUGCAAGAUAAUAACAAAUUGGAAAAAUAUCAAUAUAAAUUGGGCAAAAUUAUAUUACCAAACUUAUCCAACUAUGUUAAAUCCAUCAUUUCGUAUUACUUCUUAACAUAGACUUUAUUUUCCUAUUAUUUAAGGAUGUCAUGUCAAAUGCUAAUAUUCUAAAGAUAUUAUUUUACUAAUGCAAUUGAAGCUAUUAUAUUUUACUAAGUUGCAGCUACAAAAAAUUGGAGACAUUAUUCUAGUGUUUAUUGAAAUUUGAAACAAAACCAAACCAUUUUGAAAUUGCCACCUGUUGACAAUGAACUUGAUAGCAGUUAAGUUCAGUUUUUUCUUAACAUAUAUAUAUAAAUCAAAAUUCUAAAUAUUUGGAUAAAAUAAUUUCACAAAAAUUAUAUUCAAAUACGUUAUAAAUUCAUAACAAAUAACUUCAUUACACAAAAUUUCAAAACCUUUUGAUGGUAAACUUGAUAGUAAUUAAGUUUAGUUUUUUCUAAUCAUUCAAAUAUUGCUUUAAACCUUGGACUAUAACCUCACUGAGAAAAUUUUCAACAAUUAGAUUAUCAAUUCAUGAAAAAUAAAUUCAUAAAAAAAGGAUAAUCGAUUAAAAAUGAUAAAAUUUUAAAAAAAAAUCAAAAUUUCAAGUAGAAAAUUAAUGCUUACUGAAUCAGUUGAUUUCUUCUCAUUUUCUGAUGACAAUGACGAGGUUUCAAACCUGUCUUUCUUUCACUUCUUUUUUUUCCCAAAAUUUUAUACCUCUUCUGUUUCGUAUUUUUCAUCACCGAAUUUUUUUUCUUUCUCCAUUUUCAUGAACUAAAUCAACACACAAUAUCAGAAAGAUGAAAAAUAGGGUUUGAUUGAAAAAAAAAAAAAAAAGAACCAAAAUAAGACACUUAGGGUUUCUUCUCAAUUCAUAGAUGAAGAUUCAUAUGUACAGUUCGAAAAACUAAAAUCAAAGAAUGAAACAAUGAAACUUACUUUCUGUUUUUUCUUUGUGUUGUGUUGUCUUUUUGUUCUCUUGCAAUAAACGAAAAAAUCCUUCGUGAUUUAUUUCUCGCAAGUUAACAGAUGGAACAAAUGAGUUUACAGGGUAAGGAAGAGACACGACACAAGGGAAAAUUGGAGUUGGAGGGAAAAUGGGCUAAAAAGAUAGCUGAGGGGGUAUUUUUGUCAGAAUUGGGUCAUUUUUGAGACUUAAAUAAGUGAGGGGUUAGUUUUGCAAUAUUGAGGGAUUUUUGUCCCUUUUAAUCGGUUAUCCCUAAUAUUAUCAAGACACGUUGCAUAACUAGUGUUGAAUGUUGGCGUGUGUGUGUGCGUAUGCGCGUGCGUUUUGGGCGAGGAGGGUUGGGGUUGUGGUCUCACUUAGGACAACCUAAGGGUGUGGGCUAUGGCAUGACGCUAGCUCACCCAAGGUGCUUUAGGCCUCUCCAUUGAUAAGUGUAGGGCACCACACCUUUAGAACUUACAUACACCCAAGUGCCCAAUGGUUUAAGCAAGGUAUAGCUGCAUGAAGAAAGCCUGAGCAAAGCAUGACAAAUGUUAGAUGUGGGUUGUAUGGCUGCGACAAGUUGGAUUAAUGUAGGCAACUUGAUGCAUGGGCUACAUGUGAACAAUUCUACAUACAUGAGCCAUGGGCGUGACCGAGAUCAUGCGACCCUCCAAAAUGUGGUGAAAGACUCUAAUUCUAAGCAACAGUGAACUUAGUAAGGCGUACUUGGGCAUACGAGUACAAGACAUCUGGGUUGGUUGGCUAAAACACACAGGUUCAAGGAAGGGAAACAUGCAGAGACACGAGGUUUGUUGGUUUAGGCACAAGACAAAGUCUAGCGAGUAACAUCCGGGAGAUAUAGCCACUCCUAAUCUACGAAUAUGGGGUUGCGUCUAGGAACGACAAUGGGGUGAGUUUUUUUAAGUACCCCCCUUUAAUGAGAUAAGUUUAAAAUUUAAGGGCUUAAGAUUUUUUUUUUAAAUCCAAGACGGGUUCAAGGUGAGUUCGUCUCACCCCAUCCAGCCCCACCUUGAUCAUAUAUAAAAUUAAUUUAAUUUAAUUUUAAUUUUUUAUUUUAAUAUAUAUAAUAAUAAUGAUAAUAAAAUAUUUUUCAAUAAAAUAAGUUAUAAAAAACUAUAAUAUUUUAAUUAUUUAUUUUUAAAAAGAGUUAAACAGGAUGAGAUAAGGUGAGUAUGGAAAAUUUGUAUACUCGUCCCGUCCCACCCCACCCCAUUUAUUUUUUUUUAAUGGGACAAAUAUGUGAAUUAUUUUGAAUAAAUGAGACAGAUGGGUUGGGAUGAAAGCGAUCCGUCCCGAACCCGCCAUAUUGCUAUCCCUAGUUGUGUUGUAGAAAUGCAUAAAUACAUCAUCUGAAACAAGGACAAAGUGUUUGGGACACCUGAUAACACCUCAAGAGAAGUUGCAAGCCUUAAGAAACUACUAAGAUAGGUGAAAGAGCUUGGGUUGGAUCUCUAAUACAUGGGUAGUUAUUGAGAUUUUUUGGCUACCUAUUAAUACCAUAUUGUACAGGUAAAAGAUAAAAUGUUUCCAUUGACUUAAAACUCGUUUGAUAAUAAUUCUAAGAAGCGAUUGUAAUCUUCUAGUACUUAAAUUUUUUUAUUUUUCAAGUGUUAGAAGAGAUAAAAAAUACUUUAUAAAAUCACUAUCAAACAGACACUUUGAGUUCGUUUAACAAUUAUUCUAAAAAAUGUUUAUAGUUUAAAAAGUAUUUUUUUUUAAAUAAUAAUAAAAUGUUUAACAAAAUUUAGGAAACAUUUUUAGAAAUCUGAAAAAUCACUUUGUAGUAUUGAAAAAUUAGUUGUAGUGUUAUUUAGAGAAAUACGUGAUGAAUUAUUCUUUUACAAACACUAUCAAAGAAAACAUUUGUACUAAAAACAAUUCAAGUAGAAACUAUGCCAACUAAGAAGCUUUGAUUUUUUUUGUGUUGGGCACGGAAUUAUACAAGUUGAGCUGCUUGUAUACUUCGUGUGUUGGUUGCAUCGGUGUGGGCUUGCUAGGUCGAUCUUCACAACAUCACACAAAAAAAGAAUCUUGUGACAGCUAGCACUAUGAUGCUUAGGAUAGUAAGCAUCAUAAGAGAGUUGCCCUGCCAUCACCAGAAUUCACCCUUUUUCCUUUUCUACAUAAAAACCUUUGCAUCUUAAAAGAUUACAUCUAUAGAUCACACCCACACAUGUUCAUUCCACACCAACGUUCAUUGUAUUAAUUACAAAAACAAAGUUUCAAACUCCUCCCACUUGGAUCAUUUCAUAAAUCUGUAGCUAGGCUUCUCAGUCGUUUUUUUAUGCCCAAAUUUGUAAGUUUUGCUAGGGCUGCAGUUGAAGUUACUGUCACCCCCAAAGCCAUACUUGGUGCGGUACCCUGGGUAGUCCCUAAAAUUAAAGGGCACUUCUUCUAUAAGUCUUAGCCCAACUCUUGAGGCUAGAAAUUCCAAAUUCCACUCAUAAAAGAAGCCAUUGCUUUUGUGAGUAAUGUGGAUUUCUCCAUCUAUGUGAAUCAACUUCUUUGCAUUUUCUAAAAACUGUUGUACCAGCAUCCGAUGUCGCCUGCAAGAAUUAACAAUGAUAUAGAAGGAAAAUUUUCAUGUAAGAAUUGGGAAUGCAGGCUAUACAUAAAUUCAAUCCAUAGGAGCUUUUCAAAGAAAGAAUCUACCAACCAGAUCUCAUCCUCCCUGGGUUCAUCGGGAAAAAAUCCAGCGAGUGGGAAGUUGUAAACAACUCGAUCAAAACGCAUGCAUUUGAAUGGGAAAACGUUUGCCAUUUUGGUGGCAUCAACAUCAUGCAUGACCUUAGCUCCCAAGCUCCGGAGUUUAUCGAUGUUGGACAAGGCAAGCCUAUAGUUUGUGCUCAAAAACUCUGAAAAUUGCAGCUGAUGGUCAUCAGUUAAGGUCAUCAGUUAAGGUCAUAAGACAAACCCCAAAUGGGUGCUGGGGCACAUGCGAAUCAAGGUUUACUCAGGACUAGAAUGAGAAAAUACCCAAAUCAAUCAAAAUCAUGGCAUUCAUGAGAAACACUCAAAGAAGAUUACCAACUUAUAUUUCAGGAUUUCUUAUUUGUUACCUAUAGAAUUAAGAGAAGUAGCGGUUAUGUUUGUAGCAGAAGCAAAAGCCACAGCCAAAGACGCAGAGAAUGAAAAGUCCCCUUCACCCACCAGCAAUAUUUUGUACUCACUGCUGUAGUGCUUUAUCCAUCUUACUCUAAGUUUUCCUUCCUCUAGGUCUUCUUCUUCACAGCUGCUGUAGUCCCACCAAUUUUUUCCUACCACUCCUCUGGUUCGUUCUUCUUUUUCUUCAAUUAUGUUGUACUGGUGGAGCCGUGCAGAAACUUGCUUCUCAUCACCUACAACUUGGACUUUAAAUUUUGCAGGAAUUGUCAGAUCCAAUGCAUCAUCAGACCUGGAAUUGCUGCGUGGGUCCAAGCUCAGUGGAAAACCCAGAGAGUUUAGCUGCGAUGCACCAUUGAUGCCUGAGUUGCUGCUUGGGACAGAGCUCAGUGGAAGAGUCACUGGAUUUGGCUGGAAAUGAGAUGCACCACUCACGCUAGAGUGGCUGCAGGAGCUAGAGAGUAGUGAAGGAUGAGUCUGUAUCUUUGGCUGAGCAUGAGAAGUACCACUUGGCCUGGAUAGGCCACACGAGUUGGAGCUGAGUGGCUGAGGAGUCUGCACUGGUUUUGGGUAAAAAUGGGUUGUGCUGGAUUGGCUGCAUGAGCUAGAACUUAGCUGUUGGUGAGUCUCUAGUUUUGGCUGGACAGGGGAUGAUACAGUCGUGCUGGAGAGGCCACAUGAGCUCAAGUUGAGUGGCUGAUGAGUCUGCACUGGUUUUGGGUAAAAAU